rnacentral:lncRNA from 1 species
UUGAGCUUUUGUAUUAAUUUGUUUUCCCCAUCAGCAUUGCUUGUCACUGUAUCAUCUGCACUAAUUACCUCCCCCACCCCCAACCACCCCACAACCAUGCAUUGACACAGAAGAAUUGGAAUAGAAACAUUUUUUUCACUUAUGUUUUACUAGUUUUGCUAGAAAGGAUCAAUGCAAUUUUUAAUUCUCGUGUAUGUUAACUUUGCUUUCCAGCAUGACCCUCUUCCGCAACAACCGAAGUCAGAACAGCUUGAAAAGCUGAAGGUAUUCAAGGUCAUGUUGGAGCGCUUGAUAACAUUCUUACAGGUCUCUAAAAACAACAUCACACCUAAUUUCAAGGAGAAAUUGGGUUUCUAUGAGAAGCAGAUUGUAGGUUUUCUAAACCCAAGCAGAUACAGGAAGCCUAUUCCUAAUCUACAGCAAGGACAACCUCCCCAACCUCGUAUUCAACCUAUGCAGCAACCCCAAUCUCAAGUUCCUCAAUUGCAGUCCCAUGAAAAUCAACUGAUUCCCCAGUUGCAAUCAAUGAAUACGCAAGGUUCUGUACCACAGAUGCAGCAGAACAAUAUGUCAAGCUUGCUGCAUAAUUCCCUUUCAACUUUAUCUGGGGAUUCGACGUCACAAUCAAACAUGAUGAAUCCAAUACAACCAGGCUCCAAUUUAGAUUCUGGACAAGGAAAUGCACUGAGCUCAUUGCAGCAGACACCUGUAGGAUCUGUACAACAGAAUCUCGUGAGCAUUUCCCAACCAACCAAAGUUAACACAUUGUCAACACAAAGUGGGGGGAGUAUGCUGCAGCCAAAUAUUCCCCUUCAGUCGAAUUCCAAUAUGAUUCAACACCAGCAUCUAAAACAGCAGCAGCAGCAGCAGCAUGAACAACAGAUGCUACAAACACAACAGCUUAAACGAUUCCAGCAACACCAGAAUUUAAUGCAGAAUCAACAGAUGCAGCAGCAGCAAUUACACCAGCAAGCUCCGUCUCCUAUGCCAGGAGAUUCUGACAAACCAGUUUCUGGUAUUUCCUCACUCUUAGAUACUGGAAAUAUUGUACACCAACCAUCUGUUGCACAAGCACUGGCUCCAUCCCUUGCAAUUGGCACUCCUGGGAUAUCUGCAUCACCUUUGCUUGCAGAGUUUACCAGUCCUGAUGGUGCUCAUGGCGGUGCUUUGACAACUGUUUCUGGCAAGUCAAAUGUUACAGAGCAAUCACUUGAGUGCUUGAUUAAAGCGGUUAGUGAUGCUCUCCUUUUGGUUUUACUCCACCCCACCCUUAUUUUGGAGGUUUCUGAAAAAGAAAGAAACUUCUUUGUGAAUGAGAUGGUGAUGCUGCAAUUUUUUUUCCCAGGUGAAAUCUCUGUCUCCCAAAGCACUUAGUGCAUCUGUCGGUGACAUUGGCUCCGUUGUCAGUAUGAUUGACAGAAUUGCUGGUUCUGCAGCUGGUAAUGGAUCUAGAGCUGCAGCUGGUGAGGAUUUGGUAGCAAUGACAGGAUGUCAUCUUCUUUCGUUUUUGUCUUUUUUAUUUUUCACGUGUUUCUCACAAGAUGGGAACUCGAGGGAAUAAAAAGUGCUGGGAAGUAAUUUUUGUUGGAACGUCUUGUGUAACAUCUUCUUUCGAUGAUGACCUUUUGGAUGGCUGCAUGAAGCUUGUUCCGCUUUAAAUUUCAAGGUUAAUCUAUUUCAAUUUGAAACUUGAGUUGCAACUGAACUUAAAUGAAAAGUGUUGGAUUUGGGCCUCUAUUUGUUUUAACUUGUACAGGGUUGAAGUGAUAGUGAUCUUAAAAGUACAAAAGCAGCAGACAAAAAUCAAUUAGCCACAAUAUAUAGUGUAUGGUUUCCUACUUUCUCAGUAUAAAGUUGAAUGUUUUGGUGAUAUAAUCUCUACAUCCAAAAUCAUAUAGACAGCUACUGCUGGCACUUGCAGUAGCCAAUGUUAACCAAAAUCAUAUAAUCUUAAAGUUGAAUGUUGUAUUUUCAUAAAUUAAAGGGAUUUCUCUUCUUUUCUUUGUCAAUUACAGUGCAUCAUAAUAAGUUUUCUUACUCAGUAAAUGCUAUUGUAAUUUUUUCACAGAGACUCCCCUGUUUUGCAACUAAUUCACUUCUGAAUAAAUCUGGGAAACAGAAAGGCAAUCAACAAAGAGUAAGGCAUCUUCUGAAGAAACAAAGAAAUUUAAUACCAUAAACUAAGCAGCACGUAGAAGGCAAAAACUGAGCACAAAUUUUCAGGAAGGGACAAACGAAAAAAACCAAAAAGAAAGCAAAGAAAAAUACAGACUCAAAUUCACAACACCCAUUUUCUUUCCAUUGGAACACUUUAAAUAGUUUAUUAAAUUUAUAAUGAUCUGAUUUCUACGCAUAUAAAAAAAUCAACUAAAUGAUCAAUUCUCUAUAAUUUCGGCAUUACUAAAAACAUCCAAACUAAUAAACAAUUAGUUAUUUUACUCAUUUUAAUAAACAUUUUAGUUAUGAAUUCACCAAACAUUUUGAACAAUUCAUAUUGAUGAAUUAACAUUUAAAUUUUAGAUUUUUUGAUUUAUUAUUUCCUUCGUGAGUUACUUCUAAAGUAUGCUAUAUAUCUUUAAGCAUUUUUAUAGAAUAUAAUUCUAUCAAAUUCACUUUUACCCAAUGCAUAAUAUAAAGUAUUCAUGGCUUUAACAUCCAUAAAAAAUAACUUUUUAUCAUUGUCCGUAUAUUCCCUUUUAGUUUUAGAAAUCUCAAUACCAUUUUUAAUUUGAUAGGUCUAGGAGAUCUAUUUUGUAUGGAUAGCCACAAAUUAAAAUCAAUAAAUUGAUAAUAAAUUAUCAUUAAACAAUUUAUUACUUGCUCUUUGGUAAUAAGAAUGUGAUUGUAAUAUUAUUUUGUAUGGAUAGUUUUAUCUAUCUAUUAUCUCAAUAACAAGAUUAACUUUGCAAUUAUAUAUCACACUUAUAUAAUCUCAAAUAAUAUUAAUUAAAAUGAAUCACAAAAAUUUAACACAGUAAUUCUGCAAAAAAAAUAAAAACAAUUUAAUAAACAAUUUAACUUUGCAAUUAUGUUUUUAUUUGUUUGUUUUUCUAUGAGACACAAUGGAAUUUUCAAUAGAAACUACAACAAUACAAAUAAUUACAAAUAUUUUUCUUUCAACAUCAACAUAAAAAAACAUUAUGCACUUUUCGAUACUUACGUAAUUCUAGGAUUAAAGAAACAAUAACAUCUAAGGGGGGUGAAUUGGGUGUUGCACUAAUUAUAUCAAAUAAUGGUGUUGCACUAAUUAUAUCAAAUAAUGCAAUAAUUAACAAUAUAAUUAAAGUGUUUAAAGUAAAUAGAUAAGGAAAUAGAUAUUACAAACUCGGUUUUUAAUGUGAUUCGGUAAGCCUACAUCUACACCUCAAGUACUAACCGUACUUGAGUAUUGUACUCUUUUACCAAUCCAAGUGAAAUAUACAAAUGCCCUUGAUAAAUCCACACCGAGAAAUUAUACCACUUGAAGUUUUUUCUCUUGGUGACAAUACAUCACUAAUGCUAGGAGUUUAUCCAAACUCACAAAUGUUUACAAUUAUAAUUUGUUUGCAACAAGAUUCACUCUCUCAUAAAGUAAAUUGUACAAUUGAAAACUAUAAUCUUUAUAACUCACUCGAUAGCACUCAAGAUGAUUGAAAGUGUGUAAAUAUAAUGAGUGUGAGACAUUAUACUCAUGUGUUAGAAUAUAAAGAUUUAAUUUAGCACAACUUAAAAGCAUGUUAUGAUUGAUGAUUUCUAAUUGAUUUUUUUUUAAAAUAACUUCUAUGUUAUAUAUGUUUGGAAUCUCUCUUUUAUUUGUUAUAUAUAUAUAUAUAAACUAAUUGUUUAUAGUUGUUGAGAUGUCUCUAACAGCUAAAGUAAUCUAUAUGCAACUUAAACAAAAGAAUUCCAAUUAAAUGGAAUUGCACUUAACAUGUAUUAUUUCAAAUGCAACAAUUGCAUAGAUAACAGACAACAAGGAAUUUAACAGAAGAUAUAUACACUUUACUUUUCCUACUAAAAUUAAACUAUUGGAAUUUAACAUAGUCAUAAUCAAUUUGUUCUUGUGAGAUUAUCUAUUACAUGUAUAACAAAUAUAUUAGAAAAUAAAUUGUUUUAAGAUUGUUAGAACACCUUAAAUAGUUCAUAAAAUUAUUGUUCCAUUUUACUAUAAUAAUCAAGUUUCCACAUAAUAUAAAUCAUGCAUAUAAAUUAAUAAUCAAAAUAAAAAUUAAAUUAAGAUAACAAUCAAUUUUUUAACUUUAAAAUAAUUUAUCAUCUAUUUUCUAAUACUAAUAGUAUGAUUGUAAUAUUAUUUUUUAAUUUAUUUAAUAAUUUAAUUUUGAUAGCACAACCAAAAAUAAAUAAUGAACCAAAAUUUAUAUGAUAUUUUUUAUAAAAAAUUUGAUAAAAAAAAUAUAAAAACAAAAAUAAUGUCUCAAUUAGAAUAAUUUUUUCAUUAAUGAGAAGGCCCACCACAGACCAAGAGGACAGCUUCAAUGAAGCCAAUGCAGGUGAUUACCCGUCGGCUAACAUCUCCUCGCGCGCCUAGCACCAGCUAAACCGCCUCAAUCUGAACAUGCACCAGACAAAGUCUAUGAAAAGACGCCAGGGAGCCUCAGCAGCCGAGAAGAAAGCACGGGAACACCCACCGCGCGAGAAGAAACGCGAAAAACAGGAGACGGAGCGCGGUAAAGACUGAAGCCACAGGAUUCACAUACAGUGAAGCACUCUUAGUUUUAUAUAUAUAUAAUUCUUUUAGUUUGUUAGUUAUGAACAGUGAAGCAGCACAAGAAUACAAUUCUCCUGUUUGUUUGCUGGAAAAUAGUUUUUUUUAGAAAGUGAAUUAUUUUCCGAUGUUUGGUAGUGUAAUGGAAAAUAAGUUAGAAAACAUUUUUCAGUGUUUGGUUAUGUCAUGGAAAAUGAGUUGGAAAAUAACUUAUUAAUAUUUUAUUUUUUUCAAUUUUAUUAAAAUAAUAAAGAAUAAAUCUUACAAAUUAAAAAGUUGAAUGAAAAUAAAAUUGAAAAAAAAUAUAAUUUCAUAAAUUAUCUUAAAUAAAAUAAAUAAUAAUCAAAAUAAUAAAAAUCAAAUCUAAAAAAUAAAAAAUUUGAUCGCUUCAUUAAUUUCUCGUUAGGAAAAUGUUGAGCUUCUCAGCAAUAUUUCCUUACCUUGUGCCGCUAACUUGACGGUAAAAUGUGAUUAAAGGAUCAAUUAAUUAUUUAAAUCAACUUGAGGGAUUAAUCUGUUUGUUUAACAAAAAUACAGACACUAGUUAAAUAGAAUUUAACUCAAAUUUUAAUCAUCAUAUGCGUGCGUGUGCGUGUGCGCACGCGUGCGAGCGAGGGUUUACUCGUUAAUUUUUUUAGAAGGAAUCUGGAAAAGAAUAAAGUCAUCUAUUUCACUUUGGUCCAACAUCCCUCAAAGGCGCAGCUGUGCAUCUAGUUAGGAAGAACAUUUUAUAACUCACCUCAAGGUCGAGCAUGGUCAGGGUUAUUGUGUUGUCUAUUCCGAGGAAGAUGUGGCGUUCAAUCCAUGUGAAUCGCACGACUUGUCCAUAUCUUUCUUAUUGAUUACAAAUAGCAUUGAGAAUUAAAGAAUAUUAUCUUAAUAAGUUCCAAUUUAUUCUACAAAACUAUAUAUAAAGAUGUGACAAAAAGAUGUAUACAAAUUAGUUAUUUAUUGUUUGUAAGUAUUAUUGUAUUGCAAAGACAAAAAUAAGAUGCAACUUAUGGCGUGGUCGUCCAACCUGGUUCUGGUUUUGAUCCUGUUCAAAAUCUAUUUUGUUGAAUUGUUGAUCUACUUGUGAGUUAUUGGGUUAACUAGAUCAAUUUUUUAAACAAAACAAUGCCAUUUUAAAAAAAAAAUUGGUUCUGACAUAGAAAUAUAAUAUUAGAAACUUAAACCUUAUUGAUUAGCAAAAACUCAAUGGGAAAUUUAGUUUUGAAAUAGAUUGUUGUAAAAUCAAAUAUGAAUUGAUAACCAGAAAGUUUGCUUAAAAUUGCAAUAACCUUAUAGAAGAAAGCAAACAUAAAUAGAAUUAUUAAAUUCAAUGGAGUUCAUAUAACCAGGAUCACGAGUUUAGCGAGUUAAGCCAUGAAACCCUAAUCGAUCAAAUAUGUCGCCGUUUCAAUUAAAAAAAAUACAUCUUAAAAAGAAUUAAGCUAAACCACGUUUCUACCUAUUAUCUGGGUUGUCUUUAGACUUGUCAAGUCGACUGAGCCAUAUUAGGACAACUUCCAUAUAAUUAAAUUUGAAACUCGAGCUAGAUAAGAAAUCAGGUCAGGAAAUUUUAAUAUUGAUUUGUUGAAUCGGAUUUAAUAACAAUGCCAAAGAUCUGAAUAUUUAUUUUUUACUCAAUUUUUUUUAGGUCCUGUUUGUUUGAUGGAAACAGUUUUUUUUUAGAAAGUGAAUUCCUGUAAAGUGAAUUAUUUUCUGAUGUUUGGUAGUGUGAUGGAAAAUAAAUUAGAAAAUAUUUUCCAGUGUUUGGUUAUGUUAUGAAAAAUGAGUUGAAAAAUAGCUUAUUAAUAUUUUAUUUUUUUUCAAGUUUAUUAAAAAAACGAGGAAUAAAUCUUACAAAUUAAAAAGUUGAAUGAGAAUGAAAUUGAAAAAAAUAAUCUAAUUUUAUAAAUUAUUUCAAAUAAAAUAAAUAAUAAUCAAAAUAAUAGAGAUCAAAUCUAACAAAUAAAAAAAUUGAAAGAUGAUGAAAUUAAAAUAAUAAUAAUUACAAUUUCAUAAAUUAUUUCAAAUAAAAUAAAUAACAAUUAAAAGAAUAAGGACCAAAUUUGAUAGAUAAAAAAUUUCAAUUAAAAAAAUGAUAAGACAAAAGCAAAUAACAAUCAUAAAAAUAAGGACCACAGUUAAUAUAAAAAUCAAAUUAAAUCAAAUUUUAAGGAAGGAAAUUAAAAAAAAAGAUUCAAACAAAAUAUAUAUCAAUUAAAAGUUUGAAGACUAAAUUUGAUAUAAUCAGCAAAUAAUAUGAUAUUUCUAAAUUUUUCACAACUUCUGGAAAAUGUUUUCCGUCCAAAAUAAAAGGAAAAUACUUUCCUGAAAAUCGAGUUAAAUUUUUCUUUGACUGUAAAGUGUUUUCCAUUGACCAACUUUUUUAAUGACAAACAAACACAUGAAUGUUUGGAAAGUGGUUUCUAGAAAAUUAUUUUCCAGGCAAACAAACACCCCCUUAAUUCAAUCACUAAAGAGUUAUCCAAGAAUAAUUAUUCUCCACUAGCAGUUGUUGCAUACUAAAUUUUUUUUGUCAAAACAUACAUGAUAGGUGGCUUCAAUAUCAAUCCACCAUUUUUUAGGAUUUUCCAUGAAGUUUACUUCUAAUAUAACUACAACAAGCUUAGUAGCUUUCUCAUCAACAUUCUCAAUCAUAUGCUAAGAAAUCAUGGUUUUGUUGAGCUUUGUUAUCAUCAUAGGCUUGAUGAUGGAAGGAUUAUUGCUUCAUCAUGCUUUAUAUUUAAGUUCACGCCACUCAAAUUAUUUUGGUUUUUUCCCCACAUGAAGAAUGUUUAGGAAUCGGGUUUGCCAUCUAAACCACAAAGAUUACUAGGUUAACAAGUACAUCGAAAUCAUUAACAAUAGUUUUAUCCAUCUAUUAUCUCAAUAAUAAAAUUAACUUUGCAAUUAUAUAUCACGCUUAUAUAAUCUCAAAUAAUAUUAAUUAAAAUGAAUCACAAAAAUUUAACACACUAAUUGUGCAAAAAAACAAUUUAAUAAACAAUUUAACUUUGCAAUUGUGUAUUUAUUUAUUUGUUUUUCUAUAAGACACAAUGUAAUUUUCAAUAGAAACUAUAACAAUACAAAUAAUUAUAAAUAUUUGUCUUUUGACAUCAACAUAAGAAAACAUUAUGCACUUUUUUAAAGUUACGAUAAAAACAAAUCUGAUUGAUACUUAUGAUAUUCUAGGAUUAAAGCAAUAAUAACAUCUAAUAGAGAUAAAUUAGGUGUCAAACUAAUUAUGUCAAAUAAUACAAAUAAACAUGCUAAACACAUAUAAUAUAAUAAUCAACAAUAUAAUUAAAAUGCUUAAAAUAAAUAGAUAAGAAAAGAGAGAUUACAAACUCGGUUUUUAACAUGGUUCAGUAAGUCUACAACCACAUCUCAAGUACUAAUCGUAAUUGAGUAUUGUAUUCUUUUACUAACCAAUAAUAUAUUAUUUCACCAGUAAUUAUUAUCCAAUAUGCAACUUUUUUUUCCAAUCUUCUGUUUUUUUUUUCCAUAUCAAUCCAACAAUAAAGAAAAUAACAUGUAACAUAAAAUUUCUUUCCCCGUAGAAUCAAUGCAACAAGUAUACAGAUACCACACAACAAACAAUUUAACAAGUCAUGUAAUUUAACAGAAGAUAUAUUUACUUUGCUUUUCCUACUAAAUUUAAACAACUUUUUUGUAAUCUAUGUCAACAUAUAAAACAUAUAUAUAAAUCAAUAAAAAAAAUAAAAAAUAGGUAGAGGUAAUGAUUAAUUUUUUAGCUUUAAAAUUUUUUAUCAUCGCCUCUUUAUGCUAGUAAUGUAAUUGCAAUAUUAUUUUAAAUUAAUUUAAUAUUUUAUUUUUGAUAACAUAACCAAAAAUAAACAGCGAACCAGAAUUUAUAUAGAGUUUCCUAUAAAAAUUUUGAUAAAAAAAAAUAUAAUAGAAAUAAGUUUAUAAAAACAAAAACAAUGUCUCAGUUAGAAUAAUUUUUUCAUUAAUGAGAAGGCCUGCCACAGACCAAGAGGAGAGCUUCAAUGAAGCCAUCCCAGCCGAUGCAGGUGAUUACUCAUCGGCUGACAUCUCCUCGCAUGCCUAGCACCAGCCAAACCGCCUCAAUCUGACAUGCACCAGACAAAGUCGAUGAAAAGACGCCAGGGAGCCUCAGCAGGCGAGAAGAAAGCGCGGGAACACCCACCGCGCGAGAAGAAACACGAAAAACAGAGACGGAGCGCGGUAAAGAUUGUGAAGCCACAGGAUUCACACAUAGUGCACCGUGUUUUAAUGAGUUAUAUGUAUAUAUAUAUAUAUAAUUAUUUUAGUUUAGUUUUAGUUUGUUAGUUAUGAACAGUGAAGCAGCACCAGAAUACAAUUCUUUUAGUUUGUUAGCGAAUUUGGAAAGAAUAAAGUCAUCUGUCAAGCUCUGUUCACUUUGGUCCGACAUUCUUCACCUCUCCCCACCUGAGCUCUCUCUCUUUCCCUCCUCCGCUCUAGGAAGCCGCCACCACCUCAACCAAUAAGGCUUCAAAUCUCCACCAGGUGCUUCCUUUUCUAUCAUGUUUUUUAUUUUUAAAAUUUACAUCUGUGUUUUCAUUUAUUUAACUGAAAUUCUUAUCCAGAGAGAUAAAUUCGAUUUUAAUAAGUAAAUUAAAAAGAUAUAUAAUCGGAUCGAUGAAAUCGUUGUUCGUGAACGCAACUCGAAGAAAGGCGUAAUCAGCCGAUUCUACUGUGGGUGGAGCAUUUAGUAUGGUCAGGGUUAUUGUGUUGUUUAUUCAAAGAAAGACAUGCCUGUAAAUUUGUUAAGUUGAUUCUUAUCAGUCUGCUCUUUAGAGUUAAUGAUAACAUGAAAUAUUCAUUGUUAAUGCUCGUUGUUUUCUUCGUCUUUUUCCUAGACUAAAACAUCCUAGACAGUCUCUUUGGGAUGGGUUAGUGUUUCUGGCCUCUUCAUCUUCAAUUUGUGCUGUGGUGAAAGGCCUCGUUUUAUGACUUUGUUUUGUAUUCUUCUUAUUUCUUUAUUCUUUUGGGGAUGUGGUGUUUUCCUCUUUCUAUUACACUAUUUACUCCCUACAAUAUUUAUUUUUUCAGAGAAGUAAAUAUAUGCAUAAAUAACAAAAACAGGAGGGGAAGGGGAAUGGGGUUUGAUAGUAAGUAUUUGCUUAGAAGGGAAUGCUUCUUCGGUUUAGAAGCACCAUGAAGAUUCUUUGCUUUGAAUGGCCGAAUACCCAGGAUCCUAGCACCUAGGCCUGAAUGUUUGUGUAUAUUUGUUAUGCAUCCAUAUUUGGCUGAAUUCUUUAAUAAAGUACAUGAUAUUAGACGGAAGUUCUUUUUAAAUCUAUUCAAGUCUGAAUAAACUGAUAUUCCAUUUUUCAUGUUCUUGAUGUGCUUUUGCUCUUCUUGUCGUUCCUGACUUUCUUUUAAGGGUCUAUUCUAACAUGCAAUAUGAUUUUUUUUUUCUUUUUGGUUGGCCAACUGUCCUAGGCGGAGAACCUAUCAUAGACACGGGUGAUUGGAGAAUUCAAUUGCAGCCUGACUCAUGGAAAAGAAUAAGCGACAAAAUGUAUGUGCAAGUGCUGCAAAAUAGUAAAUUUUUUUAUUUAUAUGAAAGAAAAGGAGAAUGGCAAAGGGUUAAUUAAAAUCAACAAGAUAGCCAUGAGGCAACCUCAAGUAUCACACACCUUUUUUUUUUUUCAUCUUUUAAUGUGUUUCUCACGAGAAGAAAACUUGAGGGAACAUAAAGUGAUGGGAAGUAAUUUUUGUUGGAAUUUCUUGUGUAAUCUCUUCUUUUGAUGAUGACCUCUUGGAUGGCUGCAUGAAGCUUGUUCCGCUUUUAAUUUCAAUUUAAAACUCGAGUUGCAAUUGAACUUAAAUGAAUGGUGUUGGAUUUAGGCCUUCUAUUUGUUUUAACUUCUACAGGGUUGAAAUGAUAGUGAUCUUAAAGUUGAAAAGCAACAGACAAAAAUCAAUUAGCCACAGUGGUGCAUGGUUUCGUAGUUUCUCAGCAUAAAGUUGAAUGUUUUGUUGACCUCUCUACAUCCAAAAUCAUAUAGACAGCUACUUCUGGCACUUGCAUUGGUCAAUGAAUACUGUAAAGUAUAUAUUGCAGUGUGAGAUAAGGUUAACUCGUUGCAUUUUCAUAUAUUGAAAAGAUUUGUCUUCUUUUCUUUGUCAAUUACAGCAAAUGUGUAGAAGUUACUCAGAGUAAAUGCUAUUGUAAUGUUUUCACAUACUCCCCUGCUUUGCAACUAAGUCACUAAUAUAUGAAGCUCGUAGCUAGAAUUUUUAGAUAGAAGGGUGGCCAAGUAAACUCCUAUAAUAUGUACCUCUGGAAUAAUACAGGGAAAAGAUGUCUAUGUAUUUUGAUGUCUUAUAAUACUUGACCAACUCUUGCUUAUCUUGUUGUUACCCAUUUUUUAGUUCACAUAAAAAUGAGAAAAUACAAAAAACAAAUAUCAAAAGAAAUCCAAAAAAUAAUAGGAGCGAGAAAAGGAUUGCUGGAAUGCCGAAAAAAAAAUGCCAAAAUUGGUUGAGGAGAUUCAAAAAUGCAAAAGGUUGAAAUUUGACAGUGAGAGUCCUGUUGAUGAGGAAAAUUCAAUUUGAGAAAGAAAAGUCCAAAAUCAGAUGUUUAUGGACUCAAUUAAAUUUUAUCCAAGGUUUAAUUGAAUUUAUAGAGGGUUUGAUUGCAAGAAAAUUGAUUUUGUAAGUCAAUUUAGGCUUUUAUCGGAAGAAAUUAAAGUUCUGGGGUCCAAUUAUAAUUUUAAAGAGUUGAUUUGGUCAAAUCAGGGGCUUAAUUGCAUAAUUAUUGAAGUUUGAUGGCCAAUUAGGGACUUAAUUGAAAUAAUUUGAGACCAAGGAUCAAACCAGAAAAGGCGCUAACAUUAAGGGAUCCAAUUACAAUUUUGUCAGGGGGGUUUGAUUAUAAAACAGCGAAAACUUCAAGGGCCAAAUUAGAAGAACCCAAGCGGCGCCGUUUCCACCAUUAAUGGUCUUCAAACAGCUGUGAAUCGGUGACGAUAAUGGAAGGAGACGUUAGCAGCAAUUAUGGAAAAUAUUCUCAAUUCAAUGGGGCUGGUAUCGCGGCUGACAUCCCUCGUCACCGUGAUGGGCGCCGGCUUACCAAUAUUGCUGGCGUCCUCUGGCUAUAAAAGCCAGAGGAAGAGCUGCACCAAAAAUAAAAGGAGGUGAGAGAGAGGAGAGGCUACAGUGAAGAAAAAAAAAGGGGAGUGAGACAGUUUAUGAGAACGUAAGAAAAGUGAGAGGGUGGAGAAAUAGCGAGCAAGCAUAAGGGAGAGAAGAGGAAGGAGAGAAAGAAGCAAACCGAACGGGAACAGAGGACACGGUGAAGCAGAGAACCCAGCACCACCAUCGUCUUCGUCUUCUCAAAAUCAGGUAUGUUCGAUGCCCUUCUCCGUUUCCUUGCAAAAUGAGAUGAUGCAUGUUAGUAUGUAAAAUACAGAAAGAAAAUAUAAGGAAACCGACACCAGAAAUCGCCAGUUACAAUGCUCUGUUUUGUUUUCCUUUUUCAUUCUCGCACUGCAACAAAGAUGGUUAACAGAGCGAAGGUAAUUUAAUUACCUUCGCCCUGUUCAUACAAGCCUAAAUAUAUUAUGGUGCCAUUAGAUAAAAAUAUGCCUUGCAGUCUAGAUGGUCAGCUUACCUGGCUCUCAUCCGAGAGACCCGGUUUCAAGUCCCAACAAGGGAAUUCCUUUUUGAAGGUGGUCACUGGCAUGGGCCAGUGACCAUGCUGGGCUAGCUGAAUCCAGCCCAGCUACGCAGGUUGGCUGGGGUCCAGCCCAGCCAUAUGGGCCGGGUUGGGCCCAGCAAUAAAAAAUAAAAGAAUAAAAAUAAAUAAAAAUUCAAAAAAAUUAUUUAAAUAUCUGUGAUUUUCCGUCAAUUUUUACUGCAUUUUAAUUAAUACGGUUUGUAUUUUUAUACUGUAAAGAUACAAAUCCGGUAUUAAAAUACCAUAUUUUGGUCCAAACAUUAAAAAAGAAGUUUUGUUUUCAUACAUACGGCUAAGUCUCUCAAAAAUAAAAAAUCAUAUUGUAUUUUCAUACAACAAAGAAAAUUUCAAAAAAUAUGUAUUAGCAUGCAUUUUGGCUUUAAUAACCAGUUUAUUAAAGUCACGAGAACUAGGCCAAUAUUUCAAAAAUUCUAAAAAAUUUAUUUUGUUUUCUUUUAAUAUCGGGGGCCGGGUUAUGAUCUUAUACGUAAGACGUGUUCCAGAUAUUAAAUUUUCUUUGUUGGCAUUAGACCGGUUAGGUUUUACCCGAUAAGAUAAGGAUCUCUUUACCGAAGAGAACUUUUCUUAAACCAUAAACGGACCAACAAAUAGAAAGCACAACAUGACCUUAGAUUUUAUCAGACAAUAAAACAAUGCAGCUUACCUUAGGUAGGGCGUAUUUGGGGUGCUAAUACCUUCCCUUUACGCAACCAAUCCUCGUACCCGAUCUCUGAGACCAGUUAGGGUUCCUAGUGACCAAAAUACUAGGUGACGACUUUCAUUCUAUUUUUUCACUGAUAAAAGACAAGAAUACCUUGUCUCCACACAUUUGCCACAUUUUUAGAUAAGAUAAGAUAGAAUUCGAGGGUGGAUGUUUUCGCCGCGACGCCGCACACGUGCGACAUAUCUCAUUAUUUGUUUUUACUUUUUGCUAAUGAUUCCACACAUUUCUGAAAUUGGUGUGGUUUAUGAGUUCAGGGUUCUUGCUUGCUGCUGCUAACUUCUCUAUACUUGCCUGGUCAUUAAAAAUGAAACGUAAUGAUUUGCAUGUGCAGAAUGGAGACAUUAAAGAGGGAUCUUCUGUUUUCUAGUCAGAAGGGAUUACAAGAACUCAAGAAAUAUGCCAUACGUUUUGAGGAAAAGAUUUAUAUUACCGCCACGAAUCAGGGUUCAAUAAUUAUGAUAUUCUCUUGACAUGAAUAUACACAUGCAUUUAUGCAUGUACAAAUGUGUGUGUAGUGUGCCUCCACUUCCUCACCGUGCAUUCUGUAUGCAAGGCUGAUUGGGAGUUCGCAUGUUUUUGUUAAUUCUCUUGACAAGUGUUUUAUCUAGAGUGACCAAGUUCAAGUACAAGGGAAGUGUGCAAAAAGAAAAUAGCAAAUCAAUACAUAAAUAAUUAAAUAAAAAGAGAGGAAACAGAAGUAUAUCCUCACAAACGAUGAAAUGAUAGAGCAUAUAUCCAUUUUCCUCCUCUUGUAACAUGGAUUGCUCUGAGAUCUAAUGUUUUGUUAUUAAUAUAUGAUUUCAGUAUGAUUAUCUGCGUAAAAUAUCUCUGGAGAUGCUUUCAAUGGAGAUCAGGUCUCAAAAUACCAUGCCCACUGCCCCCAUGGAUCCAGCAGGUUAUAAUGCAGCCGAGCAUUGAAUUUGUAAACAUCUUACCUUUUGUUUUGUUUGUCGCAUUGUAAUCAAACUCUUUUACAUUUUAUUGCGGCAUAUUGCUAUGUGUUUAGCAUGCUUUAAUCAAAAAGUUGAGUAAUUGAUGAAUGUUAGGCAAGAAUAUUACAGAUUGUUUUUGUUUUCUGCCUCCUCCUUUUCUUUCCUCCACCUUGAAAAUUGUCAUAUUAUUUUUGUUUUCAGUCGCCUCUUCUUCCCCCAUCCCUGAAAAUUGUCAGAGGACAUUUUUAUGCUUUGAAUCAAAUCCAUCCUAAUUUUUUCGCUCAUAACUUUAUGUGUGAACUGCAUAUGUUUCAUUUGUCUUCCUUGUUCAGUGCCUUCUUUUUUUCUGUGACAUGGUUUUCCCUUUUGCCUUUUAUCUUGAACAGCAUCCCAUAGUAUGCGCCCUGAAGUUCAGAAUCAAGGGCUGUUUCUCCCUAUCCUAUUGUCCACUGAUCAGUCUCAAGCAUGUCAGCAGUUGGUAUCACAGAACAUGCAGAAUUGCAUGGCAUCUAAUGGAGUUCAAAGUUAUGCUGGUUUACAAGCGGCACUGCCUCCUGUCUCUGGUGUAACCCUGACUAACCCCAACACUGUUGUCCAGAAUCCUAACAUGCAGAGUAUCCCUGGUGUUUCACAGAACUCAGUGGGGAAUUCAAUGGGACAAGGGAUUCCCUACACUAUGUUUGCCAAUUCUCAGAGACAAAUGCCAGGUAAUGCUCUUUUUGGUAGCUUUAUGUGCCACUGCUUCCCUUUAUGGCAUUAGAAAUGCCACUGCUAUUGGAACUAUUGCAAUCACACAUGCAUUUGUAACCACACGAUGCCCUACAGUGCGGUGCACCAACUGUUCACCUCUCAUAAUGGUUCAAGUCAGCAAUGCUCUUUUAGGUAGCUUUAUGUGCCACUGCUGCCACUUGUGGCAUUAGUAAUGCCAUUGCUAUUGAAACCAUUGCAAUCACACACGUAUUUGUUACCACAUCAUACCCUCCAGUGCAUUGCACCAGCUAUUCGCCCUCUCAUUCUGCAUUUAUAUGAUCACAUAACAUUUAUAUGAAGUUCUUAAUACAAAAAGGACUUGUAUUCCUAUAUAGGAAAAUACUAAUAGUCCUAUCUAGAAUAGAAAAAACCUAAUGAAGCUCGCUAUACUUUGGGAAUAAUUAAAUACUAAAUGGAAAAUAAAACUGAGACUCGUAAUAUUUCAUAAUUUUCAGCAAGCGUUAAAAUUAUAGAAAUACCCUUGUAUAUGGAAAACACACAAAAAUACAUGAAUUCUAAUAUUUUGUUGUCCGCAUUGAAAUUUUUGUAGCAUCCCUAUAUUCUACAGCACAGACUGGACAUGCAAAAGGCGCUGAUUGGCAAGAGGAGAUCUAUCAGAAGGUAAUUUCUGUGAUUUACUGUUCAUUAGAUGGAGUUCAUGUUUGCCAUAGUCUUGCAAGAUUUCAAUGGAAAAAGGUCUCAAGAAAAUAAGUGGGACUUAUUCCAUUGAAUCAUGACCACAUCCAGUAUUGUUGAAUUUUACAGAAAAUGAGGUUGAAAUUCUGAAUGUCUCAAGUCAUAGCUGCAUGUUUAAUAAGGAGAUUUUUUUUUUGUGCUUAGGAGAGUUUUAAAACGGGAAUAAGAAUGGUUGUUGAUAAGGACAAUUUUUUUUGUGCUGAGGAGACCAAUAUUUGCUGAGCAAUUCUAUAAUGAAAAGUUGGCGACUGAUGUUUUAAAAAUUGGAGUUAAGGAAUGGCUUAGAGUGCAUGGAGAUCAUGUUAAAAGUGAAGCUGUAGAGAAGGCAAUCACUCAAAUUAUGAUGGGUGAAGAAGCAGAGGAAAUGAGUAGCAGAGCAAAGAAACGGCCAGGAAGGCUGUUGAAGAAGGUGGAUCUUCUUGCUCCGAUUUCAAUGCUUUGAUUGAAUAACUGAGGUGGGGUCGCCCUUGAAACAAAGACAUAGAACAUUUUGUUUAUACUUUAGUAGUGGUUGUGGCAAUUUAUUUUCGGACAAGUCUUGAGAGUUGAAAGAGUAAUCACACCCGAGUCAAUGACCAAUCCAAAUCAGUUUCCUUCCUAAUGAUUCAGGAAUGAGAAGUCCAGCUUAUAUAUUUAACCCAAAUAACUAAUCAAAUAGAAAGGCUGAGCUUAGAGAUAGUACACUACAUAUUGCCAAUAACUAGAUAAACAAUCAUCACAAACUAGGAACGACCGUCUCCCCAAUAACAAAUUCACCUUCUGAAGUUAGAGAACUUGCGAAAACUAGCCACCACAAAAUAGUAGCAAGUAUCUAUGCAGUCUUCGAUGAAGUACAACCACCUGCGUCGCCAAUAUGGAUUGAUGUAGAGAACUGCUGCAAUCGUCAUCACCACAACUGUGUAACAUACACCGAAACUGAUGUAGAAAAACUCCAUAUCUAUGAAACCAUCAUCUCCUUGUUCAUCAUUAGGCACUGGCUGUGACACCACUGCCUUCUCACUACAAUUGUUUGGCAAUGGAGGUCCACACAAGAAAGGAUUUCCUUCGUAACAGCUUUCAUCGAAGGUCCCAAACUGAUAUAUUCUCUCGGGUGUCUUGCCUGACAAGUUAUUGUGCGCCACACUAAAAACUUCCAGUGUGGUAACUUCAGUAAAUUGUGGAGGGAUGGCACCAUUCAAGUUGUUGUAAGAAAGAUCCAAACUCUCAAUAUGCAUUAGGUUUGAGAAUGUUGCAGGGAUAGAUCCAGUGAGAUUGUUGUGUGAUAAGUUUACUGACAGUAUCUUACUUAAGUUUCCAAAUUCUGGUGGGAUUGCUCCGAUGAAGUUGUUAUUGGAGAGAUCAAUACCAAACAUGUAGUUGAGAACUUUCCCCUUGUACCCAUAAUACAUAUUUUUAGUUGUAAAUUCUGUCACUUCUUCUGUAAAGUUAAACAAAAAAAAAUUUCUCAAGUUGUCCACACUAUCCACUAGUGGUGGGCCCAUUAUUUCAUAAUAAGCUUUUUCUAUGGACUCUGAUAUAAAACCAUAUGCGACUUCCAAUAUCGCUUUCUUGUCACUUUUCUUGAAAGUAAGAUUGCCUAAACAGGAGGGUAGUGGACCAGAGAGCUGGUUGUGUGAAACAUCCAAAAUGCUUAAUUGUUCUAACAAGCAUAACUGAAUAGGGAGCUCACCAUCAAAGUGAUUAGCCCUCAGAAGAAGAACACUCAAUGAUGAAAGAUUGCCAAUCCAAUUUGGAAUGGAGCCGGUGAAGCUGUUUUCUCGAAGAUCCAUCGUAACCAGGUAAGAGCUGUUAAAAAAUGCAUAUGUUAAUGGACCGCUCAGUCUAUUUUUCGAUAGAUGCACAUGGGUUAUUUGUGGUGGACUAAAACAAGAUGGUAUAUAUCCAGACAAGUUGUUCUCAGAAAGGUCCAAAUAUUCAAGCUGGUCAAACUUACAAAAAUCUCUUGGGAUCGGACCCUUAAAAUGGUUUCCGGACAAAUCAAUUACUCCAAGGAUCGAAAAAUUAACGAAGCUCCUUGGAAGCAUGCCCGAAAAUUGAUUGUUACUCAAAUCUAAUACAUUCCAUACAUUCCACCUAUAUAAUGGAAAAUCUGAUAUCUGACCCCAAAAGUUGUUACCAUUUAGGUAAAGAAAAUUCAGGCGAGAAGAAUUGAACACCGAGGUCGGUAUUUUCCCACCCAAAUUGUUGUUUGACAGCUUGAGAACCCAUAUUGUUGUUAGUUGUUCUAGUUUUACUGUAGACAAUUGAUUGUUGGAUAAAUCUAAAAAUGAAAGAGAGCUAAUAUUUCCUAAACAGGAAGGAAUACAACCUGUGAAUCCAUUCUUAGCCAUCCUUAAGGUGUGUAGAUUUGGAAAGAUCAAACAAAUAUCUUUUGGAAUUUGACCGUUCAUGUUGUUGUUGGAUAUAUCUAAAUUGGUCAUAUUCGGAUGGAGGUGAUCUUGCAACUGCAAAGCACCAAUAAAGGAGUUGUCGCUCAGAUAUAGUUGUUCCAAUCGUGUAUUGUUCUUAAGCAACCACGAUGGAAACAUUCCAGUGAUGUUGUUGUGGGAGAGAUCAAGGGCUCUUAAGUCUAAUUGGUAAUAGAGGAAGUCGGGAAUUACAUUGAGUGCUUCCGAUGUUGGACUACUUGACAAGCGGAAAAAGACUAGUUGGAACUUUGGAAUCAAAUUAUCAAAGGCAGCAGGUUCUGUUACUAGCUUGUUGUUCUCACUGGAGAAGAACUUGAGGCUUGAGUGGUUCAUAAAAGGCUUUAUUGAAAUGGGAACUUCAAAGAGGUUAUUUGAUAGUGAGAGGAAUUCAAGGGAUAUGAGGUUGGUAAGAGGACCGAAAGCAAUAUUUCCAGUAAACUGGUUUUCAGAAACAUCUAAUAGUUGUAAAGAUGACAUGUUCCCCAAACAAUCUGGGAGUGAACCUCCUAAAUUAUUUCUAGAGAGAUGUAACUGCUUCAGAUUCUUCAAUUCACACCAACCUGUACAAUUUAUCUUGAAAUAGUCAAAAUAGUGUUGGAAGAAUCUUUUGUUGAUGAUGUAAUUAUAGGCGGAUGGAGAGUUGUUAAUUUACCUUGAGCAGGUAGGGUGCCAUGGAGGUCACAUUCACCAACAGACAAAACUUUAAGAGCAGGCAAUGCUCCAAUGUUCUGGAGAAAGUUUAUUGGGAGAGAAGUAUUAUCUAGAUGCAAUUCUUCAAGGGUGCUCGAAUUGAACAAAGUCCCUAUGAAAAAGAAAGAAGAAGAGAUAUGAUGAAAAUAGUGGUGGUACAGAAUAUAUAGCCAUUCCAUUCAAUAUUAUUAAUUAAGAUUUUAAGAAACUAAACUAUUAACCUUGACUUAAAUUAGUAUCCUUGAGAGAAAGGGUCUUCAGGGAUGGCAAUGAACACAAUGACUGUAGGAAGUCCAGCUUCCUUGAACCUAUGAUGUGUAGAAUUGAAAACAGGCAAUCAAGUAAGUAGUGAAAUUAAGUGUUAUCUUGAUCGAGUUCUUAAAGCUAUGAUAAAGAACUGGUACUUUUGUAGUGAGAUGAUUUUUUGAUAGAAACAACAAAUUGCCCAAAUAAUAGAAGAUGCCAAGAGAUAUUCACAACUUUACCAUUGACAGCCGUCGAUCCUAGCAACAUAUUGCCUGAUAAAUUUAAAGACUUGAGGGAUGAAAGUCCACUCGGAUGUGAUAAAAUGCUGUCGUUGAAUAUAUUAUAGCUCAGGUCCAGGUUCUCGAGUUUCCCCAAAUGUGAUGAUAUGAUCUCAAAACCUGCAAGGAGUUGUUUCUAAGAGUAAGUCAUAAUUAUGAGCUCACGAUAUGCAUAAUAUAUAGAAACUAAAGAUAAUUAGAAUUGAUGAGAUGUUGUUCAAUUGAUAUAUGAUUCUCAAAUUAUACAUAAAAAGAAUGAUAUAUGAACGCAUAUUUAAUUAUAUAAUAGAUUAAGAAAUAAUUUAUGGAUAAGAUCAAAGCUCCAUAGAUAUUAAUCUUCAUAGAUGAAAUUAAAGCGCAAUCAAACAUGAUGAAAUGCUAUCGUUGAUUUUUAAAUAUAUAUAAAGUCCUCAAUUUUCUUGAUAAACAGAAUGCAACUUACUAUUGAUAGAUCCUGUCAGCUGAUUGUUUGACAGAUCCAAAGACUUGAGAGAUGAAAACCCAGUUAGAGAUGGAAAAAUGCUAUCGUUGUAUUGAUUCCGUCUUAGAUGAAGGUUCUCAAGCUUUUUCAACCUUGAUGACAAGACUUUGAGACCUGCAUGAUGUUCCUCAAAAGCAUAGAAAUGAUACAUGAACGCAUAUUUAAUUAUAAAAUAGGUUGUGCACGCUUCUAAGAUUAAGAUACAAUUUUUAAAUAUCAUUCUAAUUUUGAUCAUUGGAAAAAAAAAAACAAUUUACGGUUAUAAAGUCGCUAAAGAUGGAAGCUAAGUUAUGAUAGACUUACAAAACAAAAUAAAGAAACUUAUAAUUAAGAUCUCAUCGGUAAUUAAAACAAGAAUAAUAAUCGAUCCAUGUAAGUUCAAAUAUUGCCUAAUUUUGAAAAACUAAUUAAUUAGUUAUGAUAGUUUCAAAAACUAACUGCCUCUGUAAGAUGCUAAAUGCCUCUCUCGUUGGCUGUCUAGUGAUUUGUAUUGGAUAGUUUUUUUUUGAAUUGAUGUUAAGAUCCAAGUUUUAAUAAUUACAAUUUUCUUAAUUAUAUAUAAUAUUAUAGGAGAGAGCUUCUUAUUAUGUUAUUCAAAACCCAUUCAAACUCAAAUUCAUAAAAAAAAAUACUUAGAGUUGUGUUCGACUAAGGAUCUCAAGACAGAAAAAACAUAUAUAAAAAUAUAUUUAUUUAAAAAGAUAAAUAUAAAAUAUAUAUUUAUAGGAGAGUUUUGAAGUGAACUUCUGAUUGCUAAUUUAAUCUAAAUAUUACAACACUUUUGGCAUAAAAGGGCCAAAAUAAGAAUAAAAUAUAUGCCUCUUUACGUAGAUAUAAAGUUCUCAUUUUUGUUGAUAAAGAAACAAUAUAAUUAAGAGAAUGUCAUGUGAAGCAUUUAGGUAGAAACUGUGUAUUAUACCUGAUCCUGUCAACUCAUUGUACGACAGAUCCAAAGACUUGAGGGAUGAAAAUCCAGUAAGAGAUGGAAAAAUGCUAUCGUUGCAAUGAUUCCAACUUAGAAGAAGGUUCUCCAGCUUUUUCAACCUUGAGGACAAGACUUUGAGACCUAAAUAGCAGCUACCUCCUGAUCAUUUAAAUGCGUAGAAAAAAAUGAUAUGAGAAGGAGAAAAGAAAAGGUUUCGAAGCUAAAUAAUUAAAAGGUUACCAUAGAAGCUACCUCCUGAUCCAGCUGUCAACCCAUUCUCUGAUAGAUCCAAAGACUUGAGAGUGGAAAGGUUACCAUUGAAACAUGACAAAAUGCUUUUAUCAUUAUUAAAUCCGUUAUAACUUAGGUCAAGUUUCCUCAGUUUUGAUGAUAGGACUUCGAAGCCUGGAAAGAGCAAGAUAAUUGACAUUAAACACCAACCAACCUUCAUUUAUUUUAUGAUUAUAUUUAAGUGCACAAACAUUGAACUAACCUUCAUUCUCCAAGCAACCAACCAAUCCAUUACCUUCCAAUUCAAGACUUUGCAAUUCUUUAAAAGGCUGAAACAAAGAUGCGUUGAGAACCCAAUCGCCCAAGCUCUCGUCCCUUGAUCCUCUAAGAGAGAGUUGGAUCACUCGCCUUGUAGUGUUAUCACACUCGAUCCUAUGCCACUCACAACAAUUACUACCGUCCACCCAAUCUCUCAAGGAAACGCCAUCUGGGUCGAUCGAAGAUUGGAUCUCCAAGAGACCAAUCCUCUCUUCCUCCAAACACCCAUAACAACGACCAUACCAUUCGCCAACCAAAGUCAAUAAUGCUAGCAACAUCCAACUCCCCAUUCUUUUCAUCAUCAUCUACGUAGAAUAUUGUUGUUUGUUAUGUGUCUUUGGGCAACCAUAGAGGUCCUAUUUAUACUACAAUUUUGGCCAUUUCCAUGAUUUUAUCUGCAUAUCUUAUGCAGGUUCUAUGUUUUGAGAUUUGAAUAUUAUUUUAUUUCCUUUUGGAAUAUUCUUGGAUUCGAAUAUUAUUUUAUUUUACUGUUUAGCACUUAGUCUAUUUGCAUUUAAUUAUAUUUUGGUUACUAAUUAUCCAAUUUUAAAAAAAUAAAAAAUAAAAAUUGUUGCAACAUUUCAAUUUUUUUAUCGACAUUCAUGUGUGAUUUCACGUAAGAUCUUUUUAAAUUUAUAAUUGUACUUUUCUCGUUAUAAUUUAGAAUUAUUUAGGAGCCUACUUGCAUGGUGUCAUCACUAUUAUAUAUAAUUAAAUACAUAAAUUAUCAAUAAUAAUAAAUUCGGAAUAAUUAUAAAUCUUAUCCCUGUGGAUUGUGUGGCUACAGUAUGAUAUACAAAAACUUCAAAUAUAUAUAAAUAAAAGAAUGCUAAAAGUGACAUUCUCUUGGGUGACCACCACAAGCCCAUCUAAAACACACAAGCCAUAUAAAAAUCACACGACAGCCAAUUACCUUAUCUUGUGAGAAAAAAGAUUAAAAAAAAAAAAAGCAUUUUCUUGGGUGUGCAAUGACUGCCAAUCUUUCUCGUUAUGACAUUCAAUGCUCUGUAAGAAGUUGCAUGAUGCUCUUCUCAUGGGGAGCAAAAAUCAGUAGCCUCCCAUGGAAUCCUCAUAAACCUUUCUCUAUGCUCUUCUAAGAUAUUAAAAAUGUCAAACAUACAUAAAUAAUAAGAAAAACAAUAAAAAAAGAAAGCUAUACAAAUAGAGCUUCCAACAAAAAGACUAGGAAGUUGUUUACUGAAAAUUGAGAUUCAUAAUUUGUUUUGAUUUGUUUUGAUUUGUUUUGAGUUAUUAUGGUCUCAUGACCCGGGUCACAGAUUUAAAGGUUAAUCUAGAUUGACCCGGGUCGAUUAAUCCAAUAUGUUGUUGUUUCGAUAUACUUUUUUUAAAAAAAUAUGUCAUCUUGAUUUUUUUCAAGUGAAACUAUAUUUUUACCAGUCGUCCAGACAAUCUUUGAGCCCAUCGAAUCGAUCGGGUUAUAUCAAUUUAACUCUUAUUUUUUUAUUUAUAUUUGAAAUUUAAAUUGCAUAAUUUUUUACUUAUUUUUUUAUAUAGGUGGUUAUGAGUUACAAAAAUUAAGCAAUUUCGAGUAUAUUGACAUGAGAAUUAAUGGUUUCGAUAACAAUAUUCUAUCAUUUGUAGAGGGAUUUUCAUCUUUUAAAUCACUAUAUUUAGAUUAUAAUAGACUGGAAGGGUUAAUAGAUUUAAAAUGUUAGUUUUUUUAUAUACUUAUUUUUUCUCUAUUAAAUUUAAUUUCAAAAGAACACAAUUUUCGAUAACAGUAUUCUAUCAUGCAAUUUUUGUUUUGUUUCAAAAGAACACAAUCGCCCAAGCGGAAAUCCCUUGCAUAGAAAAGAGAGAGUUGGAUCACUCGCCUUGUACGUAGUGUUAUCACACUCGAUCCUAGGCCACUCACAACAAUUACUACUGUCCACCCAAUCUCUCAAGAAAAAGCCAUCUGGGUCGAUCAAAGCUUUGAUCUCCAAGAGACCAAUCCUCUCUUCCUCCAAACACCCAUAACAACGACCAUGCCAUUCGCCAACCAAAGUCAAUAAUGCUAGCAACAUCCAACCCCCCAUUCUUUUCAUCAUCAUCUACGUAAAAUAUUGUUGUUUGUUAUGUGCUUUUGGGCAACCAUAGAGGUCCUAUUUAGACUACAAUUUUGGCCAUUUCCAUGAUUUUAUCUGCAUAUCUUAUGCAGGUUCUAUGUUUUGAGAUUUGAAUAUUAUUUUAUUUCUUUUUGGAAUAUUCUUGGAUUUGAAUAUUAUUAUUAUUUUAUUGUUUAGCACUUAGUCUAUUUGUAUUUAAUUAUAUUUUGGUUACUAAUUAUCCAAUUUAUAAAAAAAAAUAAAAAAUAAAAUAAUUGUUGCAGUACUUCAGCAUUGUUAUCGACAUUCGUGUGUGAUUCCGUAUAAGAUCUUUUUAAUUUAAUUGUACUUCUCUCGUCAUAAUUUAGAAUCAUUUAGAACCCUAUUUGUGUUAUGACUAUCAUAUAUAUAAUUAAAUACAUAAAUUAUCAAUAAUAGUAAACUCAGAAUAAUUAUAAAUCUUAUCCCAGUGGAUUGUGUGGCUACAGUAUUUUAUACUUCAAAAUAUAUAUAUAUAUAUAAAAGUUAGAGCUGCUUUUGUUUUUAUGUUCGGAAAGGUAUUCUUGACUUGUUUUUAUUACAUUUCAAUAUUAUUAUUUUUUUUCAAUCGAGUCAAAGAUAUACCAUUUAUAUUAGAAUGAGAAGACUAAUCAAUUUCUCUAGUUUUCUCCCUAUUUAUAAAAUACAUCUGGUUUUUGAAGUCCAGAUUUUAGGAUAAAAGGAAUUUAUUUCUUGAAAUUAAUGCAUUAAACAAUAUAAAGAUAUUUUUUAAAAAUUAAAAUAGUAGUAAAAGUAAAUUUAGUUUUUGAUUGAAGUGUAAACUAGUGGUAAAUGAACAAAAAAAAAAAACUUUCUUGAUUAUCUAAUGGAAACUCCGCCUAAUAUAUAUAUAAUAGCAAUCAUUUUCUUAUCUCUUGUAUCAUUCAUAUCUUCCACAAAUCUUAAGUAAUUGAUGAGAAAGUGGAUAUUGCCAAGAAAGGUCGUGAACGCGGAUGCUUGACUUGCUGCGUGGCAUUUUGAUUUUUAAACACAACACUACUUUCUUUGUGGAAAUAACGCUACUUUGCAUGAAGAUGAUGGAUAUAGAAGACUUGCUACUUGUUUUAUGGAAAUAACGUAUGGAAAAUUAUGCUUUAAUUUUAAUGAUGAUAGCAAAAUCAAACAGUAUUGUUGAUAAAAUGAGCCAUAAAUAAUAUUAUUUCUAUUGUCAUGACAAUAAGUUUUUUUUUUUUUUUUUCUAAAGAGUCUAUUUUUCCUCUAGGAGAGGCCGCGAGACGUCCUCUUCCAACCAUCAUGCAUUUUUUCUACGAGAUGGGUUCAUGGAAAUACUUUGGUUUAAUUGGGAAUGCUGUUAUUGAUUGAAAUAUUUUUAAUUAAAAUAAAUUUGAUUAUUUGAUUGGAAAAAAAAUAUUGUAACCAAGUAAUUUAUUUAUUUAUUUUAAUGAAAUAUAAAAUAGUUUUAAAUCUUGUGGUAUAUUUCUUGUCUUUAAGAGCUAUGAACUUAUAUCUCAAAACUUGAAAACUAAUAUAAAGAUAUUAAGUGAUCAUUGAGUGUGUGUGUGUGUAUAAUCCUUUUCAAAACAAAAAGGAUUUUGAUGGAGAUUAGGACAUUGCAACAAAUUAUCCACCACUAGAUGGGUCAAUGAUACCAUUGUCAUCAUGCAAUUUUUCCCACGAGAUGGGGCCGUACGCUUGGGGCUCUAAAAGCUAUGGUUUUAAUUUCAUUAUGUCACAUCUAGAAUGGCAGGUAUAUUUUAUUUCAAUUUAAACAAUGGAAUAAAUUAGAAGAUAUUUCAUCUCGCUUAAAAUCUUAUCUUCUUAUAUGAUUUCACCUAAAUUCUGGCUGGAAUGUUUAAGUUAUAUUCUAGCUAUUCUGUUAUGGCCAAAUGAUAUUUUGUUUUACUUUUAUAAAAAAUUAAAAUAUAGUUUAGUUUUUGUAUUUAUUUUCUGGUUAUAUUUAAUUUGUCAUCAAUAUUCAUAACGUAAAUUGCUAUGCAUUUCGAAUCUUGAAAGGAUUGAAAGAUGGAAAACAGAAAAGAAAGAGAGACCCCCAGUUCAAAAGAAAAAGAAAAAAAAACAAUAGUAAAAGAAAGAGAAGAGAACAAAAGUGAAGCAGUUUUUACUAACUAUAUAAAUUUUAUAAUUAUUAAUAUUAAAUUCAAAAUAUGUACAUAAUGCAAAUAUGUAAACAUAUCAUGUGGUUUAAAGAAAUGAUUUUUAUAAAGAUAUAUGUCUUAACAAUAUUAAUCAACUCUUAAUAUUUUUCAUUUUAUAAAUAUUAAAAGUAAAUAUUAAAACCUAUUAUAUUAAUUUGUGAAGGUAUUUACUCGGAUGCGAAUUAUAUUUCUAAUUUUUUAUUAAAAAAAAAUUCUACAUACUACAACUAGCCUAAGAAAGUCAUUUUCAUCUAAAAAAAAGUAGAAAAAAUUGAAUUGCAUAAAAGCAUCACUAUAAAUGUUAUACUCCGAAAAUAUCUUCUUUCCUUGAUAAAAUUCCCUAAACUACUGUAUGUCUCUAACAGUGAAAAUAUCACUAUAAUUUACAGUCACCUUAUUUAAUCGAAAGAAAACUUUAAAGAUGCACCUCCAUCUAGUGUAUUUAAAAAGAUUUAACAAAUUACUUUACACGUGCUAUGCUACAAGUUACAUAUUUUUUCAAUGUAAACAAAAAUUAUAUAGGUAUUUUUAACAUUUUUCUAUUAAAAAAAACUAAAACAUAUAAAAAUUAACCAAUUUAUAAUUAAUUAAUUAAUUGAGAAUUUGAGCUCCUUAGAAAAGUUGUUUAUGGACUUUUGUUUUCCGGAGAAAGCUCCUUUAAAACCCUUGAGCACCACCUUCUUUAAAACUUCUAUCUUUGCCAUAACUGAGGGGCUCUGUAUUUUUUUUAAGGUGAAUUAACAAGUUACAACUCAACUCUGUAUUUUUUUUUUUAGUUUAAUGUGGGUGUCUGGGUCAACUUACGCGUACCUCGACUAAUUCCACGGGCCCUGAAAUUAAUGACCAUAUAAACCUACAGUGGCCAUCAUAUGAACAAUCACAGGACUAGGGCUCGAACUUGAGACAAAAAAAAAAAGCAAAUUUUUUAAUCUUAAAUUCUUACCACUGGAUCACUAUCUAAAUUGUUACCUUGUAUCUAAUCUAGAUGUGUCUGUGACUGUGCUUGAUGUUCUCAUAACCAUUAAGAUGGUUCGAACCCAAAUAAAUAGAAACAAAUUUAUUUUCUGUUAUUCUCCGAAUUCCUAGAUAGAAUUUGCUUGGAAAUGAUGAGCUACCACUCCCUUUUGACUUUGCUGGCCUCCCAAAUAAAUAAAGAAUUCCGCUUGAUAGAAUUUUCUUGGAAAUGAUGAGAAUAUUUUAUAAUUUUCUGGUUGACGCCAGCUGUCAACAACUGUCUUACAUUCCCUUGGCAUCGUGUUCCAUGCCCUUGCAAAAUAUUAAAGGCUCCAAUGCCUCUCUCGCAAUAAGAUUAUUUUUUUUAUUUGUCCCCGAAUACAUGUGUCAUUUAUCGAAAUAAUUAAUUUAAUCACACACAUAAAAAAAAAAAAAAAUUUAAAUAGGCGGCUUUAGAAUCAGCAAGCAGUGAAUCACACGGGAAGAUUGAAAGAAUAAUUAAAGUGAUUUUACUAACAUUGUAAAAAAAAUUGAAUUGCAUAAGAGUAAUUAACCGACAGGUUGACCCAAAGUCAAAGUCUUCUGUGGAAAAACAUGAAUAGAAGAUUGAUGGGCGUUGCGUGAUAGCAAAAGAUUUGAGAUCUGCACAGCAGGUUUUGAAUUCGAGUCAGGGCGUGCAUCUCUUGUAAAAGCUUGGGAUAGCCGGGAUUUUACUGUCUCAUCUGGGCCCAUAAAGUGCGCUUUCCAAGGAAAUGAGGUUCCCUCGAAUCCAUAAAAAAAAAAAAAGUAAUACCAUUGCUAUCAAGCGUUUUUUCUACGAGAUGGUCCGUUCCCCCAUUUCCCCUCAAGCUUGAGAAGGGAUGAUAUAUAUAUGCUUUAAUUUCAACUUGUAUAAAAAAUAAAUCUUAAUGUAGUGUGUUAGAAUGCAACCACCGAUUCAUUAUUUUUAAUGGCUGGUCAUUUAAACUUGGGUGUUUUUUCGGUAUUAAUAUAUAUAUUCCUCAAUUAUCAUAAAAAAAUUAAGAAAAAACUAAUAAUAAGAUUAAAAAUAAAUGUUUUAUUUAUCGAAAUAAUUAUUAAAAGUAAGGUAUACUCAAGGUAUAUGUGGGACGAUAAAAAAAUAACAAAAAAAUCAAUUUACAAAAAAAAUCAUAGAUUUAGUUUUCCUAAAUUUUAAAUGUAGUGCAACAUUAGCCUUUCAAGAAAUAGAUAAUCUUCCUCUUUGAAGGAAUUAAUUAGUGGGUUGGAAAAAUGUCGUCUUUUGCUCUAAUAUUUUCUUCGCUUUCUCUAUAGUUUUACCAUACACUAAUAUUGUCAGAAAAUGAUACAUACUUCUUGUGUUAUCCUUCAAGAAUUCAAUUGAAAAGGAGGGUUGUAAAAAAUUUAAUUUUUAUAAACAUACCCUUAACUUAAUUUGGAUGUGGAUAAUUGUUUGCAAUAUAUUUACAUCCAAUAUAAACAAUUCAUCAAUGAUCAAGUAGGCAGUGGUUAGCUAAAAUAUUGAAAAUACUUACUCUCUUUGUUUUUUAGUCAUGCAGUUCCACUAUUGUAUGUUAUUUUUGUUUAGCUAAAAAUAUCAAAAAAUAUUAAUUUGGAGUAAAAAAAAAAAAAAAAUUUAAUUUUUUUAAAAAUAUUUUUGAAACAUAAAAACAAACAGUGCUAAAAGACAUAGAAACAGUUACCCAAAUCAAUUUAUUUUUUUAAAAAAUAAAAAUAGAAUACUAUACAAAUGGAGCUUCCAACAAAAAGAUAUGGGAAGUUCGAGGGAAAAAAUGAUUAGUUAAUUCAAAACACCAGGAGUAAGUAAUAAUUACAAAACACGAUACCGAAACCAAAUUGAAAAGUGAGCAAAAUACAAAACUGGUUACAUGUAUCGAAAGGAACUGGAACCAAUUUCUCCACCACUGGAUGUCCCUUUUGUUCAGUCUAUGUUUGGUGCAAUCACCUAAAGCUAGAAACAAAAACAGCGCCUUAGUCUAUGUUUGGUGCAUUUUUUCCACGAGAUGGGUUCGUGGAAAAACUUUGGUUUAAUUGGGAAUGCUGUUAUUGGUUAGAAACUUUUUAAUUAAAAUAAAUUUGAUUAUUUGAUUGGAAAAAUCCUUAAAUGUUAUUAACACAUGAAAUCAAUUUAUUCUCUUAAGAAAAAAAUAGUUUUACAUCUUGUGGUAUAUAUGUCAAGCAUUUUUUUUCCCUCAAGAUGGGUUCGACAGACAAUCACCAUCAUGCAUUUAUGAGUCCAUGAGACCAUUGUCAUCUGCACAUUGGUCCCCUAUAGCGUUGCUUUUCCUCAAGACCAUUUCCAUCAUGCAUUUAUGAGUUAGUGAGACCAUUUCCAACUGCACAUUGGUCCCUGAAACCGUUGCCAUCAUGCAUUUUUCCUCGAUGAGAGGUCGUGAGACGUCCACUUCCAACCAUCAUGCAUUUUUUUCACGAGAUGAGGCCGUACGUUUGGGGCUCUAAAAGCUAUAUAUAUUAGAAAUAUUAUUUGAAAAUAAAUUAUUUUUUAUUUUUAAAAAUAAAAUUCUUCUAUACAAAAGAUUUUUAUAAGUAUAAUUUAAUUUAUUCAGUUUUUUAAAUAAAGUUAAUCUAUCGCAAGAGUACACGAAAUAAGUAUUUUUCCGUCAUGCAUUUUUUUUCCUCAAGACCAUUUCCAUCAUGCAUUUAUGAGUCUGGGAGACCAUUUCCAUCAUGCAUUUAUGAGUUGCUGAGACCAUUUCCAUCUGCACAUUAGUCUCUGAGACCGUUGCCAUCAUGCAUUUUUCCUCGAGGAGAGGCCGUGAGACUUCCUCUUCCAACCAUCAUGCAUUUUUUCCACGAGAUGGGUUCGUGGAAAAACUUUGGUUUAAUUAGGAAUGCUGUUAUUGAUUGGAAACUUUUUAAUUAAAAUAAAUUUGAUUAUUUGAUUGGAAAAAUCCUUAAAUGUUAUUAACACAUGAAAUCAACUUAUUCUCUUAAGAAAAAAACAGUUUUAAAUCUUGUUGCCGUCAUGCAUUUUUUUUUCCUCAAGAUGGGUUCGACAGACAAUCACCAUCAUGCAUUUAUAAGUCCAUGAGACCAUUGUCAUCUGCACUUUGGUCCCCUAUAGCGUUGCUUUUCCUCAAGACCAUUUCCAUCAUGCAUUUAUGAGUCCAGGAGACCAUUUCCAACUGCACAUUGGUCCCUGAGACCGUUGCCAUCAUGCAUUUUUUCCACGAGAUGGGUUCGUGGAAAUAAUUUGGUUUAAUUGGGAAUGCUUUACUGUAUUUGUUUUCUGGUUAUAUUUAAUUUUUCAUCAAUAUUCCUAAGCACGUAUUUUGAAUCAUGAAAAGCACGUGGAAAAGAGAGGGAUGGUGAAAAUGACAUGUAAAGGGACUGUUUGGCAGUGCGCAUAGAAAAGGGAAAGUGUCAUUGCCAUUUUGAGUGGUGUGUUUGCAUUUGAUUUGUUAAUUUCGAGUUUUGUCAAAGAGUGAUUACUAGUCAUCAAGCAUUUUAUUAAUUUAAUUUAUCCUGUCAAGUGAAGGGCCAAACCUGUCAUUCAUUGCCAGUCACAGUCACAAGUCUUGGUCUUACCAUUUUACUAUCUAUUAAUUAAUUAAUUGUUUGAUUAAUCAACGAAACUGUGCGUUUCUCUUGUGAUUUCUCGAAGACGGCCAUGAAUAUAUAUAUAUAUAUAUACAACUUUUCAAAACAAAAAGGAUUUUGAUGGAGAGGACAUUGAAACAAAUUAUCCUCGUGAUACCAUUGUCAUCAUUCAAUUUUUUCCACGAGAUCAGGCCGUAUGCUUGGGGCUCUAAAAGAUAUUAUUUCUAAUUUUAUUAUAUCACAUCUAGAAUAACAAGUAUAUUUUAUUUCAAUUUAAAAAAUAGAAUAAAUUAAAAGAUAUUUCAUUUUUAAAAUUUUAUUUUGUUUUAUGAAUUUCACCUAAAUUCUGACUAGAAUAUUUUGAUUAUAUUCCAGCCAUUUUAUUAUGAUAAAAUAAUAUUUUGUUUUGCUUUUAUAAAAAAAAUAUAAUCUAAUUUUACAGUAUCAAUCAUAUCUUUCAAUUCGACUGCUGGAUUGGACUAAAAUUUUACGAGGAAUCUCCUAACAUAUAUUUAUAUCGCAAAUUAAAAUUUUAAGGCAAUCAGAGUUUAGAAAAAUUUUGCGAAAUUACCGAUGAUAUUUUCAUAAUUUUAUUUAAAUUCAUAAUUUUGUUAGGAAAUAUUAUUUUUUGUUUCUUUUUUAGAUUGAAUUAUUUCUAAAGUACUUCUUGUCAUUGUCAUGACAAUAAAUCUUCUUCUUUUUCUUUUUAAAAAGUCUAUUUUUUGUAACACAACCAACAUGUAAGAUGGAUGGGAAUUUGCAGUGUGAGAUGGGUUUGUGAGACUUUGGCCAUCUCCAAUUUUUUCCACGCCAUUGAGAUGGUCUAUAAGACCAUUGCCCCGUAAGCAUUUAUGAGUUCGUGAGACCAUUUCCAUUUGCACAUUGGUCCCUGAGACCGUUGCCAUCAUGCAUUUUUUACACGAGAUGGGUUCGUGGAAAUACUUUGGUUCAAUUGGGAAUGUUGUUAUUGAUUGGAAACUUUUUAAUUAAAAUAAAUUUGAUUAUUUGAUUGGAAGAAAUCCUUAAAUGUUAUUAACAAUAGAAAUCAAUUUAUUUUCUUAAGAAAAAAAUAUUGUAACCAUAUAAGUAAUUUAUUUAUUUAUUUUAAUGAAAAAUAAAAUAGUUUUAAAUCUUGUGGUAUAUUUCUUGUCUUUAAGAGCUAUGAACUUAUAUCUCAAAACUUGAAAACUAAUAUAAAGAUAUUAAGUGAUCAUUAAGCGUGUGUGUGUGUAUAAUGCUUUUCAAAACAAGAAGGAUUUUGAUGGAGAGGACAUUGCAACAAAUUAUCCACCACGAGAUGGGGCUGUACGCUUGGGGCUCUAAAAAACUAUGGUUUUUAAUUUUAUUAUGUCACAUCUAGAAUGGCAGGUAUAUUUUAUUUCAAUUUAAACAAUGAAAUAAAUUAGAAGAUAUUUCAUCUCGUUUAGAAUGUUAUCUCAUUUCAUGAAUUUCACCUAAAUUCUGGCCGGAAUAUUUUGGUUCUAUUCCAGCCAUUCUAUUAUGAUCAAAUAAUGUUUUGUUUUGCUUUUAUAAAAAAAAAAUAUAUAGUUUAGUUUUAUGGUAUUAAUUAUAUCUCUCAAUGCAAUUAUUGGAUUAGACUAAAAUUUUACAAGGAAUCUCUUAACAUAUAUUUAUAUCGCAAGUUAAAAUUUUAGAACAAUUAGAGUUUAAAAAGACUUUGUGAGAUUGCCGAUGACAUUUUUAUAAUUUUAUUUAAAUUCAUAAUUUUGUUUCAUAAGGUCAUUUUUUGUGUCUUUUUUUAGAUUGAUUUUUUUUUUUCAAUUUCAUAAUUCAACAAUAGAUUUAUUAAAAAUUAAGAUUCAUAAUUUGUUUUUAUUUGGGAUUAUUAUGGUCUCAUAAUCUGGGUUACGGAUUUAAAAGAUUAACCUAGAUUAACCUGGUUCGAUCUAAUAUGUUGUUGUUUCAAUAUUUUUAACAAAUAUAAUUUUAAUUGAUAUUUAAAAAUAAACUAACUUGAAAUUAUAUAAUUUAAAUUUCAAAUAUAAGUAAAAAUAAAGAGUUAAAUCAAUAUGACCCAAUUGAUUUGAUGAGUCCAAAAUAUAUAUAAAACAAUCCAAACGACACGUCAAAAUACUCAAAAAUCAAAAUAUAUUGUUACAAUUAAAAAAAUAAAACACCAAUUAAAAUGGAAUUGACGACCUUGCUUGAUAUAAGCCUAAACUCCUCGCUGCCAUUUGCAAGAGAUAGUUACUUAUACCAGUAGCAAUUUAAUAAUGAUUGGUCAAAUUUUAUAUUAAGAUGGGGCUAUUAAUUCAAAUGUUGAUGGCGUUAGUAGCAAUGAUUUUCUUGGAAGCAUGGUUGCCUCUUGGCUGCUUGAAAAUAUAUGGUUUUUUUAAUGUCGCAUGUGUGCUGCGUCAUGAAAAAAAAAUUCACUCUCAAAUCCUAAAUAUUGGUAUCCUGGAAAAAUUGGGAAAAAUAAGGAGACAAGAAAUUCUUGUCUUUUAUUAGUGGAAAAAUAAAAUGGGAGUCGCCACUUAGUAUUUUAAUCACUAGGAACCCUGAUUGGUCUCAGAGAUUGGGUACGGAGACUGGUUGCGUAAAGGGAAGGUAUUAGCACCCCAAAUACGCCCUACCUAAGGUAAGUUGCAUUGUUUUAUUGUUUGAUAAAAUCUAAGGUCUUGUCGUGUUUUCUAGUUAUUGGUCCGUCUAUGAUUUAAGAAAAGUCUUCAUCGAUAAAGAGAUCCUUAUCUUUUCGGGUAAAACCUAACCGUUCUAACGUAAACAAAAGAAUUUAAUAUCCGGAAUACAUCUUACGUAUAAGGUCGUAACCCCAGAUACUAAAAGAAAAUUUUUUUUUUGGAAUUUUUUAAAUAUUGGCCUAGUUCUUGUGACUUUAAUAAACUGGUUUUUAAAACCAAAAUGCAUGUUAAUACAUAUUUUUGUUGUAUGAAAAUAUGAUAUGAUUUUUUUCUUUGAGAUACUUGGCCGUAUGCAUGAAAAUAAUUUUUUUUUUAAUUUUUCAAUGUUUUGACGAAAACUAGGUAUUUUAAUACCAGAUUUGUAUCUUUACAGUAUAAAAAUACAAACCAAUACUAAGAAAAAUUUAGUAGAAAAAUAUAUGGGAAAAUUAUAGAUUUUUUGAAAUGAUUAUUUUUGAAGAAUUGUUUUUUACUGGGCCGGACCCGACCCAACCAUUUUGGGCGGGCCGGCACUGUCCGGGCUGGAAAACUAAAACAAACAAUGGAGAGACUCUCCACUGUUCACAUGCAACGUGAACAGUGGAGCGGCCUGGAGAAGACAAAGAAGAAGAGGAGGAAGAGGAAGAAGCAGACCUGCGGCCUAGCGGUGCUGCUAGUGGCGGUGGACGGUGUUGCGGUUGCGGAGUGUUAGAAAUAAUGUUCAGGACUGCUGAGCUGGAAUUUUAUUCUUUCUUAAUUUUUGAUUUAGUCAAUUCUGUUCCUAUUCUCUUGUUCUUGUUGCUACUUCGCAGCUCUGUUAUUUCCAUUAUCAAUUGAUCAUGGCUUGAAUGUAGUACCAUGAUCGUAGGAGUUUGUUAUGUAUCAGCUCUAUAAAUUGAGCUGCAGUUAUGAAUAAAGUAUUCAAGCUUUUCAUUCAUCAAUCUCUUCUUAAACACAAGCAUUAUCCUUUGUUAUUUUUGUUGUUCAGAAUCACUGCAACAACGACAAUUGGUAUCAGAGCAUCUUGAUUUAAAGGGAUCUGUGUUGUAACCCAUGGAGACAGAAGUAAGAUUCUCAUCAAUUGCUCCACCAGUGUUCAAUGGUGACAAUUACCAGUUUUGGGCAGUACGGAUGGAGACAUACUUAGAGGCUCUGGAUUUGUGGGAGGCAGUGAAAGAAGAUUAUGAAAUCCCUGCACUUCCAAAUAAUCCCACCAUGGCGCAGGUCAAAUCACAGAAGGAGAAGAAGACAAAAAAAUCAAAGGCAAAGGCGUGCUUGUUUGCUGCAGUAGCAUCCACCAUUUUCACUCGAAUCAUGUCUCUGAAAACAGCAAAGGAGAUAUGGGAGUUUAUCAAGACUGAGUAUGAAGGGGAUGAAAGAAUUCAAGGUAUGCAAGUGUUGAACUUGAUGCGUGAUUUCGAGUUGCAGAAGAUGAAGAAAACUGAAUCCAUCAAAGAGUACUCUGACAGGCUGCUUAAUAUUGCAAGCCGAAUCAGUUUACUUGGCUCGUCCCUGCCUGAGUCAAGAAUUGUUCAAAAAAUUCUUGUAACAAUUCCUGAAAUCUUUGAGGCUACAAUUACAUCCUUGGAAAAUACCAAGGAUAUGUCAAAAAUUACUUUGACAGAAAUGCUAAAUGCAUUACAAGCUCAGGAGCAAAGGAGGAUCAUGAGACAAGAAGAUGAGAUUGAAGGAGCUCUAUUCGUCAAGCAUAGAGAAAAAGGAAAGAAUUACAAGAAGAAUGGAAGCAGUCAAGCAUCAUCAGGUGAUUCCAGGAAUUUCAACAGGAGCAACACUGGAAACAAAAAAGGACCUUUUCCUCCAUGCCAGCAUUGUAAAAGGAGAUCACAUCCACAUUUUAAGUGUUGGAGAAGACCAGAAGCUAAGUGCAACAAAUGCAAUCAAAUGGGCCACGAGGCUGUCAUCUGCAAAAACAAAAUUCAACAGCAUGGUGAAGAAGCUCAAAUUGCUGAUCAAGAAGAAGAAGAUCAAUUGUUUGUGGCCACUUGCAUUUCCAGAAAUGACUCAAGUGAAAGCUGGCUCAUUGAUAGUGGUUGCACCAACCACAUGACACAUGACAGAAACAUAUUCAAGGAGCUGAAACAAACAACUUCAAAGGUUCGAAUUGGAAAUGGAGAAUACCUUGCUGUUGAAGGAAAGGGAACCGUGGCAAUCUUGACUUGCUCAGGUACUAAGUUCAUCUCUGAUGUAUUGUAUGUCCCUGGUAUAAAUCAAAAUUUAUUCAGUGUUGGUCAGCUUAUUGAGAAGGGUUAUAAAGUAGUGUUUGAAAACAAUUGCUGCUUGAUCAAAGAUGUGAAUGGUCAUGAUAUUUUCAAAAUAAUCAUGAAAGGGAAGAGUUUUGCUUUAAAUCCAUUAGAGGAGGAGCAUAUUGCUUUCCCAAUUAAAGAAAAUAUCACAGAUAUUUGGCACAAGAGGCUCGGGCACUAUCAUCAUAGAGGGCUGAUGCUUAUGAAAUCCAAGAUGAUGGCUAAGGAUUUCCCAGCACUUGAUGAUCACAUAUCCAGCUGCAGAACUUGUCACACUGGCAAGCUAAACAGGAAGCCCUUUCCAGAAGCCACAUGGAGAGCAACAAGGAAGCUGCAAUUGAUUCAUACUGACAUUGCAGGACCAUAAAGGACACCCUCUCUAAAUGGGAGUCUGUAUUAUGCUGUCUUCAUUGACGAUUACAGCCGAAUGUGCUGGAUUUUCUUCUUGAAGCACAAGUCAGAGGUAGCACAGGUGUUCUGGAAUUUCAAGGCCAAAGUUGAAAAUGAAAGUGGCUGCAAAAUUCAAGCCCUCAGAUCAGACAAUGGCAAGGAAUACACUUCCAAUGCCUUCAACAUUUUUUGUGAGGAGGCAGGCAUUCAUCAUCAGCUAACAACUCCGUAUACUCCUCAACAAAACGGAGUUAGUGAGAGGCGAAACAAGUUCAUAUUGGAAAUGACAAGAUGCUUGCUACAUGAGAAGAAUUUACCAAAGAAAUUCUGGGCAGAGGCUGCAAACACUGCUGUGUUCUUGCAAAACCGACUGCAUACAAGAGCCUUGAAGGAUCAAACACCCUUUGAGGCAUGGUAUGGUUACAAACCAUCUCUGAAUUUUCUUAAGGUAUUUGGAUGUUUGUGCUUCACCCUUGUUCCACAGGUCAAGAGGGAUAAACUUGACAAGAAAGCACUUCCAGGCAUUUUUGUUGGCUACAGCUUAGUUUCAAAGGCUUAUAAGAUUUUCCAACCACAAACUGGAAAAAUCAUUAUAAGCAGAGAUGUCCAAUUCCUGGAAGAUGAAGAAUGGGACUGGAACGAUGCAAUCAAAGAAGAUUCAACCUCUCCAAAAGGCAAUUAUCUUGUUUCAGACACAGAUGAUCAAAGCAUGGAAGAUUGGGACAUCAACAUGACAGAUGACACUCCUGUUACAGGCACACGGUCACUCCUUGAUGUGUAUCAAAGGCGCAACAUUGCUGUGUGUGAACCAGCAGACUUUGAAGAAGCCAAGCUAGAUCAAAAUUGGCUUGCUGCGAUGAAGGAGAAGCUUCUCAUGAUCAAGAGAAACAACACGUGGGAGUUGGUUGACAGACCUCAAAACAGAAAUGUAAUCGGUGUAAAAUGGGUGUAUCGAACAAAACUCAACGCUGAUGGCUCAAUCAAUAAGCUCAAAGCCAGGCUAGUGGUGAAGGGUUAUGCACAAAUCUUUGGCGUGGACUACUCAGACACGUUUGCACCGGUAGCAAGACUUGACACUAUCAGGCUGCUACUUGCCAUUGCAGCACAACUGAAUUGGAAGGUGUAUCAAAUGGACGUCAAGUCAGCAUUUUUAAAUGGUGUUUUGCAGGAGGAGAUCUAUACUGAGCAACCAGAAGGCUUUGCAAAUGAAGGAGAGGAGGACAAAGUCUGUCUUCUUAAGAAGGCACUAUAUGGAUUGAAGCAAGCUCCAAGAGCUUGGUACAGCCGAAUCGAUGAACAUUUGCAGCACUUGGGAUUCACUAAAAGCCUCUCUGAAUCGACUCUUUACAUCAAGCAAAAUGGUGAUAACAUCCUUAUCAUCUCACUUUACGUUGAUGAUUUGCUUGUAACAGGAAAUAACAACAAUAAUGUGGAGAUAUUCAAGCAAGAGAUGAUGAGUGUAUUUGAGAUGACAAAUUUGGGUUUGAUGUCCUUUUUUCUUGGAAUGGAAGUUAAGCAAGUUGAACAUGAAGUGUUCAUAUGUCAGAAGAAGUAUGCCAAAGAAAUCCUCAAAAAGUUCAAACUUGAAGAUUGCAAAGCAGUAAGCACUCCUAUGAAUCAAAAGGAGAAGCUAUGUAAAGAAGAUGGAGCCGAGAAGGUUGAUCAAGCACAAUUCAGAAAAAUUGUUGGAUGCUUGAUGUAUCUCACUGCAACUAGGCCUGAUAUUUUGAAUGCUGUGAGUAUCUUGUCUAGAUUCAUGCAUUGUGCUAGUGAAUUGCAUUUCAAGGCUGCUAAAAGAGUGAUAAGAUAUGUCAAAGGAACCUGCAAUUUUGGCAUAAGAUACACAAGAAGUAGAGAGUUCAAACUGGUCGGGUACUCUGACAGUGAUUGGGGAGGCUCAAUUGAUGACUUGAAGAGCACAUCAGGCUACUGUUUCUCUUUAGGUUCUGGUGUGUUUUCAUGGAAUUCAAAAAAGCAAGAAACCGUAGCCCAAUCCACUGCUGAAGCUGAGUUUGUGGCUGCAACAGCUGCUGUCAAUCAAGCUUUGUGGCUGAGGAAAAUUUUAUCUGAUCUUAACCUGGAGCAAAAGGAAAGCACAGAAAUUCUAGUUGACAAUCAAGCUGCCAUUUCCAUCUCUAAUAAUCCUGUGUUUCACGGGAAAACCAAGCACUUCAACAUCAAAUUAUUCUUUUUGAGAGAGGUGCAGAAAGAUGGGAGUAUCAUUCUUAUUUACUGCAAAACUGAAGAACAAGCAGCUGAUAUUUUCACCAAACCACUGCCAGUCAACAAAUUCGAAUUUCUGAGAACAAAGUUGGGAGUUUGCAGCUCCUAAACAAGGAGGAGUGUUAGAAAUAAUGUUCAGGACUGCUGAGCUGGAAUUUUAUUCUUUCUUAAUUUUUGAUUUAGUCAAUUUUGUUCCUAUUCUCUUGUUCUUGCUGCUACUUCGCAGCUCUGUUAUUUCCAUUAUCAAUUGAUCAUGGCUUGAAUGUAGGACCAUGAUCGUAGGAGUUUGUUAUGUAUCAGCUCUAUAAAUUGAGCUACAGUUAUGAAUAAAGUAUUCAAGCUUUUCAUUCAUCAAUCUCUUCUUAAACACAAGCAUUAUCCUUUGUUAUUUUUGUUGUUCAGAAUCACUGCAACAACGACACGGACCGUGGCGCUGACUGGCGGGUGGUUCUUCUUUCUUUCUCUGCGUUUCCCUUCUGCUUUUUUUCUAUUCUGCUCUGUUCUUCCUCUUGUUCCCUGUUUUAUUCUUUCUCUCCCUCUCUGGUCCUCUCAAACGUCCCUUGGAGCUGCUGCCUGAAGAUGAAGACGAAGUUGAGGGUGAUCAGUGCUCUGAUCGGGCGACGUUUCUUUCUUUCUUCUGCUACUGUUUUCGUUUCUGAUUCUCCUCGUUCAAUUCUUAUUUGCACUCUUCUUCUUCUUCGUCUCUGGUUUUUGAAAUGACGAAGACGAUGGCAACGCUGGUUCUAAUCUCAACGAUUUCCUCUUCUUACAUUCUUUCCUUUUGCUCGUUUCUGUCUCCCUCUCGUGCUGCUCCCCACUUUCUCUCUUGUCCUGCUCGCUCUCCCUCCCUGUCUCCUCUUCUUUUUUUUUUGUUGUCCGUCUCUCCUCUAGCUUUUUAUAGCCAGAGGAUGCAUGCUUUUCGGGAUUUAUUGCAGGAAGGUUGUAACGGCCGGCGUGCAUCAUGGUGGAGAGGGAUAUCAGCCGUGAGACGUGCUCCCCUGAUUGAAGCAGCUCCACCACUAACGUCUUCACUUCCUUUUACUGUAGAAACCGUUGUUGAUGAAGAAGGUAAUGAACAGUUGUCAAGGAAAUGGUACCGUUUUAAAAUUCAAAAUGAAUAUUUCCGAUUUGGUCAUUGGAUUUUUUGCAAUUUUGUAAUCAAGCCCCCGAAUAAAUUGUAAUUGGAUCUCUGGAUUUUAGCCCCAUUUACAAGACAAUCUUUGGUUCUGGAUUCAUGCGAUUUGACUCUCAAUUGAUCAAUAAACUUCUAAUUUCUUUAAUUUAGCCCCUGACUUGGUCAAUUGCAGCCCUUAUAUUUACACGCCUUUUCCGGUUUGAUCCUUGGUUUCGGAUUUUUUCAAUCAAGUCCCUAAUUGCCCAUAAAACUUUAAUAAUUAUGCAAUUAAGCCCCUGAUUUGACCAAAUCAACUCUUCAAAAUUAUAAUUGGACCUUAGAACUUUAAUUUCUUCGAAUAAAAGCCUAAAUAGACAUAAAACUCAAUUUUUCUUUCAAUCAAACCCUCCAUAAAUUCAAUUAAACCUUUAAUAAAAUUUAAUUGAGUCCAUAAACAUCUGAUUUUAGAUAUAUUUUUUUAAAAUUGAAUUUUCUUUGUCAACAGGGCUCUCAUUAGUCAACGAUAUACUGUCAAAUUUCAAUCUUUAUAUUUUUUAACCUCCUCAACCAAUUUUUGGCCAUUUUGAGCAGUCCGACAGCUUUCACUGUGACAUAUAUAUUUUUUUAUUUAUAUUAUUUAAUUAAUUUAUUAUUAUUUAUUUAUUUAAUUUUUUUCAACUCUUACUUUUUGUAUUUUCUUCUUUUUUGUGUGGGGUCCCAAAAAUGGAUAACAACACUUAAGUUCAAAUCUAUUAAUAAAAAUAUAGUUUUAUUGACUUUUUUAUAUACUUUUAUUAGAGAAAUCAAUGUAAACAAAUUUAUGGACAAACAUUAGUUUAUCAAGUACUUAAAUAGAAAAAUAAAAUCAAUUAGAGUACUUGAAUAAAAAAAAUAUAAAUUAUAAGCAUUUUAUAUAUCUUUAUUGUUCAUAAAUUAAAAAUAAAAUAAAAUCAAUCCAGACUAAUCUAAAAAGAGUUAACUAUGACAUCAUCAUUUUGAUAGUAAAACUAAUGAAGAUAUUUUAUUGAUUAAAUUCCGUGAAUAUAAGUAUUCAAAUUGAAAAAAAAAAACAUUGAUACAAGAUUUUAAAUAAAAAAAUUAUAAAAUACAUAUAAUUUGUACUUCUCAUUGUCUCUUUUGCAUUGCUAACACUUAACAAAUUGAAUAUAUAAUUCUCAUGUCAAUAACGUCAGAAUAAAUUUAGCUACAUGACAUAAUAAUACCUGUUUAUUUUUGUAUUUUAAAAAUAUUUUAAAAACAUUAAAUUGUUUUAAAUAGAUAACUUUUGAAUCAUCAAGUAGUGAAACACAGGAAAAGCGAAGAAAGUGAAGAAUAAUCAAAGUGGUGCGUGUCCACAUCAAUUUUUGUCCAUGUUUUUGGUAUUAAUCUCUUCAUCUAUUUACAGCUGGAGAAAAGAACAUCACCUACUACUUUUCUUGUCUCUUCUUACUUGGAAGAUCAGGUAUGUGAAUCUUUGAGUGCCACUUAUUUUAGUACAUAGACUUAGUUAUUUGACCACAACUUCACCACAAGUUAAAUUGUUUUAAUUAAAAAAAUUUAUAUAAAGAUUUCUUCAAUAAAUUUUUUAUUUAAAAAAUUUCUAAGUGAAAAUUAAAAAACUUAUACACAAAUAUAGUUAAAUAAAUCAAGAAUUAUGUGUGUUAAUAAGUGAAAAAAACCAUAAAUGAUGACUCAAAAUAAAAACUGAAAAAAUCAACUGAUAAAUGUAGAUCAAAAUAUUUAAUUUCACAAGACGUGAUAUUAAUGCAGUUGUGUUUUCUAAAAUUUUUAAUUAAAAUAAUUUUUUAAUUUGAUCAAACGAUAAUAAAAAUAGACACACAUAUUAUAAAUUGAUUGAAUAAAAUAAAAAAUAAUAAUAAUAUGCUAGGCUUUAUAUAUUGGAAAUAUUAUUUAAAAAUAAUUUUUUUUAUUUUAAAAAAUAAAAUUUAUCUAUUAAAAAAAUUUAUAUAUUAAAUUCAAAAUAAAUAAACUUUAAAAUAAUUUGCAAGGCUGCACAUAACCCCUUUAAAAGGAAAGUGAUAUAACAAACGUGGAACAAUUUUUAUUAACUAAAUAAACUUAAUAACUAUUAAUAUUAAAUUCGAAAUAUAUAUUAAAACCUAUUAUAUUAAUUUUUGAAUUUAUCAAUUCAGAUGUGAAUUAUAUUUCUAAAAUGUUAUAAGAAAUUUCUAUAUACGACAACUAGCUUAAGAAAGUGAUGUUCAUCAAAACCAUAGAGUACAGAAAAAGAAUUGAAUUGCAUAAAAUUAAGUAAUUAACGGAAACUUAUAUUCCUUCUUAAAACGUUGACCCCAAGUCAAGUUUAUUUAUUAUUAUUUUUUUUGAAAAAAACAUGAAUAAAAGUUAAUGCUAGGCACAUGGGAUAUAGAAGACUUGCAACUUUCUUUAUAGAAAUUACGUGUGUAAAAUUUAGGCCUUGAAAAAAAAUUAAAAAUAAAAUACUAUUAAUCGUGUUGAUAAAAAUUAAUAUAGAGACUUUAUUGAUAAAAAUUCAUAAGAGCAAGUAUUCAAAUUACAAAAAAUAAAAAUAUUUCUUCAAAUUUUCAAUAAAAUUUAUUUCUUGAAAUUAAUGCAUUAAACAAAAUUAAAAUAGUAGUAAAAGUAAAUUUAGUUUUUGAUUGAAGUGUAAACUAGUGGUAAAUGAACAAAAAGAAACUUUAUUGAUUUCUCCAAAAACAAUAUAUAUAUUAUUGAAUAUCUAAUGGAAAGGAUUAUGAAACUCCGCCUAAUAUAUAUAUAUAUAUAACAGAGAAAUUGUCGAUAAUAGCUAUGAUCUAAGUAACUGGACCACGACGAAGACAUAUACAAGAAACAAAAAAAAGAUACUUCACUAACAAUUGGGGUUCUUCAUAAGCUUCAAUAGAAUUGAUAGAGGGUCGAAACAAAAAAGAGAUGAAGAGAGAGGAGGGAAUGGAAAGAAGGGAAAAGAGAACUCUUGCGAUCUGUUGAAUAAGACUCAGUAUAUAUAUAUAUAUAUAAAAUAAAAAAAACUCAAGUUAGCGCAUCAAAUCUUCGACUUGGAUUAUGAGAUCGGGAUAAGAAAACUUAAUAUUUAAAAAUAAAAUUAAAGAAAAAAACUAUAAAAACAUAUAUGGUUUAACAAUAUUAAUCAAUUAUUAAAAUCUUUCAUUUUAUAUAUAUUAAAAAUAAAUAUUAAUAACUAUUAUAUCAAUUUGUGAAUGUUUCAAUUAGGAUGCGAAUAAAUGUUUUAUAUAUGACAUUUUUCUUAAGAAACCAAAGUUAUUAAGCAUGUUUAGAUUUAAUUACCAAAUGAGAGUGAGGGUUGAGGUUAUAGAUUGACCUAAUUAAUACUCAGAUCAAGAUUUAGGUCCUAGAUCGGACAAAUUAGCUUAUUGACUAGUGUUAAUAAAAAAUUGUAUCAUUUUAUGAUUUUUGUUAUAGAAAAAAUCAAAAUGGUGUUGUUAAAAAAAGUAAAACUAGGUUUUAACUGAGUUGACUAGGUUGUGGGUUGAUUUAUCUGGUCAACUAGGCUCAAUUGAGUCAACUCUCACUUGGUUUUUUCUAAACCUAAAUAGGGUUAGGUUCCAGAUUAAAAUGUAAGGCUUGAAUUAAAUUUAAUAACAUUGAUUAAAACCACAAUGUAGGAAAAAAAAUUGAAUUCAUAAAAGUAAUUAACCGAAAACUUGAAUUCCUUCUUAUAAAGUUGAACCCAUGUCGGUUUUUUUAAAGGAAAAGUAUGAAUCAAAGGUUAACGCUAGGCUGCUCACUUUGCAUCACAAUGACAGAUAUGGAAGGCUUGCUACUUUCUUUAUGGAAAUAACGUGUGGAAAAUCAUGCAUUAAUUUUGAUGUUGAUGGCAAAAUCAAACAAUAUCGUUGAUAAAAUGAAUGACAAAUGAUAUUAUUUUUAAAAUACUUCUUGUCAUUGUCAUGACAACAAGUCUUCUUUUUUUUCUUUCUAAAGUACUUGUCAGUCUAUUUUUAUGUAACCCAAUCAACAAGUAAGAUGGAUAGAAAUUUGCAGUGUAAAAUGGGUCUGUGAGACUAUGUAUCGCCAUCUGCAUUUUUCCACGAUCUAGGCCAGUGGGAUGGUACAUGAGACCAUUGCUAUCAAGCGUUUUUUCUACGAGAUGGGUCCAUGAGACCAUUGCCCUGUAAGCUUGGGAAUGGAUAAUUAAUAUGCUUUAAUGUCUAUUUAGUUUGCAAAAAAAAUAAUUAAAUGCUUAUGAAUAAAAAAUAAAUCUCAAGUGUUAAAAUGCAACCACCGAUUAAUUAAUGGACAAUGGACCUUAGAUUAAUACAUGACGCAACUUUCAAUGGAAUUAUAUUUGUGGAGGUAUUUACUCGGAUGCGAAUUAUAUUUCUAUUUUUUUAUUUAAAAAAAUUCUAUACUACAACGAGCUUAAGAAAGUCAUGUUCAGGGGCGGAGCUAUAAUUAUUUGUUAGGAAGAUCAAAAUUAAUAUAAUAAGAUAUAAAAUUUAUUUUAAUUUAUUAUACAUGAGUUCUAAAACAAAACCUGUAUAAUUUAGUUUUAUUCAAAUAACUUACUACAAACAUAUAAUAACCUUUGUGAAGUAUAUUGGGACUGCUCAACCAUAACUUUAACAUUACACAUUGGAGUUGGUUCACUAGGCUGUGAGUUAUCAAUAUUUUUUAUUUUUCUUUUUCAAAAAAAAAUCAAUUCUUCUUAUUUUGUUCAUGGUUCAACCUAAAAUCAAAACAUAUAUCGUAAGAAAAAAUUGAUAAUUUAGUGACUCUGCUAAAAAUAAAACAUAAAACAAAUCCAAGCAUAAUCAAAACAAAACCAAUAAAAUAUAUCUAAUUAAUUAGAAAAAAAAUCAUUAUAAUAAGAAUUCAAAAAAAAAUGGUAAAACUAGCAGAUCUGAGAAAAAAAAAGAGCAAAAAUGAUAGAAAUAUAAAAAAAAUCUCAUCAAAUUAUUAACAAACAUCUCAAAACAAAACAAAUAUAGAUUUUAAAUUUAAGUUACUUUGUUUUGUUUGAUGAAAGAUAAAUUAAUUGGUGGCUCUGCUUCAAUCUUUUUGUAGAAACAUUUUGCUCACAAUUUGUAUUUUUAUUUCUUUGUUUGAUCGGCUGCAGGAUUUAUAUUAGGGUAAAUUAAUGGUUUUGUUUUUUAUUUCACAAAGUAAUGCCUUAAUAUUGUUUUCUUCCAUCUAGGUCAAGAGUAAAUUAAAAGGAAAUCAAAAGUAAAGUCAAUAAUAACCCAAAGUAAUGCCUUAAUUAUUUGAUGUCACAAAGUAAUGCUUUAAUAACCCAAUAAUAAAAAAACAAAAUGUCUUGAGGGGGGCUCGGGCCCCUGCUUGCCCCCUACUUCCACCCUUGGUCAUGUUCAUCGAAAAAAAAAAUUAUAUUUACUCGGAUGUGUUUUUUCUACGAGAUGGGUCCAUGAGAACAUUUCCAUCUGCAUAUUGGUUCUUGAGACCGUUACCAUCAGGGGCGGAGACAGAGGGGCUGGCAGGGGCCCCGGCCCCGGCAAGGAAAAAGUUUUUCCAGCCCCUCCCUUAACAAUAUUUAUAUUUUUAGUUUAAAUAAUAAAACAAUUAAUAUUUUGAUCCCCUUUAAUUUUAUUUUCUGGUUCUGCCCCUGGUUGCCAUCAUGCAUUUUUCCUCGAGGAGAGGCCAUGAGACGUCCUCUUCCAACCAUCAUGCAUUUUUUCCACGAGAUGGGUUCGUGGAGAAACUUUGGUUUAAUUGGGAAUGCUGUUAUUGAUUGGAAACUUUUUAAUUAAAAUAAAUUUGAUUAUUUGAUUGGAAAAAAUCCUUAAAUGUUAUUAACACAAGAAAUGAAUUUAUUUUCUUAAGAAAAAAAUAUUGUAACCAUAUAAGUAAUUUAUUUAUUUAUUUUAAUGAAAUAUAAAAUAGUUUUAAAUCUUGUGGUAUAUUUCUUGUCUUUAAGAGCUAUGAACUUAUAUCGCAAACCUUGAAAACUAAUAUAAAGAUAUUAAGUGAUCAUUAAGUGUGUGUGUAUGUAUAUAAUCUUUUUCAAAACAAAAAGGAUUUUGAUGGAGAUCAGGACAUUGCAACAAAUUAUCCACCACGAGAUGGGUCACUGAUACCAUUGUCAUCAUGCAAUUUUUUCCCACGAGAUGGGGCCGUACGCUUGGGGCUCUAAAACGCUAUGGUUUUUAAUUUCAUUAUGUCACAUCUAGAAUGGCAGGUAUAUUUUAUUUCAAUUUAAACAAUGGAAUAAAUUAGAAGAUAUUUCAUCUCGUUUGGAAUCUUAUCUCAUUUCAUGAAUUUCACCUAAAUUCUGGCCGGAAUAUUUUGGUUCUAUUCCAGCCAUUCUAUUAUGAUCAAAUAAUGUUUUGUUUUGCUUUUAUAAAAAAAAAAAUAUAGUCUAGUUUUACGGUAUCAAUUAUAUCUCUCAAUUCAACUGUUGAAUUAUACUAAAAUUUUACAAGGAAUCUCCUAACAUAUAUUUAUAUCGCAAGUUAAAAUUUUAGAACAAUUAGAGUUUAGAAAGACUUUGUGAGAUUGCCGAUGACAUUUUCAUAAUUUUAUUUAAAUUCAUAAUUUGGUUUCGUAAGGUCAUUUUUUGUGUCUUCUUUUAGAUUGUUUUGUUUUUCCAAUUUCAUAAUUCAACAAUAAGUUUAUUAAAAAUUGAGAUUCAUAAUUUGUUUUUAUUUUGGAUUAUUAUGGUCUCAUAAUCUGGGUCACGGAUUUAAAAGAUUAACUUAGAUUAACCCGAGUCUAUCCAAUAUGUCGUUGUCUCAAUAUUUUUAACAAACAUAAUUUUAAUUGACAUUUAAAAAUAAACUAACUUAAAAUUAUACAAUUUAAAUUUCAAAUAUAAGUAAAAAUAAAGAGUUAAAUCGAUAUGACCCAUUUGAUUUGAUGAGUCCAAAGUAUAUAUAGAACAAUCCAAAAUGACACAUCAAAAUACUCAAAAACAAAAAUAUAUUGUUACAAUUAAAAAAAUAAAACACCAAUUAAAAUGGAAUUAACAUCCUUGCUUCAUAGAAGCCUAAACUCCUCGCUACCAUUUGCAAGAGAUAGUUAUACCAAUAGCAAUUUAGUAAUGUUGGUCAGAAUUUAAUAUCCUUCUCGAUAAGAAGAUCCUUAUCUUAUCGGAUAAAACCUAAUUGUUCUAACGUCAACAAAAGAAUUUAAUAUUCGGAAUACAUCUUACGUAUAAGGUCGUAACCCAAAUACUAAAAGAAAAAAAAUAAUAUUUUUGGAAUUUUUGAAAUAUUGGUCUAGUUCUCGUGACUUUAAUAAACUGGUUAUUAAAACCAAAAUGCAUGUUAAUACAUAUUUUUGAAUUUUUGUUGUAUGAAAAUAUGAUAUGAUUUUUUUUCUUUGAGAUACUUGGCCAUAUGCAUGAAAAUAAAAACAUGUUUUUUUUUUAAUUUUUCAAUGUUUCGACGAAAACUGGGUAUUUUAAUUCCAGAUUUGUAUCUUUACAGUAUAAAAAUACAAAUCAAUACUAAGAAAAAAUCAAUAGAAAAAUACGCGGUAAAAUCACAGAUUUUUUAAAAUGAUUUUUUUUUGACCGGGUAGGCGUUGUUCGGGUCAGAAAACUAAAACAAACAGUGGAGAGACUCUCUGCUGUUCACAUGCAACGUGAACAGUGGAGCGGCCUGGAGAAGACUAAGAAGAGGAGGAGGAAGAGGAAGAAGCAGACCUGCAGCCUAGCGGUGCUGCCAGUGGCGGUGGACGGUGUUGCGGUUGCGGACCGUGGUGCUGACUGGUUGGUGGUUCUUCUUUCUUUCUCUGCGUUUCCCUUCUGCUUUUUUUCUGUUCUACUCUAUUCUUCCUCUUGUUCCCUGUUUUAUUCUCUCUCCCUCUCUGGUCCUCUCAAACGUCCCCUGGAGCUGCUGCCUGAAGAUGAAGAUGAAGUUGAGGGUGAUCAGUGCUCUGAUCGAGCAACGUUUCUUUCUUUCCUUCUGCUACUGUUUUCGUUUCUGAUUCUCCUUUUUGUUCAAUUCUUAUUUGCACUCUUCUUCUUCUUCGUCGUCUCUGGUUUUUGAAAUGACGAAGACGAUGGCAACGCUGGUUCUGGUCUCAACGAUUUCCUCUCCUUACAUUCUUUCCUUCUGCUCAUUUCCGUCUCCCUCUCGUGCUACUCCCCACUUUCUCUCUUGUCCUGCUGGCUCUCCCUCCUUGUCUCCUCCUUUUUUUUUUUCCUGUCCGUCUCUCCUCUGGCUUUAUAUAGCGAGAGGAUGCAUGCUUUUCGGGAUUUAUUGCAGGAAGGUUGUAACAGCCGGAGUGUAUCAUGGUGGAGAAGGAUAUCAGCCGUGAGACAUGCUCCCCUGAUUGAAGCAGCUCCACCGCUAACAUCUUCACUACCUUUUACUGUAGAAACCGUUGUUGAUGAAGAAGGUAAUGAACAGUUGUCAAGGAAAUGGUACCGUUUUAAAAUUCAAAAUGAAUAUUUCCGAUUUGGUCAUUGGAUUUUUUGCAAUUUUGUAAUCAAGCCCCCGAAUAAAUUGUAAAUGGAUCUCUGGAUUUUAGCCCCAUUUACAAGACAAUUUUUUGUUCUGGAUUCAUGCAAUUUGACCCUCAAUUGAUCAAUAAACUUCUAAUUUCUUCAAUUUAACCCCUGAGUUGGUCAAUUGCAGCCUCUCUAUUUACGUGUCUUUUCCGAUUUGGUCCUUGGUUUCGUAUUUUUUCAAUCAAGUCCCUAAUUGCCCAUAAAACUUUAAUAAUUAUGCAAUUAAGCUCCUGAUUUGACCAAAUCAACUCUUCAAAAUUAUAAUUGUACCCUAGAACUUUAAUUUCUUCCAAUAAAAGCCUAAAUCGACAUAAAACUUAAUUUUUCUUUCAAUCAAACCCUCCAUAAAUUCAAUUAAACCCUCAAUAAAAUUUAAUUUAGUCCAUAAACAUCUGAUUUUGGAUAUAUUUUUUUUAAAAAUGAAUUUUCUUUGUCAACAGGGCUCUCAUUAGUCAACGAUAUACUAUCAAAUUUCAAUCUUUGUAUUUUUUAACCUCCUCAACCAAUUUUUAGCUAUUUUGGGCGGUCCAACAGCUUUCUCACUACGACAUAUAUUUUUAUUUAUUUAUUUAUUAUUAUUAUUUAUUUACUUUUUUUCGACUCUUACUUUUUGUAUUUUCUUCUUUUUUGUGUGAGGUCCUAAAAAUGGGUAACAAUACUUAAGUUCAAAUCUAUUAAUAAAAUAUAGUUUUAUUGAAUUUUUUUAUAUACUUUUAUUAGAGAAAUCAAUGUAAACAAAUUUACGGAAAAACAUUAGUUUAUCAAGUACUUAAAUAGAAAAAUAAAAUCAAUUAGAGUACUUGAAUAAAAAAAAUAUAAAUUAUAAGCAUUUUAUAUAUCUUUAUCGUUCAUACAUUAAGAUAUUUUAUUGAUUAAAUUUUGUGAAUAUAAGUAUUCAAAUUGAAAAAAAAAACAUUGAUGCAAGCUUUUAAAUAAAAAAAAUUAUAAAAUACAUAUAAUUUGCACUUCUCAUUGUCUCUUUCGCAUUGCUAACACUUAACAAAUUGAAUAUAUAAUUCUCGUGUGAAUAACGUCAGAAUAAAUUUAGUUAUAUGACAUUAUAAUACCUUUUUAUUUUUAUAUUUUAAAAAUAUUUUAAAAAAAUUAAAUUGUUUUAAAUAGAUAACUUUUGAAUCAUCAAGUAGUGAAACACAAGAAAAGCGAAGAAAGUGAAGAAUAAUCAAAGUGGUGCGGGUCCACAUCAAUUUUUGUCCAUGUUUUUGGUAUUAAUCUCUUCAUCUAUUUACAGCCGGAGAAAAGAACAUCACCUACUACUUUUCUUGUCUCUUCUUGCUUGGAAGAUAAGGCAUGUGAACCUUUGAGUGCCACUCAUUUUAGUACAUAGACUUGGUUAUUUGACCACAGCUUCACCACAAGUUAAAUUGUUUUAAUUAAAAAAAAUUAUAUAUAGAUUUCUUCAAUAAAUUUUUUAUUUAAAAUUUUUUUAAGUGAAAAUUGAAAAACUUAUACACAAAUAUUGUUAAAUAAAUCAAGAAUUUUGUGUAUUAAUAAGUGAAAAAAACCAUAAAUGAUGACUUAAAAUAAAAACUGGAAAAAUCAAUAAACAAAUGUAGAUCAAAAUAUUUAAUUUCACAAAACGUGAUAUUACAGUUGUGUUUUCUAAAUUUUCUAAUUAAAAUAAUUUUUUAAUUCGAUCAAACGAUAAUAAAAAUAGACACACAUAUUAUAAAUUGAUUGAAUAAAAUAAAAAAUAAUAAUAAUAUGUCAGGCUUCAUAUAUUGGAAAUAUUUUUUGAAAAUAUUUUUUUUAUUUUUAAAAAUAUAGUUUAUCUAUUAAAAAAAUUAUAUAUUAAAUUCAAAAUAAAUAAACUUUAAAAUAAUUUGCAAGGCUGCACAUAAGCCCUUUAAAAGGAAAGUGAUAUAACAAAAGUGGAACAAUUUUUAUUAACUAAAUAAACUCUAUAACUAUUAAUAUUAAAUUCAAAAUAUAUAUUAAAAAUAAAUAUUAAAACCUAUUAUAUUAAUUUGUGAAUUUAUCAAUUGAGAUGUGAAUUAUAUUUCUAAAAUGUUAUAAGAAAUUUCUAUAUACUACAACUAGCUUAAGAAAAUCAAGUUCAUCGAAACCGUAGAGUACAGAAAAAAAAUGAAUUGCAUGAUUAACCAAAACUUAUAUUUCUUCUUAAAACGUUGACCCCAAGUCAAGUUUUUUUUUUUUUUUGAAAAAAACAUGAAUACAAGGUUAAUGCUAGGCACAUGACGAUGAUGGAUAUACAAGACCUGCUCCUUUCUUUAUGGAAAUUACGUGUGGAAAAUUUAGGCCUUGAAAAAAAUUAAAAAAAAAAUACUAUUAAUCAUGUUAUUUGCAUUAUGGCAAAUAUAGAGACUUGAUUGAUAAAAAUUUAUAAGAGCAAGUAUUCAAAUUUUAAAAUAAAUAAAUAAAUCAAUUCAAGUUUUUAAUUAGAAAAAACAAGAUACAAAUACUCUGUGUAAGUGCCACUAACUCUUUGUAUUUUCUAACUAUUAAAGAAUUGAAUAUAUAAUACACGGGUGAUAAACAUCAAAAUAAAUCCAAUUGUAUAAUUUACUAAGAUUUUAAAAACUAACACUACAUAGAAAAAAAAAUCUUAAAAUAAAUAACAGAAAACUUGUAUUCCUUCGAGGGGUGUUUGAGAGUGUGGUAGCGGUUGCUUUUCAAAGUUUUUUCCCUUAAAAAUGCAUCAAAAUAAAUUUUUUUGAUUUUUUAAAAAUUAUUUUUAACAUCAUUAUAUCAAAAUGAUCUAAAAAUAUUAAAAAUAUAUUAAUUUAAAGCAAAAAAUAUAAAAAAAAUUAAAAAAUUUUAAUAAUACUUUUAAAAUACUAAAACAAACAAGAUAUUAAAAAAUAUACUACAAGUCAAAGUCUUUUUGAAAAAAAACAUUAAUAAAAGGUUAAUGGCAGGUAGCUUAUUUUCUGCCCUAAUAAAGCUCAAGGUCUGUUCAGAAAACUAAGUACGUAGGCAUACACCCAAUCCAAGCACCAUCAAAUCAUUUUUUAUACAUAGGGAUAGGAACGCUAGCUUCACAUGAUAGAUAAAAAAAAUUAAAAGAUAAUAAAAUUAAAAAAAUAAUUAUAAUCUUAUAUAUUAUUUUAAAUAAAAUAAAUAUUGAUUAAAAAAACCAAAUAUAAUAAAUUAAAAUAUUUAAUUUAAAAAAGAUAAGAGAAAAGUAAAUGAGAAUUAAAGUUGAUAUAAAAAUUAAAUUAUAAAAUAUAAAAUUCAAAAAAAAAAUAAAACCAAUUUUUUUUUUCUAAAAGAUAAUAUUCAGAUUAAAAGCAUUAUAAAAAGAAUAGCUCCUUGUUUCUUCCUUGUUUCAAUUUCAAGAUAUUAAGAUUAAAACCCAAUCGUAUAGCUGGUUGGGUUGAGAAGAAAGGUUUGCUUUUGUAUUACAAAUUAUUUAGAUUAGUUUUUUUUUAAAAUUAAUCAAAUUAGUAUCAUUUUGGUUCUCCAUCGAAGAAAAUAGAAAACAUAUUUAGUAAUAAGGUGUUGUUUAAUUCCUUAUAUUAUUAAUAUAAUCAUGGCAUCAUCACUGUAACAAUAAGUCCUCUUACUUGUAUUUUCACCGUCCCAACCUCUUUACAUGGCGUCACCGUAGCAAUUAUAUAUCUCUUGAUCAAUCAUAAUUAAAUUACUGUAAUAAUAUCUUUUUUUAUUCUUUUAUAUGAAGUCUUAAUUUAUUUUUUUAUAUAGGUAGUUAUGAAUUACAGAAAUUGAACAAUUUAGAGAUCUUUGACUUAGAAUCUAAUUGUUUCGAUAACAGUAUUAUAUUAUAGAGGGAUUUUUAUCCCUUAAAUUAUUAUAUUUAGAUUAAAAAAUAAAAACUAAUUAGGAGUCAAUUAAAUAAAUAAAUAAAAACCCUCAAAAGAUAAAAGAAGAAAACAUAAAAAGUACACUACCCAACCAAUAAUUGACCUGAAUCACAUGUUGUCCACUGCCAGAACUUAUUAGCAAUCUGCUUACAACAGCAAAUUGAUCAAUAAGAAAGACUUAAAUUCCAAAUUUAAAAACCAACUCAAUUGAGAUCCUUAUUAUUCAUUCAAUUAGUUGCUUCUUGCUAACUCUUUUAUUUCCUUUAUAAUUUUAAUUCAUUUUAAUAUAAUUUCUUGAUUGUGGCAAGCUUCCUUUAUCUCAAGAACUUGGAAUACUUGGAUUUCCCAAGAAAAAAUUAACUUAAGACUUUAGUUAAUGCUAUGAACACGAGUAAAUGAUAUGCUAAAGAAAAAACCAUGUAUUUAAGAACCAUUGCUAAGCUACAGGUUCAGGAGCCAUAAACCACUCACAUUUAGUGGGGUUGAUCUCAAAUUCAGACAAAUCUACUUGUCCAGUUCGGAGAACCUUCAAACAAAAAGAAGAAUGAAACCUUGUAAAAUUGGCUAUCAUCAAAAGGACAAGAAACAGUACAAGAAGGAUCAGCCUCGCAUUUCUUGCAUAAGUAAAAGAAUCCACUUGUUAAUGGAAAGGAGGACUCUGCAACAAGUCUAAAAUAUCCUCUGGAGUUCAGUGACCCUACAACCUUAUAUUUACCUCAGAAUGCACCCACGUAAAGCACACAGGAAAUCCCAACACAUAAGACAACAAAAGAAAACAUAUAAUUAGCAGAAAAAAAAAGGUUGUACAAUUCUUUCAUAGCUUACAGUACGUAUAGAAUAAGCAUUAUCAAAUCAGGCUAACAUACCUCAGGUAAGUGAGAUGUUAAUCCUUCUUCAAGCGGCAAUGUCUCAAUCAAUGACAUUAUCAAAUCAGGCUUCAGUAUAUCCCCUAAUCCCAAGCCUAGGACAACAAAAGAAAACAUCAUGAAAAAAAAUGAUUUUACAGUAAUGCACCCAGUGCCAGAGCAUAUAAUUAGCAGAAAUAAAGGUUGUACAAUUCUUUCACAGCUUACAAUACGUAUAGAAUAGGCAUUAAUAAUUACCUUCAUCUGGAUCGGCCAAACUACCUGCAACAUCUAUCAUCACAUCACGGCGCGGGCCACCCUAAGUACAGCAAACAAGGAUAUGGUCAAUUGCACUAUCUGAGCAUAACACAGAUAUUACUCAGGAUUCUUUGCAAGUCUUCCAAUUUCACUGGUUCUGAUGAAGAGUUUACAUCAUUCAUUACUUCUGCACCAAGGUCUGGGACAACUAAGUUUCCAGUCCUGAGAGCUAUGAGCAAAAAUCUCAUCAGAAUAAAAGAAAAUGGCAACGUAAUACUGGGCCAUUUCUUUUUUGUAAUAAAAGUGCUCCUUAACCUUUUUGAAGUUAUUUUACAAUGAAUUACAAGCAUUAAACUUGUAUAUACAUGGACAAACACCAAGUUAUGAUUCUAAAUUUCCAUAUAAAAGAUGCCCCAAGUUUUAAAAUUUACCCCGAGGGCAAGUCUGUGCAAGAGCAUAAGGGGAUGAAGGAUUUGACAUGGACUAAGGUGGGUGAGAUGUUUUUGUCAAGAAAUGAUUUUGGAAAAUUUCUUGAUAUUUCUUGAAUAAAUAAGAUAGGAGUCUUCAUCAAGGCAAGAACAUAGGCUCUCCAAGAUAAUUGACCAGAAGGAGAGAAGGGAGGCUCAUCCUGCUCCACAGACUCUUAGUCUCAAAGAACAAAAAAUUACUUGGCUCUAUAUCCUUACUCUUACUUGCUAUAUCAACUCUUAGAGUUGAAGUAUCUGAAAGGGUUUAUUUUUAGUAUUUGAAUAAGUCCAUGAGUCCCUAGUCUUCAGGAAGAUAUACAUGGUCAAGAUUAAAUUAAGGAUUUUAGUUGCUUAUUUUUCGUUAUUUCAUGUGCCACGUUACUGUGAACGUGAGCUAUUUUUCAGUCUUAUUAUUAUUCCUGUAAGGCUAUUUAUUAGCCAUUUCCAUUCAGUAAAAGCAAUUCAUUCAAUUCAAAUACUGUGCACUUUUGUUCUUAUUCUUUACAAUUGGUAUCAGAGCUAUUACAUCUGACCUGUUACGAAGAAAUAGAUACAAAAGGAAGACAUAUUUUUGAGUGACUUCAAACUUAGAGUGAGUGAGUGCUUGAGUGCUUUUAAACACAGAGUGAGUGAGUUUGAGUGUUUUUUAAACACAGAGUGAGAAAGAGAGUUCUUGAGGGUCAAUUUCAACAAUGGCAGCAGAGUCCAGCAAUUUUGUAUCACCUUGCAUCCCGAAAUUUGAUGGAGACUACGAGCAUUGGAACAUGCUAAUGGAGAAUCUCUUGCAUUCCAAAGAGUAUUGGAACGUUAUUGAGACAGGAUAUGUCGAGCCUGCAUCAGGGGAAAUUCUGAAUAAUGCACAGAAAAAGACAUUGGAGGAGACAAAGCUGAAAGAUUUAAAGGUUAAAAAUUACCUUUUUCAGUCCAUCGACAAAUCCAUUCUGAAGACUAUUACUCAAAAAGACACAGCAAAACAGUUGUGGGAUUCCAUGAAGAUCAAAUACCAAGGAAAUACAAGGGUUCGGCGUGCUCAACUUCAAAUCUUUCGCAGGAAUUUUGAAGUGCUGGAAAUGAAACAAGGAGAAACUGUCACAAGUUAUUUUGGAAGAGUUAUGCUGGUGGCAAAUGACAUGCGAAAUCUGGGAGAAAGCAUACCUGAUGAGAAGAUUGUAGAGAAGAUUUUACGCACACUUACUGAGAAGUACAAUUACAUAGUGUGCUCCAUUGAGGAGUCUAAAGAUAUUAAUCAUCUUUCAGUUGAUGAGCUGUAGAGUUCAUUACUUGUUCAUGAACAGAAAUUCAAAAGGCAUGACACAGAUGAUCAUGCCCUGAGAAUCUAUGAUGACAGAUUCUGUGGCAGAGGUCGUGGCAGAAACAAUUACAGAAGCCGAGGCCGUGGGGGCAGAACACAAACAUUCAAUAGAGACAUGGUGGAAUGUUUCAGGUGUCACAAACUUGGACACUUCCAAUACGAGUGUCCAACCAUGAACAAGGCAGCUAAUUAUGUGGAGCUAGAUGAUGAAGAUGAGAUGCUGCUAAUGUCCUAUGUUACAUUAGCUAAGACAACACGGAAUGAUGCAUGGUUCCUGGAUUCAGGAUGUUCUAAUCAUAUGUGUGGUUAUAGAGGUAUGUUCUCCUACUUGGAUGAAAAUUUUCAGCAUUCAGUCAAACUUGGAAACAAUAGCAGAAUGGCAGUAGUUAGCAAAGGCAGAGUAAAAUUACUAAUCAAUGGUAUUAAGCAUGUUGUUAAUGAUGUCUAUUAUGUACCAGAGCUUAAAAAUAAUUUACUGAGCAUAGGUCAACUACAAGAAAGGGGCUUAGCAAUUUUAAUUAAGAAUGGAGUUUGUAAGAUUUACCAUCCUGAGAAGGGUUUGAUCAUUCAAACCAAGAUGAGUGCAAAUUGGAUGUUCAUCCUACUUGCACAGACUCAAGCUCCCGUACAUGCACAGACUCAGAAUCAAGAGAAUUGUCUUCUCACCGGUUCUCAAAAUCCCUCAGUGCUAUGGCACAGACGGUUCGGUCACUUAAGCUACAAAGGCUUAAGAACCUUACAAUGGAGACAUAUGGUACAUGGACUGCCCACCUUCUCGACUCCCACCAUCACCUGCACAGAUUGCCUCAAUGGCAAGCAACACAGAGAGGUCAUGCCCAAACACAGCAAAUGGAGAGCAAAUCAGAAAUUGGAAUUAAUUCAUGCAGACAUUUGCGGUCCUAUUUCCCCCGAAUCCAAUAGUGGCAAAAGGUACAUAUUAUGUUUCAUUGAUGAUUUCAGCCGAAACUAUGGGCAUUUCUUUUAGCUACAAAAUCCGAAGCUUUCAUUUAUUUUAAGAAAUUCAAAGCUAUGGUGGAAAAAGAAACCCUAUUGCAUGUGAAGUGUCUAAGGACUGACAGGGGAGGAGAAUUUACCUCAAGUGAAUUCAACGAAUUCUGCAGCCAACAAGGUAUCAAACGGCAGCUCACCACGGCGUACACUCCACAGCAAAAUGGAGUUGCAGAGAGAAAAAAUCGAACCGUGAUGAACAUGGUCCGAUCAAUCCUCUCUGGUAAAGGGAUUCCAAAACCCUUCUGGCCAAAGGUAGUGAACUGGGCCUUCUAUGUGCUCAAUCGGUGCCCAACUUAUGCUUUGACAGACAUCACUCCUCAUGAGGCAUGGAGCGGAACUAAACCAUCAGUAGACCAUUUCAGGGUCUUUGGGUGCUUGGCCCAUGUUCACGUUCCAGAUGUGAAACGGAGUAAGCUUGAUAACAAAAGCUUUGUGUGUGUACUGUUGGGUAUGAGUGAGGAGUCAAAGGGGUACAAGUUGUUUGAUCCUUUAAACAAAAAAAUCGUGGUUAGCAAAGAUGUGAUCUUUGAGGAGGACAAACAGUGGGAUUGGGAUGUUGCUUAUGAAGAACAAAUCUUGACAGAUUUGGUUUGGGGUGACAGAGAAGGAACACGUGAAGAUGGUGAUAAUAGUGAUGACAAUCACGGGGAUGAGAGUGGUGAACGUGAGGCUGAAAUCAAUGGGGAAGAAGGGGAAGAAAACGAAGAACACAGACACAUUGUCUGUGAAGAUGAUGAAAAUGCUGAGAGAGAAGAAGAAGAAGCUGAGUUAAAUGAUCUUACGGUGUGUAUGCUGCCAGUUGGAAGAAUAGGUGAGCAGGUCAAUCCUACGGCAUGAACGCGGCCAAGUGAACAAAGGGAGAUGACAGAUGGCAAAAUAGAUGUUAAUCCAACGGUGAGAAUUCAGUCUGACAGGGAGAGUGAUUAGAUGACAUGUGGCGUACAUCCAACGGCACAAAACAUGGCAGACGGAGAGAAUGAGCUGCUGACAAGUGGAGACAAUCCAACGACUGACAUGCAAUCUGACGGGGAGAGUGGCCUGCUGACAAGUGGAAGAAGAGAAAGGGGUCCUCCGGUGUGGAUGCAAGAUUAUGUUACAGGGGAGGAUUUAUCUGAAUAUGAGUCCAAUAUGGCACUAAUUAUGUCUUCUGAUCCCAUUUAUUUUGAAGAUGCUGUGAAAGUUAACACUGGAGACUUGCUAUGGACAGUGAAAUUAAUGCAAUAGAGAAGAACAAUACCUGGACGCUCAACGAGUUGCCGGAGGGAGCAAAAAAAAUUGGAGUCAAAUGGGUCUACAAAACAAAGUACAACGAACAUGGGGAUGUUGAUAAAUACAAGGCAAGGCUAGUUGCCAAAGGGUACUCGCAACAACACGGAAUUGACUAUACAGAAGUCUUUGCACCAGUGGCAAGGAUGGAUACAGUAAGGAUGAUUAUUGCUCUCGCCGCUCAAAAAAACUGGAUUGUUUAUCAGUUGGAUGUCAAAUCGGCUUUUCUGCAUGGGGAAUUGCAUGAAGAUGUUUAUGUUGAUCAACCAAAAGGGUAUGAAAAGAAGGCUAGCGAACAUCUAGUUUACAAGCUGCAUAAAGCGUUGUACGGGUUAAAACAAGCUCCAAGAGCUUGGUUCAGUCGAAUCGAGGGUCAUUUUUUCAAUGAAGGCUUUCUACGGUGUGAAAGUGAGCAAACUUUAUUCACAAAGAGAAGCAGGGAAGGAAAGAUUAUCAUUGUAAGUGUUUACGUUGAUGAUCUAAUAUUUACUGGCGAUGAUACACAUAUGUUGUCUGAAUUCAAAAACUCCAUGAUGAGGGAGUUUGACAUGUCAGAUUUGGGGAAGAUGCGGUAUUUCUUGGGAAUCAAAGUAUUACAGCAUUCAGGUGGCACCUACAUAUGUCAGAAGAAAUAUGCACUAGAGGUGUUGAAGAGGUUUGGUAUGAUGGAAUGCAAUGCGGUGAAAAAUCCAAUAGUUCCCGGAUGCAGAGUCAACAAAGAUGAAGGCGAAGCUAAAGUAGAUGAAACAUAUUAUAAGCAGUUAGUGGGCAGCCUAAUGUAUCUCAUAGCAACAAGACCAGACAUGAUGUUUGUUACUUGUCUCAUCAGCAGAUACAUGGCCAAACCUACGGAACUUCAUCUACAAGUAGCAAAAAGGGCACUUAGAUAUCUAAGAGGGACAAUAAAUUUUGGAAUUUAUUACAAGAAAGGGGGAAGUGAUGAACUACUCUCAUUUACGGAUAGUGAUUAUGCUGGAGAUAUGGAGGAUAGAAAGAGUACAAGUGGAUAUGUUUUUUUGUUAAGCUCAGGAGCAGUCUCAUGGAGUUCGAAGAAGCAACCAAUAGUGACUCUUUCUACAACUGAAGCAGAAUUUGUAGCAGCCGCAAUGUGUGUAUGUCAAGCUCUUUGGAUAAAAAGAGUCUUGAAGGAAUUGGGACACUCAAAUAAUGAGUGCACACAAGUGAAAUGUGAUAACAGCUCAACUAUUAAAUUGUCCAAAAAUCCAGUGAUGCAUGGACGCAGUAAGCAUAUCGAUGUAAGAUAUCACUUUCUGAGAAAUCUUACUAAAGAAGGUACAAUUGCAUUAGUUCAUUACGGAAGUCAGGAUCAGGUGGCAGAUUUAAUGACCAAGCCUUUAAAGCUUGAUGCAUUUCUGAAACUAAGAACACUGUUGGGAGUCCAAGAAAUUACUGAUGUAAACUAACUGCAUACUGCAGUAAGUUUAAGGGAAGGAAUGAAAGGGUUUAUUUUUAGUAUUUGAAUAAGUCCACGAGUCCCUAGUCUUCAGGAAGAUAUACAUGGUCAAGAUUAAAUUAAGGAUUUUAGUUGCUUAUUUUUCGUUAUUUCAUGUGCCACGUUACUGUGAACGUGAGCUAUUUUUCAGUCUUAUUAUUAUUCCUGUAAGGCUAUUUAUUAGCCAUUUCCAUUCAGUAAAAGCAAUUCAUUCAAUUCAAAUACUGUGCACUUUUGUUCUUAUUCUUUACAGUAUCAUCUUUGAGUAUGCUUAUUUGUUAUAAUAAAUAUACCUUGAUGAGAUAUUAUCUUUAAGCAUGUCUUCAAAAACUUGGAAAGGAGUAGAAGCAUCAGGCUCUUCUUCAUCAAGGAACUCUGCCAGGCAAUAAGAUAAAGUAGCGACGUUGCUGAUGGAAAAACUUCACUCUUGAAUGAGUGCUGAAGUUAUAAGCCAGGUCAUUAGUUUGAAGGAGUAAAACUGGUUAGUAAAAUUUUAGGAAAACCAAUUCACACAUACGGAGUGUGUAACUAAAAUAAAUAAACAGGAAGUAGAAAACAGGAAAUCCAAUUAGUCUAAUAUGAUAUUUCUGUGAAAUAGAGGUUUUCUUUAUGAAAUUGUGGAGAUGAGAGGAGAUAAAUGCAGAUGCAAGAUAAAAAAAAACAAUAAAAAAAAACACAAAAGUAGCAUGGCUAGCAAAGGACUCAAAACACAAAAGUAUUUACCAAAUGGACGAUUAAUAUAAUAGUUGAUAGAGCUACACAAUUGUGAAUCAUCUUUAGCUUUUGGCUCCUGCAAACAUGUUACACAAUUUUCCAAAAUCAUGCAACUAACAGCCGAGUCAAUGUUACACAUAAGAGAGUGAAAAACACAGAAAAUGAACCUGACCUGCAUCCAAAUGAAAAACUUUCAAUCAUCUGUAUUGAAUUUCAAGAUGUAAACUCUUCCCAAAGCUUGAUUAACCUGAAUAACCCAAAGAAUUAUGAAUCUAUGAUAUUACAAUCAAUUAUUAGAGUCAAAUAUCUCCCAUCUAAGAAAAAACUAAGAGAGAAAAGUGUACCUUCUCAAAAACAGCCUCUUCAGAAAAAAAAAUCUGAUCCUGUCAAUCAACACGUCAAGAAAAAGCUACCAAGUUCUUACCUCAAAAGAAUAUUAACAAAACAAACAACAGAAAAAGAAAUAAAAACCAAUGUUGGAAGAGAGAAACAAAAUCCCCAGGCUAAAAAACAUAAUAAUAACUAGGACACAUCUUCCACAGCAUUCAAAUUCCUAUCAAGCCACUGGAAAUGAAGCAAACCCUCGUCACCCUGGAACAAUUCAAAAAUUUCGACUUCAAACAGGAAACAAGAUGCUAGAAACACUCUAUCUAGUACUUAAGAUAAACCAAAACAACAGAAGUAACUAAAAAUCUUUACACAGGUACGAACUCUGUAUAACACAAAAAAACCAAAAGACACCAGUUUACCCUUCCAAUGCGAACAAGUCCUUUUCGAGAAUCAGGAACAAACUUUUUUCCAUCAAAAACCAUUUUACCAGCACGAAACUCCAACAUAAUUUCCUACCAACAAAACAACCACAACAUCAUAACAUAACCCCAUCAAGAAAAACAUACUUAUACAUCCAAAAAAGCAAUUACAGGCUCUAAUUAAUAAGAUACAAGAUUUUAAGCAAAACCCACAAUUUUAAAAGUGAUUUUAUUUACCUGCAUUGCUGAAAUAUCUACAGCUGAUGAAGAACCCAUUUUUCGCAUACUUCCUCUAAAGCUUCCUUUUUUCCAACACUGCAAAAAAAAAAAAAGAAGAACAAAUCAAAUACCCAAAUCAGAAACAAUAACAGAAAAAAAAUAAAAGAAAAUCCAAUGCUGGAAGUUGUAAUCAGGAGGAGAACCAUACAAUUUCUGAUGGAAUGACAUUUUAUCAAGAAUUGAACUAGGCAUUCAGUUAAUUAAAUAGGUUGUAAACUUGUAAUCAGGUGAGAGUAGUGUCAACAUGUUUAGUUUUCCUCUCGGAAGUGUCAUUCUGCACAAAUCAGUGUUUUAAAAAUAUUAAAAAAAAAAUUUAAUUUGUUUUUAAAUUUGUUUUUUAGUGGUUUUCAUUUAUUUUCGUGUAUUAAUAUUAAAAAUAAUUUUUAAAAAAUAAAAAAUAUAUUAUUUCAAUUUAUUUUAAAAUAAAAAAAAAACUUAAAAAAAAUACUGUUAACACAGUAUUAAACAAACUCGAAUCCUAUAACCAGAUGAACAACGUUAAGAUAUUUGUUUUUUGUUUUUUGUUUUUUUUGAUAAUGAGGAUGUCCUAAACAAUCUUGCCUAAUGAUUGUUAAGAAAUGAAAGAGGCAAUGCAUGGCUAAACCAAUGGAAGCUAAAAAGCUAAUGAUGCCCCUAGCUAGUAAGCAAUUGUUGCCGCAAUGACAUAUGCCUCAUUAGAGAUAGAUUUGAAUUUACAUAUUAUUAUUAUCAUAUAUUUUGUAUUCUCGUUUAAAAAAAUAAAUAUUUUCCUUAUAUGGAGUAGAGUGUUUUUAAUUUUAUCAUGUAAAAUUUAUAUAUAUUUUAAAAAUUAAUACAAUAUACAGUUAAACAUCUAUAAAUUAAUAUCAUUGAGACCAUGAAAUUUAUUAAUUAAUCAAGAUAUUAUUUAGUAAAUAAAUUUAUACACUUAUCCAUUAAUCACAAAAAAAUUUCUUUUUCAAAAACAUUGAACUCAAUACAUGCAUUGUGUAUUCUGAUUAUAUGAAUAUUAUCUAAUUAUCAAAUUAUGAAUUAUCAUAGUUCUAUAUAUUUAUUUAAAUAAAACAAGUUUAAGAAUUAAUGUAAUCGAUCUUAUUAAUUAAUAAAAGUCAUGUAUGUAUCUAUUUUUGCAAAUUGGAUGCAUACUUAAUUAAUAUUAAGUCAAGAACAAAACCAAAAAAAGGAAUAUACAAGUGAGCCAAACAACAAUAUUAAAAACGAAUAAGAGGUUGAAUUAAUAUUCAUUAACUAAUAAUAAAAUUAAGAAGAUGAUACCAAAGGACACAAAAUCACAAAAAUUCGUGAAACUACAUAAGGCGGUUUGUUCAAUACCAAGAAAUUAAAUAUUUAAAAAAAAACUAAAUGAAUUGUUUAAAAAGUUAAAAGAAAAUAAAUGCACUUUUGUCCACGUCAACAACAACUAUAACAAAAUGCUGGGCUGUAGAAGAUUUUCCACAGCAACCUGAAAAAAUCAUAUAUGCUCAAGUAACUAUUUGGUAGAGCGUAUUUGGAGUGCUAAUAUCUUUUCUUUAUGGAAUCAGUCCUCGUACUCGAUCUCUGAAACCAGUUAAGGUUCUUAGUGACCAAAAUACUAGGUAGCGACUCUCAUUCCAUUUUUCCACUAAUAAAAGACAAGAAUUCCUUGUCUCCCCAUAGAUGCCUGAUAGAUAAUACAUUUUGAGAGUGGAUAUUUUCACCGCAACAUCGUAUACGUGCGACAUUAUGUAUACAGGUAUUUCACGAGAUGAUGCGGAGUGUUAAAUAUAAGCUUUGUGUUUAAAUCUGUUUUUUUAUGUAAUAUCUUUUGUUUUAUAUGUAAUUUGUAUUAUAUGUAGAUUUUAAUAUAUGAAUCCUAAAGAUAUUUGCUUUUGGUAUUUAUACAUUUAGAAUGUAUGAGUAAGGAACUAAUAUUAGUAAACUAUUUGAAAAGAAUACUUAAUAAUUAUAAUUAUGCAUGUUUAAAAGAUGGAUGCAUGUUAACGUAAUAAUUAGUUCAAUAUGAAUCCUUUGAGUUUAUAUUUGUAUGCAGUUAAUGUUUUAUUUUAAGAGAAUAUAAUUGCUAUGUUUUAUUUUUUUAUGAUGUAAGGUUGAGAAAGCACAACAAAGUAUUGCUAUGUGAAAUAUUGUAUGAUGAGAUGGGAUAUGAUCCAGGAUGGUUGAAUUGAAAUAGAAGAUUGAGUAUUGUGAUUGAAUGAAGUCUAGUCGAUAACUUGGUAACAUAAAAAAACAAAAGAAACUCUGCCGAAUUUUCUGUAGAAAAUUAGAUUUAUAUAAUAACUAUUACUUUGAUGAUAUAACUUUGAGAGUGAUACAUCAAAUGUGAGAUAUGUUAGACAAUAACCGCAAGACAAUAACGGUUCAAGACGUAGACAAUAACAAUUCAAAUUUCGGUAGUCCUCAUAUGAAUACCAUAUAUAUAUAUAUAUAACUUUACUCUGUUUUUCAGUUGCAUGAUAUUGUUAUUUUAUCCCGAUUGAGGGGGUGUUAUAAUUAUGGUCUUAUGAUCCGAGUCACUGAUUUAAAAGGUUAACCUAGAUUGACCCGGGUCGAUCCAAUAUGUUGUUAUCUCAAUAUUUUUUAAAAAAAUAUUAUCUUGAAUUUUUUGAAGUAAAACUAUAUGUUUAUCAGUCGUCCAGACUAUCUUUGGACUCAUUGAAUCGAUUGGGUCAUAUCGAUUCAACUCUUUUUUUUUAGUUAUAUUUGAAAUUUAAAUUGUAUAAUUUCAAAUUGGUUUGUUUUUAAAUGUCAAUUAAUAUAUAUAUAUAUAUAUAUAUAUAUAACAAUCCAAAAUGACAGGUUAAAAUACUAAAAAACCAAAACAUAUUGUUACAAUUAAAAAAAUAAAAUACCAAUUAAAACGGAAUUAAUUGACAACUUGCUUGGUAGAAGCAUGAAACUCCUCGCUGACAUUUGCAAGAGAUAGUUACUUAUACCAGUAGCAAUUUAGUAAUGAUUGAUCAGCAUUUAUAGUAAGAUGGGGCUAUUAAUUCAAAUGUUGAUGGCAUUAGUAACAAUGAUUUUCUUGGAAGGAUUGCUUCCUCUUGGUUGCUUGAAAAUAUACGGUUUUUUUUUAGUUCAAAUCUAUUAAUAUAAAUAUAGUUUUAUUGAAUAUUUUUUAUAUAAUCUUAUUAGAGAAAUCAAUGUAAACAAAUUUAUGGACAAACACUAGAUUAUCAAGUAUUUAAAUAGAAAAAUAAAACAUUGAUACAAGCUUUUAAAUAAAAAACAUUUAUAAUAAAUAUAAUUUGUACUUGUCAUUAUCUCUUUUUCAUUGCUAACACUUAACGAAUUGAAUAUAUAAUUCUCAUGUGAAUAACGUCAAAAUAAAUUUAGUUGCAUGACAUAAUAAUACCUAUUUGUUUUUUGUAUUUUAAAAAUAUUUAAAAAAAUUAAAUUUUUUUAAAUAAAUAACUUUUGAAUCAUCAAGUAGUGAAACACAGGAAAAGUGAAGAAAGUGAAGAAUAAUCAAAGUGGUGUGGGUCCACAUCAACUUUUGUCCAUGUUUUUGGUAUUAAUCUCUUCAUCCAUUUACAGCCGGAGAAAAGAGCAUCACUCAGUGCUUUCCUUGUCUCUUCUUGCUUAGAAGAUAAGGUAUGAGAACCUUCGAGUGCCACUCAUUUUAGUACAUAGACUAGAUAUUUGACCAUAACUUAACUGUUAGUUAAUUGUUUUUUCAAUUAAAAAAAUUUAUAUAUAGAUUUCUUCAACGUAUUGUUUAUUUAAAAAAUCUUAAGUGAAAAUUAAGAAAUUUAUACACAAAUAUAGUCAAAUAAAUUGAGAAUUAUAUGUGUUAAUAAGUGAAAAAAAAACCAUAAACGAUGACUCAAAAUAAAAACUGGAAAAAUUGAGAGACAGGUGCUGAUCAAGAUAUUUAAUUUCACAAGACGUGACAUUUAUGCAGUUGUGUUUUUAAAAUUUUCUAAUUAAAAUAAUUUUUUAUUCAAUCAAACGAUAAUAAAAACAGACACACAUUAUAAAUUGAUUGAAUAAAAUAAAAGGAGAAAAAAUAAUAUGCAAGCCUACACAUAUUAAAAAUAUUAUUUGAAAAUACAUUUAUUUUUAUUUUCAAAAAUAAAAUUCAUCUAUACAAAAGAUUUUUAAAAAAUAUAGAUUAAUCACAAAAACCUCCUCAAAAAUUAAAUGCAUAAUUAAAAAAUAAUUAUCAUUUCAAAUAGGCUUUCUAAAUAAUAUAAAAGAGAGAAGGGAUAUAAAUAUAAAUAUAAAUAAGAUUAAGAUUAAGAUUAAUUUAAAAAAAUACAAACAAAAAAAAAGAAAAUAUUUUUUCUUAAACAAAAAAAAGUGAACAAUGUCGUUCACAGUAAAACUUGUGGGGUGAACUCGAACUCAACCGAGUUUAAUAUUUUUCCUCUUAAAUUUAUAACAAACCUAAAAAAAGUAAACAAUGUCGUCCAUUGUAAAACAUGAGGAGGUGAAUAGUGCAACUACACAGUGUUCACCUUAUAUAUUUUUCCUCUUAAAUUUAUACCAAAACCGUAAUAAAAAAAGGUGACCAAUGUUGUCCAUAGUAAAACGUGAGGGGGUGAACAACGCAUCUUCAUAGUGUUCACCCCGCACACCUUAGCUUAUUUAGGGUGAACCUGAAUCAUGAACUCAAUCGGGUUUAAUAUUUUCCCCUCUUAAAUUUAUAGCAAACCUAAAAAAAAGGUAAACAAUAUAGUCUAUAAUAAAAUAUGAGGGGAUGAACAAUACAGAUGCACAAUGUUCACCUCACAUAUUUUUUUCCUUAAAUUUAUAGCAAAACCUAAUAAAACAAAUAGUGAAUAGUAUAUUCAUUGUAAAACGUGAGAGGGUGAACAAUGUGGCUAUAUAAUAUUCACCCCACAUGCUUUAGAUUAAACGUGAGAUGGUUAUUUUUUAAAAUAAAAAAAAAUUAAUAAGCAGGCUAUUACAAUGCGCUUUUUAAUGAUGACGAUAUUUGUAGCAAAAAUUUCAAAGGAUUUAAUACAAAUCCAAGCCAAAAUAUUUCACUAGAUUACUAUUUUACGAUCUUCUUAAAACUUGGGUUCGAGCUUGUCAUGUUGAAUCAUCUCUUCUAGAAUCCUUUUUACCGUCUAAUGACUGCCGCUUAUGUUUGUGCAAUUUCUUGUUUACUAGUAAAAUUGUACAGACGUGGGCUUGAAGCUGUUAACUUUCCCUGGACUGGUUAUGUAAUAUAUUUAUAGGUCUAACUGUAUACUAUCACUUGGUCCAAGAGGCAAUAUUGCAAGAUUCCAACGAAAUCUACUGUAAUCUACUGUCCUGGGACAAGAGUUCCAAAAACAUCUACUCCAAAUUUUGUUCUUUUUGAAUCUUUAGUUAUUUUUAUUUUUUCUCAUCAUUUUUUAAAAUAAAAAAUAUAAAUAAAUUACUACAAAAUGAAUAAAACAAAACCAGAAUAAAAAAGUAACAUUAAACAGCAGCCAUUUCAUCAGCUUUAAUUUUAGUAUAACACAAUAAUAUGAACCAACCUUGAUUCUCGAAGGCACCCAACUAAUUCAUUAGCCUUCAAAUUGCCAUCACCUAAUUUCACGAUCCAUGACCGACAUAUAAACAAGGGUCCUCUCCAAGUUCCCAUACAUAUACGAAUCCAAAUAUACAUAGAAACUUAUCUUUUAAAUAAGUCAAUUAGAGUUCAACACAAUAUUAAUAACAAAAUUAAUUAAAUAAGUCAAUCAGAGUUCAACAUAACAUUAAUAACAAAAUUAACUUCAUAAUAUAAUUUGAUUGUCUUAAUACAAAAAUUAAUACAAAGUUCGUAGUUGUGGAGCACUAUCUAGACAUAAAAAAAAUCAUAACAAAAACAACAAGGGAGGGGGUUUGAUAGUAUGUAAUACAACAACUAGAAAUAUAUAUAUAAUUAUGGCUUUAGGUUUUUAUAAAAACGUUUUUUAAAUAGAUCAUAUAAGAACAACGGAGGAGGGGGUUUAACGGUAUGUAUUUGCCUGCUAGUAAAAAUUGGUUAGCACCUAAACAAGGUCCUGUGCUAAAUCUAAAUUGGUAAGAUGUGAUAUGCUAAUAUCUAGAAAGAUAACUUAAUCUAUCCAUUGAAGUAAAGCAUUUAAAUGCGUAUACAAUGUUUUUGGAACAUUAAAUAUCUAUUUGAUCAGAAUCUGAUGGGGCAAUAGGUGAUGCAGGCAUAAACUAGAAAGACAACAAACAAACACAAAGAAAAAAGAUUUGUUAAGCAAACAGGGUUGCAAACUUAAACACUAAAUUCGCAAUUUAUUAUUCUGAAAAAAGUCUAAUGAUGUUUGCCUCUCAAAGAGGUUUCUAAAACAUUUAAAUAUGCUAAAAAACCUAUCUCUAUUGGAAAAAAAAAAUUCAGAAUCCAAAAGAAUAAACAAAAACUACAUAAAAUCUGAAAUAAAACAAUAAAUAUGAAAAAAAUCAAGGAAAAAUAGCUAAAUUGGCUCAAAACAGGAUCUUAUGAACCUAAUUUCAGGGGAUCCGAACAUCAAAUGAUCAACAAAGUAUGUUUCCAAUUGAGAUGGGCCUUAGAAAUCUCCUAUAAAAAUUGAGAUCUAAGCAAAUUAAGUGAUAUUUGUUUGAGACUUCGCUAACUACAUAUAAAGGAAUUAAAAAUAAAUUAUGAUGAUCAAUUCAAAAUCAACAAAAUAUUAAAGUGAAAUUGGAAGCAAAAACAGGGCAAAAAUCAUUAAAUCAAAAGAAGAAAAAAUUAGAAGAUAGAAUUUAUUUAUUUUUUUUAAAAAAGGGGGGAGGAUAUGAAUAGUGAAGUAGGAGGGAAAAACCUAAUUUUUUUAGUAUAAUAAAUAAUUUUUAAUUAAAUUAAAAUCUUCAUCUCAUACAAUUAGACCCAAAAAGAGUUAAAUAAAAAAGGGAAGAAAAUUUCUAAAGAUAUAAGGACCAAUUUAAAAAAAUAAAAGGAAAAAAAAAUGAAAAAACACCAAAUCAAGAAACGAAAAAAUAUAAGGACCAAUUUAAAAAAACAAUAAAAAAUAUAAAGAGUGAAGGAGGUAGAGAAACAUAAGUUUUUUAGUAUAGUAGUUUAUUUCUAGUUAAAUUAAAAACUUUAUCUCAUAUAAUUAGGCCAAAAACAAUUUUUUAAAAAAAAUAAGGACUAAUUUGUAAAAAAAGAAGAGAAAAAAACAGAAUCAAAUCAAAAGGGAAAAAAAACUAAUUUAAAAAUAAAAAUAAAAUGCUUCAUUAUUCAUGUAAAAACAAAACAUCAUUAUAGUAUCCAACUAGACAAGUGACCUACACUACGGGCUAUCCUAAUUUUUUUAAAGCAAAAUUUUUUUUUAGCAUUAUUAGAUGUGAGAAAAUAUUUUUUAAAAAACAUACAUGUGUACAAGAUAGGAGAGAUUUGGUUUGAGAAUGCAUGCUAAAAAUCUAAACAUGAACUAAAACAAAGUGGAAUUAAAAAAAAAAAAAAAACUUAAAAGAGAUCAGUGAUUCAUUAUAGACUGUGAGGUAAAACACUGUAGAUUAGCAUAAUAUAUUUAUUUUUUGACCUUCUCUACGUAAAAUAAUUGCCUUGCUAACAGGGUAAAGUUGUUAUUUUCAAUGGAUCUAAAGGUUAUUUGUAAAUUGAUUGGGAAUAAUUUAGUAGGUUAGCUAUUUUAUUUGCGUAGUAAAAUGACGUCAAUACCCUUGAGAGUUCAAAAAUAUUGACCUUGACAAAGGCAUUUUUUAGUCUUUUCCAUGUUUUGUAUACUGUAAAAUGACAAAGUUAACCUUAGAAUAAAAAAAUCUAAAGCUGGUCUGGGAUAGCAUUUUCAUCUUUGCAAUAUAGCUUUUUUGUAAUAUUUAGAUGCUCUUAUGAGCUAUUUAGCAAUUUAAAGUAUUGAAAUAUUAAUAAAUCAAUAAACAAAGGCUGACAUGUGUGUAGCACGUGUCAACACGUGAUAGUCCACCACGUCAUUUGGGAGGCGUGUGAUAGUCCAACAUGUAAUAUGGAGGUGUAGUUGAUGACGUGGCGUGUCGUCAUAUUUGUAGUGGUUUAAUGGUGAUAAAAAAAUUUUCCCGUCCCCCUCUUUUCUCUCUCUAAGGCUUUAGUAUUCACGCCGAUGCUUUAAAAUUUCACUUGUAUCCUUUGGAUUGUAUUUAUAUUAAGUUUGAUUCUUAUUAUUUUAAUUUCUAUUUAUUUUGAUUUUAGUGUUUUUUAAAGAAAAAAAUUUCAAUUUCAUUCCUCAACAUUUUAUUUCAUUUAAUUUUUAUAUUAAACUUGGUCCUCAUUCUUUUAAUUACUAUUUUCUAUCCUUUACUUAAUUUUUUUAAUUUUAUUUCUUAUUAUUUUAUUUUAUUUUAUUUUGUUUGCAAUUGCAGUUCUUUUUUUUUUUUAUCCCUAGUAAGCAAUUGUUGCCGCAAUGACAUAUGCCUAGCAAGAGGAAAAAAAAAAAAAAAAAGAGACGCUUGAAGGUUAGAGAAGGCACCUCUGAGUGGAAGGAGGCUGAGGUGCGCUAUUUUUGAAGUAUGUGAAAAUCAUAUGUUUCAAUGCUACUUCUUGCAAGAGUCUCCUUAACCAACCUAGAGUGUUAUAUUAGACUGCUAACGUAUUUUAUAAAAAUAUUGAUAAAAAUAUUUUUGGAUAAUUUUUUUUAUUUUAUUUGAAUUUAUUUCUUAAAUAAUUUAAAUUAAUAAGAUAAUUACAUAAAAGAUAAUGUUAGUCAAGUUAUCUUUUUACCAACCAUAAAAAGAUUUUUACUAAUCCAAGCCAACAAAAUAACAAUUACAUGUAUAAAUUGUCAUAUGUUGGAAAAAGGAGUUAGCUCAUAUUUUAGGGAUUAUAUUAAAGUGUUAGCAUCUUGCCUGGUUAGAAAUAGAAUUGAAUUUACAUAUUAGUAUUAUCAUAUAUUUUGUAUUGUCGUUUAAAAAAAUAAAUAUUUUCCUUAUAUGGAGUUAAGUGUUUUUAUUUUUAUCAUGUAAAAUUUAUAUAUUUUUUAAAAUUAAUUUUUCUAAUCAUCAAAUUAUUUUUAUUUUUUAAAAUUUAUAUAUUUUUUAAAAUUAUUUCUUAAAAAUAAAUUUAUUUUUCUAAAAAAUUGAACUUAAUACAUGCAUAUUAUCUAAUCAUCAAAUUAUGAACUAUCAUAAUUCUAUAUAUUUAUUUAAAUAAAACAAGUUCAAGAAUUAAUGUAGAUCAAUCUUAUUGAUUAAUAAAAUUCAUGUAUGUAUCUAUUUUUGCAAAUUGGAUGCAUACUUAAUUAAUAUUAAAUCAAGCAAAAAAUCUAUAAAAAGAAUAUACAAGUGAGCCAAACAACAAUAUUAAAAACGAACAAGAGGUCGAAUUAAUAUCCAUUAACUAAUAGUAAAAUUAAGAAGAUGAUACCAAAGGACACAAAAUCACAAAAAAGCAUUUAACAUUCAGAGAAAGAAGCCUGCAACACCCAUUAAGGAAAAGAGAGAAGGGAAAGAAAUGUAGAUUAAUUGAUACAGAGGAUCACCUUGUUCCAGACCAGCGCGAGACUGUAGAAGAAUCCAGACGAACCAAGAGCAAAAAAUGCAGGAGAGAUAAUCAUGAGAGAAACAAAUUCAUAUAUCCACGAAUACGUACAACAUUUGAAACCUAUAAUGCAAGAAUAGCUGCAGAUGUACAUUAAUAUUUUUAAUUUAAAGAAUCAAUUAAUUAUUUAAAAAACUUGAGGGAUUAAUUUGUUUGUUUCACAUAAAACAGACACUAAUUAUAUAAAGUUUUACUCAAAAAACAGACACUAAUAAUCAUAUGCGUGAGUGUUUACUUGUAAAUAUUUUGGAAGGAACUGGUUUAUGUUUUGCGCAUCAUGAAAAAAUCAUAUAUGCUUAAGUAACUAUUUGGCAUCAAUCUAGUAAAUUAAUCUUAAAUUCCUUUUAUCCAACUCUUGCCGUUUUAAAAUUAAUCAAUGUAAAAGUUAACCAAACAUGAUAAAAUCAAUAUAAUGGGUUUACGAAUACAUAUUAAAUUAAUCUUGGUUUUAUAGCUUAAUUUUCUAAACUCACUACUCAAAUAAUGAACUACAUCUAGUUUUAAUUUUUUUUAUUUAAUAUUAUAAUAACAAUACCAUUUCAAAAUUAACCAAAUAUAUAUAUAUAUAUAUAUAUAUAUAUAUAUAUAUAUAUAUAUAUAAUAGAGUUUAAAAACAAAUGAACAAUAUGAUAUUGUUCCAUUUUACUAUAAUGAUGAAGUUUUCACAAAAUAUAAAACUUAAAUUAAAUUAAGGCAACAAUCAAUUCUUUAGCUUUAAAACGAUUUAUUAUUUGCUUUCUAGUGGUAGUAGUAGGAUGAUUGGAAUAAUUUUUUUUCCAUUAACAAUAGAAUUGAGAAGGCCCGCCACAGACCAAGAGGACAGCUUCAAUGAAGCCAUCCCAGCCGAUGCAGGUGAUUACCCGUCGGCUGACAUCUCCUCGCGCGCAUAGCACCAGCCAAACCACCUCAAUCUGAAAAUGCACCAGACAAAGUCAAUGGAAAGACGCCAGGGAGCCUCAGCAGCCGAGAAGAAAGCGAGGGAACACCCACCGCGCGAGAAACACGAAAAACAUAGAGGGAGCGCGGUAAAGACUGUGAAGCCACAGAAUUCACACAUUGUGCACCGUGUUUUAAUGAGCACUCUUAGUUUAUUUUAUAUAUAAUUCUUUUAGUUUUAGUUUUAGUUUGUUGUGUUAUGAACAGUAAAGCAGCACAAGAAUACGUCUGCGUCAAGCUCUGUUCACUUUGGUCCGACAUUCCUCACCUCUCCCCACCUUAGCUCUCUCUCUUUCCCUCCUCUGCUUUUAGAAACCGCCGCUGCCACCUCAACCAAUAAGGCUUCAAAUCUCACCCAGGUGCUUCCUUUUCUAUUAUGUUUUUGUUUUUUAAAAAAGAUUUACGUCCGCGUUUUCAUUUAUUUAAUUGAAGUUACUAUCCAAAGAGAGAAAUUCGAUUUUAAUAAGUAAAUUAAAAAGAUAUAUAAUCGGAUCCAAUGAAAUCGCUGCUCGUGAACGCAACUCGAAGAAAGGCGCAAUCAGUCGAUUCUACUGUGGGUGGAGCAUUUAGUAUGGUCAGGGUUAUUGUGUUGUCUAUUCAAAGAAAGAUGUGCCUGUAAAUUUAUUAAGUUGAUUCUUAUCAGUCUGCUCUUUAGAGUUGAUGAUAACAUGAAAUAUUCAUUGUUGAUGCUUGUCGUUUUCUUCUUCAUUUUCCUAGCUUAAAACAUCCUAGACAAUCUCUUUGGGAUGGUUUAGUGUUUCUGGCCUCUUCAUCUUCUAUUUGUGCUGUGGUAUUUAGUUUGCUGAUAUUCAUUGGGGAUUGAAAGGCCUCGUUUUAUGACUUUGUUUUCUUCUUAUUUCUUUAUUCUUUUGGGGAUGUGAUAUUUUCCUCUUUCUAUUUACACUAUUGGCUCCCUACAAUAUUUUUUCCUUCAGAGAAGUAAAUAUAUACAUAAAUAACAAGAACAGGAGGGGAAGGGGAGGGGGGUUUGACAAUAAGUAUUUGCUUAGAAGGGAAUGCUUCUUUGGUUUAGAAGCACCAUGAAGAUUCAGGCCCAUAUUUGGCUGGUUUCUUUAAUAAAGUACAUGAUAUUCCAUUUUUCAUGUCCUUGAUGUGCUUUUACUCUUCUUGCCGUUCCUGACUUUCUUUUUAGGGUAUAUUCUAACAUGCAAUAUGUUUUUUUUUUGUUGGCCCACUGUCCCAGGCGGAGAACCUGUCAUGGACAUGGGUGAUUGCAGAAUUCAAUUGCAGCCUGACUCACGGAAAAGAAUAGUCAAAAAUUUUUUUUAUUUAUAUGAAAGAAAAGGAGAAGGGCAGAAGGUUAAUUAAAAUCAGCAGGAUUGCCAUGAGGCAACCUCAAGUAUCACGCACCUCUUUUUUUUUUCAUCUUUUCAUGUGUUUCUCACAAGAAGCAAACUUGAGGGAACAUAAAGUGCUGGGAAGUAAUUUUUGUUGGAAUUUCUUGUCUAAUCUCUUCUUUUGAUGAUGACCUCUUGGAUGGCUGCAUGAAGCUUGUUCCGCUUUAAAUUUCAAGGUUAAUCUAUUGCUAUGAGCAUACGUGUUUCAAUUUAAAACUCGAGUUGCAACUGAACUUAAAUAAAUGGUGUUGGAUUUGUGCUUUCUAUUUGUUUUAACUUCUACAGGGUUGAAAUGAUAGUGAUCUUAAACUAGAAAAGCAGCAGACAAAAAUCAAUUAGCCACAAUGGUGUAUGGUUUCUCAGCAUAAAGUUGAAAUGAUAGUGAUCUUAAACUAGAAAAGCAGCAGACAAAAAUCAAUUAGCCACAAUGGUGUAUGGUUUCUCAGCAUAAAGUUGAAUGUUUUGUUGACCUCUUUACAUCCAAAAUCAUAUAGACAGCUACUGCUAGCACUUGCAGUGGUCAAUGAAUACUGUAGAGUAUAUAUUGCAGUGUGAGAUAAGGUUAACUCAUUGCAUUUUCAGAUAUUGAAAGGAUUUCUCUUCUUUUCUUUGUCAAUUACAGGACAUGCAUCGAAGUGUUCUUACUGAGAGUAAAUGCUAUUGUAAUGUUUUCACAGAGACUCCCCUGCUUUGCAACUAAGUCACUAAUAUAUCUUGGAACAUAGCCAUAAAUGAAAGGUUCUUCCAGAUCAAGAAAAUUAACCAUGAAGCUCGUAGCUAGAAUUUUUAGACAGAAAGGUGGCCAAGUACGCUGUACCUCUGGAAUAAUACAGGGAAAGGAUGUCUAUGUAUUUUGAUGUCUUAUAUUACUUGACCAACUCUUGCUUAUCUCAUUAUUUGUUUUUACUUUUUGCUAAUGAUUCCACACAUUUCUGAUAUUGGUGUGGUUUAUGAGUUUAGGGUUCUCGUUGCUGCUAACUUCUCUAUACUUUGCCUGGUCAUUAAAAAUCAAACGUAAUGAUUUGCAUAUGCAGAAUGGAGACAUUAAAAAGACAUCUUCUAUUUUCUGGUGAGGAGGGAUUUCAGGAACUCAAGAAAUUUUCCAUACGUUUUGAGGAAAAGAUUUAUACUACCGCUAACAAUCAGGUAUUUGCCUAAUGCGAGGUUCAAUAAUUAUGAUAUUAUCUAGACAUGAAUAUACACACGCAUUUAUGCUUGUACAAAUGUGUGUGUAGUGUGCCUACACUUCCUCACCGUUCAUUCUGUAUGCAAGGUUGAUUGGGAGUUCACAUCAUUUUGUUAAUUCUCUUGACAAGUGUUUUAUUUAGAGUGACCAAGUUCAAGUACAAGGGAAGAAUGCAAAAAGCAAAUAACGAAUCAAUACAUAAAUAAUUAAAUAAAAAGAGAGGUAACAGAAGUAUAUCCUCAUAGAAGAUGAAAUGAUAGAGUAUAUAUCUAUUUUCCUCCUCUGGUAACAUGGAUUGCUCUGAGAUCUACUGUUUUGUUAUUAAUAUCUGAUUUCAAUCUGAUUAUUUGCAUAAAAUAUCUCUGGAGAUGCUUUCGAUGGAGACCAGGUCUCAAAAUGCCAUGCUCACUACACCUAUGGAUCCAGCAGGUAAUAAUGCAGCCGAGCAUUGAAUUUCUAAAUAUCUUACCUUUUGUUUUUCUUCUCGCAUUGCUAUCAAACUCUUUUACAUUUUAUUGCUGCAUAUUGCUAUGUAUAUCGCCUUGCUGGAAAAAUCUCAUGAUCACCUCCACGAUGAUAAUUUUGUAAUGCAUGUGAAGUGUUUCAUCCUUAACUUGUUAAGGAACAAGGACUGUGAUGCAUGGUAUUUUAUAUUUUAUGAUUGAGAUGGUAGAUUUUAAAGAUUUUCAUGUUAAGGAGAUAAGACGUCACUUUCUUGCUUUUCUUCCGAGAGAGUAUUUGAUCCUUUUUUCAUAUAAAAUAAUGCUGGCAUGCAUUGAAUUUCCAAACAUCUUACCUUUUGUUUUGUUUGUCGCAUUGUUAUCAAACUCUUUUACAUUUUGUUGCGGCAUAUUGCUAUGUGUAUGGCAUGCUUUAAUCAAAAAGUUGAGUAAUUGAUGAAUGUUAGGCAAGAAAAUUACAGAUUAUUUUUAUUUUCUACCUCCUCCUUCUCUUUCCCCCACCCCGAAAAUGGUCAUAUUAUUUUUUUUUUCAGCCACCUCUUCUUCCCCCAACCUUGAAAAUUGUUUAUAUUUGCUUUGGAAGCAUGGCAAACUUCACUGCCUCUCAGCUUAAGGAGAUUGCAGCAGGUCUCGAAGCUUCUGGGCAUCAGUUUAUUUGGGUAGUUAGAAGAAACAAAAAGAGUCAAGAAGACAAGGAAGAUUGUUUACCUCAAGGAUUUGAGGAAAGAAUGGAAGGCAAAAGGCUAUUAUCAGAGGAUGGGCACUCCAAGUUUUGAUUCUUGAUCAUGAAGCAAAAGGUGCAUUUGUGACUCAUUGAGGAUGGAACUCAACUCUUAAAGGCGUAAGGCAAAUAUUUGAUGAGCAAUUCUAUAAUGAAAAGUUGGUGACUGAUGUUUUAAAAACUGGAGUUAAGGAAUGGCUUAGAGUGCAUGGAGAUCAUGUUAAAAGUGAAGCUGUAGAGAACGCAAUCACUCAAAUUAUGAUGGGUGAAGAAGCAGAGGAAAUGAGGAGCAGAGCAAAGAAGCUUUCAGUGCUUUGAUUUAAUAACUGCAAAAAAUGAAAGGUUGUUGAAGAUGGUGGAUCUUCUUGCUCCGAUUUCAAUGCUUUGAUUGAAUAACUGAGGUGGGGUAGCCUUUGAAACAGAGGCAUAGAAUAUAUAUAUAUAUAUAUUUUAGCUUUUUUAGUUUAACGUGGGUGUUCGGGCCAGCUUGCGCGCACCUCGACUAAUCCCACGGGCCCUGAAGUUAACGACCAUGUAAGUCUCCAGUGGCCAUCAUAUGAGCAACCACAGGGCUCGAACCUGAGACCACAGAGGGAGCAAACCUUUUAGUCCCAAGCUCUUACCACUGGGCCACCACCUAGAUGGUUAAGGCAUAGAAUAUUUUGUUUCUACUUAGUAGUGGUUUUGGUAAUUUAUUUUCAGACAAGUCUUGAGAGUUGAAAGAGUAAUCACAGCCGAGUCAAUGACCAAUCCAAAUAAGUUCCCUUCCUAAUGGUUCAGGAAUGACAAGUCCAGCAUAUAUAUUUAGCCCAAAUAACUUUUCAAAUAAAAUGGCUGAGCUUAGAGACAGUACACUACAAAUUAAGCACCCAUUAGCUAGACAUACAGGACAAACAAUCAUCACAAACUAGAAACGACUGUCUUCCCAGUAACAAACUCACCUUCUCAAGUUGGAGAACUUGCGAAAACUAGCUACUACAAUAUAGUAGCAAGUAUCUAUGCAGUCUUCGAUGAAGUACGACCACCUGCGUCGCCAAUAUGGAUUGAUGUAAAGAACUGCUACAAUCAUAAUCACCACGACUGUGUAACUUACACCGAAAUUGAUGUAGAAAAACUCCAUGUCUAUGAAACCAUCAUCUCCUUGUUCAUCAUUAGGCACUGGUUGUGAUGGCAUUGGCUGUGAUGGCACUGGCUGUGAUGGCACUGCUUCUUCACUACAAUUGUUUUGCAAUGGAGGUCCACACAAGAAAGGAUUUCCUUCGUAACAGCUUUCAUCGAAGGUCCCAAACUGAUAUUUUCUCUCGGGUGUCUUACAUGACAAGUUAUUGUACGCCACACUAAAAACUUCCAGUGUGGUAAUUUCAGUAAGUUGUGGAGGGAUGACACCAUUCAAGUUGUUGUAAGAAAGAUCCAAACUCUCAAUCUGUUUUAGGUUUGAGAAUGUUGCUGGGAUAGAUCCAGUGAGAUUGUUGUGUGAUAAGUUUAAUGACAAUAUCUUACUUAAGUUUCCAAAUUCCGGUGGGAUUGCUCCUACGAAGUUGUUAUUGGAGAGAUCAAUACCAGACAUGUAGUUGAGAGUCUUCCCCUUGUAACCAUAAUACAUAUUUUUAGUUGUAAAUUCUAUCACUUCUUCUGUAAAGUUAAGCAGAAAACCCUUUCUCAAGUUGUACAUACUCUCCACUAGUGGUGGACCCAUUGUUUCAUAAUAAGCUUUUUCUAUGGACCUUGAUAGAACACCAGCUCCGAGAUCCGUGAAUGCUUUCUGGGAACUUUCCUUGAAAGUAAGAUUGCCCAAACAGGAGGGUAGUGGACUAGAGAGCUGGUUUUGUGAAACAUCCAAAAUGCUUAAAUGUUCUAACAAGCAUAAUUGAACAGGGAGCUCACCAUCAAAGUGAUUAGCCCUCAGAAGAAGAACACUCAAUGAUGAAAGAUUGCCAAUCCAAUUUGGAAUGGAGCCGGUGAAGCUGUUAUCUUGAAGAUCCAUCGUAACUAAGAAAGAGCUGUUAUAAAAUCUAUAUGUUAAUGGACCGCUCAAUCUAUUUUCGGAUAGAUGCAUAUGGAUUAGAGUUGAUGGACUGAAACAAGAUGGUAUAUAUCCAGACAAGUUGUUCUCUGAAAGGUUCAAAUAUUCAAGUUGAUCAAGCUUACAAAAGUCUCUUGGGAUCGGACCCUUAAAAUGGUUUUUGGACAAAUCAAUUGCUGCAAGAAUCGUAGAAUUAAGAAAGCUCCUUGGAAGCAUGCCUGAAAAUUGAUUGUUACUCAAAUCCAAUACAAUCCACAUUUUCCACCUAUAUAAUGAAAAAUCUGAUAUCUGACCCCAAAAGUUGUUACCACCUAGAUAGAGAUAUUCUAAGGUAGAAGAAUUGAACAACGAGGUCGGUAAUUGCCCACCCAAAUUGUUGUUUGACAGCUUGAGAAACCAUAUUGUUGUUAGUUGUUCUAGUUUUACUGUGGACAAUUGAUUGUUGGAUAAAUCUAAAAUUCCCAAAGAGCUAAUAUUUCCUAAACAAGAAGGAAUACAACCUGUGAAUCCAUUCUUAGCCAUCCUUAAGCUCUUCAGAUUUUGAAAGAUCAAACAAAUAUCCUUUGGAAUUUGACCGCUCAUGUUGUUGUUGGAUAUAUCUAAUUCGGUCAUAUUUAGAUAUGGGUGAUUUGGCAACUGCAAAGUACCAACAAAGGAGUUCUCACUCAAAUAUAGUUGCUCCAAUCGUGUAUUGUUCUUAAGCAACCACGAUGGAAACAUUCCGGUGAUGUUGUUGUGGGAGAGAUCAAGGACUCUUAAGUCGUAUUGGUAAUAGAGGAAGUUGGGAAUCUCUACAUUGACUGCUUCUAUUGUUUUUGACAAACUAAAAAAGACUAGUUGGAACUUUGGAAUCAAAUGAUCAAAGGCAGCAGGUUCUGUUACUAGUCUAUUGUUCUCAUUGCAGAAGAACUUGAGGCUUGAGUGGUUCAUAAAAGGCUUCAUUGAAAUGGGAACUUCAAAGAGGUUAUUUGAUAGUGAGAGGAAUUCAAGAGAUGUGAGGUUGGUAAGAGGACCAGAGGCAAUAUUUCCAGUAAACUGGUUUUUAGAAACAUCUAAUAGUUGUAGAGAUGACAAGUUUCCUAAACAAUCUGGGAGUGAACCUUCUAAAUUAUUUCCAAAGAGAUCUAACUGCUUCAGAUUCUUCAAUUCACACCAACCUGUAUAAUUUAUCUCGAAACAGUCAAAAUAGCUAAAUAAUUAAAAGAUUACCAUAGAAGAGGAUGGAGUGUUGUUAAUUUACCUUGAGCGGGUAGGGUGCCAUGGAGGUCACAUCCACCAACAGACAAAACCUUAAGAGCAGGCAAUGCUCCAAUGUUCUGGAGAAAGUUUACUGGGAGAGAAGUACGAUCUAGAUUCAAUUCUUCAAGAGUGCUAGAAUUGAAGAAAGUCCCUGUGAAAAAGAAAGAAGAAGAGAUAUGAAGAAAAUAAUGGUGGUACAGAAUAGCCAUUCCAUUCAAUAUUAUUAAUUAAUAUUUUAAGAAACUAAACUAUGAUUAACCUUGACUUAAAUUAGUAUCCUUGAGAGAAAGGGUCUUCAGGGAUGGCAAUGACUGCAGGAAGUCCAGCUUCCUUAAACCUAUGAUGUGUAGAAUUGAAAACAGGCAAUCAAGUAAGUAGUGAAAUUAAGCGUUAUCUUGAUCGAGUUUUUAAACCUAUGAUAAAAAACUGAUAUUGAAUAUACUUUUAUAAUGAUAUGAUUUUUGGAUAGAAACAACAAAUUGCCUGAAAAAUCCAGAGAUUUCAAAAGGUAUUGUUAAAAAAUGAAGUAAAUAAUAUUCACAACUUUACCAUUGACAGUCGUCGAUCCUAGCAACAUAUUGCCUGAUAAAUUUAAAGACUUGAGAUAAGAAAAUCCACGCAGAUGUGAUAAAAUGCUGUCGUUGAAUAUAUUAUAGCUCAAGUCCAGGUUCUCGAGUUUCCCUAAAUGUGAUGAUAUGAUCUCAAAACCUGCAAGAGUAAGUCAUCAUGAGCUCACGAUAUGCAUAAUAUAUAGAAACUAAAGAUAAUUAGAAUUGAUGAGAUGCUGUUGUUCAAUUGAUAUAUGAUUCUCAAAUUAUACAUAAAAAUAAUGAUACAUGAACGCAUAUGUCAUUAUAUAACAGGUUGUGCACACUUCAAAGAUUAAGAAACAAUUUUUAAUCAUUCUAAUUUUGAUCUUAUUGGAAAAAAAAAAAAAAUUUAUGGAUAUAAAGUCGUUAAAGAUGGAAACUAAGUCAAACAUGAUAAAUGCUAUCAUUAAAUUGAUCAUUACAUAGAUAUAAAGUACUUAUUUUUUAUGAUAAUGCAUGUAACGAGUAUUAUUGAUUAUUGUUCUUGUUUUAAUUACCGAUGAGAAAUUUUGAACAAUCAUUUGAUUUUAUUAGUUUUGAAUAAUAUAAUAUUUUUGAAGAUUAUAAAAUGUUAUGUAUUUUUAAAUAACUUGUUUUUUUGAUAUGUUUGUUAUGAGGCUUAGCGUAGGUGGGGUGUCCUUUCGAUACAGCUCCUGCGUUGCCAGUAAUAAACUUGAGACUCGAGUGGUGACAAAAUUGAUCUUUACAUGGAUAUAAAGUUCUCAUUUUUGUUGAUAAAGAAACAAUAUAAUUAAGAGAAUGUCAUGUGAAGCAUUUAGGUAGAAACUGUGUAUUAUACCUGAUCCUGUCAGCUGAUUGCCUGAUAGAUCCAAAGACUUGAGGGAUGAAAAUCCAGUUAGAGAUGGAAAAAUGCUGCUGUUCAACUUAUUAAACGAUAGAUCCAAAGACUUGAUCAGGGAUGAAAGCCCACUCAGAAUUGAUAAGAUGCUGCUGUUCAAUUGAUUGAAACUCAGGUCAAGGUUCUCUAACUUUCCCAGCCUCAUCGGUUGGAGUUGAAAACCUACAAGAUAUACAUAAAAAAAAAUAUACAGUGCAUAGAUUAAGGAAGAAGAUAGAUUGCAAGUAUCCAUUCUAUACAUGUAAUUUUUAAUCAUCCUAGUUUUGAUCAAGUUGUGUCUUAUUAGAAAAACAAUUUAUGGAUAAGAUCAAAGCCCCAUAGAUAUAAAUCUUCAUUGAUGAAAGCUAGCGCAAUCAAACAUGAUGAAAUGCUAUCGUUGAUUAAUUAUUAAAUAAAUAUAAAGUCCUCAAUUUUCUUGAUAAAGAAACCGUAUAAAAGAAUGUCACGUAAAGCAGUUAGGUAGAAAUUAUAUAUAACUUACUAUUGAUACCAGCAGAUCCUGUCAACUCAUUAUAUGAUAGAUCCAAAGACUUGAGAGAUGAAAAUCCAGUUAGAGAUAGAAAAAUGCUAUCGUUGUAUUGAUUCCCACUCAGAUAUAGUUUCUCCAGCUUUUUCAACCUUGAUGACAAGACUUUGAAACCUGCAUGAUUUUUCUCAAAAAACAUAGAAAUGAUAUGAGAAGGAGAAAAGAAAAGGUUUUGAAGCUAAAUAAUUAUAAGGUUACCAUAGAAGCUACCUCCUGAUCCAGCUGUCAACCCAUUGUCUGAUAGAUCUAAAGACUUGAGAGCGGAAAGCCCAUUGAAACAUGACAAAAUGCUUUUAUCAUUAUUAAAUCGGUUUUCACUUAGGUCAAGUUUCCUCAGUUUUGAUGAUAGGACUCCGAAGCCUGGAAGAGAAACAUCAAAGCAAGAUAAUUGACAUUAAACACCAACCAACCAACCUUCAUUUAUUUUAUUAUUAUAAUUAAGUGCACAAACAUUGAACUAACCUUCAUUCUCCAAGCAACCAACCAAUCCAUUAUAUCCCAAAUCAAGACUUUGCAAUUCUUUGAAAGGCUGAAACAAAGAUGCGUUGAGAACCCAAUCGCCCAAGCUCUCAUCCCUUUCUCCACUAAGAGAGAGUUGGAUCACUCGCCUUGUAGUGUGAUCACACUCGAUCUCAGGCCACUCACAACAAUUACUACUGUCCACCCAAUGUCUCAAGGAAAUGCCAUCUGGGUCGAUCAAAGAUUGGAUCUCCAAGAGACCAAUUCUCUCUUCCUCCAAACACCCAUAACAACGACCAGACCAUUCGCCAACCAAAGUGAAUAAUGCUAGCAACAUCCAAGCCCCCAUUCUUUUCAACAUCAUCGUAGAUAAUUCUAUGAACUACUACGUAGAAUAUUAUUGUUUGUUAUGUGCCUUUGGGCAACCAUAGAGGUCCUAUUUAUACUACACUGGCCAUUUCCAUGACUUUGAGAUGUUUUCUUUAUUUAAUUUCCACGACUUUAUCUGCAUAUCUUGUGCAGGUUCCGUGUUUUGAGAUUUGAAUAUUAUUUUAUUUCUUUUUGGAAUGUUCUUGGAUUUAAAUAUUAUUUUAUUUUAUUAUUUAGCACUUAUUCUAUUUGCAUUUAAUUAUAUUUUGGUUACUAAUUAUUCAAUUUAUAAAAAAAAUAAAAUAAAAAAAUUGUUGCAGUACUUCAACAUCGACAUUCGUGUGUGAUUCCACAUAAGAUCUUUUCAACUUUAUAAUUGUACUUCUCUCGUUAAAUACAUAAAUUAUCAAUAAUAAUAAACUCGAAAUAAUUAUAAAUCUUAUCCCUGUGGAUUGUGUGGGUACAGUAUUAUAUACAAAAACUUCAAAUACAUAAUAUAUAUAAGUCAGAAAUAUUUUUGUUUUUAUGGACUUGUUUUUAUUACAUUUCAAUAUUAAAUAUAUUUUUUUCAAUCGAGUCAAAGAUAUACCAUUUAUAUUAGAAUGAGAAGACUAAUCAAUUUCUCUAAUUUCUCUAGUUUUCUCCCUAAUUAUAAAAUACAUCUGGUUUUUCAAGUCCAGAUUUUAAGAUAAAAGGAAUUUAUUUCUUGAAAGUAAUGCAUUAAACAAUAUAAAAAAAAUUUAAAAAAUUUAAAAUAGUAGUAAAAGUAGUUUUUGAUUGAAGUGUAAACUAGUGGUAAAUGAACAAAAAGAAACUUUAUUGAUUAUCUAAUGAGUUACUUCUCCAGAAAGAAUAUAUACAAUAUUAUUGAUUAUCUAAUGGAAACUCCGCCUAACACACACACACACACACACACACACACACACACAUAUAUAUAUAUAUAUAUAUAUAUAUAUAUAUAUAUAUAAGUUAGAGACACUUUUUGUUUUUAUGUUCGGAAAAGUGUUCUUUACUUGUUUUUAUUACAUUUCAAUAUUAAAUAUAUUUUUUUCAAUCGAGUCAAAGAUAUACCAUUUAUAUUAGAUUGAGAAGACUAAUCAAUUUCUCUAGUUUUCUCCCUAAUGUAUAAAUUUCUCUAGUUUUCUCCCUAAUUAUAAAAUACAUCUGGUUUUUCAAGUCCAGAUUUUAGGAUAAAAAGAAUUUAUUUCUUGAAAUUAAUGCAUAAAACAAUAUAAAAAUAUUUUUAAUAAAUUAAAAUAGUAGUAAAAGUAAAUUUAGUUUUUGAUUGAAGUGUAAACUAGUGGUAAAUGAACAAAAAGAAACUUUAUUGAUUAUCUAAUGAGUUACUUCUCCAAAAAGAAUAUAUAUAUUAUUGAAUAUCUAAUGGAAAGGAUUCAUGAAACUCCGCCAUAUAUAUAUAUAAAAGAGAAAUUGUCGAUAAUAGCAAUCAUUUUCUUAUCUCUUGUAUCAUUCAUAUCUUCCACAAAUCUUAAGUAAUUGAUGAGACAGUGGAUAUUGCCAAGAAAGGUCGUGAACGCGGAUGCUUGACGAUUAUGAUUUUUAAACACAACCAUAUAGUGAUUUCCUUAUGCAUACUGGUGAUCCUCCAGAAUCUUGUAGGAACACCACAAGCCAAUCUAAAAGAAUGCUAAAAGUCAAAACACACAAGCCAUAUAAAAAUCACACGACAGCCAAUUACCUUAUCUUUUGAAAGAAAGAUAAUAAUAAUAAUAAUAAUAAUAAUAAUAAUAAUAAAAGCAUUCUCCUGGGUGUGCAAUGACCGCCAAUCUUUCUCAUUAUGACAUUCAAUGCUCAGUUAGAAGUUGCACGAUGCUCUUCUCAUGGGGAGCAAAAAUCAGUAGCCUCCCAUGGAAUCCUCAUAAACCUUUCUCUAUGCUCUUCUAAGAUAUUAAAAAUGUCAAACAUACAUCAAUAAUAAAAAGACAUUAAAAAUGUCAAACAUACAUCUAAGAUAUUACGCAAAACGAGGUUUUUUUCUGCAAAAAAAUAAAAAUAGAAUGUUAUACAAAUGGAGCUUCCAACAAAAAAGAUAUGGGAAGUUCGAGGAAAAAAAUGAUUAGUUAAUUCAAAACACCAGCAGUAAGUAAUAAUUACAAAACACGAUACCGAAACCAAAUUGAAAAGUGAGCAAGAAUACAAAAAUGGUUACAUGUAUCAAAAGGAACUGGUACCAAUUUCUCCACCACUGUAUGUCCCUUUUGUUCAGUCUAUGUUUGGUGCAAUCACCUAAAGCUAGAAACAAAAACAGCGCCUUACUCUACAAGUAGCUCAUCAAAGUAUAUGUUGUAAAUUGCAAACACGUGCUAACAAUAAAUUGUGGCCAGAGGAUUUGCUUCGAUCCCAGAGGCCAUUGAGGAUAUUCGUCAAGGAAAGGCUCAUGCACCCUCUUGAUUUGAUGAUUCUUUGCAUUUAGUUAUUGUUGUUGAUGAUGAACAAAUUAAGAGAAAAUGAGGGGGGCCUUAUAAUGGCAGCGUCAAAGGCAACACCAGAAGCUAUGGCAUUUAUUGUCAAGCAUGGGACUGGUAUAGUGUGUGUGAGCUUCCAUUAAUGGUAACUCAUAAGGAGAAUGAGGAAAACUGUGCACUGCAUUUACUGUAUCAGUGGUACGUCAUUAACUUCUCCAUUUAUAUUAUCUAAUGGAUAUGAUCUUUUCAAGAAACCUUUAUCUUGGUUUGAUUUUAAAGUGCUAAUUUAAUUGCGGAUUCUGUCCCAGAUGAGGUCCGGUUUCCUGAAAUCAAAGAUGUCUACACUGUCCCGUGGACUUAUAGUUCAGUUGCUCAAUCAGAACUGAUGACAUCUGCACAUUCGGCGACUCCAGCAUUAAUUGUGGCCUUGACAGAUUGUGAGAGGCCAGAUGGGAUGGAUUAGAUGCGUCUGAGUUUGUUGGAGAGGAAGACUUGCAGAAUAAUUUUGAGGGAGUGGGUGGCAGUUCGAUGGAGCGGUUCCUGUUGGUGCAACGCCGAACACAUGCCACGCAGGAUAUAUAGAAAUGCUAGUCAGCUUAUGAAAUCCGAGGUUGAUACGAUACUUAUCUUCAUAGAUUGUGAAUGUUGUUCUUUUUUCUACAAACGAUCCGUUAUGCAAAGCAAAUUCCAAGACCAGAAAAAUAAUGUUUAGAGUUAAAAGACAAUGUCUUAGCAGCAAGGACCUAUUCCAUCAGGAGAUAUGUGAAUUCUCAAGCCUUUGCAAUGCUUUUAAAUUAAUGAAGGAUCAAAAUGAAAAUGUUAUAUUCAUAACUAUACUGCAAUUUUGCCCAUAAUUCUUCUUUAAUUCUGUCCAGAAUCUUGGAUUAUGCUCCAGGGACCAAUCUGGAAUUUUAGUAGAUUUUUAAGGGUCAAAUUGUAAUUUUAUCAAAUUGAAGGACCAAAAUAAAAAUGUCAUAGAUUCAUAACUAUACUGGAAUUUUGCUUGUAAUUCAUCUUUAGUUCUGUCCAGAAUCUAGGAUUAUGCUUCAGGGAUCAAUCUGUAAUUUUUUCAAAGUUUGGGGAUUAACUUAAAUUUUCACAAAUUGAGGGACCAAAUUGAAAUUUUAUUAUCUUCAACCUCAAACCCAGAUUUUUCAUAGAUCACCUACUGAUAUAUCAAGAUUUCGAACUCAAAUUCAUCAUUUAAACAAACUAUAACUCAAAAUCAUCAUUUUUACCUAAAAUUUUCAAAAAUCAACUAAAUAACUCAUUACCCAUAACAGUCAUUCCGCUAAAUUAUUUCUACUUCUGCUUCUUCUUCUUCUUUUUUAUAAUACUCGAGUAUUAUUAUAGAAAGAUGCUUGAGCCAAAAUUAGAGGCUAUCUAGCAUAAAAGAAAAACAGAGGUAUAUACAGGACAGAGAGGAAGUAAUAACAUUAUAUAUAUAUAUAUAUAUAUAUAUAAAACUUGAGUUAACCCGUCAAGUCUAUGACCUGGAUUAUGAGAUCGGGAUAAGCAAACUCAAUAUUAAAAAAUAAAAUUGAAAAAAAAACAAUAAAAACAUAUAUGGUUUAACAAUAUUAAUCAAUUAUUAAAAUAUUUCAUUUUAUAUAUAUUAAAAAUAUAUAUUAAUAACUAUUAUAUCAGUUUGUGAAUGUUUCAAUUUGGAUGCAAAUAGAUGUUUAAUUAUCUAUGACAUUUUUUUUAAGAAACCAAAGUUAUUAAAUAUGGUUAGAUUUAAUACCUAGAUAAGGGUUUAGGUCAUAGAUUGGCUUAAUACUCGGAUCAAGAUUUGAAUUAUAGAUCGAACAAGUUAGCUUAUUGAUUGAUGUUAAUAAAAAAUUGUAUCAUUUUAAGAUUAUUUUUUAGUAAAAACCAAAAUCAAGUAGUUAAAAAAAGUGAAAGUAGUUUUUGAUAGGGUUGACUAGGUUGUAAGUUGAUUUAUCUAGUCGAUUAGGCUUGAUUGAGUCAACUCUCACUUGGUUUUUUUUAAAUCUAAAUCGGGUCAGGUUCCAGAUUAAAAUGUUAGGCUUGAAUUAAAUUUAAUAACGCUGAUUAAAAUCACAUUGUAGAAAAAAAAUGAAUUGCAUAAAAGUAAUUAACCAAAAACUUGUAUUCCUUCUUAUAAAGUUGAACCCAUGUCAGUUUCUUUUUUGGAAAAAUAUAAAUCAAAGGUUAACGCUACUUUCAUGACGAUGACGGAUAAAGAAGACUUGCUCCUUUCUUUAUGGAAAUAACGUGUGGAAAAUCAUGCCUUAAUUUUGAUGGUGAUGGCCAAAUCAAACAGUAUCGUUGAUAAAAUGAACCACAAAUGAUAUUAUUUCUACAAGACUUCUUGUCAUUGUCAUGACAAUAAGUCUUCUCCUUUUUCUUUCUAAAGAGUCUAUUUUUUGUAACACAAUCAACAAGUAAGAUGGAUAGAAAUUUGCAGUGUGAGAUGGGUCUGUGAGACUAUAUAUUGCCAUUUGUAUUUUUUUCAUGAUAAAGGCUAAUUGGAUGGUCCUAUCAAGCGUUUUUUUUACGAGAUGGGUCCAUAAAAACAUUUCCAUCUACACAUUGAUCCCUGAAACCUUUGCCAUAAUGCAUUUUUUCCACGAGAUGGGUUCGUGGAAAUACUUUGGUUUAAUAGGGAAUGCUGUUAUUGAUUGGAAACUUUUUAAUUAAAAUAAAUUUGAUUAUUUGAUUGGAAGAAAUCCUUAAAUGUUAUUAACACAAAGAAAUCAAUUUAUUUUCUUAAGAAAAAAAUAUUGUAACCAUAUAAGUAAUUUAUUUAUUUAUUUUAAUGAAAUAUAAAAUAGUUUUAAAUCUUGUGGUAUAUUUCUUGUCUUUAAGAGCUAUGAACUUAUAUCUCAAAACUUGAAAACUAAUAUAAAGAUAUUAAGUGAUCAUUGAGUGUAUGUGUGUGUGUAUAAUCUUUUUCAAAACAAAAAGGAUUUUGAUGGAGAGGACAUUGCAGCAAAUUAUCCACGAGAUGGGUCGGUGAUACCAUUGUCAUCAUGUAAUUUUUCCCACGAGAUGGGGCCGUACGCUUGGGGCUCUAAAAGCUAUGGUUUUUAAUUUCAUUAUGUUACAUAUCUAGAAUGGGAGGUAUAUUUUAUUUCAAUUCUAAAAAUGAAAUAAAUUAGAAGAUAUUUCAUCUUGUUUAGAAUAUUAUCUCCUUACAUGCAUGAAUUUCACAUAAAUUUUGACCAGAAUAUUUCGGUUCUAUUCCGGCCAUUCUAUUAUGUCCAAAUAAUGUUUUGUUUUGCUUUUAUAUAUAUAAAAAAUAUAAUUUAUUUUUAUGAUAUCAAUUAUACAUUUCAAUUCGACUAUUGGAUUAAACUGAAAUUUUAUAAUCUCCUAAUAUGUAUUAUAUCACAAGUUAAAAUUUUAGAUCAAUCAGAGUUUAGAAAGACUUUGUGAAAUUACUGUUGAUAUAUUUUCAUAAUUUUAUUUAAAUUCAUAAUUUUAUUUUGAAAUGUUUUAUUUUUUGUGGUUUUUUAGAUUGAUUUUUUUUCAUUUUAUAAUUUAACAAUAAAUUUAUUAAAAAUUAAAAUUCAUAAUUUAUUUUUAUUUAUUUUAUUUAAAAUUAUUAUAUUAUCAUUACUCAGAUCACGAAAAAAAAACCUUUGCUUUAAUUGGGAAUGCUGUUACAAGUAAUUGGACUCCGUGGGAUGGGAGACCGUUGCCAUCAUGCAUGUUUUUUCCACGGCAUGGGUCCGUAAAGUCCUCUAUAAAAGCUUAAACCUCCUUACUAUCCUCUAUAUCAAUUGAUCAGCAUUUAUAAGAUGGGGCUGUCUGUUCCUUCUGAUGUUGAUGGUUUUAGUAAUGAUGGUUUCUUGCAAGGAUGGCUGCCUCUUGGAGUAUAUUGACUUGAGAAUUAAUUGUUUUGAUAACAGUAUUUUAUUAUUUGUGGAGUUAUUUCUAUUUUUUAAAUUAUUAUAUUUAGAUUAUAAUAGAGUGAAAGAGUUAAUAGGUUUAAGAGAUUAGGAAAAAGCUACUAUUAAUUAUAGUUAGGGACCAAACUGGAAUUUUUGCACAUUUUUAAGGGUCAAAUUGUAAUUUUAUUAAAUUGAUGAAGGACCAAAAUGAAAAUAUCAUAUUUAUAACUAUACUGUAAUUUUGCCCAUAUUUCUUCUGUAAUUUUGCCUAGAAUCUCGGAUUAUGCUCUAGGGACCAAUCUGUAAUUUUUUUCAAAGUUUGGGGAUUAAACUGAAAUUUUCAUAAAUUGAGGUACCAAACUGAAAUUUUUUCAUCUUCAACAUCAAACCCAGAUUUUUCACAAAUCACCUAUUGAUAUAUCAAGAUUUUUAACUAGAUGAGGGUUUAGGUCAUAGAUUGGCCUAAUACUCGGAUCAAGAUUUGAGUCAAGUUAGCUUAUUGACUAGUGUUAAUAAAAAAUUAUAUUAUUUUAAGAUUUAAUUUAAUUAAAUAGAUCCAACUACCAUGCAAUUCCACAAUUAAUUUAUUUUAUUAUGAUUUAGUGUUAUGUUAACCAGGCAACAUUUAAUUACCAUGAUAUAAAAUACAAAAAUAGUGGGAACAUAAAAAAACAUGCUUUUAUAUAUUUUUUAUUUUAAAAGUAUAAAUUUUACUUUAAGACUAUUGUAAAAAGAUAUUUAUUUUAAAUUUAUUUAUAUUUUUAUAAUUCAAAAAUUAAAAAUAAAACAGAAUUAAUCCAUACUCAUCUAAAAACAAUUAACUCUAACAUCAUUAUUUUAUAACAAAACUAGCAAAGAUAAUUUAUUAAUCACUAAGUUUUCUGGUUAUAAAUACAUUAGUAAGUGUCUUUGUCUCUUUUGUAUUUCUAACUAUUAACGAAUUGAAAGAAUAAAUUUAGAAUCACCAAUUAAGCAGUGAAUCACACGGGAAGAUUGAAAGAAUAAUUAAAGUGAUUAUACUAACCGACAAGUCGACCCCAAGUCAAAGUCUUCUGUGGAAAAACAUGAAUAAAAGGUGGACGCUGGGCAGCUCACUUUCCAUGAAGAUGAUGGAUACAGAGCCCUCCCUUCUAUCUUUAUGGAAAUCACGUCUAGAAAAUCAUGCUUUAAUUUUAAGCUUGAGAGGGGAUGAUAUAUAUAUAUAUAUAUAUAUAUAUAUAUAUAUAUAUAUAUAUAUAUAUAUAUAUAUGCUUUAAUUUCAACUUGUAUAAAAAAUAAAUCUUAAUGACUGGUGAUUUAAACUUGGGUGUUUUUUCGGUAUUAAUAUAUAUAUUCCUCAAUUAUCAUAAAGAAUUAAGAAAAAACUAAUAAUAAGAUUAAAAUAAAUGUUUUAUAUAUCGAAAUAAUUAAAAGUAAGGUUUACUUAAGGUAUAUAUGGGAUUAAUUUAAAAUAACAAUAAAAUCAAUUUAUUAAAAAAAAUCAUAAAUUUAGUUUUCCUAAAUUUUAAAUGUAGUGUGAAUGCAUUCCGCAAGAAAAAAACAGUGCAAAAUUAGCCUUUCAAGAAAUAGAGAAUCUUCCUCUUUGAAGGAAUUAAUUAGUGGGUUGGAAAAAUGUCGUCUUCUGCUCUAAUAUUUUCUUCACUUUCUCUAUAGUUUUACCUUACACCAAUAUUGUCAGAAAAUGAUACAAUAUACUUCUUGUGUUAUCCUUCAAGAUUUCAAUUGAAAAUUAAGGAGGGUCGUAAAAAAUUUAAUUUUUAUAAACAUAUCCUUAACUCUGUAUCUUCUCUAGAUAUGUCUGUGACUGAGCUCCAUAAAGAAUUCCUAUUUAACAUUAAUCUGUCCAUCAAGUUUUUGAUCCCCGAUUAAGGCCAUCUUGAUAAAUGAGAUUUUACUCUGUAAUUUUAAUGUAUAGCUGUCAAUGACCUGAAACAUGCAAAUUAAAAUUCAAAGUGUGAGCAUUGAAUUUCUUGUCAGUUUACACCCUUCUGUGGUGUUUCCUCUUUCCAUUGAUUGAAGAGCGUCCAAGAGGAAAAACUGAAAAGGCAAAAGUUCUAUUGUACAGUGAAAAAGAGCAUGAGAAAUACACAGAAGCAGAGAUGCAUGAAUCCUUCUCCACUAGCAGCUCUCGUCCAUAGGAUCAUUGUGGUUUCAAGAUUGAUGCCCAAUCAUUUCCCUCUUUGUUCGAUUCCUCAGACCUUUUGGAAACUGUACAUUCCGGGGGAAAGUCUGUGCAAGGGCAAAAGGCGACGGUGGACUUGACAAAGGGCUGAGGGGUGGGUGAGAUGUUAUGUCAAGAAAUGAUUUUGGAAAAUUUCUUCAUAUGUGUUGAAUAACUAAGAUAAGAUAGGAGUCUUGAACAAGGCAAAAGCAUAGGCUCUCCAAGACGAUUGACCAGAAGGAGAGAAGGAAGGCUCUAUAUCCUUAGCACGUCAAACACUCCUUUGCACAUUAGAGAAAUUGUCGAGUUAUUCCUGCUUCUUCUUCUUCUUCCUUUUUUUUUUUUUUAUUUAUAAUAGUCCAGUAUUAUUAUAGAAAGGUGCUCGAGCCAAAAUUAGAGACUAGCUAGCAUAAAAGAAAAACAUAGGACAAUAUAUACAAGACAGGGGAGGAAGUAAUAACAUAACAUAAUAUAUAUAUAUAUAUAUAUAUAUAUAUAUAUAUAUAUAUAUAUAUAUAUAUAUAUUAAAAAAAACUUGAGUUAACGCAUCAACUCAACGACCCGAAUCAUGAGAUCAGGAUAAGCAAACUCAAUAUUAAAAGAUGAAAUUUAAAAAAAAAACCUUAAAAACAUAUAUGGUUUAACAAUAUUAAUUAAUUAUUAAAAUCUUUCAUUUUAUAUAUAUUAAAAAUAAAUAUUAAUAACUAUUAUAUCAAUUUGUGAAUGUUUCAAUUUGAAUGCGAACAAAUGUUUUAUAUAUGACAUUUUUCUUAAGAAUGUCUCUUUCAUUAAAACCAAAAUUAUUUAACAUGAUUAGAUUUAAUACCCUGAGAGUUUAGGUCAUAGAUUGGCCUAAUACUCGGAUAAGAUUGAGAUCAUAUAUCAGACAAGUUAGCUUAUGUUGAAUGGUGUUAAUCUAAAAUUGUAUUAUUUUAAGAUUUUUUUUAGAAAAAAUCAAAAUUGCGUAGUUAAAAAAAAUAAAACUAGUUUUUGACUGAAUUAACUAGGUUGUGGGUUGAUUUAUUUAGUCGAUUAGGCUUGGUUGGGUCAGCUCUCACUUAGUUUUUUCUAAACCUGAAUUGGGUUAGGUUCCAGAUUAAAAUGUUAGGCUUGAAUUAAAUUUAAUAAUGCUGAUUAAAACCACAUUGUAGAAAAAAAAUUAAAUUGCAUAAAAGUAAUUAACCGAAAACUUGUAUUCCUUCUUGUAAAGCUGAACCCGUGUCAGUUUUAUUGAAGGAAAACUAUGAACCAAAGGUUAAUGCUACUUUCAUGACGAGAAGACUUGCUACUUUCUUUAUGGAAAUAACGUGUGGAAAAUCAUGCCUUAAUUUUGAUGGCGAUGGUAAAAUCAAAGAGUAUCGUUGAUAAUUAAAUGCUUAUGCAUAAAAAAUAAAUCUCAAGUGUUAGAAUGCAACCACUGAUUAAUUAAUGGACAACGGACCUUGGAUUAAUACAUGACGCAACUUUCAAUGGAAUUAUAUUUGUGGAGGUAUUUACUCGGAUGUGAAUUAUAUUUUUAUUUUUUUAUUUUAAAAAAAAUUCUAUAUACUACAACUAGCUUAAGAAAGUCAAAAAAAUUUAAGUGAAAAAAAAUAUAUAUAUAUUUAUAUACACUCACGCACACACAAAAAUAUAGUCAAAUAAAUCAAGAACUAUGUGUGUUAAUAAGUGGAAAAAAAAACCUUAAACGAUAACUCAAAAUAAAAACUAGAAAAAUCAAGAGACAAGUGUAUAUCAAGAUAUUUAAUUUCACAUGACGUGACAUUUUUUUUUUUGGAUUCGACGAAACCUCACCCCUCCGAAAAGCACACUUUGUGGGCCCAGGUGAGGGAGUAAAACCCCGGCUGUCCCAGGCUCUUACAAAAGGUGCACGCCCUGACUCGAACUCGAGACCUGCUGUGCAGAUCUCAAACCCUUUGCCAUCACGCUACGCCCCUUGGGGACAACGUGACAUUUACGCAGUAUUGUUUUCUAAAUUUUCUAAUUAAAAUAAUUUUUUAUUUGAUCAAACGAUAAUAUAAACAGACACACACAUUCUAAAUUGAUUGAAUAAAAAAAAAAUAUAUGCAAAGCUGUAUAUAUUAAAAAUAUUAUUUGAAAAUAAUUUGUUUUUCAAAAAUAAAGUUCAUCUAUGUAAAAGAUUUUAAAAAAAUAUAGAUUAAUCAAAAAAACCUCUUUAAAAAUUAAAUUCAUGAUUAAAAAAUAAUCAUCAUUUCAAAUAGGCUUUUUAAAUAACUAAAAAGAGAGAAGGGAUAUUAAUAUAAAUAUAAAUAUAACUAAAAUUAAGAUUAUUUUAAAAAAAUAGAUAAAAAAAAUUUUAAGCGAAAAAAAGUGAACAGACACGGUGAACUUAACUCAUAAACUCAACUGAAUUUAAUAUUUUUUUCGUUAAAUUUAUUAUAAAUAUAAAAAAAAACAAAAUUAAUAUCAUUCACGGUAAAACAUAAAUAAAAAACAGUACAACCGCAUAGUAUUCACCUCAGGCAUUUUCUUUUAAAUUUAUAGCCAAACCUUAAAAAUAAACUUUUGUGCUCAGUAUCUUUUUAAGGUGAAUUAACAAGUUUCAACUCAUCUCUGUAUCUUCUCUAGAUACAGAGAAUUCCUAUUUAACAUUAAUCUGUCCAUCAAGUUUUUGAUUCCCAAUUAAGACCAUCUUGAUAAAUGAGAAUUUACUCCGUAAUUUUAUUGUAUAGCUGUCAAUGACCUGAAACAUGCAAAUUAAAAUUCAAAGUGUGAGCAUUCAAUUUCUUGUCAGUUUACACCUUUCUGUGGUGUUCCCUCUUUCCAUUGAUUGAAGAGCGUCUAAGAGGAAAAACUGAAAAGGCAAAAGUUAUGUUGUACAGUGAAAAAGAGCAUGAUCAGAAAUACACAAAAACAGAGAUGAAUGAAUCCUUCUCCACUAGCGCUCUCGUCCAUCGGAUCAUUGUGGUUUCAAGACCGAUGCCCAAUCAUUGCCCUCUUUGUUCGAUUCCUCAGACCUUUUGGAAACUGUACAUUCCGGGGGAAAGUCUGUGCAAGGGCAAAAGGGGACGGUGGACUUGACAAAGGGCUGAGGGGUGGGUGAGAUGUUAUGUCAAGAAAUGAUUUUGGAAAAUUUCUUCAUAUGUGUUGAAUAACUAAGAUAAGAUAGGAGUCUUGAACAAGGCAAGAACAUAGGCUCUCCAAGACAAUUGACCAGAAGGAGAGAAGGAAGGCUCUAUAUCCUUAGCACGUCAAACACUCCUUUGCACAUUAGGGAAAUUGUCGAGUUAUUUCUGCUUCUGCUUCUGCUUCUUCUUCUUUUUAUAAUAGUCGAGUAUUAUUAUAGAAAGGUGCUAGAGCCAAAAUUAGAGGCUAGCUAGCAUAAAAGAAAAACAAUGAUUAAUUGCAAGAGAUGGUUACUUAUACCAGUAGCAAUUUAGUAAUGAUUAAUUAGCAUUUAUAUUAAGAUGUGGCUAUUAAUUCAAAUGUUAACAAUGAUUUUCUUGGAAGGAUGAUUGCCUCUUGGUUACUUUAAAAUAUACGGUUUUUUUAGUUCAAAUCUAUUAAUAAAAAUAUAGUUUUAUUGAAUUUUUUUAUAUACUUUUAUUAGAGAAAUUAAUUUAAACACAUUUAUAUACAGACACUAGUUUAUCAAGUACUUCAAUAGAAAAAUAAAAUCAAUUAGAGUACUUAAAUAAAAAAAAAUAUAAAUUAUAAGCAUUUUACAUAUCUUUAUUGUUUAUAAAUUAAAAAUAAAAUAAUAUCAAUCCAGACUAAUCUAAAAAAAAAUUAACUAUGACAUCAUCAUUCUAAUAAUAAAACUAAUAAAGAUGUUUUAUUGAUUAAAUUUCGUGAUACAGGGUUGAAACAAAAAAGAGAUGAAGAGAGAGGAGGGAAUGGAAAGAAGGGAAAAAAGAACUCAUGCGAUCUGUUGUUUGUAAGUUUUUUACAUAAUAUAUAGGAAGGUAUUUUAAUUAUUUUGUUCAAAUUAAAAAUUUUCAUUGACUAAAAAGCGUAAUUAUCUAAAACAUAAAAGCAAAGUAAAAAACUCAAAUGCUUCAUUAAAAAACUCAAUUGAUUCGGUGCUUUAUUAGUUUCUAUAGUAUGGUGUCUUAUGCAUUUUGUUCUAAUCAUAUAUGGGAAAGUGUUUGGUUGAUUAACGUAUAUCAUGACUUUGUAUGGGUCCUACCACAAACUCUCUCUUUUGAAAUAUUAAUUAAGAAAAAGCUAUAAUUUAUAGUUUUUUUAAAUUUAUUUUUUCAAAUUACAAUCAUAUAAACUACUAUAAUAUCAAAUACAUAUUUGAAUAAGACUCAGUAAAAAUUUUCUUCUUCUAAAUACAAAGUGGAAAUGAGUUACUUUCUCCAAAAAGAAUAUAUACAAUAUUAUCGAUUAUCUAAUGCAAACUCCGUCUAACAUACACAGAGAAAGAGAGAGAACCUUAACUAUGUUUAUUUUAUGCACUUUAAUUAAAAAUAAAUUUUGGAUUGUACGAGAGACUUUAAUUAAAUUUCAAUAUUAAAUUUAUGCACUUUAAUUAACAUACACAGAUCAACUAUUAAUAUAUCAAGACUUUUAACUCAAAUUCAUUAUUUAAACAAACCAUAACUUAAAAUUAUUAUCUUUAUCUAAAAUCUUUAAAAAUCAAUGAAAUAACUCAUUAUUCAUAAUAAUUAACCUGCUAAGUUAUUUCUGCUUCUUCCUUUUUAUAAUAGUCGAGAAUUAUAUAUUAUAGAAAGGUGCUAGAGUUAAAAUUAGAGGCUAGCUAGCAUAAAAGAAAAACAGAGGUAUAUACAAGACAGGGGAGGAAGUGUGCGUGCGUGCGUGUGUGUGUGUGUGUGUGUGAUCCCUUCUCAAGCUUAAAAGUAAAGCAUGAUUUUCUAGACGUGAUUUCCAUAAAGAUAGAAGGGAGGGCUCUGUAUCCAUCAUCUUCAAGGAAAGUGAGCUGGCCAUCGUCAACCAUUUAUUUAUGUUUUCAACCAUUUAUUUAUGUUUUUCCACAAAAGACUUUGACUUGGGGUCAACUUGUCGGUUAAUUACUUUUAUGCAAUUCAAUUUUUUAAAAAUAUAUAUAUAUAUGCUUUAAUUUCAACUUAAGUUAUAUACGGGACGAUAAAAAAAUAACAAUAAAAUCAAUUUAUAAAAAAAAUCAUAGAUUUAGUUUUCCUAAAUUUUAAAUGUAGUGUGAAAGCAUUCCGCAAGAAAAAAACAGUGCAAAAUUAGCCAUGACAAUAAGUCUUUUUCUUUCUAAAGAGUUUAUUUUUUGUAACACAAUCAAUAAGUAAGAUGGAUGGGAAUUUGCAGUGUGAGAUGGGUUUGUGAGACUAUAUAUUGCCAUCAGCAUUUUUUCCAUGAUAUAGGCUUGUAGGAUGGUCCAUGAGACCAUUGCUAUAUAUCAAGCGUUUUUUCUACGAGAUGGGUCCAUGAGACCAUUACCUCGUAAGCUUGGGAAUGGAUAACAUGAUUUAAUGUUUAUUUAGUUUAAAAAAAAAUUAAAUGCUUAUGCAUAAAAAAUAAAUCUCAAGUGUUAGAAUGCAACCACUGAUUAAUUAAUGGAUAAUGAACCUUGGAUUAAUACAUGACGCAACUUUCAAUGGAAUUAUAUUUGUGGAGGUAUUUACUCGGAUGUGAAUUAUAUAUAUAUAUAUAUAUAUAUAUAUAUAUAUAUAUAUAUAUAUAUAUAUAUAUAGGGGCACACACAAAUAUAGUCAAAUAAAUCAAGAAUUAUAUGUGUUAAUAAGUGAAAAAAAAAAUAUUAAACUAUAACUCAAAAUAAAAACUAGAAAAACCAAGAGACAAAUGUAUAUAAAGAUAUUUAAUUUCACAAGACGUGAUAUUUACGCAGUAUUGUUUUCUAAAUUUUCUAAUUAAAAUAAUUUUUUAUUCGAUCAAACGAUAAUAAAAAUAGACACAUACAUUAUAAAUUGAUUGAAUAAAAUAAAAGGAGAAAAAAUAAUAUGCAAGGCUGUACAUAUUAGAAAUAUUAUUUGAAAAUAAAUUUCUUUUUAUUUUCAAAAAUAAAGUUCAUCCAUGUAAAAUAUUUUUAAAAAAUAUAGAUUAAUCAAAAAAAUCUCUUUAAAAAUUAAAUGCAUGAUUAAAAAAUAAUCAUCAUUUUAAAUAGGCUUUUUAAAUAACUAAAAAGAGAGAAGGGAUAUUAAUAUAAACAUAAAUAUAACUAAAAUUAAGAUUAUUUAAAAAAAAUAGAUAAAAAAAUUUUAAGCAAAAAAAAGUGAACAGACAACUUAUAAACUCAACUGGAUUUAAUAUUUUUCCUGUUAAAUUUAUUAUAAAUAUAAAAAAACAAAAUUAAUAUCAUUCAUGGUAAAACAUAAAUAAAUAAAUAAAUAAAACAGUACAACCGCAUGUUAUUCACCUCAGGCAUUUUCUUUUAAAUUUAUAGCCGAACCUUAAAAACAAACUUUUGUGCUCUGUAUGUUUUUAAGGUGAAUUAACAAUUUUCAACUCAACUCGGUACCUUCUCUAGAUAGAUCUGUGACUAUGCCUUGGAUUUUCUCAAAACUACUAAGUGUGUGCUUGAGAGGGUGAUUAUAGUUGUUUUUUAAAGUGUUUUUCACUCAGAAAAACAUGUCAAUAAUAUUUUUUUAUAUUUUAAAAUUUAUUUUCGAAAUCAGCACAUCAAAAUGAUUUAAAAACAUCAAAAAUAUAUUAAUUUAAAGUAAAAAAAAAAUUCAAAUUUUUGCGGAAGUGCUUUUGAAAAGCACUCCCAAACACUCCCAUGGUUGGAUACCAAGUAAAUAGAGAUAAAUUUAUUUCCUGUUAUUCUCCGAUAGUAUCUUCGUCCCUUGAUAGAACUUUCUUGGAGAUGAUGAGCUACCACUCCCUUUUGACUUUGCUGGCCUCCCAAAUAUAAAUAAAGAAUUCCUCUUGAUAGAAUUUUCUUCGAAAUGAUGAGAAUAUUUUAGAAUAUUCUGGUUGACGCCAGCUGUCAACAACUAUCUUACAUUCCCAACGCAUGCCUUUGCAAGAUGUUAAAGGCUCAUCUAAAAACAAUUAACUCUGAUAUCGUUAUUUUAUAACAAAUUAGCAAAGAUAAUUUAUUAAUCACUAAGUUUUCUGGUUAUAAAUACAUUUGUAAUUGUCUUUAUCUCUUUUGUAUUUCUAACAAUUAACGAAUUGAAUAUAUAAUAAAUACCGACUGAAAGAAUAAAUUUAGUUUAAAUGUGCUAAAGUUUAAAUAGGCGACUUUAGAAUCACCAAGAAGGCAGUGAAUCACACGGGAAGAUUGAAAGAAUAAUUAAAGUGAUUUUACUAACAUUGUAAAAGUAAUUAACCGAAAAGUUGACCCCAAGUCAAAGUCUUCUGUGGAAAAACAUGAAUAAAAGGUUGACGCUGGGCAGCUCACUUUCCAUGAAGAUGAUGGAUACAGAGCCCCCCCUUCUAUCUUCAUGGAAAUCACGUCUAGAAAAUCAAACAUUAUUAUUGCCAUCUGCGUUUUUUCUUAGAGAUGGGUCCGUUCCACCAUUUCCCCUCAAGCUUGAGAUAUAUAUACGUGACACGAUUUAAUUUCAAAUCUUAAUGUAGUGUGUUAGAAUGCAACCACCGAUUGAUUAAAUUUAAUGGCUGGUCAUUUAAACUUGGGUGUUUUUUCGGUAUUAAUAUAUAUAUAUAUAUAUAUAUAUUCCUCAAUUAUCAUAAAAAAUUAAGAAAAAACUAAUAAUAAGAUUAAAAAUAAAUGUUUUAUUUAUCGAAAUAAUUAAAAGUAAGGUUUACUUAAGGUAUAUAUGGGAUGGUAAAAAAAUAACAAUAAAAUCAAUUUAUAAAAAAAAAUCAUAGAUUUAGUUUUCCUAAAUUUUAAAUGUAGUGUUUAUAAUUAAUUAAUUAAUUGAGAAUUUGAGCUCUUCUAAAAGUUGUUUAUGGACUUUUGUUUUCCGGAGAAAACUCCCUUAAAACCUUUGAGCACUUCCUUCUCUAAAAUAUAUGUUUUUGCCAUAACUCAGGGGCUCUGUAUCUUUUAAGGUGAAUUAGGCUUUAUAUCUUUUUAAGGUGAAUUAACAAGUUUCAACUCAUCUCUGUAGAUACAUAGAAUUCCUAUUUAACAUUAAUCUGUCCAUCAAGUUUUUGAUCCCCAAUUAAGACCAUCUUGAUAAAUGAGAUUUUACUCUGUAAUUUUAAUGUAUAGCUGUCAAUGACCUGAAACAUGCAAAUCAAAAUUCAAAGUGUGAGCAUUGAAUUUCUUGUCCGUUUACACCUUUCUGUGGCGUUUCCUCUUUCCAUUGAUUGAAGAGCGUCUAAGAGGAAAAACUGAAAAGGCAAUCACUAGCGGCCCUCGUCCAUCGGAUCAUUGUGGUUUCAAGAUUGAUGCCCAAUCAUUGCCCUCUUUGUUCGAUUCCUCAGACCUUUAGGAAACUGUAUAUGAGAUGUUACAGAGUGACGGAGGACUUGACAAAGGGCUGAGGGGUGGGUGAGAUGUUAUGUCAAGAAAUGAUUUUGGAAAAUUUCUUCAUAUUUGUUGAAUAACUAAGAUAGGAGUCUUGAACAAGGCAAGAACAUAGGCUCUCCAAGACGAUUGACAGAAGGAGAGAAGGAAAGCUCUAUAUCCUUAGCACGUCAAACACUCCUUUGCACAUUAGAGAAAUUGUCGAGUUAUUUCUGCUUCUGCUUCUGCUUCUGCUUCUUCUUCUUUUUAUAAUAGUAGAGUAUUAUUAUAGAAAGGUGCUAGAGCCAAAAUUAGAGGCUAGCUAGCAUAAAAGAAAAAGAAAAACAGAGGACAGUAUAUACAACUAUACAAGACAGGGGGAGGAAGUAAUAACAUAAUAUUAAUAACUAUAUAUAUAUUAAAAAAACUCGAGUUAACCCAUCAAGUUUACGACCCGGAUUAUGAGAUCGGGAUAAGCAAACUCAAUGUUAAGAAAUGAAAUUAAAGAAAAAAACCAUAAAAACAUAUAUGGCGUAGUGUCUUAUCGAUUAAGUUUGAUUGGGUCAACUCUCACUUGGUUUUUUCUAAACCUAAAUUGGGUUAGAUUCUAGAUUAAAAUAUUAGGCUUGAAUUAAAUUUAAUAACACUGAUUAAAACCACAUUGUAGAAAAAAAAAAUGAAUCGCGUAAAAGUAAUUAACCGAAAACUUGUAUUUCUUCUUAUAAAGUUGAACUCAUGUCAGUUGUUUUUUAAGGAAAAAUAUGAAUCAAAGGUUAAAGCUAGGCAGCUCACUUUGCACGACAAUGACGGAUAUAGAAGACAUAACGUGUGGAAAAAUCAUGCCUUAAUUUUGAUGGUGAUGGCAAAAUCAAACAGUAUCGUUGAUAAAAUGAACCACAAAUAAUAUUAUUUCUAAAACACUUCUUGUCAUUGUGAUGACAAUAAGUCUUCUUCUUUGCAGUGUGAGAUGGGUUUGCAUUUUUAUUUUCCACGAUAAUUAAUUAAUUAAUUGAGAAGUUGAGCUCCUUAAGAAAAGUUGUUUAUGGACCUUUGUUUUCCGGAGAAAACUCCCUUAAAACCCUUGAGCACCACCUUCUCUAAAACAUCUAUCUUUGCCAUAACUGAGAGGCUCUGUAUCUUUUUAAGGUGAAUUAACAAGUUACAACUCAACUCUGUAUCUUUUUUAGAUAUGUAUGUGACUGUACCUUGAUGUUCUCACAACCAUUAAGAUGGAGACAAAUUUUCUUUUCUGUUAUUCUCCGAAAAUAUCUUCGUUCCUUGAUAGAAUUUUCUUGGAAAUGAUGAGCUUCCACUCCCUUUUGACUUUGCUGGCCUCCGAAAUAAUUAAAGAAUUCCUCUUGAUAGAAUUUCCUUGGAAAUGAUGAGAAUAUCUCACAUUCCCUUGGCAUCGUGUUCCAUGCCUUUGCAAAUUAUUAAAGGCUCCAAUGCAUGUGUCCUUUUAUUCAUGUUUUUCCACAAAAGACUUUUGACUUGGGGUCAACUUGUCGGUUAGUAAAAUCACUUUAAUUAUUCUUUCAAUCUUCCCGUGUGAUUCACUGCUUAAUUGGUGAUUCUAAAUUUAUUCUUUCAAUUCGUUAAUAGUUAGAAAUACAAAAGAGACAAAGACAAUUACUAAUGUAUUUAUAACCAGAAAACUUAGUGAUUAAUAAAUUAUCUUUGCUAGUUUUGUUAUAAAAUAAUGAUGUUAGAGUUAAUUGUUUUUAGAUGAGUUUGGAUUAAUUCUGUUAAUUUUAUUUUUAAUUUUUGAACUAUAAAAAUAUAGAUAAAUUUAAAAUAAAUAUCUUUUUACAAUAGUUUUUUAGUAAAAUUAGAGUAAAAUUUGUACUUUUAAAAUAAAAAUAUAUAAAAACAUGUAUUUUAUGUUCCCAUUAUUUUUGUAUUUUAUAUCAUGGUAAUUAAAUGUUGCCCGGUUAACAUAACACUAAAUCAUAAUAAAAAAAUAAUAAUUAUGGAAUGGCAUGGUAGUUGGAUCUAAUUUUUUUAUGGAAUGGCAUGGUAGUUGGAUCAUAAUAAGAGUAUUCAAAUUAAGAAUAUUUAAAUGAGUGUUAAUUGGGUUUAAAAGACUUACAAGCAAAAUAUAAGUUGUUUGUUAGAAUUCUUAUGGAUCCGAUAGAAAAUUAAUACUUCAUUCAUAUACAUUACAUGAGCAUAUAUAUAUUUCUUUUAUCAACAUAAUGAUAUGUUUAUUUAUGUAACAGGUCCAUCAAAUAUCCAUGGAGAUCAUUAGUUUAGGGCUCUACUUUGUCAAGCUUAUGUAAAUAUUUAACUUAAGCAAAAGGGAAUUAACGCAUUUAUGUAGUAUGCUUUUGUAUAAACCUUGAUGUAUUUAUAAAAGUUCAGCUUAGCAUGUAGUACUUUAGUUAUCUUGUAAUUAACCCUUCUGAAAUAUUUAAAAACACUUAUUAUGUUGUAAAUGCUUUAUUUACAUGUUAGUAUUCCUUUUUCUUUUAAUUUUAUGAUAUGAUAUAUGGGCUAUGUUCAUAUUGAACUUGCUCAUAGGAUAUAUAUAAAUAUAUAUUGUGUGGAUUAUAUGAGGUGUUGAAUUAUGAUGAUUAAUAUAAGGUUCGGAAUUAUGGGACCUUGUGAUGAUGGAUUGAUUGUGUAAAUUAAUAGUAGUCGAUAACUUGGGAUGUUCUAAAUACAAACAAAACUCUGCUGAAUUUUUGGUAGAUUUAAAAAAAAAAAUUACCCUCAAAUUAAAAGCAUAUGUUGAGAUCUUUUAACAUUGAUCAAGUCGUAUAGUUGGUUCUGUUACAUGUUAGGUAUACAAUGUCUCUGUGAUAUGGACAUAAUGAUUUUUGAUGUGUCAAAUUCUUACUAUUUCACUCUUAAGAGUAGAAAGAUCUACUUCGUUGGACAACCACCAAGGCUUAACAACAAUAAUGAGAAAAUAAGCAUGUGAAAGGAAAAAGACUUAAUCUUAUAAGCCCAAAUGAUUUUGAGAAUCAGGUUCAUGAAGAGUUUGUUGCAUUUGCUUUAGUGGCUAAGAAAGUUUUAGAGAAAGCACUCGAAGAAAUAAGUGUAGUUUUGAAAGAAUUUCAAGAUGUUUUUCCUCUCAAAGUUCAUAAUUCCUUACCCCAUUAUACGUGACAUUCAACACGUAAUAUUUUAUCCCUAGUUACCUCUUGGUUUCAAGCAAGAAACACACUUCAAUAUCAUUAUGCGUUACUGUAUUCCUAAUAGAUGCCCUCUUAGCAGACAUACCCAACCCACAACUAUUCCAGAAUAAAAUCUUCAUUGAUAAAUGAUUUUAAACCUUACCAAGUUAUACUGCAAAAUGGAAUUAUUCCCAAAACCCAAAGCAAAUAACAUCCUCUGCGCCUCAUCUUCAACAAUACAUUCUGCUGUUGCAGCAGAACUGUAAGUUAUCAUAUAACGAAGAUUCCCUUUUCUGAUUCUAGAAUCCAGUGAACCUGGUGAUUCCACCUCACGUUCAUCCUCCACCCGCUGAAGACUACCAUUGAAAGAGAAAAGCUCCACCUUUGGGUGUAAACUGGAUUGAUUGCAUCCCAUCUGAAUCACGUGGGCUUAAUGGAAGGAACGAACAAUUGUCGGUUUUAAAAGUUUGGUUUGUAACAAUCAUUGUAAUUCCAAAUUUCCAUACUCCUUCCAUUUAAGCAAUUAAUAAUAACAGAGAAUAUGUAUAAAUCUCAAUGUUGUUUUAAAUUUUAUGUAAGAUAGUACAGUUUCAUUCAAAAAAUGAGAAAGAACAAUAAAAAUCCUCAAAUUCUACCACCUUCAAUUCUCAUUCAUCAACAACAGCAUACAUUCAAACAAGUGAUCAAUAGUGUUGAUGAAAAAUAAAUCAUUAGCGAUCAAGUGACGAGGACUAUAGUAAGAUUGGCGCCAUUGUAAGCUUGACAAGCUUUGCCUACUCUAAUUAACAGCAACGAAAGAUUCAGUGCCUAAUCUCUGGACGGAGAAGGGGACGCCUUUGUUAUGUACAUGGUUGCCCUAAAUGGUUCGAUGAUGCUCAUUUUAAACAUUUUUUGUCAAGGUUGUCAAUUUUGCUCCGUUUAGUGUUUCAUUUUUUUAAUUGAAACGGUAUGUUUUGGUUUCGGAGCAUUUCAGUGUGUUGUUUCAGGAUUAUAUAUAUAUUAACUCAAUUAAACAUAAUUUAAAUUUAAAUUUAAAGAUAAAUUAACUUGAAAUUAUGCAAUUUAAAUUUCAAACACAAGUAAAAAAGUGAGAGACUGAUAUGACUUGAUCGACUAGAUGGGUCCAAAGACAACCUUUACGACUGGUAAGAAUAUAGUUUGACUCAAAAAAAUUUAAGAUGAUAUUUUUUAAAAAAUAUAUUGAGAUGACAACAUAUUAAAUCAACCUGGGUCAACUCGAUCGGAUUAACUUUCUAAAUUCGUAAUCCAGGUUAUGAGACCAUAAUAACCUAAAAUAAAGCAAAUCAAAACAAAUUAUAAAGCUGAAUUCUCAAUAAACAUGUUAUUGAAUGGUUAAAUUGGAAAAAUUUUAAUAUAAAAAAAGACACAAAAAAAUGACCUUCAGAGACUAUUGUCGUCACCAGAAUGUUUUGCCCGCCACACAAGCUUCACAUAUCUUUUGCAACUCAGAUUUGGAAACUUUAGAGUACCUUUUUAUAUACUGUAACUUUUCUAGGAGUGUUUGGAUGAAAGUUUUGGAUUAGUGGGGUAUCUAAUGUUGUUGUCGAGCACUUUAGACUCGCUACUUCUACAACAACAUGGAAUGGUGCAGGGUAAAUUCCAAAGAUUAGCUUGGAGACUAAUCUCUAGUAGUAUUACUCGGGGUAUUUGGUUGUUGAGGAACAAAAUUGUUUGUGAGGAGAGAACUAUAAGUUUGUUUGAUUGUUUCUCUAUCAUCCUUUAUCAGGUUGCUAUUUAGUUGUAUACUCUGUAUUCAAACUUUACUUAUACAGGAAAUGAUCUCUUAAGAUCUUUUGAUGAUAUCAAAUUGUGGUGUAAUAAGAAAUCUUAGGUAGUUUCUUUGUUUUUUUGUUGUAGCAAAUCAGUUUUGUUUUCUUUUUUUCCCCCUUUUUUCUUUUUUUUUUUGUCCUAUGAGACUAUUGUCAUCUGCAUUUUUUCCAUGAUAUAGGCCAGUGGGAUGGUCCAUGAGACCAUUGCUAUCAAGCGUUUUUUGUACGAGAUGGGUCCACGAGACCAUUGCCCUGUAAGCUUGGGAAUGGAUAAUAUGCUUUAAUUUCAAUUUAGUUUACAAAAAAAUUAAAUUAAAUGCUUAAGCAUAAAAAAUAAAUCUCAAGUGUUAGAAUGCAAUUACCGAUUAAUUAAUGGACAACGGACCUUAGAUUAAUUAAUAUAUGAUGCAUCUUUCAAUGGAAAUGUAAAUGCUUUACUAGAAUAUUAUUUUUUUUUGUAUUUGUUUUCUGGUUAUAUUUAAUUUUCAUCAAUAUUCCUAACAUAAAUUGCUACGUAUUUUGAAUCUUGAAGGAUUGAAAGAUAGAAAACAGAAAAGAAAAGGAGACAAGGCAGUUCAAAAGAAGAAGAAAAAAGUACGAUAGUGAAAGAAAGAGAAGAGAAUAAAAGUGGAGCAGUUUUUAUUAACUAUAUAAAUUUUAUAAUUACUAAUAUUAAAUUCAAAAUAUGUACAUAUUACAAAUAUGUAAACAUAUCAUAUGGUUUAAAAGAAAUGGCUUUUAUAAACAUAUAUGGCUUAACAAUAUUAAUCAACUCCUAAUAUUUUCAUUUUAUAUAUAUUAAUUAAAGUAAAUAUUAAAACCUAUUAUAUUAAUCUGUGAAGGUAUUUACUCGGAUGCAAAUUAUAUUUCUAAUUUAUUAUUAAAAAAAAUUCUAUAUACUACAACUAGCUUAAGAAAGUCAUGUUUAUCAGGAUCAUAGAGUAAAAAAAAGAAAAAAUUGAAUUGCAUAAAAGUAUCACUAGCUUAAGAAAGUUAUGUCAUCUGCAUCUUUCCUCGAGGAGAGGCAGUGAGACGUCCUCUUCCAACCAUCAUGCAUUUUUUCCAUGAGAUGGGUUCGUGGAAAAACUUUGGUUUAAUUGGGAAUGCUGUUAUUGAUUGGAAAAUUUUUAAUUAAAAUAAAUUUGAUUUUUUGAUUGGAAAAAAAUCCUUAAAUGACAUUAACACAUGACUCCACUUUAUUUUCUUAAGAAAAAAAAUAUUGUAACCAUAUAAGUUUCAAGUUUAAAGGGUUUUCAUUUGAAGGGGUGUGUUAGAGAAUAAUAUAAAUCAUAUCUUAGAAUCUAACCUAAUAGCUUAAGCUUUUGGGUUGAAUCGGUUCUUUGACAUGGUAGCGGAGCCUUGAUGACCAAGCGAUCACGAGUUCGAAUCUCAUCAUCCCCAUUUAUUAGAUAAAAAUUAAACACAAGGUAAUGUGGAUCUGUACAAGUUUCAAGCCCUUCUAUUGGGUUAAGAUGGUAUCUUGAGGUCUCACCUAACAACUUAAACUAUUGGGUUGAGAUGGUUCUUCGACAGGCUACCAGAUGGUGCGGCGCUACACCUCUGUUCUUGCUUUUCUCUGCUUGUUUUCUCUUCUUUUUUUAUUUCUCUUGUUCCCUUUGUCUCUCUCUGUAUUAUCUAUGUUUGUUCAUUUUUCGUCUAUGUCUUUUUGUAUUAUCUGUCUGUGGUUCUCCCCUUCUAUGUGGCUUUUCUUUGUUUGUCUUGAUUUCUCUGGGUUUGUAUUUGGUUGGUUCAACAACCUACGGUGAGGGGAAGUUGAAUAUUAAAGGCUCCCAUGCCUCUCUAGCAAUAAUAUUAUUUUUUAUUUAUCCCCAAAUACAUGUGUCAUUUAUCAAAAUAAUUAAUUUAAUCACCAAAAAAAAACAAAUAGAUCCAACAACCAUGCCAUUCCACAGUUAAUUUUUUUUAUAUUAUGAUUUAGUGCUAUGUUAACCGGGCAACCUUUAAUUACCAUGAUAUAAAAUAAAAAAAUAAUGGGAACAUAAAAUAAAUGUUUUUAUAUAUUUUUUAUUUUAAAAGGAAAAAUUUUACUCUAAUUUUACUCAAAAACUAUUGCAAAAGGAUAUUUAUUUUAAAUUUAUCUAUAUUUUUAUAGUUCAAAUAUUAAAAAUAAAAUAGAAUUAAUCACUAAGUUUUCUGGUUACAAAUACAUUUGUAAUUGUCUUUAUCUCCCUUGUAUUUCUAACCAUUAACGAAUUGAAUAUAUAAUAAAUACUAAUUAACAAAAGAAUAAAUUUAGCUGUAUAAUGUACUAAAGUUUAAAUAGGUGACUUUAGAAUCACCAAGAAGGCAGUGAAUCACACGGGAAGAUUGAAAGAAUAAUUAAAGUGAUUUUACUAACCGACAAGUUGACCCCAAGUCAAAAGUCUUUUGUGGAAAAACAUGAAUAAAAGGUUGACGUAAGACCAUUGCUAUCAAGCGUUUUUUCUAAGAGAUGGGUCCGUUCCACCAUAUAUAUGCUUUAAUUUCAACCACCAUAAAAAAUAAAUCUUAAUGUAGUGUGUUAGAAUGCAACCACCGAUUGAUUAAUUUUAAUGGCCGGUCAUUUAAACUUGGGUGUUUUUUCAGUAUAUAUAUAUAUAUAUAUUCCUCAAUUAUCAUAAAAAAAUAAGAAAAAACUAAUAAUAAGAUUAAAAAUAAAUGUUUUAUUUAUCGAAAUAAUUAAAAGUAAGGUUUACUGAAGGUAUAUACGGGAUUAAUAAAAAAUAACAAUAAAAUCAAUUUAUAAAAAAAUAAAUCAUAGAUUUAGUUUUCCUAAAUUUUAAAUGUAGUGUGAAUGCAUUCCGCAAGAAAAAAAACAGUGCAAGAUUAGCCUUUCAAGAAAUAGAGAAUCUUCCUCUUUGAAGGAAUUAAUUAGUGGGUUGGAAAAAUGUCGUCUUUUGCUCUAAUAUUUUCUUCACUUGGUCUAUAGUUUUACCUUACACUAAUAUUUUCAAGAUUUCAAUUGAAAAGGAGGGUCGUAAAAAAUUUAAUUUUUAUAAACAUACCCUUAAUUAACUUAAUUUGGAUGUGGAUAAUUGUUUGCAAUAUAUUUACAUCCAAUAUAAACAAUUCAUCAAUGAUCAAGUCGGCCUUGGUUAGCUAAAAUAUUGAAAAUACUUGCUCUCUCCUUUUUUCUUUUUUGGCCAUGCAGUUCCUAUAUAUAUAUAUUAGUUGAAAUUUUAUGAUGUCUAUUAAUCCUUUUAAAUUAAAGUCAAGUUAUUAAUUAUAUCCUAUAGAUUUCUAGAAAAACUAAUUCUCUCAAAUUUCGUACAUUUUACUUACAAACUAUAAAAGGUGAUUGCUACAAACUAAAAUUUCAAACAAGGAAGCUUAAAUCUCUUUUAUCUACAUUUGAAAUUUACAAAAAAUAAAAUUAUAUUGGAUUAAGCCUAAACACUAUAUAAAAUUCUUGAACAACACAUUAAAAACAAAUCAAAGAUACUUUUCAAAAUAUCAAAUCAUUAAAUCUUACAUAUCAAAUAAAUCAAGUUAUCAUAUAUCAAAUUAAAAGGAAGAAUUAAAUGAUUGUUUUAUUUUUUAUAAAAAUAUUUUAAAUAGAAAUUAUAAUGUGGAUCAUAUGGCUCAAUGCAAAUUAAGGUCUCACAUAUAGCCAGCUAUAGCAUGGGAUAGCCAGCGGUCAUUCCAUCAGGAGAUUUGUGAAUUCUGAAGCCUUUGCAAUGUGCAUGGCAUGUGUCCAAGAACCCACCAGGAACUCCAUUUUGACUGGGAAACCUUUGACGAACUGUAUUAUAUGUGAUUUGCUCCUGGUAUUAUAAAUUAGAAAGUGUAAAUUGUAAAUCCCAACCAAUAAGAUAUCUACAUAAGAGUCUGUAAAUGUUACAGAUGAUUUAAGUUUGUUUAGCAAAUUUUUCAAGAACAUGUUUGUCUUUGAUAGCUUAUUGUCAUAGCUGUGAACUCUGAAGAAAAUUGAUGUAAGAAACCAAAGUCCAUUUUGUUCUAGAUUGUAGAUGGAUAUAAGCUUGGUGAUUCCCGAUUCUUUUAUUAAUUUCAUUUUAUACAUUCCCUGUGAUGUGUUCUUAAUUUAUAUACCACACCGAUGUCUGUUAGGUUCUGAUUCAAUCGAAUUGGAGCCGAUCAAAAUUGUAAUGACUCAGUUUCUUUUAUGACCUGGAUUGGGCUUCACAUGCCCUUGAUUAUGCCCAAGAAGAAAACUAAAUAAAUAGUAGAUGAGUAGUGUACUGAAAAUAAAUAUUUUCAGCAUAUUACAUAGAUCUAAAACAAUAGCACACAGGAAUUAAAAAAGAGGAGGGAUCGCUAGGGAUACAAGAUUUGCAGCCAAAACUAUGACCUGACAUGUUCAGGAAACAGAAGGGAACUAUGACCUGACAUGUUCAGGAAACAGAAGGGAGGUGUUUCUUUUAAACACAAGGCAGAUUUUUAUGAUCUUAUUCCUUUUGGUCAUUAAAUUUUCUUAAAAGGAGCUUUGGUUUGAUUCCUACAAGCUGGGGGCAAAUCUUCAGCGUUUCGACAGUCAGCCUCAUGAGCAAAAGAAAGACAAUGUGCGACCACUCCAAGCUUCUCGUUGCUCCCCUGUUCCGAUUAGAAAUGGAGAUUCAAGAAGCUAUGCUACUGUCCUGAGACAAGAGUUCCAACGAAAUCUACUGUAAGUUCCCAAGACACUCUUUUAUAACACUUUGGUCAUUUCCAUGACUUUAUCUGCAUAUCUUGUGCAGGCCAGUUCCAUGUUUUGAGAUUUGAAUAUUAUUUUAUUUUAUUGUUUAGCACUUAGUCUAUUCGCCAGGUUGGGAAAAAUAUUCAAAUUAGUUUUGUUGGCAUGUAACCUCACCAAACAAUUUAAGACUUCACUAAACAAUUUGCGUAGACCGUAUUGACUGGGAGUCAACUAUUGUCGUAGUGCUUUUUUGCACUAUCUGUGUGCGUGAAUGGAAAGAAAAGCAGGGUGGCAACUGGGGUGAGAAAAUGAAUAGAAAACUCCAACAAGGGUGUGAAAAUGAGUUACUUCUCCAAAAAGAAUAUAUAAAUUAUUGAAUAUCUAAUGGAAACUGUCGUGAACGCGGAUGCUUGACUUGCUGUGUACCAUUUUGAUUUUUAAACACAACCAUGCCGUAAUUUCCUGGUGAUUUCCUUAUGCAUACUGGUGGUCUUCCAGAAUCUUUUUCCAAACAAUCCUCGUUAGACCCUGCUCGGGGAUUAACCUGGAGUAAGAUUUGUAUCAUGGUUUUUUAUCAUGUUCCAGGUCAACUUGGAUCAACUAAAUUUUAUGAGUAUGUCAAAACGACAUUGUUUUUUAUAUAUAAACAUAAAUAUGAAUCUUGAGCUCUUUUAUAAUCUUAAGACGAAGUAUAUUAAUAGUUGAACCAUUAUCCACCAAGAUACAAUUCAUCAUCUUUUCAUCGAUAUAUCUUUUAAUAAAAAAAUAUCGUUUAUGGAGUUUUGAUUCAAGCAACAGGUCUUCAUCGUUAAAGAAUAUCUAUGUAGUGUAUACACCUUGAGACAAGUCGAAAGAGUUAGUCAUGACAGGUUUAGUAGGAGUUUUCUUUAUAGUUUUCUCAUUUUUUAUGUUAAAUUAGGAAGAGAUCAAUAAGAAACUGAACUUGAAGAUGGACUAUAUCAUUGUUAACUUCUUGAUCCGAAUACUCCAACAUGAUGGUUAGUGCAAAUUUUUUUUUUUUUAAAAAUAGCAAAAACAAAGUAAUUAAACAAGACAGACUUAGGAUUCCACAGAUAAAUAUAUGGCCAUAUUUGUUUCCCGGAAUUCACUUUCCGGGAAGCCACUUUCCAAACUUUCCUGUGUUUGUCUGCCAUUAGAAAAGUUGGUCAACGGAAAACACUUUCCAGUCAAAGGAAAAUUUAGCUUGGUUUCCAGGAAAGUGUUUUCCUUGAAAAUUUAUGCGGAAAACACUUUCUGAAAGUUGUGAAAAAUUUAAAAAUGUCAUAUUAUUUGCUGAUUAUAUCAAAUUUGGUCCUCAAACUUUUGAUUGCUAUAUAUAUAUAUAUUUUUGUUUUGAAUAUUUAUUUUUCAAUUUCAUCUCUUAAAAUUUAAUUUUUAUAUUAACUUUGGUCCUCAUUUUUAUAAUUGUUAUUUGCUUUUCCCUUAUCAUUUUCUUAUUGAAAUUUUUUAUCUAUCAAAUUUGGUUCUCAUUCUUUUGAUUGUUACUUAUUUUAUUUGAAAUAAUUUAUGAAAUGUUAAUUAUUAUUAUUAUUUUAAUUUCUUCAUCUUUCAUUUUUAUUUUAUUUUUUAGAUUUGAUUUUUAUUAUUUUGAUUAUUAUUAUUUAUUUGAGAUAAUUUAUGAAAUUAUAUUUUUUUUCAAUUUCAUUCUCAUUCAACUUUUUAAUUUGUAAGAUUUGUUCAUCAUUAUUUUAAUAAACUUGAGAAAAUAAAAUAUUAAUAAGUUAUUUUCCAGUUCAUUUUCCAUGACAUAACCAAACACUGAAAAAUAUUUUCCAACUUAUUUUUCAUUACACUACCAAACAUCGAAAAAUAAUUCACUUUCCUGGAAUUCACUUUAAAAAAAAAACUACUUUCCAGCAAGCAAACGGGCCAGUUUCAACACUUCUCUAUUGAAACGUUCAACAAUAAGGCUAAGCUAUGAGGUCAACCCACUAAAAAGCACCCAUUAGCUGGACACAUUCAAGAAAAUUGCCGACAAGUUUCGAACUAACACAAUUUUGGGCCGAGAAUGCAAGAAGCAAACCACUGAUUCCCCCACCAGCAACCACAACAAAUUCAGUGCUCCCAUGCUAAGAUCCUCUGAUGUUGGAGAACUAGCGAAAUUUAAUACAAGGCUUCAACACUCCGAAGCCUGCUAGAGAAAUAUUAAAGCAAAAUAAGUAGUAGCAUUAAACAACAGCCAUUUCAUCAGUUUUAAUUUUAGUAUAACACAAUAAUAUGAACCAACCUUGAUUCUCAAAGGCACCCAACUAAUUCAUAGCCUUCAAAUCAAGACUUUGCAAUUCUUUAAAAGGCAGAAACAAAGAUGCGUUGAGAACCCACUCCCCUAACCCCCAAUCCCCAGCACCCCCAAGAGAGAGUUGGAUCACUCGCCUUUCGGUGGUAUCGCACACGAUCCUAGACCACUCACAACAAUUAUUGCCCAGGUAUUUCAACAGUUAUGGCUUGUGUGGGUUUUGGUUCACGAUGGAGAUGAUGGAUACAAUAAUGUAUUUCGACAACAAAACUUUCAAUGCUUGUGAAUGGCUCUCCAACUAAAGAGUUCUUUAUCGAAAAGGGAUUGCGACAAGGGGACUCUUUAUCAACAUCUCUUUUCAAUAUAGCAACUGAGGGUCUUAGUAGAAUGCUAAGAAGAGAUGUGGUUUGGGACUUAUAAAAGGUAUUUGUUUUGGUCACUUUCAAGUUUGUAGAUGAUACACUCAUCUUCAGUUCAUAUGAUUUUCCAUCUCUUCAAAACAUCAAAAUAACCAUGUGAUGUUUUGAGUUGAUUUCUAGGCUGAAGGUUAAUUUCCACAAGAGCUCAAUCACGAGAACUAUUGUUAUUUCUUCAACUGCUAGCAAUCUAAUAUGUAGUAUGGAGGGGAUGCCAUUUAAGUAUUUGGGCCUGCCUAUUUGUGCAUCUUCAUCUCAUGUGGAAAACUAUUGUUAAUAGAAUCAAUAGCAAGUUGGCACUUACCUAUUGGUGAGAGAGUGUGCUUGCUUAAAUCAAUUAUAAAUAAUCUUCCUAUCUACAACCUUUCUUUAUUUCCUAUCACAUCCAUUGUUGCUACCAAAAUUGAGAAACAUAUCAUAUCUUUCUUUGGUUCUUAGGAGGAAGGAGGGAAAAAACUAUGCAAUGUUAAAUGGGCAUCGGUGGUUCCUCCAAAAAAAAACAAAAAGGGCUGGGUAUAGACUACAUUAUUGAUAAAAAUCAUGGGUUACUAACACUUCCAUAGCAAAGAGAUAUGUAUUUUCCCUAUUAAUUUCUCAAGUUACCAUAAUGAGAGUGUGAUGUGACUCCAAUAAAUGUAGGAUAUGUUAAUUAGGUAUACAAUGUCUAUGUGAUAUGGACAUAAUCAUUUUUGGUAUGUCAAAUUCUUACUAUUUCACUCUUAAGAGUAGAAAGAUCUAGUUAGUUGGACUGCAUUCCGAUCUGCAAUCUUCCUAUAUAUCCCAAUUGUUGUAUUUGCUUUAGUGGCUAAGCAAGUUUUAGAGAAACCACUUGAAGAAGUAAGUGCGGUUUUGAAAGAGUUUCAAGAUGUUUGUAAUAGAUUUGAUCCCUAGUGUUAUAUUGACCUCUUGGUUUCAAGCAAGAAACACACUUCAAUAUCAUUAUGCGUAAUUGUAUUCCUAAUAGAGUUAUGAUGUAAGUUAUGAUGUAACGAAGACUCCCUUUUCUCAUUCUAGAAUCCGGUGAUUCCACCUCACGUUCAUCCUCCACCCGCUGAAGACUUAUACCAUUGAAAGAGAAAAGCUCCAGCUUUGGGUGUAAACUGGAUUGAUUGCAUCCCAUCUGAAUCACGUGGGCUUAAUUAAUGGAAGGAACGAACAAUUGUCGGUUUUAAAAGUUUGGUUUGUAACAAUCAUUGUAAUUUCAAAUCUCCAUACUCCUUCCAUUUAAGCAAGUAAUAAUAACAGAGAAUAUGUAUAAAUCUCAGUGUUGUUUUACAUUUUAUAUAAGAUAUUACAGUUUCAUUCAAAAAAUGAGAAAUAACAUUAAAAAUCCUCAAAUUCUACCACCUUCAAUUCUCAUUCAUCAACAACAGCAUACAUUCAAACAAGUGAUCAAUAGUGAUCAAGUGAUGAGGACUAGAGUAAGAUUCGCACCAUUGUAAGCUUGACAAGCUUCGCCUACUCUAACUGUAACGAAAGAUUCAGUGCCUAAUCUCUGGACGGAGAAGGGGACGCCCUUGUUAUGUACACGGUUGCUCUAAAUGGUUCGAUGAUGCUCAUUUUAAACAUAUCAUGUCAGGUUGUCAAUUUCGUUCUGGUUAGUGUAACGGACCCGACUGUACGACUUGAUCAAUGUUAAAAGAUCCCAAUAUAUUCUCUUAGCCUGAGGAUAAUUUUUUUUUUAAUCUAUCAAAAAUUCAGCAGAGUUUUGUUUGUAUUUAGGACAUCCCAAGUUAUCGACCACUAUCAAUUUACUCAAUCAACCCAUCAUCACAAGGUCCCAUAAAUCCGGACCUUAGAUUAAUCAUCAUAAUUCAACACCUUACCCAAUCCACACAAUAUAUAUCCUACGAGUAAGUUCAAUAUCAACAUAACCCACAUAUCAUAUUAUAAAAUUUAAAAGAAAAGGAAAUACUAACAUGCAAAGAAAGCAUUACAACAUAAUAAGUGUUCUUAACCAUAUCAAAAGGGUUAAUUACAAGAUAACUAAAAUACUACAUGCUAAGCUGAACUUUUAUAAAUACAUCAAGGUUUACACAAAAGUAUACUACAUAAACACGUUAUUUCUCUUUUGUUUAAGUUAAAUAUUUACAUAAGCUUGACAAAGUAGAGUCCUAAAUUAGUGAUCUCUCUGGAUAUUUGAUGGACCUGUUAUAUAAAUAAACAUGUCAUUAUGUUGAUAAAAGAAAUAUAUAUAAGCUCAUGUAAUGUAUCCGAAUGAAGUAUUAAUUUCUAUUGGAUCCAUAAGGAUUCUAACAGACAUCUUAUAUUUUGCUUGUAAAUCUUUUAAACCCAAUUUACACUCAUUUGCAUAUUCUUAAUUUGAAUACUCUUAUUUAUUUGCAUGAACCGGGUGACCUUGCAAAGUCUAUUCUUGUAAUCCAUUUCCCAGCAAUCAUAUCACGAAUACCAUUAGCCGAAGCAAAUCUUGUAAUUCAUCUCCCGGCAAUCAUAUCACGGAUGACAUUAGCCGAAGCUAAUCUUGAGAUUCAUCUCCCUGCACUCCUAUCACGGAUGCCAUUAGCCGAAGCUAAUCUUGCAAUCACGGAUGUCAUUAGCCGAAGCUAAUCUUGUAAUUCAUUUCUCAGCACUCCAAUCACGGAUGCCAUUAGCCGAAGUUAAUCUUGUAAUUCAUUUCCCGGCACUCCUAUCACGGAUGCCAUUAGUUGAAGCUAAUCUUAUAAAUACACUAGACUUUAUUUACAUUGAACACGAUAUUUAUUAUAAUUGCAUUCACUAGAGGAAUUUUAAAUUGUAUAAGUACAAAUAGGAGGGAAAAAUCACGCACCUGCUUCGCCUGUUUCGUGACCUCCUCUAACAGAAGAUCCAAUCCUGGUUGCUCCUCCUGAAUCACAAGGAAGUUUUUGGUUAUGAUUCCUUCAAGCUGAUAUUAUAGAGGCUCCAUAUUCAUUCAUUACUCAUAUGUUACUUUCUAUGCAUGUUCAUUUCCUUAUAAUAACAAACAUACAUAAAUCAAGUAUAUUUUCAAAGUUAGUAUCUCAAUGUGCAAGUGUUCGUAUGACUCAAUUCUUUUAUAUUCUUACAUAUAAUAUUCACGUGAAAGUCUACUAUUACUAUCUAACUUUGAACUGUUACUGUCCAACGGUUGCUGUCCAACAGUUGCUGUUUGAACAGUUGCUGUUUGAACUCUUAUCAGAUUUUUAACUAUAUCUAGAGUUCUAGAACUCCAUUUUAAGUGAGAUUGAUCUUGUUGGAAAGCUAAGACACGAGGCUACAAGUUCUCUAAAGGAAGGAGAACCCAGUUCUGCCUCCAGGAUAGUCAAAAUUGCUCAUCAACCCAUCAAUCCUACUGCUCUACAAAAUCAGUCACGACUCAGUCUUGGUUGGUAACCCAUAACUGGAGUUAUACAUCUCCAAAUUGAGCAAGAUUAAUUUCCUUGGUUAGCUAACAUCCAAAUCUACAAUUUCUAUAAAGGAAUCUGAUCCUAAUUCCCUCAUCCUCCUACCCGAAAUCUCACCAAAAGUUAGGAGACAAGUUUGUCCAGAUUCGUUUGCCCCUCCCCUUCACACAAUACUUUCAUAAACUACACACCACACACAUGAAUUAACUUAAUCUUAAUAAUAAGUACUUUUUCUCCAAUUCAUGUCUAAGAACCCUAACCUAUGAUUCAAUAUCAAGGCAUCAAUUCAUUAUCGAUUUGAAAUGAAUUUUUUUAAUAUCAUGUUUAGAACACCUUACCCAGUACAAAUUAAGAUUUUGAUCUCCAACCAGUUGAAGAUUUUCAACUCCCUCCUUUCUUUUCUUCUUGUUUAAUUUCUUGGUAAUCCCUUGCUCUCAAGUGUUUAUCCCAUCUAUAAACCCUUAAUCUUGGAUGGGUUCUCGAAAUUUUAGUGUUUCUCUCUUGAUUUCGCAAGAAUGGGUAUAAAACUCCUUAUUUUCUCUCAUUAUCGUUCCUGCAGAUUUUUGGUGAGGAGAGAGUAUUUAUACUCUAUAGUUUCCCUUAUUUGUAUUUAGGCCCCAUUUCCUUUAAAUUUCUGAAUUCUUGUCUUUUAUUUAACCAUACGCAUGAAUUUCUUGACUUUUAUUUCUCAUAUAGUUAGUUUUCAAUUUAAGCAACCUUUAUUUUUUUAUUUUUUUUCUGAGGUUUACAGUUAGUGUUUCAUUAUUUAAUUGAAAUGGUAUGUUUUGGUUUCGGAGCAUUUCGGCGUGCUAUUUCAGGAUUAUACUGUUCAUACUAUUCAUAUAUAUAUAUAUAUAUAUACAUACUCAAUAAACAUAAUUUUGAUUCAAAUUUAAAGAUAAACUAACUUGAAAUUAUGCAAUUAAAAUUUCAAACACAAGUAAAAAAAGUGAGAGUUGAACCAAUAUGACCCGAUCGACUAGAUAGGCCCAAAGACUACCUGAAUGACUGGUAAGAAUAGAGUUUGACUCAAAAAAAUUUAAGAUGACAUAGUUUUUUAAAAAAUAUUGAGAUGACAACAUAUUAGAUCGACCGGGUUCAACUCAGGUUAACCUUUUAAAUCCGUAAUCCAGGUCAUGAGACUAUAAUAACUCUAAAUAAAACAAAUCAAAACAAAUUAUAAAGCUCAAUUCUUAAUAAACCUAUUAUUUAAUAGUUAAAUUGAAAAAAAAUAAUCUAAAAAAAGGACACAAAAAAAAUGACAUUUCAAAACAAAAUUAUGAAAAUGUCACUAGCAGUCUCGCAAGGCCUUUCUAAACUCCAAUUGCUCUAUAAUUUUAACCUGAGAUAUAACAAUAUGUUAGGAAAAUCUUCAUAAGAUUUCAGUCUGAUCCACCAAUCGAAUUGAAAGAUAUGAUUGAUAUCGUAAAACUAGCUAAUAUUGUUUUAGAAAAAAAAAACAUUAUUUGGCCGGAAUGGAACCGGAACAUUCGAGCCAGAAUUUUGGCGGAAUUUAUGGAACGGGCUAAGACUCUGAGCAAGAUGAAAUUUGUUUCAGUUUGUUUUAUUUUUUAAAUUGGAAAGAGAUAUACCAGUCAUUUUGAAUGGAACAUAACAAAAUUGACAACCUUGUAUCAUGGUUGAUUAGAGUUUUUUUUUUUUUGUCUUUUUUUUCAAAAAUUUUUCCAACAUUGAGUUGAUUGGUAAUCGAGCUUCAUAAUUUAUAUGUUAACAUGCCAAAUUCAUGACCUGAGUCAUGAGACUAUAAUAACCUCAUAAAAGUAUAUUGAACAAAUUACAAAGCAUAAUUCUCAACCACCAGUGUUUAAAAAUGAAAUUGAAAAAAUAACAUAAAAAAUGACUCAAGUCAACUCAAGAACCUGCCAAAUCCGUGAUCCAGGUCACAAGACCUAGAUAACCUCAUAGAAAGCAAACUGAAAAAAUAAUUCGGGUCAACCUAGGUUACCCUGCCAAACACGCAACUCAGGUCAUAAAACUAGGAUAAUGCUAUAUAAAGCAAAUAGCAACAAAUUUUAAAGCAUAAAUCUCAAUCAACUUAUUUUAAAGCAUAAAUCCCAAUCAACUUAUUACAAUUCACUCGCAUUGUUCACUUUAGUGAACAGUGCUACAGUGGAGCCAUGCUCCACUGUUGAGGUUUCUCCCAGACGAGAAGCAAUAAAACGUUUAAGGAAAUAAAUGUUGCUUCUCCAAAACCUGCGGUGCCAUAUGGGUCCUACGUGCUGAAAGCACUUUUAUUUUCUUAACCAAACGUUUAUUAGCGUGGCUGCGGGUGAACCUCACCCGCAACCACGUUACCAAACGAGCACUUAGUCUCAAAGAAGAAACAAUUACUUGGUUCUAUAUCCUUAGCACGUCAAACAUGAGGGUAUGAACAGUAACCAUUGUGUCCACUAUAAAAUAUAAGGGGGUGAACAGUGCGGCUACAAAGUAUUCACCCCACACACUUUAUAUUAUAAGUAACUAGUUUUUGUAUUGGCACUCCGCGGCGGGGUGGUUAUUUUUUUAAGUAAAAAAAUAAUAAUAAGCAGGCUCUUACAAUGCACUUUUUAAUAUAAUUUUUUUUCAAUCACAAAUCAAAAUGCCUAUACAUAUAUUUAGUAAUUAGAUCGAUAUUUGAUAAAUAGGUAACUAAGAUUAAGAUAUUUGAUAUCACGACAUGAAUCAUGUGCUUAGUUGUGUUUAACAAUUAUGUUUCCUAGAGUUUUUUUUUAUGAACCAACCAUAUAUUCCGAUAAAAGGUAACAAAAAAUUCAUACCAAUAUUGAAUGAAGAAACUAAAAAAAAAAACCAAUAAAAAAAAGACUGUAUAAAUACACUAAUUUAUUGACCAUAUUGACAAAACAAGUCAAAACUGUAUAAAUACACUAAUUUAUUGACCAUAAGUAAAUGAUUGAGAUAAUAAUACGAAAAGAAAAACUUUUUACCGGACAAUGAUCAAUCCUGGUGAUGUCCAAAGUGUAAAUCAAACAUUUUAUAUCUUGCCAUGAGAAACAAAUAUAUCACAACUUGUUUUUAUUGUAUUCUAUUAUGACUUGUUUUGUGCCUUACAUUAUUUAAUAUAUUAAAAUAAAUUUAAUAAAUUAUACUGAAGCAAGAUCUAAUAUUAGAAAGUUAACGGAAAUAAUAAAUAUAUUUUUAAAUAUAUUUACAGUUCGGUCCCUUAAUUAACUUUUUGUUUGUAAAAUGUGGAGCUGUCAGCAAUAUUUCCUUAGUUUGUGUCGCUAACUGUGAUUAAAGGAUCAAUUAAUUAUUUAUUUAAAUCAACCAGAGGGAUUAAUCUGUUUGUUUAACAAAAAUACAGACACUAAUUAAAUAGAAUUUAACUCAAAUUUUAAUAAUCAAUAUUUUUAGAUGGAAUCUUGGUAGAAAAUUUAAUCAUCAUAUCCUGGGUAUUUUGGAAACAAAAUUGGAAACUUUGAAUGAUUUCACUAUUACUGCUAUAUGGGGUCGUCAUCCUAGGGCUUGGUAUGCAGUUCCCUCAUUAGGCCUUUCGGGGGGAUAUUAUGUAUAUGGAAUCCGAAUCUUUUUUGUGUCUCUAGCUGUUCUGUUGCUAUGAAUGGCUGUAUUUUGCAUAUUGAAGGCACCUUCACUCGGUCCAAUCUAGAUUGCCUAGUCUCUUUUGUAUAUGCUCCGAAUGUUGGGAACCUGAAGAAUGAGCUGUGGACUUAUCUUGUUACAUUCAGGGAUAGUGUUAGCAUGUCGUGGUGUCUUGCAGGUGAUUUUAAUGAAACCUUAUUCCCAUCAGAUAGGAAAGGCGGCUCACAAAUAACAUCUUCCAUGACAAGAUUUCAAAAUUGCAUUGAUGGUUGUAAUCUUAUGGAGCUCCCCUUAAAUGGGAGAAAAUUUACAUGGUCUCGAGGUAAUGCGGCGAGCCGUAUUGAUAGAAUAUUUUUAUUGGGGGAUUGGUUGCAGGCUUUCCCGUCCUCUACUUUAUUCGGUCUCUCAAAAUAUUCAUCUGAUCAUAGGCCUCUGCAUCUGUUGCUAGACUCUACAAAUUGGGGCCCGAAACCUUUUCGCUUCAUGAAUUGCUGGUGGCUUGCGUCUGAUUUCAGGAUUAUGAUUCAGAGCUUUUGGAGAUCACUCACGGUUUCAAAAUCUGGCAUAAGGAAAAUGGUCCCAGCUCUAAAGAUGUUGAAAGAGAGAUGUCGGCAGUGGAGUAAAGCUACUGUGGGAAACAUGAAUAACAGAAUUGAAGAACUGGAACUUGAAGCUGACUCAAUGGAUCAUCAAAAUGAGUGCAGGGUUUUGACUGCUGAUGAACUGAUUAGAAGUAAUUCCAUUGCCUCCCGGCUCAAAAUCCUGUAUAGAGCUCAAGAGUCUGCCUAGCAUUAGAAGUCAAGAAUUCAGUGGUGUAAGCUUGGAGAUAAAAAUACCCGAUUCUUUCAUUUAGCUGCAACAACAAGACAGAAAAAGAAUCAGCUUGCAUGCCUAGAGGUUGAUGGACAGAUCCUAUCUAAACCAAGCGAUGUGAAUCUAGCUGUCUUUCACUUUUUCCGCAACCUAUACUCCCAUCAGAACAGACCUAGAGCUUCAUGUUCAAACCUGGAAUUCUCAAGGCUGAAGCAUUCAUCCUCGGCUGCUCUUGAAUUGCCAUUUUCUGCAGAAGAGAUUACAGCAGCUGUGUGGGAUUGUGAUGGAAAUAAAGCUCCAGGUCCUGAUGGUAUUAACUUCCUUUUCAUCAAGAAAGCAUGGAACAUUAUAGGUGAGGACAUUAUCCAGAUGGUUGAUGAAUUCUAUCGGACUAAUCUCCUUCCUGCAGGUAUCAAUAGCACCUUUGUUACUCUUAUUCCGAAGAUUAAAGGUGCUAACAAGCUAUCAGAUUUCAGACCUAUUAGUUUGGUGGGCAGCCUAUACAAGAUCUUCUCAAAGAUUCUAGCAACUAGGUUGAAACAUGUUAUGCCAGAGGUCAUCUCUCAUCAUCAAAAUGCUUUCAUCAAAGGGAGGCAAAUUUUAGACAGCGUCUUGAUUGCAAAUGAGGUUCUUUCUUUCAUCAAGAAGAAAAAGGGUAAAGCUUAUCUUUUCAAAUUAGAUUUUCAUAAAGCCUUUGAUUCGGUGUUAUGGGAAUAUAUUAAUGAAAUCAUGGCUAGUAUGGGCUUUGACCUGGUUUAUGCAAUGCAUAUCAACGGCAAAAAUGUCUGUGCUUGUUAAUGGGUCUCCCACGGAGGAAUUCUGCUUAGCAAAAGGCCUACGCCAAGGAGACCCUCUCUCUCCGUUUCUCUUCAACAUUGCAGUCCAGGGCUUGAGUUGUAUGUUGCAGCGUGGCUGUGAUUUGGGUUUGACUUCGGGUAUAAACAUCGGCAAUACAGGGCUUGUCAUAUCUCACUUACAGUUUGCGGACGACACCCUUAUGUUCAGUUCAGACUCUUUACAUAGCAUGCAGAACAUUAAACGUAUCCUAUUAUGCUUUGAACUUGUCUCGGGGCUGAAGGUCAAUUUUUAUAAAAGCAGCAUUGUGGGUGUGGGUGUAGCAGCUCAUACAUGUAACUUCACGGCUCAGCUUCUCAGAUGCAAGCAGGAUCAGCUGCCUCUCAUGUAUCUUGGGCUCCCCAUUGGUGGAAACUUGGGCAGAGCUACAAUGUGGAAUCCUAUUUUGCGCAAUAUCAGUUGCCGAUUGGCUUCGUGGAAAGGCAGGUUCUUAUAUAUUGGGGGCUGUUUGUGCUUGAUUAAAUCUGUGCUCAGUAAUCUCCCCAUCUACUACCUAUCUAUGUUCCCCAUGCCUGUUACGGUAGCCUCCAAAAUUGAUCAGAAACUUCGAUCCUUCCUCUGGUCAGGAAAUGAGGAAAGGCACAAAAUAUGCAAUGUCAGCUGGGCCACUGUUACUCUUCCAAAACAUGCGGGGGGUCUUGGGAUUGGUUCCUUAAGGGACAAAAACACAGCUCUGCUAUUUAAAUGGUUAUGGAGGUUUGGGUUAGAGGAAUCAAGUAUGUGGAAGGAUGUGAUCAAAAGCAUCCACAACACCAAUUGCUCUAAACUGCUGCUGCAAGCUCCUAUUCCAGGAGCUGCAACUACAUGGUCCCGGAUUGUUAAUCAUUGUGUGAGAAAUAAUAAGCUGCAGGAUAUUGUGAAUGAGCAAUCUCUGGUUCUUAUCGGAAAUGGCAAGAAGACUAUGUUUUGGCUUGAUUGCUGGCUUAAUAACCACUGUUUAGCAGAGCACUUCCCUACUCUUUUCCAAUUAUCCAAUGACAAAGCUGCCAGCAUUGCUAAGAUGGGAAUAUGGGAAGGGUAUAAGUGGAUUUGGGUUUUUUCCUGGAUACGUCCACUACGGGGGCGAAACAUUGGCUUGCUCGAUCAACUAUAUGCAAUCCUAUCGACAGUAUUGGUAAGCCAUGGCCAUCUUCUUGGUAUGUUCUCUGUUCCAGUUGGUAUUUUAGACUCUAAUAUUGCUGAGUUAAGGGCUAUUGUCAAAGCCAUUGAACUAUCAGCAUCUAAUUGUCUCCUCCACCAUCAACACCUCAUCAUAGAAUCUGACUCUGUCAAUGUUAUUAGCUAGAUGAAUAAGCCUCACAGCCGUCCCUGGAAGCAUCAUAAUUUGUUCUCCUUUGUUAAUAGACUGAAACCAUAUUUUGGUUCAAUCACCUUCUCCCAUAUCUUUCAUGAAAGUAAUUGCAUGACAGAUUGCAUGGCUAAACAAGGAGUGCGGAGAUCAAGUGAAUUUGUUGCCUGGCUUUGACUCCACCAUUUUUCUGUGGCCUUGCUCUUGUGUCUUCUGCCAUUAUGUCUUUGAGUUAUUUCUGUUAUGUUUUGUAGAGGAAUGUUUAGCUUUGAGCUCAUUCGGAUGGAUAUUCUAUGGUUUUCUUUGCUUUUGUUUAUCUUAGUCUGCGCUUUAUCCUAUAUAUGGCUUUUUGCCAUAGUAAGAUAAUGUGUAGCUUCUGUACUACUCCCGCCAGACUUUGGCGUUUAAUAAUAUACGCAUCUUUCAAAAAAAAUCCAUGUGAAUCGCACGACUUGUCCAUAUCUUUCUUAUUGAUUACAAAUAGCAUUGAGAAUUAAAGAAUAUUAUCUUAAUAAGUUCCAAUUUAUUCUACAAAAACUAUAUAUAAAGAUGUAUACAAAUUAGUUAUUUAUUGUUUGUAAGUAUUAUUGUAUUGCAAAGACAAAAAUAAGAUGCAACUUAUGGCGUGGUCGUCCAACCUGGUUCAGGUUUUGAUCCUGUUAAAAAUCUAUUUUGUUGAAUUGUUAUCUACUUGUGAGUUAUUGGGUUAACUAGAUCAAUUUUUUAAACAAAACAAUAUCAUUUAAAAAAAAAAAAUUGGUUCUGACUUAGAAAUAUAAUAUUAGAAACUUAAAUCUUAUUAUUAUAAAAGACUCAAUGGUAAAUUUAGUUUUGAAAUAGAUUUUUGUAAAAUCAAAUAUCAACUAAGCACCUGGAAAUUUAUUUGAAAUUACAAUAACCUUGUAGAAAACAAACAUAAAUAGAAUUAUUAAAUUCAAUGGAGUCCAUGACCUGAAUUACGGGUUCAACGGGUUAAGCCACGAAGCUCUGAUCGAUUUAAAAUAUUGUCGUCUUAAUAUAAAAAAAAAAUACAUCUUAAAAAAAAUAAAUUAAGCUAGACUACGUUUUUACCUAUUAUCUGGGUUGUUUUUAGGUUCAUCAUUUCGACUGAGUUAUAUUAGGACAACUACUACAUAAUUUAAUUUAAAAUUAAAGCUAAACAAGAAAUUAGGUAAAGAGAUUUUAAGAUUGAUUUGUUGGAUUGGAUUUAAUAACAAUACAAAAAAUCUAAAUAUUUCUUUUUUAUUAAAAAAAAAUUCAAUCCAACUCUCAUCGUAACGCAGUAUAGUAAGAUAAAUAGAUAUAAAUAUUUUGAUGGAUACUCGGGAUAAAAGAUUGUUUGAGGACAUUUUGCUAAUUUCUUUUGUUAUCUAAUCAAUCAAGCUCAUAGUGAAUAAGUAUAUUAAUAUAUACAAUUAAAUUAAAUAACAUAUAAGAGAAAAAUGGUCGCAAGCUAAAGCUAAAGUGAUGCGACGUUGAGCCACUAGUCGAUAGUUGUAACGUCAGUUUGUUGGUUCGUCGUUCGUUUCUCGGGCGAGUUUGGUUGUGCUAAACACAAUGAACCAAUAGAGUGCUUUGCUUUCUUACUUGGAGAUUCUGGAGCCUUGGAUUUUUUGAUAUUUAGGUUAUCUGUUUCUAGAAAAGAAAGAAAGAAAUAUUUAUAUUAUCAAUGCAAUGCAAUGAAACGACUAAAUAACAUUUAAUUAUUAUCAUAGCUUUGUCCUCGUACCUAAGGAAGUAUACUACGUCUUUUUCUCCAUUGUUUGAGUUUGAAAUUAUAUCUGUGAACCCAUUAAUUUAUCUAGAAAAAACAUUUAUUGGGUAAUUGGAUCAAUCAUUGAGGUCGUCAUAUCAUAUAUAAACCAAUUAUUUUAAUUAAAACAAUAUCAUUUUAUUUAAAAUUAAAUUUAUAAUACUAACUGAAUCCCUAAAAACACAAUUAGACCAAUCAAGUUUUAGCAAGUUAAUUUUUUUUUUUAAUUUUUUCAUAUUUAACUUGAAAUUCAAUCCAAAUUAAAUUAUAAAUUAUGGGUUUCUUAAAUUAACACAUGUUGGGUCAGGUCUACCAAUUAUGAUUGGAAUCCAGGGUUAAUAUCUAGAAGAAUUUAUUAAAUUUCUGUAUAAUUAGUCAAUCGAUGAGGGAAUUUAGUUUUGAUUGAUGGAGAAAUUAAUUUAAAGAUACCAUGCAAGAUAUAUAUAUAUAUAUAAACAUUUAAAGGGAAACGGACCCACCAUCAAUUAUUGUUAUUCGUUUAAUUAUAAAUAGAAUGAAGAGAAUGAUGCUCGCUGCACUUUUAUCAGCGACUGAUAAACCCCAGAAGGAGAACACUCUACAGAAUUAUUCCAUACUUUUUCGUAAAUUAUAAAUUAAAAAGAAAUUGGUUAUAACAUGGUUAACGAACACAGCACAAAAAUAAACAGGUGUAUUUCUUACAUAAAUUCUUAUUGUUUUGUUUUUCCAUUGGUUUCAUGAAAUUCUCUCAACAAUUGAACAAAAAACACUACAUCAUAGCUCACAAACAUACAUUUUAUAAGUCAAUUAAACCUCUUGUUUUUCUUAUGUGUCUUUUUAUUGUAAUCUCUGCAAGGUGACACCUGACAGAGCAAUCUGUUGAUAGGUCCAAUUCUGCUUUAUGUUGUGUUUCUUGCUGAGCAAAUAAAGGUCAUGGGUUUUCUUUCUUUCUUUUUCCCUUAUAAAAAUGGUCAUGCGGCCACAGACAGUUGCGAAAAAAAAGAAGCACUUAAUUAUCACUUAUUUGGUAAGUAGCGUACUUAUCAGAUGACCCUCAACCAUCAGUACCCAUUAUAAAUUAAUGUCGACAAGAGUAAAAUUAGGAGUUACCGUGACUUUCCAACAUCUAUCAUUAUAAAUUAAGUAUCAACAACGAUUAAGACUAAUUGUUUUACCAAGAUUCUCAACCAUUGUAAAAAUAGAUUUGAAAAAAAAAUCAUAGCAAAAAUUCAAAAAAAUAAAAAUUGCAUUGCUUUCCAUAUAUAUUUUAGUUUUUCUUAUAAUAAUAAUAAUAAUUAUAGUCUCUCGUGUCUCACAACUGUAUGUGUUUUUUCUUGAAUAAGCGCUAAUGUUCUUUGAGGGGUCCAAGCACCAUAUACUGAAAGAAAGAACUAGUUCAAAUUGAAGCACCAUGAGUUUCUCUACGGCUUGGUUCACCACCUGCUGGUGCGGCAAGUUAUGAACUAGCUGGCUAGUUUUUUGCUUCCUUGGUUUUAGAAGCACCAUGUGUUCAAAGAAUAGUCAACAAAGAAAAAGAAAAAGAAAAAGAGAAGGGCAAAAGGUUAAUUAAAAUCAGCAGGACUGCCAUGAGGCAACCUCAAGUAGUGAACUUGAAGGAAUAAAAAGUGCUGGGAAGUAAUUUUUGCUGAAACUUCUUGUGUAACAUCUUCUUUUGAUGAUGACCUCUUGGAUGGCUGCAUGAAGCUUGUUCCGUUUUAAAUUUCAAGGUUAAUCUAUUUCUAUGAGCAUUGGUGUUUCAAUUUCAACCUUAAGUUGCAACUGAACUUAAAUGAAUAGUGUUGGAUUUGGGCCUUCUAUUUGCUUUAACUUCUACAGGAUUGAAAUGAUAGUGAUCUUAAAGUACAAAAGCAGCAGACAAAAAUCAAUUAGCCACAAUAUAUAGUGUAUGGUUUCCUAGUUUCUCAGUAUAAAGUUGAAUGUUUUGGUGAUAUCUCUACAUCCAAAAUCAUAUAGACAGCUACUGCUGGCACUUGCAGUGGUCAAUGAAUACUAUAGAGUACAUAUUGCAGUUUGAGAUAAGGUUAACUCGUUGCAUUUUCAUAUAUUGAAAGGAUUUCUCUUCUUUUCUUUGUCAGUUACAGAACAUGCAUAGAAGUGUUCUUAUUCAGAGUAAAUGCUAUUGUAAUGUUUUCACGGACUCCCUUGCUUUGCAACUAAGUCACUAAUUAUCUUGGAACAUAGCCAUAAAUAAAAGGUUCUUCCAGUUCAAGAAAAUUAACCAUGAAGCUAGUAGCUAGAAUUUUUAGACAGAAUGGUGGCCAAGUAAACUCCUAUACUCUGUACCUCUGGAAUAAUGCAGGGAAAGGAUGUCUAUGUAUUUUGAUGUCUUAUAUUACUUGACCAACUCUUGCUUAUCUCAUUAUUUGUUUUUACUUUUUGCUAAUGAUUCCACACAUUUUUGAUAUUGGUGUGGUUUAUGACUUCAGGGUUCUUACUCGCUACUGCAACUUCUCUAUACUUGCUUGGUCAUUAAAUAUGAAACGUGAUGAUUUGCAUAUGCAGAAUGGAGACAUUAAAGAGGCAUCUUCUGUUUUCUAGUUAGGAGGGAUUACCAGAACUCAAGAAAUUUGUCGUACAUUUUGAGGAAAAGAUUUAUACCACCGCUACCAAUCAGGUAUUUGCCUAAUGCGAGGUUCAAUAAUUACGAUAUUAUCUAGACAUGAAUAUACACACGCAUUUAUGCUUGUACAAAUGUGUGUGUAGUGUGCCUACAUUUCCACACCUUUCAUUCUGUAUGCAAGGCUGAUUAAGAGUUCGCAUCUUUUUGUUAAUUCUCUUGACAAGUGUUUUAUUUAGAGUGACCAAGUUCAAGUACAUGGGAAGUGUGCAAAAAGCAAAUAGCGAAUCAAUACAUAAAUAAGUAAAUAAAAAGAGAGGAAACAGAAGUCUAUCCUCACAAAAGAUGAAAUGAUAGAGCAUAUAUCCAUUUUCCUCCUCUUGUAACAUGGAUUGCUCUGAGAUCUAAUGUUUUGUUAUUAAUAUCUUAUUUUAGUCUGAUUAUCUGCAUAAAAUAUCUCUGGUGAUGCUUUUGAUGAAGAUCAGGUCUCAAAAUGCCAUGCCCACUGCCCCCAUGGAUCCAGCAGGUAAUAAUGCAUUCGAGCAUCGAAUUUCUAAACAUCUUACCUUUUGUUUUUCUUCUCGCAUUGUUAUCAAACUUUUUUACAUUUUAUUGUUCCAUAUUGCUAUGUAUAUCGCCUUGCUGGCAAAAUGUCAUGAUCACCUCCACAAUACUAAUUCUGUAAUGCGUGUGAAGUGUUUCAUCCUUAACUUGUUAAUGAACGAGGACUAUGAUGCAUGGCUAUUUUAUAUUUUAUGAUUGAGAUGGUAGAUUUUAAAGAUUUUCCUUUUUAGGAGAUAAGACGUCACUUUCUUGCUUUUCUUCCGAGAGUAUUCGAUCCUUUUUUCGUACAAAAUAAUGAUGCCAUGCAUUGAAUUCCCAAACAUAUUACCUUAUGUUUUGUUUGGUCGCAUUGUUAUCAAACUCUUUUACAUUUUAUUGCGGCAUAUUGCUAUGUGUAUGGCAUGCUUUAAUCAAAAAUUUGAUUAAUUGAUGAAUGUUAGGCAAGAAAAUUACAGAAUAUUUUUGUUUUUUGCCUCCUCCUUUUCUUUCCCCCACUCCGAAAAUUGUCAUAUUAUUUUUGUUUUCAACCGCCUCUUCUUCCCCCAACCCUGAAAAUUGUUUAUAUUUGCUUUGGAAGCAUGGCAAACUUCACUGCCUCUCAGCUUAAGGAGAUUGCAGCAGGUCUCGAAGCUUCUGGGCAUCAAUUUAUCCGGGUAGUUAGAAGAAACAAAAAGAGUCAAGAAGACAAGGAAGAUUGUUUACCCGAAGGAUUUGAGGAAAGAAUGGAAGGCAAAAGGAUGGAUACUCCAAGUUUUGAUUCUUGAUUAUAAAGCAAUAGGUGCAUUUGUGACUCAUUGAGGAUGGAACUCAACUCUUGAAGGCAUAAGGCCAAUAUUUGCUGAGCAAUUCUAUAAUGAAAAGUUGGUGACUGAUGUUUUAAAAGUUGGUGCUGUCGUUGAAUAUAUUAUAGCUGUCAAGGUUCUUGAGUUUUCCCAAAUGUGAUGAUAUGAUCUCAAAACCUGCAAGAGAGUUGUUUGUAAGAGUAAGUCAUGAUGAGCUCACGAUAUGCAAAACAGAUAGAAACAAAAGAUAAUUAGAAUUGAUGAGAUGCUGUUGUUCAAUUGAUGUAUGAUUCUCAAAUUAUACAUACAUAUAUAUAUAUAUAUAUAUAUAUAUAUAUAUAUAUAUAUAUAUAUAUAUAUAUAUAUAUAAUUGAUAUUUAUAAAAGCAUUAACUGUAGCUGAUAUAGUUUUAGAGGAAUAUUUGGUACUUUGUUUCCCAAAAAAAAAAAUAGAUUUUUCUGCGAAGUAGGAAAAAAAAAAAAAAAAACUGUUCAAAACUUAUUCAAGAAAUUAUACAGUUAGCGAGUCACAGAUGAUGAAUCUUAAAAAAAAUUGGCAAUAAUAACAGUACUCUAUUACUAUUAAUUAACUUAAAUAUUCAAAACUUAAAAAUAUUUUUUAAAUUUAUCCAUGCCAAUUUAUCUUAAGAGAGUCGCAAUCUGUGACUAGUUAAAUUAUAUUAUUUCUUUAAAUAAAUUUUGCAUUGUGUUAUUUUUUGUUCUAGGUGCUAUUUUGCAAAAAAAGAAAAGAAAAGAAAGAUUAACGUUUCAGUUAUUCAUUGUUCUUGGAUUUGUAGGUAUAACAACUGAAGAUAGCAAUCAAAAGCGAUGGUGACAUGGUAGAGCUUUGAGUUAUUGCUGUGUUCUAAUGAUGAAGAUGUAGGAAAACGAUCUCCCUUCUGCUGUCUGGAGCUGGGCUUCCUCUCCCUGUAAGAACAAGCAACAUCUUAUCUGCGUUGUUGUUAGUGGCCACUUCAUCGACCCAUUAGUGGGUGGAUUUUAAGCUUAAAAAGGAUUUUUUUUAAAAAAAAAAUAAAGGAAGAAAGAAAGGAGAGGGGGGGCAUCAUCACGUGAAAAGCAAGGAGGUUGCCACCCAUUAUAGAGUGUGGGGCACUCUUGCAUCUAAGAAUAUAUGAUCCUGAGGUUGUUCUGGUGAUGGGUAUUGGCCAUUACAUAAAGCUUCGACAAGCCCUUUUAGCUGCCUGUUAUUAGAAUUUGUAUAAUGAGCAUUCAAACUUAAACUUCUUUAAAUGGGAUGAAAACGAGUGAAAAUCAAGAAGUUGGAGGUGUUCAUCUCUAAUGCAUAGCUGAAGAUCCUUUGUAAGAAAAUACAGCUAAAGACAAAGUGUGUGUGUGUAACAGAGAAAUUGUCGAUAAUAGCAAUCAUGUUCUUUGUCUCUUGUGUCAUAUCUUCCAAAAAUCUUAAAGUAAUUGAUGAAAAAGUGGAUAUACCACUUUGUCUUCUUUAUAGCACUACUGGCCAAUAUGAGUUAAAAGCAUUAAAAGGUCGUGAACGCGGAUGCUUGACGAGCGAGUGUUUACUUGUUAAUUUUUUUAGAAGGAAUCUGGAAAAGAAUAAAGUCAUCUAUUUCACUUUGGGACAACAUUCCUCACCUCUCCCCGCCCGAGCUCUCUCCCUCCCUCCCUCCCUCCCUCGCUCGCUCCCUCUUCCGCCUCUCGGAAACCGCCGCAUCCAUUAAGGCUUCAGAUUUCUGCCAGGUGCUUCCUUUUCUAUCAUGCUUUUGUUUUUAAAAUUUAUGGGUGUUUUCAUUUAUUUUAUUGUAAUUAUUAUUCAGAGACAGAAAUCCAUUUUAAUAAGUAAAUUAAAAAAAAACAAAUAAUCGAUCCGAUGAAAUCUCUGCUAGUGAACGCAAUUCGAUUUUAAUAAGUAAAUUAAAAAAGUAUAUAAUCGGAUCCGAUGAAAUCGCUGCUCGUGAACGCAAUUCAAAGAAACGCACAAUCAGCCGAUUCUAAUAUUUUCUUUUGCAACCCCACCCUAAUUUACAUGAUAUUAUUCGAUUUUUCUCACAGUUAUUGUUGUAAUAAUCAAGCCCUGAAUUCUUGAACCCAAAUUUAUCUUAUUUUAUUUUAUUUUUUAGUUUUAUUUUUAAGUGGAGAAUAGAAAUCAAUUCAAAUCUUUUAGGCUCGAUCGAUAAUUUGUUAAUUAGUUUAUGCAGCAGCUGGAGUGGAAGGGAUAUUACUGCCGGAAUGGCCGAAAAAUGAGCUGUUUGGUUGAUUCUUCUUUUUUGGAAUUUACUGAAUUCUUCAAAAUUAUUGUGUUUUUAACAACAAUACGAUAUCCUUGGGUUUCAUGCUCGCUCACAAAUGGAAAAAAGAAAGAAAGAAAAGAACUUUAAAUUUUAUAAUUUGGUCAUGUUAAUGCUCGUCGUUUUCUUCUUCAUUUUCCUAGCUUAAAACAUCCUAGACAAUCUCUUUGGGAUGGGUUAUUGUUUUUGGCCUCUUCAUCUUCUAUUUGUGCUGUGGUAUUUAGUCUGCUGAUAUUCUUUGGGGAUUAAAAUGCCUCGUUUUAUGACUUUGUUUUGUUUUCUUCUUCUUUCUUUAUUCUUUUGGGGAUGUGGUAUUCUCCUCUUUCUAUUUACACUCUUUGCUCCCUACAACAUUUAUUCUUUCAGAAAAGUAAAUACAUACAUAAAUAACAACAGGAGAGGAGGGGGAGGGGGAGGGGGUUUGACGGUAUGUAUUUGGAUGCAUGAUAUCUAAAUUGGUAAGCACCUGAAAAAGGUCCUGAAUCUAAAUUGGUAAGAUGUGAUAUACUGAUAUCUAGAGAGAUAACUUAAUCUAUCUAUUGAAGUAAAGCAUUUAAAUGCGUAUACAAUGUUUUUGGAUCAUUAAAUAUCUAUUUGAUCAGAAUCUGUGAACCUAAAGCCACAAUGAAUACAAAUGCAAGUUUGUCAUUGUAAACAUUGCAUCGAUGAUGCAUCACAGGUGUUGCUAGAAAACAUCAAGUUAAAAUUGAAGCACCAUGAGUUUCUCUAUGGCUUGGUUUACCAACACUCACCAUCAGUUGGUGCGGCAAGUUAUGAACUAGCUGGCUAGUUUUUCGCUUCCUUGGUUUUAGAAGCACCAUGAAGAUUCAGGCCCAAAUCUUGCUUACAAUACUCAAAUACCCAAGAUCCUAGCACCUUGCCCUGAAUGGUCGUGUAUAUUUGUUAUGGCUGUUCAGAUUUUAUGCAUCCAUGUUUGGUAGAAUUCUUUAAUAAAGUACAUGCUAUUAGAUGGAAGUUCUCUUUAAAUCUAUUCAAGUCUGAAUAAACUGAUAUUCCAAUUUUCAUGACUUUGAUUAGGCGGAGAACUUGUGAUGGACACAGGUGAUUGGAGAACUCAAUUGCAGCCUGGCUCACGGCAAAGAAUAGUCAACAGAAUGUAAGUAUCUGUUUGCUAAUAUGUACAAGUGCUGCAAAAUAGUAAAUCUUGUAUUUAAAUGAAAGAAAAAGAGAAGGGCAAAAGGUUAAUUAAAAUCAGCAGGACUGCCAUGAGGCAACCUCAAGUAUCAUACACUGCUGUUUUUGUCUUUUUCAUUUUUCACGUGUUUCUCACAAGAAGUGAACUUGAGGGAAUAAAAAGUGCUGGGAAGGAAUUUUGGUGGAACUUCUUGUGUAACAUCUUCUUUCAAUGAUGACCUCUUGGAUGGCUGCAUGAAGCUUGUUCCGCUUUAAAUUUCAAGGUUAAUCUAUUGCUAUGAACAUUGGUGUUUCAAUUUCAACCUUGAGUUGCAACUGAACUUAAAUGAAUAGUGUUGGAUUUGGGCCUUCCAUUUGUUUUAACUUCUACAUGGUUGAAAUGAUAGUGAUCUUAAAAUAGAAAAGCAGUUGAAUGUUGAAUGGUGUAUGGUUUCCUAGUUUCUCAGCAUAAAGUUGAAUGUUUUGGUGAUAUCUCUACAUCCAAAAUCAUAUAGACAGCUACUGUUGGCACUUGCAGUAGCCAAUGAGCACUGUAGAGUAUAUAUUCCAGUGUGAGAUAAGGUUAACUCAUUGCAUUUUCAUAAAUUAAAGGGAUUUCUCUUCUUUUCUUUGUCAAUUACGGUGCAUGUAUAAAAGUUUUCUUACUUAGAGUAAAUGCUAUUGUAAUGUUUUCACAGAAUUCCCCUGGUUUGCAACUAAUUCACUUAUAUAUCUUGGAGCAUAGCCAUAGCCAUAGCCGUAAAUGGAAGGUUCUUCUGGUUCAAGAAAAUUAACCAUGAAGCUCGUAAUUAAAAUUUUAGACAGAAGGGUGGCCAAAUGAACUCCUAUACCCUGUACCUCUGGAAUAAUACGGGGAAAGGAAGUAAAAAUAGAUGUCUGUAUUCUGAUGCCAUAUAUUACUUGACCGACACUCGGCUAUAUCAUUAGUUGUUUUUAUUUUUUGCUAAUGAUUCCAUUGAAUACAUUUCUGAUAUUGGUGUGGUGUGUGAGUUCAUGGUUAUUUCUCACUGCUGCUAACUUCUCUAUACCUACCUUGUCAUUAAAAAUUAAACGUAAUGUUUUACAUGUGCAGAAUGGAGAUAUUAAAGAGGCAUCUUCCGUUUUCUGGUCAAGAGGGAUUACAAGAACUCAAGAAAAUUGCUGUACGGUUUGAGGAAAAGGUUUAUACUGCCGCCACCAGUCAGGUAUUCGGCUAAUGCUAGGUUCAAUAAUUUCGAUAUUCUCUAGACAUGAAUAUAAACAUGCAUAAGUUUGUGGAUUUAUGCAUGUACACGUGUGUGUAGUGUGUCCACACUCUCACUGGUCAUUCCGUAGAAGUUCUCAUCUGUUCAUUAAUUCUCUUGACAAGUGUUUUAUUUAGAGUGACCAAGGUUCUUUUCAAGUACAAGGGAAGUGUGCAAAAUGCAAAUAACGAAUCAAUACAUAAAUAAUUAAAUAAAAAGAUAGGAUACAGAAGUAUAUCCUAUAUCCUCACAGAAGACGCAAAUAUAGAAAGCCUAGCAUAUUAGAAAGAGCAUUUAUCCCUUUCCCCCCUUCUCUUGUAACAUGGACUGCUCAGAGAUCUAAUGUUUCCUUAUUGAUAUCUGAUUUCAGUCUGAUUAUCUGCGUAAAAUAUCUCUGAAGAUGCCUCAGAAUACCAUACCCACUGGCAAUGGUAACAAACCCCUGUAUCCAGGGGGGAAGUGUGCAAAAUCCAAGCUUUGAAUUUCUAAACAUCCUUACCUUUUGUUUUAUAUUUCGCAUUGUUAUCAGACCCUUUUACAUUUUAUUGCUGCAUUUUGCUAUGUAUAUACUAAUCCCUGUACUUUUACAUUAUGUUAAUAAACUGGUCCCUUCAUUAGUUUUUUGUUAGUCAAAUGUAGAGUUGUUAGCAAUAUUUCCUCAAUUUGUUCCACUAACUUGACGUUAAAAUGUGACCAAAGAAUCAAUUAAUUAUUUAAAAAACUUGAGGGAUUAAUUUGUUUGUUUCACAAAAAAAUACAGUGGUUAAAUAAAAUUUUACUCAAAUUUUUAUCAUCAUAUUCGUGAGUGUUUACUUGUAAAUAUUUUGGAAUGAACACAGUGGUUAAGUUUAUGUUUUGCGCAGCAUAAAAAAAAUCAUCUAGGCUUAAAUAAUUAUUUGGCAUCAUAAUUAAAACUCUAAUCCAAAUUUCUCUCAUCUGGCUUCUUAUCUAUAUCAAGUUUAAAAUUAACCAAUGUGAAAGUUGCUCUAACAUGAUAUAAUUAAUGUGAUGGGUUCCAAGUCAAUUCAUAUGACCAGUAAAAAAACAUAAUUUAGCUUUAAAAAAAAAAUUCAAGAUGAUACUUGUUUUGAACAUUGAUACGACAUCUUGGAUCGACUCUAGUUUUGUGACGUAACUCUUUAAACCCAUGACUUGAAUAAUGGAUUCUAUCUGGUUUAAUUUUUUAUAAAAAAAAUUAUUUUUUACUUAAUAAUAUGAUAAUAAAAAUAAAAACUCGUAAAAUUGAGCACUAAUCAAAUAUUAAGAUAUUUAUUUGAGACUGCAAUAACAUCAUUGAAAGCAAAUUGAAACAAAAUCAAUUCAAAAUCAAAUAAAUGUUAAACAAAUAUUAAAAGAUGAAACCAGACAAAAGCCAAAAAGGAUUUAAUUGAAAGAAAGAAAAUAUUGGAAUGUAGAGUUUAAAAACUAAGGAAUAAUAUUUAUUAAACUUGAUCCUAAUCUAUCGACUUGACUUCUUACCUAACAUAUAUUUAAAAUUAAUUUGUAAGGGAGUUGUCUGUACAUUACCUAGUUGACUUGACAUGUGCAAAUUAAAGCAACCUGAAUGACCAAUAAAAACAUGGUUUGGAUUUUAAGAAAAAAAAUCAAGAUAUCUUUUUUUUUUAAUAUUGAGACGAAAAUAUAUUAGAUCAACUCAAGCUCCGUGGCUAAACUCGUCAAAUACGCAACCCAGAUCAUGAACUCCACUAGAUUUAAAAACUAUUUUUUUAUAUAAUGAUACAAUAACUAAUAUAAACACUUAUAAAAUUGAGAACUAAACAAAUUUAGUGACGUUUAUUUGAUAUUGUGAUAACUACAUAUAAAGAAAAAAACAAAUUAUGACCAAUUCAAAAUUAACAAAAUAUUAAAGUGAAAUUGAAAGGAAAAAAAGGGCAAAAAUCAUUCAAUCAAAAGAAGAAAAAAUUAGAAGAUAGAAUUUUUUUUUUAAGGGAGGAUAUGAAUAGCAAAAUAGGAGGGAAAACCCUAACUUUUUUUAGUAUAAUAAAUGAUGUUUAAUUUAAUUAAAAUCUUUAUCUCAUACAAUUAGACCUAAAAAGAGAAGAAAAUUUCUAAAGAUUGAUUUGUAAAAAAACAGAAAAAAAAAUCAAAUCAAGAAGCGAAAAAAUACAAGGACCAAUAUACACACACAUAGUGAAAGAGUUAGAAAAGCAUAACUUUUUUAGUAUAGUAGUUUAUUUCUAAUUAAAUUGAAAACUUUAUCUCAUAUAAUUAGGCCAAAAAAGAAUUAAAUAAAAAAAAAAGGAUUAAUUUAUAAAAAGAAAAAGAAAAAUAAAGAAUACAGAACCAAAUCAACAAAGAAAAAAACUAAUUUUUAAAAAAUAAAGUGCUCCACUAUUCAUAUAAAAUAGAACAUCAUUAUAGUAUCCAAUUAGACAGUGACCCAUAUUACUGGCUAUUUUAAUUUUUUUAAAGAAAAAAAAGUUUCAGUAUUUUCAAAUGUGAUAAGUUUUUUUUUUAUAAAAAAAAACAUAUAUGUGUGCAAGGGAAUAGAGAUUUGGUUUGAGAAUACAUGCUAAAAAUCUAAACAUGAACUAAAACAAAGUGGAAUUAAAAAGAGUAAAAAAAAAAAACCUAAAAGAGAUCCAUGAUUCAUUAUAUAUAUAGACUAUGAGGUUACGAGGUAAAAUAUUAUGGAUUAGCAUAAUAUAAUUACUUUUUACCCUUCUCUACACAACAAUUACCUUGCUAAUAGGGGUAAAGUUGUCUUUUUCAAUGAUUUUAAAGGUUAUUUAUAAAUUCACUGGAGAUAAUUUAGUAGGUUUACUCCUUUUUUGCAUAUUAAAACUACAUCAUUGCCUUUGCAAGCCAAAAAAAGAAAAAACAAUUAACCUUUUGUUUAAGAUCUAUUUUGUAUUUUGUAUUUGAUUUAUACAGUAAAAUGACAUUAAUGCCUUAGAGAGUUAAAAAAUCAUCGACUUUAAGUUACUGGGCCUUAAACUUUGUUAUUUAUUUUGGUUUUUUUUUAUAGGGUUAUUUCUAUCUCAUAUCUCAAGUUGCAGAUAAGUUAGGUUGGAUGCAUACUUAAUUAAUUAAUAAAAGUCAUGUAUAUAUUUUUGCAAAUUGGAUGCACACUUAAUUAACAUACUUAUUGAAUAUUAAGUCAGGCAAAAAAUCUAUAAAAAGAAUAUACAAGUGAGCCAAACAACAAUAUUAAGAACGAAUAAGAGGUAGUAAAAGAAGAUGAUACCAAAGGACGCAAAAUCACAAAAAUUCAUGAAACUACAUUAGGCUCUCUACAAGUGAAUUGUUUAAAAAGUUAAAAGAAAAUAAAUGCACUUUUGUCCACAGCAACAACUAAAUGCACUUUUGUUCAAUACCAAGAAAUUAAACAUUUUUUAAAAAAAAAACUAAAUGAAUUGUUUAAAAAGUUAAAAGAAAAUAAAUGCACUUUUGUACACAGCAACAACAACUAUAGCAAAAUGCUGGGCUGUAGAAUCUAGAUGAUUGUCCACAGCAACAUGAAAAAAUCAUAUAUGCUUAAGUAACUAUUUGGCAUCUCAAUCUAGUAAAUUAAUCUUAAAUUUCUUAUAUCCGACUCUUUACCUAUAUUAAAUUUAAAAUUAACCAACAUAAAAAUUGUUUUAAUAUGACUUAAUCGAUAUAGUUGGUUCAAAGUCAAUCCAUAUGACCGAUAAAAAAUGUAAUUUGGCUUAAAAAAUUUCAAAAUAACAUCUUUUUUAUAACAUUGAUACGACAAUAUAUUAGAUUGACCCUGAUUUCAUGACUUAACUCUCUAAACCCACUACCUUAAUAACGGACUCCUUCUAGUUUAAAAACUUUUUUUUAAUUAUUUUUUACUUCAUGAUAUUAUAACAAAAAUAGAUGCUCAUAAAAUUAAGCACCAACCAAAUAUCAAGAUAUUUGUUUGAGAUUACAAUAAUAAAUAUCAUAAAAAGCGAAACCGAAACAAGACCAAAUCAAAAUAAAUCAAAUGUUAAAGGAUUAAACCAGGAAAAAGCCAAAGAGGAUUCAAUUAAAAGAAAGAAAAAAAAAAUAGAAGGUUGAGUUUAAAAACAAAGUAACAAUAUGACAUUGUUAUUAAACUUAAAGGAAAAAAAAACUAAUUUAAAAAAUUAAAGUGUUUCACUAUUCAUGUAAAAAUGAAAUACCAUUAUAGUAUCCAACUAUAUAGGUGACCUGCACUAUGGGUUAUUCUAUUUUUUUAAAAGCAAAAAAAUAAAGUUUCGACAUUGUUAGAUUGUGAGAAAAAAAAAGUUUUAAAAAAUAUCCGUGUACAAAAGAGGAGAGAGAUUUGGUUUGAGAAUGCAUGGUAAAAAUCUAAACAUGAACUAAAAAACAAAGUGGAAUUAUAAAAAUUAAAAAAAAAACUAAAAGAGGUAAAUGAUUCAAGUGAUUCAUUAUAGACUAUAAGGUAAAACACUAUGGAUUACACACAAUAUAUUUACUUUUUUCUCUUCUAUACACAAAAUAAUUGUCUUGCUAAUGGGGAUAAAGUUGUUUUUUUAAAGGGAUCUAAAGGUUAUUUGUAUAUUGAUCGGGGAUAAUUUAGUAGAUUUACUGCUUUUUUUGAACAUUAAAACUACAUCUUUGCCUUUGCAAGCAAAAAAAAAAAAUUGUCCUUUCGUUUAGGUUUAGGGUUUAUUUUAUCUUUCCUAUUUUUUUUCAUAGUAAAAUAACAUCAAUAUCCUUGAUAACAAUACAACAACAAAGGAAAAUACCAAUAUUUAAAAUACAACAACUCUUUUUUUCCCAUCUUCUGUUUUCUUUUUUUCAUAUCAAUACAACAACAAAGAAAAAUACAAAUAUUUAAAAUACAACAUAAAAUUUAUUUUCCUGUAGAAUCAAUGUAACAUUAAAGAGGCAUCUUCCGUUUUCUAGUCAGGAGGGAUUAUAAGAACUCAAGAAAAUUGCCAUAUGACUUGAGGAAAAGAUUUAUACUACCGCCACCAAUCAUGUGUUUGCCUAAUGCGAGGUUCGAUAAUUACGGUAUUCUUUAGACAUGAAUAUACACACGCAUUUAUGCAUGUACAAAUGUGUGUGUAGUGUGCCUACACUUCCUCACCGUUCAUUCUGUAUGCAAGGCUAAUUGGGAGUUCACAUCUUUUUGUUAAUUCUCUUGACAAGUGUUUUAUUGAGAGUGACCAGGUUCAAGUAUUGGGGAAGUGUGCAAAAAGAAAAUAGCAAAUCAAUACAUAAAUAAUUAAAUUAAAAGAGAGGAAACAGAACUAUAUCCUCACAGAAGAUGAAAUGAUAGAGCAUAUAUCCAUUUCCCCCCUUCUCUUGUAACAUGGAUUGCUCUGAGAGCUAAUGUUUUGUUAUUGAUAUCUGAUUUCGGUCUGAUUAUCUGCGUAAAAUAUCUCUGGAGAUUCUUUCGAUGGAAAUCAGGUCUCAAAACGCCAUGCCCACUGCCCCCAUGGACCCAUAAGGUAAUAAUGCAGCCAAGCAUUGAAUUUCUAAACAUCUUACCUUUUGUUUUUCUUUUCGCAUUGUUAUCGAACUCUUUUACAUUUUAUUGCUGCAUAUUGUUAUGUAUUUCGCCUUGCUGGAAAAAUCUCAUGAUCACCUCCACGAUGCUAAUUCUGUAAUGCAUGUGAAGUGUUUCUGAUAAGGUCCCAAUCAAGAGUGAUACACAAUUGCAGAAAUGCUAGGAUUCUCUUAGGGUGAGAAUUUACCACAAUAUUGUUUGGAUAAACAUAAUGCUAUUCUUUUUAUUCUUCUUCAUACAUAUAAAGAACUAAACCAUAACAACUUUCAGCAAAUCCAGCCGAAAUGGAAAUAACAGAUUACAAAACAGAAAUGCAAAUAAUGUGAAAGUGGCUGCUUUAUUUUCUCCCAUUGAAUCGGAAGCAUGAUUCCAAUUGACUUGCUUGUAACUCCCUUUAAUCACGAUAUCUUUUAAUCACGAUAUUUUAAAUUCUUCUUUAUGACACGUGGGGUCCUUCGUGGCAGCAGCUCUCCAAGCUGCGUAUCAUUACCCCCCACAUCAAGUGGAUGCUUGUCCCCAAGGUCCAAGCUUGGGUGGUUCGUUAGCAGUUCAGCCGUUGGUUCCCAGAUGGCAUCAUUUGUAGACAAAUGUUUCCACUUCACCAAACUCUCCUCAAUAAAUCUUGCCCCAUGUGGAAUCCAACGUGUGUCCAGAAUAGCUUCUGGUGUGACCACAAUGGUGCCUUCUUCAUCAAUAGGUGGAAGUUCCAUACUAGUGUCUGCUUUGUCACCCAACUUCCUUUUAAGCAACGACACAUGAAAAACUGAAUGUAAACGUGCCCCCUCCGGAAGCUUGAGUUUGUAGGCCACAUCACCGACUCGCUUUUCAAUUGGGAACGGACCAUAAAACUUGCAAGCAAGUUUUUGAUGAGCUCGUCGAAAAGCAGUCUGUUGGCGAUAAGGUUGUAAUUUGAGAUACACAAGGUCACCUUCUAUGAAUUCGACAUCCCUUCGCCCACGAUCAACCAACUGUUUCAUGCGAUUCCUAGCAUUCGCUAAAUUCUGCUUGAGAUUCCUAAGAAGUGUGUCCCGUACCUGAAGACUGUGAUCAACUUCAUUAACUGGUGAAGAGCCUGUAGCAUAAAGUGGAAAUGUAGGUGGUAAGCGUCCAUAAAGAGCUUGAAAAGGUGUCGUUCCUGUUGAUGAAUGGUAAGCUGUAUUAUACCACAGCUCUGCCCAAGGAAGAAAUUGGCUCAACUGUCGUGGUCUUUGGUGAACAAAACAGCGCAAAUAUUGUUCCACACAAUGAUUAACCACCUCUGAUUGACCAUCCGUUUGAGGAUGAUAUGCUGAGCUCAUCUUAAGCUGAGUACCAGACAUCUUAAAAAAUUCCUGCCAAAACUUACUAAUAAAGACUUUAUCUCUGUCGCUCAUAAUAGAACUAGGCAUGCCAUGUAGCUUCACCACACCAUCUACAAACUUUUCUGCCACCAUCUUUGUUGUGAAAGGAUGUGUUAAGGCCAAGAAGUGAGCAGAUUUGCUUAGAUGGUCCACUACCACUAAAAUGGUAUCGCGACCAUGUGAAGUAGGGAGACCUUCAAUAAAAUCUAUAGUAACGUCAUCCCAUACCUGACACGGAAUAGGAAGAGGUUGCAAGAGCCCAGCUGGUUUGAGAUUAUCAGCUUUAGUUUUCUAGCAUGUCACACAUGUGUGGACAUAUUCUUUGACAGAAUGAUACAUAGAUGGCCAAUAAAACUGCUGAGAUAGACGUUUGAAUGUACCCAAUAUACCAGAAUGGCCGCCCAUCUUUGUAUCAUGAAAUUCCUGUAGUAAUUGUUCUAUCACAGCUGUGUUAGGAGGCACCACAACACGUGUUUUGAAGAAAACUAACCCAUCUCGCCAGGUAUAAGGUUUUCCAGGACUAUUUUGAGCUUGCUGAAUAAUUUGUUCCAUAUAUGGGUGUCCAGUGGAGGCCUUUUUUAUGUCUUCCCAUAAAGUUACUUGUGGCACAGACAACGCAUUAAGAAUAGGGCUUCCAGACACUCUUGAUAAUGCAUCAGCAGCUGAGUUGUCGCGUCUUGGGCGAUAUAUGAUUUCAUAGUCAUAGCCAAGUAAUUUAGCCACCCAACGUUGUUGUUCUGGUGUCCCAAUUCUUUGCUCCAAUAGAUACUUUAGACUGUGCUGGUCCGUUUGAAUGAAGAACUUUUUGCCCAGUAGAUAUGGUCUCCAAGUGCGUAUUGCCUGAAGGAUGGCAAUCAUUUCUUUGGCAUAUGUUGACCAUGAAAGUUUGGCCACUCCGAGUUCUCGGCUGAGGAAAGCAAUGGGUUUACCUUGCUGUGUCAACACUGCACCAAUACCCUCUCCAGAAGCAUCAGUUUCAAUUGUAAAUGAUUCAUUGAAAUUUGGCAUAGCUAAAAUAGGUGUGGUUGUCAUAGCUUGUUUGAGCUGUAGGAAAGUUGCCUCCGCCUCUUGACUCCAUCUGAAUUGCCCUUUCUUCAAGAGAUUGGUUAAUGGCUUUGCCAGCAGACCAUAGUUGCGCACAAAUUUUCGAUAAUAACCUGUAAAGCCUAGAAAACCAGGUAAGUCUGAAAUAGUGCUUGGCCUUGGCCAAUUUACCAUAGCUGUAAUUUUGCUUGAAUUAACCUUGACCCCUUUAUUAGUCACAAUGUGACCGAGGUACUCGAGCUCUGACUGCCCAAAUGUAUAUUUGCCUUUACAAAAUAUGUAUGUUGCCGUAGAAUUUCAAAAACCUUUGUAACAUGUUCAAGAUGCAUGGUCCGGGCUAUAAAUCAAAAUAUCAUUAAAAAAAAAACUAAUAUGAAUUGACGGAGAUGAGGAUGAAAAAUAGAAUUCAUAAUAGCUUGGAAAGUGGAAGGAGCGUUGCAAAGACCAAAGGGCAUGACCAUAUAUUCGUAGUGGCCAUUAUGGGUACGGAACACAGUUUUGUGAGUGUCUUUUGGAUUUACUCGUACUUGAUGGUACCCUGCUCUUAAGUCUAAUUUUGUAAAGAAGGCAGCUCCAUGGAGCUCAUCAAGCAUGUCAUCAAUGGUAGGAAUAGGAAAUCGAUCCUUAAUGGUUACGCUAUUGAGAGCUCUAUAAUCAGUACAAAAACGCCAAGUGCCAUCUUUUUUUUUAACUAACAAAACAGGUGAAGAAAAGGGACUAGUACUUGGUUUUAUAAGUCCCAAUUUAAGCAUGUCUUGAACUUGUUUUUCAAUUUCAGUUUUUUGAAAAUAGGCAUACCUGUAGGGCCUCACAUUAAUAGGCUCAGUAUCUUCUUUAAGAGGAAUGCAAUGAUCAACUUCACGAGCUGGAGGUAACUGUGUGGGCUCAUAAAAAAUGUCCUCAAAGUUGUUGAUGAUUUCCUUCAUAUCUGUUUGCAUAUUGGGUCGUUCCAUCUUUUCUAUGGAUUGACAAUACACUGUAAAAGUGGAACAGCCAUGACGGACAUCUUUAGUAAUUGCUGAUAGUGAAGCAGGUUGUAUAGCUUGGCUAUUAGAACCAUUUAAUGUUUGAGCUUGAUUCUUCCACCAAAAGUCCAUUGUAAAUUUUUUCCAAUUACACACCACUGGUCCGAGUUGUUCAACCCAUUGUACACCAAGAACAAGAUCAAGGCCUGUGAUAGGUAUUGAAUAAAGGGUUAAUGAAAAUGGAAUGUUUUGGAGAAUAACCUGGACUUGUUCAAACCUUCCUUGGCACUUCAUUUGAUUGCCAUCUGCCACCCUUACAGUGAAGGGUCUCAUAGGAAUAACAGGUAAUUGAAGCUCCUCUGCUAUUUUAGAAUUGAUGAAAUUAUGGGUAGACCCACUGUCGAUGAGCACUGUUAGAGUGUGAUUCCCAACUCGUCCUUCAAUCCUCAUGGUUCGUGGUGUGGACCAACCCGUGAGUGCAUGGAGUGAAAUUUCUGGCUCAGUGUUCUCCUCAGCUAUGUCCUCUACUGGAAUGUCAUCAGUAACUUCUUCGCACAUGACUCUGACAGGUUCACUAAGGCUUUCUAGUAAUAACAGUUGCGGUCUUUGGCACUUAUGUCCAGCAGUGAAUUUGUCAUUGCAAUUGAAACAAAGCCCUUGUGCACGCCGUCUCUGCAUUUUAUCCCAUGUUAGUCUUUUUAUCGGAACUGGAAAACUGGAUUUUGGUGGGGGAAAAGUCAAUGGUGUGCGAGUUAAUUGUGUUGGCCGUGUAAAUUUCCCUUGCCGCAUUAUUUGUUCAUCCUUCAUUUUAUCUAAACUGAUAGCCUCUUUCAAAGUCCGUGGUUUGAACAUCCGAAUAGCAUCAGAAAUUUCUACUUUAAGUCCACCCAUGAAUGUUGUAACAACCCCGAUUUUUCUACAUUCUUUUUCGCGAUAUAUUGGAAAUUUUCAGGUAAAUUUUUUUUUUUGUGAUAUACAGGUUCCACCAAAAUUUCUACCAAAAUUUCGGCAGAGUCUCCCCUAUACUGGUAGGUCCCAGGUUAUCGACAUAUACCAUGUUUACACUUCUAAUAUCUCACAUCUCAUAACUCAAAAUCACGACCCAAUCAUCCUGGGUCUCAACCCAACUCAUUAUCAUCAACACAACACAUCUUAUUCAAUAACAUCAUAUAAUAUAGUUCAAAUGAAAGAUUCAAUUUCAACUAUAAAUAUGCAUGGUCAAAUAGGUACUAAGAGUUUAAACCAUUAGAGUAAAGACAUACAUUCAAAUUUACGGAUUAAUAUUACAUCUCAAGUUUUAUAAUUUACAUAGUCAAAAGCAAAAGAUAUCUAAACUAGCAUUACCCUUGACGCGACCCUGAUGGACCUGAAAAUAGAAAUUAACAUGUACACAUAAAUAUAAAAGAUAGUAACAAGCAAUAACAAUGGCAAACAAUAAUCUCUACGGAAUUUCUUUUGAUAUAUAAAAUUAGGCAUAAACCUCUUUUACAACAUAUAUUUUACAUUUAUUACCAAUAUCCAUCUAAUAUCCUAUCUCAUUUACCAAGAAUAAUUCCAUCUUGGAAAUCUCAACACAACUCAACGGUUUGCGAACACCAUCUCUUUAUAAAUCAAUUCUCACUUGAUACCAAGAUAUUCCUCUCUUGGUAUUAUUAGCUUAUCUCAUUCUUUUGGAAUAACUAAUUAAUAUUUUCCCUUUUCUGAAUCUGUUGCUAGAAGGUAAUCACUGAAACUAAUAAAUCUCAUUAGUAUCAUUAGUCUUCAAAUAUUGGGCUAGACUAAUCAAUUUAAGAAAUACUGGCACCGAUGAAACUUCAUCGAUACCAUUAGCAAUCCAAACUUGGAUGGCUAAUCAAUUCCAUUUGAUUCUUCCAUUCGUACCGAACCCCUUUUAUCUUUCUUAUUAACAUCAUAUGCAUUGUAACCACGGUUGCCAAGUAUCAUUUGCACACAAUCUUAGUUAUCGACACUACGGUCACUAAGCAUCCUUCACAAAACCUUGGUCACCUUCAUCACAGUGCCAAGUAUCAAUUUAUGCCCUUAGCCACCAUCAUUAUGGUGUUAAGUAUCAUUGUAAUGUAUCCUUAGCCACCGACACUAUGGUAACCAAUUAUCUAUCAAUUCACCUCCAAUCUCCAAGUCAUUGUGUCUACCCAAUAACCACAUUAAUUAAUUUACUCAAUAUGUUAGUCAUAUAUUAAUUAUUUUACUCAUAACAUUUAGAAUUUACUAUUUCUAACUUCAAUCAAUUAAUUCACAUAAUCUUUUCAAAACUUAACUAUCCGGCUAACUCAUCUCGAUUGCCAAUAAUUCUGGUAAUUUCAUAUAAUUACCCACACUUUUGGUUAACCUCCAUCGGUUACCAAUACAUCUGGUAAUUCCAUACGAAUUACUCAGCCUCCAGCUAACUUCUUUUGUUUGUCAAUUAAUCCUGUAAUUCCAUACGAAUUACCCCAUAUCCAGUUAACCUUCUUGUUAACCAAUAAACCCGGUAAUUCUCUUAAUUGUCCAAGAAAUCUGGCUAACCCAUCUUGGUUGCCAAGGUCAAUCCGGUAAUUCCAUACGAAUUACCCAUCAUCCAGCUAACCUCUCUUGUUAGCCAAUGAAUUCGGUAAUUCCAUACGAAUUACCCAUCAUCCAGCUAACCUCUUUUGUUAGCCAAUCAAUCCGGUAAUUCUAUACGAAUUACCCCAUAUCCAGUUAACCUUCUUGUUAACCAAUAAAGCCGGUAAUUCUCUUAAUUGUCCAAGAAAUCUGGCUAACCCAUCUUGGUUGCCAAGGUCAAUCCGGUAAUUCCAUACGUAUUACCCAGCAUCCGGCUAACCUCUUUUGUUAGCCAAUGAAUCCGGUAAUUCCAUACGAAUUACCCAUCAUCCAGCUAACCUCUUUUGUUAGCCAAUCAAUCCGGUAAUUCCAUACGAAUUACCCAAUAUCCCGGCUAACCUCUUUUGUUAGCCAAAUAAUUUCGGUAAUUUCUCUUAAAUUACCAAUAAUUCUCAUUUGUAAUAAUCACUCAACUUAUUCAUUUGUUUCAUUCUUUUAACAUCAAUUAAACACACAACACAAAUAUUUAAGAAAAACUAAUAAUUACAAAAUAAGGUGAUGAAUCACCUACCUAGAAUAGGUGCACGUGCUGCCACUCCAUGCAAUUGUCCAGUCCCCACAGCUUUCCCCUGUACCACCAGGGAUUCAAUUUUUAUCAACAAUACAACCAACAUCACAUCUUCAUUUAAUUCUCAUUCAACUAGUAUUCUCAAACUAAUCACAAGGAAUUUUCUUUAAGAUCUCAUACUCUUACUCAUUUUAAUGUUUAUAUUUAUUCUUAUAAUUUUGUUAUCAAAACCAUCACUCAACAGCAAUUCCAAGCAACGAUUAAAAAUUGUCUAAUUCCGAUCAAUUAAGCUUAACCAACCCAUAACACUAUCUAGUGUCUUAAUCAUAACUAAAGUUGUAAAACUCAGUUUUGGGCGUGAUUUAUAUCUCUAUGAAAGGCUAAACAUAGAGAUACAAAUUUUAUGAAGAAACCAACUCCAAAUUAUUUUGUUUUAAGGCUUAAAAUCAACAAUCACAAUAGCCCUUCUUUAUGGCUAAAAUUUUGGACAACGAGGAUUUUCAUUCCUUGGAAAUCCUUUUCAACUUCCAACUUAUUUUCAUGCAAAAUCAACAUCAUCCAAGGUCAUUUGGCAUCAUUAAAUCACAAGUUCAAACCAAUUCUAAAGCAAAACAUUCAAACAAUUUCCCUACCUCUACAAUAUAGCAAGAUUAGACCAAAAUAAGGAAACUCAUUCCUUUUGAGAUUUCUCCUAUUAUUAUUAUUAAUACAACAAAAUGAUGAACUAUUCAUUUUCUUUCGCUUUCUCCUCGUGCGAUUAAACAUAUACGGCAAACCUUAACAAUUAAUAUUCUCAGAUCAUUAUCACAACAAUAAUUUCACUCUACUAAUUGGGAUCCAUGACAACCUUCAUUAACUAACCAUUUGCUAAAAACACUUAUGGCUAGCUUUAAAUAUGUUUUAUUUUUUUCAAAUUUUUUUCAUUUCAAUUUCUUCAUGGUUCCACCCCAUUUAUAUCCACACAACCAACAAGUUAGCUUUCUAUUCAAUCAACAUGUUCUAUUCAAUCAACACGUUCAUAUAGCAAUAUUCUUUACUAUUCUUACACAACAAUCAUUCUUCCCCUCAUAUAAAGAAUACACAAUUAAUCUAUAAUAUUACUAAUAACAGGAACAUAUUUUAUCAUUACAUCUUCCAUAAAACCUACACCCACACAAUUCUAAUUUCAUCAAAACAUGUAUUUAAUCAAGCUUACUACAUUUUGCAAAAACUAGCAAUAGAUUCAAAAAGCAAUAAGUCAUCAACCUCUGAUUAUUGUUUCCCACCCAACGGUCAGACUACAUAUCAUAGCGUUGUGCAUAAUAUAUCUCAAAUUCAUAAUGAUCCAACGGUUAAAUCUCCCUAGAUCUGAAGAAAACCGAGCUUACCUGAAAAUGAACGAGCUACUGUUCAACAUGCACGCAACCUUGCCGGAGAAAUAUGUUCCGAUCUCCACUGUCCAGAAUGAAUUUAACAUCUACGCGCACCACAUAUCCAACAAUUAGCAUGAUCCAACGGUGGAAGAGAGAGAAAUCGGCCGGCGACCAAACUGCCCUGCAGGUGCAUUUCCUUUUUGUUUUCCAUGAAAUUCCAGAUGAUGAUUUCUGUCAAAUGGAUUGUGUUCCUUCCAAUCACUCCGGUCAGUUAGUAGAGGAGUGUAAUGAGAACAACACGUCCAAAACGCAGCUUGAUCCAACGGUUGAUUCCCGAGAUAUGACCACCGGAGCAUUAUUGGUUUUCUCCAAAAUUUGCAGCUCUCUCCCCUUAUCCGCUUUUCUCUAUUUUUUUUCUUUUUUUUCUUUCUUUUUUUCUUAACUGGUGGCCUCUUUGCAGAUUUAUAGGCACCUUUUUUUUUCAUAAUUACAAUUUUGUCCCUCUUUCAUGCUUUUAUGUAUUUUAUUUUAUUUUUCAUGUAAACUAUCUCGUUUAUUUCUGUUUAAAUCGCUAGUCUUUACCAAACUCUGAUUGGGAUGAGAUAUUUAACCAAGGUAGGAAAACAUAUUAAUAGGCUUCAUACAAAAUUUCAUCCCGAUCCGACGAUUGGAUUGAGAGCUCUGCUUCCUAAUGUAAAAUUGAUCAGUUCAUAACUUUUCGUAAACAAUCUAGAUUUUUUUUUUGUUCAAUCUUCACAAAAAAAAAAAACAUAUCAAUUAUCAUUCUAAACCUUUAAGGUCAUUUAAUUAUUUUGGAAUGUAUUCAUUUUAGGAUUUCCACCUUUAUUUAUUUAUCGGGCUUAUUAUCGUUUCAAAAUAACAUCACUGAUUUUUAAGCGGUGCUUGCACCUUCAGUCCUACCCUUUUCAUUGUACUAUCAUUUAUUAUAAUGUAUUCUUUAUUACCUCACUUAUUUCCUAAAAAUAUUUUGUCAUUUUUCUCAUUAUUUCAUCCAUCAAAACACGUUACCAGUUUCUCUAUCCUUAUGAAUUCUAAACCAAAAUUCAUUUUAUGAAGGUCAUCUCUUCUAUUAUAUAUCAUUAUUUAUCUAUUAUUUCUAAUCUUGGUUUCCAUCACUCAUUGAAAUAUUACCACUUUCAGUCUUAUGUUUACAUGAGGGUUUAUACAUCUACAUAUUUAAAUUAUAAAUUUCCAGGGUUUCACAAAUGUGCCCACCAGCGCCUUUUGAGUCCAACCAUGAACUCGAUUGCCCAACCUCUCAAAUUCCUUCUGAUAGUCCCUUAAGGAACCCACUUGUCUGACCUUUGAUAAUGCUUCAUCAAAAUCCUCAUAUUCUGUGGGCCCAAACCGUGCCCAAAGCUCUUCUUCAAAUAUCUCCCACGUGACAGUGCGCCCUUCUUCCUUGUGAGCUCGAUGCAACCAUUGCCACCAUUGGUUGGCUUCUCCUUCCAAAUGGAAUGAGGCCAAUGAUACUUUUUGAUUGUCCGCAGUCUCUUGAUAUUCAAAAAAUUGGUCCACCCAAUUGAACCAUUCGGUUGGAUCAUCCCCAGAAUAUCGUGGAAAGUCUAACUUGGCCAUUUUUUAUGAGAAGACGUGGCGUCCACACUCAUUAUCAGUUUUCUUCUUUCCCCCAUCAGUGUCAUCCCGAUAUGUGCGUGAGAAGCCAUCCCGGUCGUUGUUGUGGUAACUUGAAGACGCCUUGGAAGCGAUCAUGACCUCUGAAAGUUUGUUGAUGGUUUCCUCCAGGCUGUGCAAUCUAUUGAUCAUGUAAUCUUCCAGUCGCUGCAUGCCAUCUUGGACUCCACCAAGUCCUGUCUCCAAAAGCUCAAUUCGUUCUUUGUUUGUUGCCAUUGCGUAGGCUCUGAUACCAAUUGAUAAGGUCCCAGUCAAGAGUGAUACACAAUUGCAAAAAUGCUAGGAUUCUCUUAGGGUGAGAAUUUACCACAAUAUUGUUUGGAUAAAAAUAAUGCUAUUCUUUUUAUUCUUCUUCAUACAUAUAAAUAACUAAACCAUAACAACUUUCAGCAAAUCCCGCCGAAAUGGAAAUAACAGAUUACAAAACAGAAAUCCAAAUAAUGUGAAAGUGAUUUCUUUAUUUUCUCCCAUUGAAUCGGAAGCAUGAUUCCAAUUGACUUGCUUGUAACUCCCUUUAAUCACGAUAUCUUUUAAUCACGAUAUUUCAAAUUCUUUUUUAUGACACGUUGGGUCCUUCGUGGCAGCAGCUCUCCAAGCUGCGUAUCAGUUUCAUUCUUAACUUGUUAAGGAACAAGGACUGUGAUGCAUGGCUAUUUUAUAUUUUAUGAUUGAGAUGGUAGAUUUUAAAGAUUUUCCUGUUUAGGAGGUAAGACGUCACUUUCUUGCUUUUCUUCCGAGAGAAAGUAUUUGAUCCUUUCUUCAUAUAUAAUAAUGCUGCCAAGCAUUGAAUUUCUAAACAUCUUACCUUUUUGUUUUGUUUGUCGCAUUGUUAUCAAACUCUUUUGCAUUUAAUUGCAGUAUAUUGCUAUGUGUACGGCAUGCUUUAAUCAAAAAGUUGAGUACUCGAUGAAUGUUAGGCAAGAAAAUUACUGAUUAUUUUUGUUUUCUGCCUCCUCCUUUUCUUUCUCCCAACCUGAAAAUUGUCAUAUUAUUUUUGUUUUCAGCCGCCUCUUCUUCCCCCAACCCUGAAAAUUGUCUGAGGACACUUUUAUGCUUUGAAUCAAAUCCAUCCUAAUUCUUUCGCUCAUAACUUUAUGUGUGAACUGCCGAUGUUUGAUCAUUUGUCUUCCUUGUUCAGUGCCUUCUUUUUUUCUUUGACAUGGUUUCCUUUUUUCCUUUUAUCUUGAACAGCAUCCCAUAGUAUGCCCCCUCAAGUUCAGAAUCAUGGGCUAUUUCUCCCUAUCCUAUUGUCCACUGAUCAAUCUCAAGUACGCUAGCAGUUGUUAUCACAGAACAUGCAGAAUUGCAUGGCAUCUAAUGCAAUUCAAAGUUCUGCUGGUUUACUAGCGGCACUGCCUCUUGUCUCCGGUGUAACCCAGACUAUCCCCAACACUGUUGUCCAGAAUCCUAACAUGCAGAGUAUCCCCGGUGUUUCACAGAACUCAGUGGGGAAUUCAAUGAGACAAGGGAUUCCCUCCACUAUGUUUGCCAAUUCUCAUAAAGAAAUGCCAGGUAAUGCUCUUUUUGGUAGCUUUAUGUCUUCCACUUAUGGCAUUAGAAAUGCCACUGCUAUUGGAACUAUUGCAAUCACACAUGCAUUUGGCAUCACACGAUGCCCUUCAGUGCUCUGCACCAACUUUUCACCUCCCAUAAUGGUUCUAGUCAGUAAUGCUUUUUUAGGUAGCUUUAUGUGCUACUGCUGCCACUUAUGGCAUUAGUAAUGCCACUGCUAUUGAAACCAUUGCAAUCACACACACAUUUGUUACCCACAUCAUACCCUCCAGUGCAUUGCACCAGCUGUUCACCUCUCAUUCUGGAUUUAUAGGGUUUGUCCGUCUGUUUGAAUGAUUACAUAACGUUUAGAUGGAGUUCCUAGUACUCCUAGUUCAAAAAGACUUGUAUUCCUCUGUAGGAAAAUACUAAUAGUCCUAUCUAGAAUAGGAAAACCUAAUGAAGCUCGCUAUACUUUGGGAUAAUAAAAUACUAAAUGGAAAAUAAAAUGAGACUUGCAAUAUUCCAUAAUUUUCAGCAAGCGUGAAAAUUACAGAAAUACCCUUGUAUAUGGAAAACACACAAAAAUACAUGAAUUCUAAUCUUUGUUGCCCGCAUUGAAAUAUUUGUAGCAUCCCUAGAUUCUACAGCACAGACUGGACAUGCAAAAGGCGCUGAUUGACAAGAGUAGAUCUAUCAAAAGGUAAUUUCUGUGAUUUACUGUUCAUUAGAUGGAGUUCAUGUAUGCCAUAGUCUUAAAAAUAAAAGUGCACUAUUUCUGAAUGACUUACAGUUUAUCUUUUGUUAAGUGAAGAGUUAUUUGCACGAUUGCAAUCAACUUGUUGUGAAAAAUUUCCAGUAUUGAAUUUUAUAGAAAAUGAGGUUGAAAUUCUGAAUGUCUCAAGUCAUAACUGCAUAUUUGAUAAGGACAUUUUUCUUGUGCUUAAGUGAGUAUUAAAACGGGAAUAAGAAUGGUUGUUGUUAAGGAUCCAUGGGGUCAUGCAUAGGAUCUAAGGCUAAGAAGCGUCGCUAAAGUUGUGAAAUCCAUUGACUUGAGCUAGAACAGCAGAAAACAAUGAUGUGUAGUUUGCAGGGAGACAGUAACUGAACUUAACCAACCCCUGAAUCUUGUCUAAUGGUGUACUUACACAGUCCUUUGCAUCUUUCCAUUCCAUCAAUAUCGACAUCCUGUUGAGUUUCUAGCAUUAAUUCCACUCUAUUAUUUUUAUCUCAACUAAUUUAUGUUGUCCUCUGCCCUUUUUUUGUUAUUUUAUUUUUAUCAAUUCCCUUAAGUUUGUUUGUUUUACUUUCUUUCUGACUGGCACCUGAAGAGAUCAAGCAUAUGAGCGAUAAUGUUUUGCUGGUUAUUUGUACUUCCUAGAUCAAAGUUAUGAAGGAGACUUAUUUCCCUGAAAUAAAUGAAAUGUAUCAGAGAAUUGCUGCCAAGUUACAGCAGGUAAAUUGUCUCUGAAAUUUCUUCCGGAUUAUCUGUGCAUGCAUGAUUAUCUGCAAUUUCCCCAUGUUGAGUUUUGUAUUAGUUUGUUUUCCUCAUCAGCAUUGCCUGUCACUGUAUCAUCUGCACUAUUCACCUACCCCACCCCCAACCGCCCCCACAACCAUGCAUCGACACAGAAGAAGUGGAAUAGAAACAUUUUGUUUCACUAAUGUUUUGCUACAAAGGAUCAAUGCAAUUUUUAAUUCUCGUGUAUGUUAACUUUGCUUUCUAGCAUGACUCUCAUCCGCAACAACCGAAGUCGGAACAGCUUGAAAAGCUGGAGGUAUUCAAGGCCAUGUUGGAGCGCUUGAUAACAUUCUUACAGGUCUCUAAAAACAAAAUCACACCUAGUUUCAAGGAGAAAUUGGGUUCCAAUGAGAAGCAUAUUGUAAGUUUUCUAAACCCAGGCAGAUCAGGAAGCCAAUUCCUAAUCUACAGCGAGGACAACUUCCCCAGCCUCAUGUGCAACCUAUGCAGCAAUCCCAGUCUCCAGUUCCUCAAUUGCAGUCCCAUGAAAAUCAACUGAAUACCCAGUUGCAAUCAAUAAAUGUGCAAAAUUCUAUACCAACAAUGCAGCAGAACAAUAUGUCAAGCUUGCAGCAUGGUUCUCUUUCAUCUUUAUCUGGGUUUUCUAUGUCACAACCAAUCAUGAUGAUGUGGGACGAGAGAUUUUACGAGAAGAAAAGGGGGUAGAGAGAAUGAUAUUGUAGCAAAAAUAACUAAUCAAAUAGAAAGGCUGAGCUUAGAGACAGCACACUACAAAGGAAGCACCCAAUAGCUAGACAUACAAUCAUAACAAAUUCAUCUUCUAAAGUUGGAGAACUUGCGAAAACUAGCAACCAUAAAAUAGUAACAAGUAUCUAUGCAAUCUUCGAUGAAGUACAACCACCUACGUCGCCAAUAUGGAUUGAUGUAGAGAACUGCUGCAAUCGUCAUCACCACAACUGUGUAACAUACACUGAAACUGAUGUAGAAAAACUCCAUGUCUAUGAAACCAUCAUCUUCUUGUUCAUCAUGAGGCACUGGCUGGGACAACACUACUUCUUCACUACAAUUGUUUCGCAAUGGAGGUCCACACAAGAAAGGAUUUCCUUCGUAACAGCUUUCAUCGAAGGUCCCAAACUGAUAUUUUCUCUCGGGUGUCUUACCUGACAAGUUAUUGUGCUCCACACUAAAAACUUCUAGUGUGGUCAUUUCAGUAAGUUGUGGAGGGAUGUCACCAUUCAAGUUGUUGUAAGAAAGAUCCAAACUCUCAAUCCGCUUCAGGUUUGAGAAUGUUGCAGGGAUAGAUCCAGUGAGAUUGUUGUGUGAUAAGUUUAAUGACAGUAUCUCGCUUAAGUUUCCAAAUUCUGGUGGGAUUGCUCCUACAAAGUUGUUAUUGGAGAGAUCAAUACCAGACAUGUAGAUGAGAAUUUUCCCUUUGUAACCAUAAUACAUAUUUUUAGUUGUAAAUUCUAUCACUUCUUCUGUAAAGUUAGUCCAAUAACCCUUUAAUAAGGUGUAUAUGCUAUCCACUUGUGGUGGACCCAUUAUUUCAUAAUAAGCCUUUUCUAAGAACCCUGGUAGUAAAAGAACAUCGAGAUUCACUAAUGCUUUCUGGGAACUUUCUUUGAAAGUAAGAUUUUCCAAACAGGAGGGUAAUGGACCAGAAAGCUGGUUUUGUGAAACAUCCAAAAUGCUUAAUUGUUUUAAUAAGCAUAACUGAACAGGGAACUCACCAUCAAAGUGAUUAGCUCUCAGAAGAAGAACACUCAAUGAUGAAAGAUUGCCAGCCCAAUUUGGAAUUGAGCCGGUGAAGCUGUUAUCUCUAAGAUCCAUCGUAACCAGGGAAGAGCUAUUAUAAAAUCCAUAUUUUAAUGGACCGCUCAAUCUAUUUUUGGAUAGAUGCACAUGGGUUAUUUGUGGUGAAUUGAAACAAGAUGGAAUAUAUCCAAACAAAUUGUUCUCAGAAAGGUCCAAAUAUUCAAGCUGGUCAAACUUACAAAAAAAGUCUUUUGGGAUAGGACCCUUAAAAUGGUUUUUUGAAAAAUCAAUUGCUCUAAGGUUCGUCGAAUUGACGAACCACCUUGGAAGCAUGCCUGAAAAUUGAUUGUUACUCAAAUCCAAUACAAUCCACGUUUUCCACCCGUUUAAUGGAAAAUCUGAUAUUUGACCCCAAAAGUUGUUAUCACCUAGAUAGAGAUAUUCUGAGGUAGAAGAAUUGAACACGGAGGUUGGUAUUUGCCCACCCAAAUUGUUGUUUGACAGCUUGAGAAACAUUAAUGUUGUUAGUAGUUCUAGUUUUACCGUGGACAAUUGAUUGUUGGAUAAAUCUAAAACUCUCAAAGAGCUAAUAUUUCCUAAACAAGAAGGAAUACAACCCGUGAAUCCAUUCUUAGCCAUCCUUAAUCCCUUCAGAUUUGGAAAGAUCAAACAAAUAUCCUUUGGAAUUUGACCGCUCAUGUUGUUGUUGGAUAUAUCCAAUUCGGUCAUUUUCGGAUAUGGGUGAUCUUGCAACUGCAAAGUACCAACAAAGGAGUUCCCGCUCAGAUAUAGUUGCUCCAAUCGUGUAUUGUUCUUAAGCAACCACGAUGGAAACAUUCCGGUGAUGUUGUUGUGGGAGAGAUCAAGGAAUCUUAAGUGGUAUUGGUAAUAGAGGAAGUUGGGAAUUUCUAUAUUGAGUGCUUCCGUUGUUUUUGUCGAGCUAAAAAAGACUAGUUGGAACUUUGGAAUCAACUGAUCAAAUGCAGCAGGUUCUAUUACUAAUCUGUUGUUCUCAUUGCAGAAGAACUUGAGGCUUGAGUGGUUCAUAAAAGGUUUCAUUGAAGUGGGAACUUCAAAGAGGUUAUUUGAUAGUGAGAGGAAUUCAAGGGAUAUGAGGUUGGUAAGGGGACCGAAGGCAAUAUUUCCAGUAAAUUGGUUUUCAGAAACAUCUAAUAGUUGUAGAGAAGACAAGUUCCCCAAACAAUAUGGGAGUGAACCUCCUAAAUCAUUUUCAGAGAGAUCUAAUUGCUUCAGAUUCUUCAUUUCACACCAACCUGUACAAUUUAUGGAUAUAAAGUCGUUAAAGAUGAAGGCUAAGUCAAACAUGAUAAAAUACUAUCAUUAAAUUGAUCAUUGCAUAGAUAUAAAGUCCUUUUUUAUAUAUAUAUAUAUAUAAUGUAAUGAAUAUUAUUGAUUAUUCAACAUAGUUUUAAAUAAUAUAAUAUUUUUUAAAUUUAUAAUAUUAUAAAUUAUAAAAUUAUUGAUACUUGCAAUGAAGACCAAGUCUCAAAAUACCAUAUCCACUGGCAGUGGUAAUGCAGCGAAGCAUUGAAUUUCUAAACAUCCUUACCUUUUGUUUUAUAUUGCUAUGUAUAUACAAUGCUUUAAUCAAAACCUAUAAUGCAGGAAUAUCUGCAGAUGGCCAUUCCCAAAGGGAAAACUAAUCUUCCCUAGAAUAUUACAAAGUGCCAUUUCUACAGUGAGACACUGAAUAGUGAAAUUAGUGUUUCGUUUUUGUUGUUUUGUUGCUGAUAACUAGAUCUGUUAAAUCUUUUCCCUGUACUUUUACAUUAUGCAGUAAACUGGUCCCUUCAUUAGUUUUUCGUUAGUCAAAUAUUGUAGAGCUGUCAGCAAUAUUUCCUCUGUUUGUUCCACUAACUUGACGGUAAAAUGUGAUUAAAGAAUCAAUUAAUUAUUUAAAAAACGUCGAGGGAUUAAUUUGUUUGUUUCACAAAAAACAGACACUGGUUAUAUAAAAUUAUACUCAAAUUUUUUUCAUCAUAUGCGUGUGUUUACUUGUAAAUAUUUUGGAAGGAACUAGUUUAUGUUUUGCGCAACAUAAAAAAAAUCAUCUAGGCUUAAGAAACUAGCUCGAUCUAGUGGAUUAAUUUUUAAUUUUUUUUAUUUGACUUUUUAUCUAUAUCAAGUUUAACAUGAAAGUUAAUGUCUUUGUUUAAUUCGCAUGAUAACAAUUCUAUGUCUAAGAUCAUUUGGUUGGCAUACAUAUGUAAACCUAGGUGUUGUUAGUUCGAGGGAAGGAAGACACAAUAAAAAAUAAACAAACAUGGAUGAUAUGUCAUUUAUGUUUUACUUUUUUUAAUUAAAAAAACAGGCUUAAUAAAAAAUAUCAAGCGAGGUCAGAUGCGCGAGCCUUGUUUUAUAAUUUUUUAUUCAAAUUUUAAUAAUUGUUUUCAAUUAUUAUGCAUAUGACAUAAAAAUCUGUUCAUGAAAAUUAAAUUCAAAUCACUUUUUUAAUCUUAGAAUUUUUAGAUAUAUUUUUAGCAUAAUUUUAUCAUAUUUAUGAUUUUUUUUAACUUUCAAUCACAUGAAUAUAUUAUUUUGAUACAUUUUUAAUUUGUUGUGACAAUUAUAGAAUAUUCUUUUAAUAGAAACAAUGAUUCUAGUUAAGAAAAAAAUCUUGCAUUCAUCGAGAUAAACAAGAAAUAUGUUAAUAAGAAAAUUUAUCUUGAUGGAGAAAAAUUCAAAACGACUAAAUUUUCAAGUUUAAUAACAAUGCCAAGGAGUUUCCUUAGACUUGGAUAUUUUGUUCUACGUUUAAAGUUUUUUUUAUCUCCAUAACAUAGCAUUAGCAUACAAACUUGUAUAUUUUUAAGACAGCGUUUGGUUACUAUCCGGGACAAUAAAGACAAAGACAGAGGAGACAAGACAUAAAAGAAGAUGGAGAUAGAAUUGUGUUCAGUAGUGAUGUACAAGAUAAAAUAAUUGUCUUUGUAUCAUAUUUAGUUAUGUUGAAUAAGAAAGAAUAAAAUACAUAAAAAACUAUUUUACCUUUAAUAUGUAUUGUUGUCAAACUUCCAUAUUUAAAAAAUAAUUAUUUUUAUUUUUUUACUUUAGUUUAUAUUGAAUGUUGAAAUUAUUAAUAUUAUAAUAACCCUAAUUAUAAAACCAGGACUGAUUUGACAGGUUGGUUUAAGGCGUAGACUUGCCCGAGUUUUAGAAAAAUAGAUUAAUGAUUAACUAGACCUGACCUGGUAAAAAAUAUGAGUCAGGUUAAGAUAAAACACAAGUAAAAAACCCAUUGACUUUUUUGAAAAAGAAAAUUGGUCAAAACAAGGUUUCUUUGACUAUUUUUUUUAAAAAAAAAUUGGGUCAAUCAGGUUGACCUUCCCAACCCAUGACCUACACCUUUCCUUUGGUCAACUCCUAAGUUGAGUUUUAAAACUAUGAUAUUAAUAAUUUUUAUCCAUACUCAGGUCAACCUGUGUUGACCCUCUCGAUCCAUGACCUAGGCCUUACUUCUGUCGACUCCCGAGUCGGGUUUUAAAAUAUGAUAAUAACUAUUUUUAUCCUUACAUUAAUCCGGGUCGACUCUCUUGAUUCGUGACCCGAGUCUUACCCCAAAUUGACUAUCGAAUCAAAUUUUAAAACUAUGAUUAUAACCACCUUUAUUUUAUGUUGACCCGGGUCAAUCCGGGUUGACCCAUAUAACACGUGACUCAAGCCUUAUCCCGAGUCGAUCCCCGAUUUGGGUUUUAAAACUAUAAUAAUAACUAUUUUUAUCAUUACAUUUACCUAGGUCAAUAAUCAACCUCACUUGUGACCCCAAAAUUGCCCGGGUCGACCCUUAAAUCGAGUUUCAAAAUAUGAUAAUAACUAUUUUUAUUUUUAUACUAAUACAGGUCAACUCAACUCGUGACUCGGGCCUCAACCAGUGACCCAGAAUUUACCCCGGAUCGACCUCAAAGUUGGAUUUUAAAACUAUGAAAAUAAUUAUUUUUACCUUUAUAUGUCUUAAUUAGACAAUUUAGAAUUGAGAGUUUUUUAUAAGGAUAUUUUAGAAAUAAAAAAUAAUAAAUAUUGUCUCUAUAAACAUGUCCCUUCUAUACCUCAUAUUUUGAAAAUAUAAAAAUUCACUCUAAAAUUAUUCUAGAGACAAAUUUAUUUUUAUGUAUUUGUCUUUAUCUCUUUAACCAUAUAUAUUUAUAUCUUUAUUGUCUUCAUCCUUUUUAUCACACGACAAUGACCAAACAUUACCUAAAGGAUCUACAACUACUGAUGACAAACUUGGCUUUAUUUCAUCUUUGAUUUCUUCUCAAUGAUAUCUCACCUAUAUGUGUGGAGGCACUAGAUCGUUGAUUGAAAGGUUGACUUUGAAAAAAUAUAUUCAUAAAGUAAUGUUUGAAUCUUGGUGUUUUUUAUUGGCUCAAAAAAAUUACCAACCCACCAAAACCAACAUGUAUGAAACAUUUAGAUUUAAUAUUAUAUGUAUAAUUUAUUAUCAUAAUUGAUAUGCUAUUCAACUCACUAACUUAGUAGGAUGACCUAUAAUACCUGUUGAUCUAGGAUUUUAGCCGAAUCAAGCUUUAAGCCAGAUAUAAUAACUAUGAUUUUAUAAAAUUACUAUGAACUUCCCUUUUAUGUCUUCUUAUUUACUCAUUUGAUUUUAUGAAGUUAAGAUGUUUGCAUUUAUAUCAUGAUUAAACUCUAGGAUAACAUUUAGUUAUUACUUCAGGAUAACAAAAAUAAAGAUAGUAAAGACAAAAUUAUGUUUGGUUGAAAAGACAUAGAUAUAAAAAUAAUUUUUUUCAUGGGAUAAUUUUAGAGUGAAUUUAUGUACUUUCAAAAUAGAAAGUACAAAUAAGAUAUAUCUUCAUAAACAAUAUUUUUUAUUUUUAUUCCUAAAAUAUCAUUGAAAAAACUUUCAAUUCCAAAAUUGUCUAAUUAAAACAUGUAAGAACAAAAAUAGUUAUUAUCACAGUUGUAAAAUCUAACUCGAGGGUCGACCUGGGACAAGGCUUGGGUCAUUGUUUGGGUUGACCAUUGACCCGAGUCAACAAAAAAAUAAAAAUAGUUAUUAUUAUAAUUUUAAAACCUAACUUGGAGGUCGACUCAGGGCAAGACCCGGGUCAUAGGUCAGGAGGGUCAACUCUGGUUGAACUGAGUUAAUGUAAGGAUAAAAGUGGUUAUUGCAAUAGUUUUAAAACUUGACUCAGAGAUCGACCUGAUGUAAGCUCAGGUCUUGGGCUAGGAGGGUUAAUGCAUGGAUAAAAAUAAUUAUUAUCAUGAGUCGAUUUGAGACAAAGCCUAGGUUAUGGGUUGGGAGGGUCAACCCGAGUUGACCCAAUUUUUUUUUUUAAAAGAAUCAACACAACUUUGUUUUGACCAUUUUUUUUUAAAAAAAAAUAGCUGGUUUUGCCCUAUGUUUUAUCCCGAGUCGACCUGUGUUUUAUCCCGAAUCAACUCGGUUUUUUAAUUCACCUAUCUAUUCUUAAACUUAGAUUAAUACAGGCUUAGAGACGACUAGGUCCCGAAUAGAUUCACUAGGUCAGUCUAGGUUUUAUAACUAGGAUUAUUAUAAUAUUAUUAAAAUUAAACUAAAGUAAAAAAAAAUCUAAUUAUUUGUAUAAAUAUGUAAGUUUAACAAUAAUGCAUAUUAAAGGUAAAAUAAUUUUUUUAUUUUUUAUUUUUUUUAUUUAUCAUUAUCAAAUAAGAUAUAGAGACAGUUACUACCAAACACAAUUUUAUUUUCAUCUCCUUUUAUAUCUUGUUUUCAUGGUCUUCUUCCUUUUUAUUCAGGACAGUAACCAAAUAUUACCUAGUUAUAACAUAUAGAAACAUAUAAGUUGUCAAGUUCAAGCCUUUCUCUUAUCGAUUUAAAUAAAUUGAAACACAAUUGCAAGAAGAUUCGAGUGUGUUUGGUAUUGUGAUAGCUUUUGUGGUUGUGAUUUGAAAAAAAAUUGUUUUAUAAAAAAUACUUUUGGUUGAGGUUGGUUUGGUAUUUAUAUAUAUUUGGUUCAAACUGUGGUUGAAAUUGAGGUUGAACAAAAAGUAGUUUAAUGUGUUUGGUUAAGAAUGCUUUUCAAAUUGAGGUUAUAAAAUAAUUAAAAAAAGAUAUUAAUAUUAAUGGUUUUUAAUUUAAAUAUUGUAGAUUUAACUACUGUUAUUACAUCAUGAAAUAAAUAAUACUUUAUAUAAAAUAUUUUUAUUGUUCCAUUAAACUAUCUACAAUUCCAUCACGUACGAAAUCCAUCCGACAAGGACUACAGUUUCCUUGGUUUUUUAAGUGCGCAACAACAUCAUGUAAAAUAUCAUCAAGAACAAAAUUAGGAUUGCGAUCAAAUUCUGUAAAUGUUACGUCAUUAAGCGAUCUCCUUCUAAUUUAUGUAGUGUCAUUGAAUAAUGUUAAACAUUAGUUUUUUUGAAUAAAAUACAAUUAAAAAUAAAAAAAUUGAAUUUUAUUUUAUUUUACUGGGUCGGACCCGGUUCAAUGCAUUUAGCUUUGAACCGGACCCAAUUCGGCCGGAAUAAUAAAACAUUCUCCACUGUUCACGUGAACAGUGGAGAGUGAAGUAAUUCACUCUCACUAGGUGGAGACAACAGAAGAAAAGAAAAGGCAGCUUUGAGCUGCUUUCAAUGACACUGCAUUUUAAACAUAAAUUAUAAUGGAUCCUGUAAACAGUAAAUAAUAUUUUAUUAAUUAUCACAUGAUUGAUUUCUGUGGUUUGUUACAAAAACAGAAGCAACCACAGAAAUAAUCAGGUUCAAAGAAGAAAAGACAUAUGAUUAAAGUGCCACGCAACCUUUUGACAUUAUCAGUAUUUUGAUGUAUUUCCAUUAAUUUAUAAUAUACAAGUAUAUUUCCACGUUUCUUUUAUUUGGAUAGAACAUCUUUCCAAUAGAAUUUGUUUUUAUUAGAAUUCCAUAUUCAUGAUAUUUUUUUAAUAAUAAAAAUAGCAUUGGAUGAGUUUGUAUGUCAAUUGAAACUAAAAAUGUGUUAGAUACGAUCGAUGGAUUGAACAUGAUAAUAUAAAUAUCAAAUAAUGUUUAAUUAGAUUAAAUUGAACUAGAGAAUAUAUGUUUUUAUUCUAUGUUUGGUGCACACAAAAUAAGAUCAAAUAAUUUUAUUUUUAUCAUUGAGAUUUUUUCAAUCAUUUAUUUUAGUCUUUGCAUUUUAUUUUUAUGAUAUUUUAGUCCUUACUAGAAUUUCUUUAUCAUCUAGAACAAUCUAGUUCUUAAAUCAAAAAGGUUUUUGCAAUUAAACUCUUACAUGUAAAUAUUUAUUUUAAUAAAAUUGGUCAAAUUUUGGUUUUCCAAAUUAAAAAAUAAAUAAGUGAUAAAUAAAUAAUAGAUAAUAUAAAAAUUAAGAAAAAAUAAUUUUGUACAAAUUUUUUGUCCUGAGGAAAACUUUGGACAAGACAAUGACAAUGAUCAAUCCUUGUCAUGUCCAAAGUGUAUAUCAAACAUUUCAUAGCUUGCCAUGUGCAACAAAUAUAUCACAACUUGUUUUUAUUGUAUUCUAUUAUGAUCUCUUUUGUGUUUUAUAUUAUUUAAUAUAUUAAAAUAAAUUUAAUAAAUUAUACUGAAGCAAGAUCUAAUAUUAGAAAGUUAACGGAAAUAAUAAAUGUACCUUUGCCCGUCCCUUCAACAAAAUGCUGAGCUGUAUACUAAUUCUCAGAGGCAGUGAUAACUAGUUGUUCUAACUAAUCCCUAUACUUUUAAAUAUGUUUACAAUUCAGUCCCUUCAUUAAUUUUUCGUUAGUAAAAUGUUGAGCUGUCAGCAAUAUUUCCUUAGUUUGUGCCGCUAACUUGACGGUAAAAUGUGAUUAAAGGAUCAAUUAAUUAUUUAAAUCAACUUGAGGGAUUAAUCUGCAUUUGCUUAACAAAACGACAAACACUAGUUAACUCAAAUUUAAGGUAUGUUUGUUUUUAUAUUUCAAAAACGUUUUGAAAAAAUUUGAAAAUUUUUUAUUUUUUUCUUUGCUUCAAAUUAAUAUUUUUUGGUAUUUUUAGAUCAUUUUGAUAUGCUAAUAUUAAAAAUGAUUUUUUUCAAAAAACAUAUUUUAAUAUAUUUCUGAGUGAAAAACAUUUUAAAAAAUAUCUGUAACCACACUCUCAAACAAUCACAUUCCCAUACAGGUUAAUCAUCAUAUGCGUGCAUGCGUGCGUGCAAGUGGGGUUCAAUCCGGGUGCCCUAGCAUUAUAUUAUAAUACUUAUAUAUAUAAGAAACCCUGUAUGGAUUCGUACAACACUGGAAUGCAAUGAUUGAAUGAAAUAUUACAUGGACAUUGGACCUGCUGUGUAAACAUGUUUAGGAUGGAUGCGACGACAUUUCAGAGUUUUUGCUUUCAACUUGGAAACCAAUGUCAUAACCCAAUUCUGGGUUAUUCCCCAAAAAUCAUUUUUUUUUCAAAAUAAAAAUCAAAAUAAUAAUAAUAAAAGCUGGAAACGUGGAGAAGGCAAACCGGGGAAUCAAGUUGUAAUUUUGGAGGAAAUUCAAGGCCUAAUUGUACCCCAUUAUGCCAAAAAAUGGAGGAAAAAAAUGCAAAUUCAAGGUCAAAUUAAAUGACUAUUGGAUGAAUUUGCAUAAAAAUUAAGUCCAAGAACAUAAUUAAAUUUUUAAUAGGCCAAUUUGAUUUAAUCAUGGGCCAAAUUGAAUUUUAAUUAUGUUUAAGAAUUAAUUUGGGUCCAAUUGAAGGAUUUAGUUAAGUGCAAGGACUUAAUUAUACUUUAAAUGGGUAAAAUUAAUUUUAUUUGGGGCUUAAUUGGUGAAAAAUUAAGUUUGGGAGCCUAAUUUGGGCUUAAUUGAGAAGAUUGGAAUUUUAAGAGAUCAAAUUUAAUUUUUUCCAAGUUAAUUGCUUGAAAUCAGGGGCCAAAUUGCAAGAAAAUUGAAGUUUUGGGGUCAAUUAGGGGUUAAAUUGACAAAAUUUGCAGCCAAGGACCAAUAUGCAAAAAGUGCCAAACUAUAGGGCCUAUUGGCAAAAUCCAGGGUGAAAUUGAAGAAAUUGAAAGUUUAAUGGUUGAUUAGGGGUUAAAUUGCAUAAAUCCAAGACUAAAGACUUAUAUGCAAAAGGCGCGUAAAUUUGGGGUUCCAAUUGAAGUUCAGCAAGGGCGUAAUUGCAUUAAAUCAAAAGUUUAUGGUCAAUUAGGAGUUCAAUUAAAACAAAUUGAAAUCUGGAGGACUAAAUUAAAACUUAGUUAAAAUCCCUAAUUCAAACCUAAAACAACAUUGUUUUGAAUAAUAAUAAUAAAAAAAGAAUCAGACAACACGUCGUCUGGUCAUUAUUUAUUGUCUUCUUCUUUUACCCGGUUAAUCAUCAUAUGCGUGCGUGCAAGUCAGGGUUAUUGUGUUGUCUAUUCCGUGUGUAAUGUGGGGUUCAAUCCAUGUGAAUCGCACGACUUGUCCAUAUCUUUCUUAUUGAUUACAAAUAGCAUUGAGAAUUAAAGAAUAUUAUCUUAAUAAGUUCCAAUUUAUUCUACAAAAACUAUAUAUAAAGAUGUGACAAAAUCUUAAGUUCCAUUUUAUUCUACAAAAACUAUAAAGAUGUGACAAAAAGAUGCAGCUUACGGAUCAAGCCUGGUUCAGGUUUUGAUCCUGUUAAAAAUCUAUUUUGUUGAAUUGUUCAUCAACUCGUGAAUUAUUGGGUUAAAUAGAUUAAUUUUUUAAACAAAACAAUGCCAUUUUUUUUAUAUAUAAAAAAUUUGGUUCUGGCGUAUAAAUAUAAUAUUAGAAACUUAAACCUUAUUGAUUAGCAAAAACUCAAAGGGAAAUUUUGAAAUAGAUUUUUGUAAAAUCAAAUAUGAACCAAGUACUAGAAAGUUUGUUUGAAAUAACAAUUACUUUAUAGAAAGCAAAUAUAAAUAUAUUUAUUAAAUUUAAUAAAGUUUAAAAUCAGCAAGUUAAGCUACGAAACCCUGAUCAAUUUAAUAUAAUGCCGUUCAAUACAAAAAAAAAAUACAUCUUAAAAAAAAUUUAAGUUAAAUCAUGUUUCUACCUAUUAUUUAGGUUGUCUUCAGACUUAUAAAGUCGACUAGGUUAUAUUAGAAAAACUUUUAUAUAAUUAAAUUUAAAACUCGAGUUAGGAAAUUUUAAUAUUGAUUUGUUGAAUCGGAUUUAAUAACAAUACCAAAAAUCUAAAAUUUACUUUUUUAAUCAAUUUUUUUUAAUUCAACUCGUAUCAUAACACAGUAUAGUAAAAUAAAUAGAUAUAAAAUAUUUUGAUGGAUCCUCGGGAUAAGAGAUUGUUUUAGGACAUUUUGCUAAUUUCUUUUGUUAUCUAAUCAACAAGCUCAUAGUGAAUAAGUAUAUAAAUAUAUACAAUUAAAUUAAAUAACAUAUAAGAGAAAAAUGGUCGAAAGGUAAAGCUAAAGUGAUGCGACGUUGAGCCACUAGUCGAUAGUUGUAACGUCAGUUUGUUGGUUCGUCGUUCGUUUCUCGGAUUUAUUGAUCUUUAGAUUGUCUGUUUCUAGAAAAGAAAGAAAGAAAUAUUUAUAUUAUCAAUGCAAUGCAAUGCAAUGACUAAUAAGAGCUUGAAAUUAAGAGGUUUGCUUUCUCUAUAGUUUCAGGUUCGAACCCUGUGGUUGCUCAUAUGAUGGCCACUGAAGAUUUACAUGGUCGUUAACUUUAGGGCCCGUGGAAUUAGUCGAGGUGCGCAAAUUAUUAUCAUUUUAUCAAUGUAUACUACAUCUUUUUCUCAAUUGUUUGAGUUUGAAAUUAUAUCUGUGAACCCAUUAAUUUAUCUAGAAAAAAAAAAUUUAGGUAAUUGGAUCAAUCCUUGAUAUCAUAUAGAGAUAAAUUAAUUGUUUUGAUUAAAACAAUAUCAUUUUAUUUAAAAAUAAAUUUAUAAUAUUAAUUGAAUCACUAAAAACACAACUAGACCAAUCAUGUUUUAAAUAUUUUUAAAUAUUUUUAUAUUUAAUUUGAAAUUGAUUUAAAUUAAACUUUAAAUUAUGGGUUUUUCAAACUAACAUGUGUUGGGUUACGUCGAUUGAGUUAGGUAUAACAUAUCUAGAAGAAUUUAUUAAAUUUCUCUAUAAUUAGUCAAUCGAUGAGGGAAUUUAGUUUUAAUUGAUGGAGAAAUUAAUUUAAAGAUACCAUGCAAGAUAUAAAAAAAAACAUUUAAAGAUAUCAAUUAUUGUUUUCCGUUUAAUUAUAAAUAGAAUGAAGAGAGCGAUGCUCGCUGCACUUUUAUAAGCGACUAAAGUAGUUUCCAUCUUAGAUACAGUUAGAAUCUCCCAUAUCUGUCAAAAUGCCAAAAAAGCUAUUCGCAAAGAAACUCUCAAAAACUGACAUUAAUUAAAUAUAGAAUGGCAGUUCCAAUGGAAAGCCUCUACGCUUUCCAAAUCCCAGAAGGAGAACACUCUAAAGAAUUUGGUGUCACUGGCAUCCAUGGCAAGAGGUGGAGGUUCCGAUGUUGUACAAGAAAAACUGAGUUGAUCACCUUAAACCAGUCAUGUUUUCAGUUUGGAUUGAGUUCGCCAAAAAAAAGGGUUCUCAAAAAAGGUGAUGAAGUCACCUUCUCUGUGCUGGACAUGAAGGGAGCUGAGGAUCUGGAAUUGGGAAUUCAAGCUCGGAAAAGAAUCAAGCUAUUCGGCCAAGAUUUUUGGAGUAAUCCUUUGUGAAGAAGAAGAAGAAGAAGAAGAAGAAGCUACUCCUCGCAUAAGUAUAGAUUUUGUGCACCGAAGAUUGUGUCUGUGAGUAAUAGAGCUGGUUGCCUAUGUACAAUUAGUAUGCUUUGGCAGGAACUUCGUGACUGGUCCUUGGAUAGCUGAGAAAGCCAAGUCUAUGGCAACUUCAGGGGAAUCCAGGAGCAGGAAAAAAAUCAAGGUGAAAGGAUAUGAAUUUGCUAGUGCAACUGCUGCAAAGGAUCUAGGAGACAUAAAUUUGCGAACUAGAGAAGAGUUAAUUUUGAGCUCUGCAUUCUUCUUGCAUGUUCAUCUGUUUCCCGUUGUGGUUGAUCUUAGCAGUUCUCAGUAUAGUAAUUUGCAUUUCCUUCUAGAUCAGAUGAUUAAUGGAUUAUCAGGCAUGGACUGCGAUGUAGUCGGUGCUAGGGAAUCAACAAAGUUAACUCAUUGUAUUUUCAUAAAUUAAAGGGAUUUCUCUUCUUUUCUUUGUCAAUUACAGUGCAUGAUGUAUAAAAGUUUUCUUACUCAGAGUAAAUGCUAUUGUAAUGUUUUCACAGAGACUCCUCUAUUUUGCAACUAAUUCACUUAUAUAUCUUGGAAACAGAAAGGCAAUCAACGAAGAGUAAGGCAUCUUCUGAAGAAACAAAGAAAUUUAAUGCCCUAAACUAAGCAGCAGGUAGAAGGCAAAAACUGAGCUCAAAUUUUCAGUAAGGGACAAACGAAAAAAACCAAAAAGAAAGCAGAGAAAAAUACAGACUCAAAUUCACAACACCCAUUUUCUUUCCAUUGGAACACUUUAAAUAGUUUAUUAAAUUUAUAAUGAUCUGAUUUCUACGCAUAUUACAAAAUCAACUUCAUGAUCAAUUCUCUAUAAUUUCGGCAUUACUAAAAACAUCCAAACUAAUAAACUAUUAGUUAUUUUAGCCAUUUUAAUAAACAUUUUAGUUAUGAAUUCACCAAACAUUUUGAACAAUUCAUAUGGAUGAAUUAACAUGUUAAUUUUAGAUUUUUUAACUUAUUAAUUCCUUCAUGAAUUACUUCUAAAGCAUGUUAUAUAUAUCUAAGCACUUUUAUAUAAUAUAAUUCUAUCAAAUUCACUUUUACCCAAUGUAUAAUAUAAACAUCCAUAAAAAAUAACUUAUAUUGUCAAUGCAAUGAAAUGACUAAAUAACAUUUAAUUAUUAUAAUAGCUUUGUCCUCAUACCUAAGGAAGUAUACUACGUCUUUUUCUCGAUUCUUUGAGUUUGAAAUUAUAUCUUUGAACCCAUUAAUUUAUCUAAAAAAAAAUUUAGGUAAUUGGAUCAAUCCUUGAGGUCAUCAUAUCAUAGGGAUAUAAAUCAAUUAUUUUUAUUAAAAAUAAUUUUUUUUUUAAUAUUUUCAUAUUUAACUUGAAAUCGAUUCAAAUUAAAUUUUAAAUUACAGGUUUUUCAAAUUAACAUGUGUUGGGUUAGGUCUAAUAUAUCUAGAAGAAUUUAUUAAAUUUCUCUAUAAUUAGUCAAUCGAUGAGGGAAUUUAGUUUUAACUAGUUACAUGACCCGCGCGAUGCCACGGGUCAAUUUUGUUUUGCAUAAAAAAUAUCAAAAAAAGCUAAGAUCUAAAAGUGUUAGGUCUUUCUAUAAAGUUAUACCCAAAAGUCUUGGGUUUGGCUACAACGCCUGAUCCAAAAAUAAUAUUUAUAAUAUUAAUAAUAACAUUAAACUUGCAUAUAUCCACGAAUAUGUACAAUAUUUGAAACCUAUAAUGCAAGAAUAGCUGCAGAUGUACAAUAUUUUUAAUUUAAAGAAUCAAUUAAUUAUUUAAAAAACUUGAGGGAUUAAUUUGUUUGUUUUACUCAAAUUUUUAUUGUUUACUUGUAAAUAUUUUGAAAGGCACAACAUGAAAAAAUCAUAUAUGCUUAAGCAACUAUUUGGCAUCUUAAACUUAAUCUCGUAAAUUAAUCUUAAAUCCUUUUUAUUUAACUCUUUCCCAGUAUCAAGUUUAAAAUUAAUCAACAUAAAAGUUGUUUUAAUAUAACUUAGUUAAUUUAAUGGGUUCAAAAUUAAUACAUAUGACAUGAGAUCUACCAGCCAUCAUCUGGCCGGAAACGGGCCGCGAUCGUCGACUGCCACCGAAGCUUCAAGUCGUCGAUUCUCGCUCAUCAGCCAUCAACGGCCGUCAAGACCACCACCAUAAGAAUCCUCGACAUCAGAUCUACCAGGAUCGACCAUCGGUUGGCCAGAAAUCGCGCCGGAAAAUCUCCCCGCCGCCAACAGUAGCCGCGCGUGUGCCACACGCGCCGCCAGUGGCAUUUUUGUAAAUUUUGGAGAAACCCGAGGGUAUUUCAGUCUUUUACCUAUACAGUGGCACUCAGGUAAUUUUUCGGGGUUUCUACUGGUAUUUUUGAUAUUUUUUAUAUAUAAAUGCUUGUAAAUUUUCUUGCAUGUUGUAAAAAAUACAAAAACCAAAGUCGACACGUCUCUUUUUUUAAAAGGACCGAUGUCAAAAAUGUAAAUACCAAAUAUGGCAUAUGUCCAUUAUUUUUUUUUGGUGACCCAGACGUAAUUCUCCUUUUUAGGGUUGAAACGUCAUAUUUUAGACAAGUCUCCUAAUUUUUAGGGACUGAUGUCAUUUUUAACGUGUCUCCUAUUUUUAGGGACCGACGUUAACCAUUUAAAAAAACAAAUUACCAAUAAACCCAAAAUAUAAUGGAUUAUAUCCAUUAUUUCUUUUGGUAACUCAGACGAGUCUCCAAUUUUUAGGGACUGAUGUCAUUUUUAACGUGUCUCCUAUUUUUAGGGACCGACGUUAAUCAUUUACAAAAAUUUACAAAUAAGCCCAAAAUAUAAUAGCAUUUGAAUCAAAUAAAAACACACAAGUAAGGGUAACCUUUCUUUUGAAAGGAUGUUUUAAGGGUGGUGUCUACCUUCCCUUAAUCAUAACUAACCCCGUACCCGAAUCUCUGGGACCAGUGUCUAAUUUGGGAUUUCUAGUUCCCUCAAAUUACUAGAUGGCGACUCCAAUAAAAUCUUUGUUUCCCCCAAUCGAGAAAAAAACCCUUUUUGUUAAACAAACAAAAAAAGCGGGAGCCGUCGCCCGACGUCGUGUAUCGACAAAUGUCUGCAAAUCUUGUGGUCAUAUACAGGGUGCCGGUUUUCUUUCCACGAGCCAAAACCAUUGCUCCCUUUGAUACCUUCCACAUACCUCCAGAAAAAAGGAUUGAAUGACCACUAUCAUCAAGUUGUCCGACCGAGAUCAGCUUCUUCUUUAGAUCAGGAACAUGCCUUACAUUUUGCAAGGUCUAUAUAGAUCCAUUCAUUGUCUUGAUUUGUACAUCUCCUAAACCCACAAUAUCCAAUGGUUGUCCAUCGGCCAGAUAGACUACACCGUGAUCUCCAGCAAUAUAGUUUUGCAUCAUUUCAUGGUGUGGUGUACAGUGAAAUGAAGCACCAGAAUCAAGAACCCAAUCAUCAACAGGACUAUGCACAGCAAGAAUCAAAGCAUCUUGCACCUCAUUUGUGGUAGCGUUUGCAGAGUCAGCUUCAGGUUUUUUCGGUUUUGUGCAAUUCCUCAUGAAAUGACCGGGUUUGCCACAAUUCCAACAUUCAACCUGUUUUCUGGGUCCAAACUUGCUUUUACUUCUAUAUCUUGAUUUUGAUCUGCCUCUGGAUAAGCCUCUAUCAUGUCUCCUCCCUCGAGUGUUGAUGUUGAGAGCUGAUCCUGAGCUUGAACUUUCACCCGAGUCUUUCCUUCGCACUUCUUCAGCCAAAAUCAAGUCUCGAAUGUCAUCAUACUUCAGUUUGGAUUUUCCAGCUGAAUUGCUCACGGCUGUCCUCAUGCCUUCCCAACUGCUUGGAAGUGAAGCUAGCAAGAUGAGUGCACGAAUCUCAUCAUCAAACUCAAUCUCAACAGAUGAUAAUUGAUUUGUGAUGGUAUUAAAGUUAUUGAGGUGUUGUGUCACAGAAGUGUUUUCGACCAUCUUCAAGUUGAACAACUUUUUCAUCAGGUGCACUUUAUUAUUUGCUGAUGGCUUCUCAUACAUCCCAGACAAGGCUUCCAUCAAUCUUGCAGUGGAUCUUUCUUUCGUAACAUUGUGAGCAACUCUUCUUGAUAAGGAUAACCGGACAAUGCCCAGAACUUGUCUAUCAAGAAGUAGCCAAUCUUCUUCUUGCAUAUUUUCUGGUUUGCUCCCCAACAAGGGAAGAUGAAGUUUCUUCCCAUAUAGAUAAUCCUCAAUUUGCAUUUUCCAGUAUCCAAAAUCUGUCCCGUCAAAUUUUUCAAUUCCAGCUGCUUUUAUUUCAUCUGCCAUUUUUACUGCUUCUCCGAUUCGAAUUUCCCAAAUCUGACCUUACAGAUGUGUCCGGAACAGCCGAAAACCUUGGAAAUGACACUGAGAUAACCCCAAUCGGACUUCGGAUGGCUCAGAUUUUAGCAAUCAAAGUUUUGGAUUAACGGACGGUGCAGAUGCAGCCGCGUGUCAACCAGAGUACCGCCUGCGUCGCACCGGAUCAAAACCUCAGUAGCGGUUCUGAUGAAGCCACGUGUCAGCAGAUUAGGUCCUGCGUCACACCGUAUCAAAACUCAGUAACGGUUAUGAUGAAGCCACGUGUCAGCAGAUGAUGGCCUGAGUCACACUGGAUCAAUACUCAAUAGUGGUCCUGAUUUAACCACGUGUCAACUGAUUGGAUCUUGCGUCGUACUGGAUCAAAACCCCUCAACGGUUGUGAUGUAGCCACGUGUCAGAAUAUCAGCUUCUGCGACACAUCGGAACAAAACUCAGAGAUGACGUGGCAGGUGACGUGGCAGGUGACGCGGACGGUGACCGUACGGCUGUGCUGACGUGGCGGGUCAGCCCGACCCGUUUUGCAGAAGUCGGGCGAAGAUGGAGCGUGGCGCGCGUACGGCGCGUUGGUGCGCGUGGGCAGUCUGGGCGUCGGCGCGUGUUGGCGCGUGCGGGCAUGCAGGACGUCGGUUCUUCGCCGGGUUUUCAACAGUGGAUUCGUCCGGUUGUCCUCUACACGAUGGUAUGUUCAAAAACACGUUUUGAGAACUUUGAUUUUUGAGUUUGGAUCAAACACCCUCUUUGUCAAGAACAAGCUCUGAUACCAGUUGUUGGGUAAUUCCAGAACUCAAACACACAUCAAUUUACGUGGUUCGGCAACUUGCCUACUCCACGGAGCUACUGGUUUGUAUUAAUCAAGCUUAGAAACAAUACAAACAACAAAACAAGGAGGAGGAGAAAAUCUUCUCUACUCAACUCAAGCUCUCUCUCUCUCACGUUUUUCUCUCUGUGUUUUCACUCUUCUCUGUGUUCUUCACGCUUCAACCCUCCAGCUCUUCACUGAGCAUACAUAUAUAUUAAGCUAGGAGUGAAGGGCAUAAAUCAUGCCAUGAUUUAUGCCCACCGUUUGCCUCCACUUGUGCUAAGUGGAGAUUAGGUAUUCCCACUAAGCACAUAGUGGAGGUGGGACAUUGCUUGUCUCCAAAUAGCUAACAUAACUGAGGUGGGGUCGCCCUUGAAACAUUGGUAGAUGUAAGUGUUGCUCACAUGCAUAGAAUAUUUUUUUUCUACUUAGUAGUGGUUUUGGCAAUUUUUUUCAGACAAGUCUUGAGAGUUGAAAGAGUAAUCACACCCGAGUCAACCAACAAUCCAAAUCAGCUCCCUUCCUAAUGGUUCAGGAAUGAGAAGUCCAGCUUAUAUAUUUGAUAUAGAGACGGUACACUACAAAUUAAGCACCCAAUAACUAGACAAACAAUCAUGAUAAACUAGGAACAAUUGUCUUCCCAGUAACAAAUUCACCUUCUCACGUUGGAGAACUUGCGAAAACUAGCCACCACAAAAUAGUAGCAAGUAUUUAUGCAGUCUUCGAUGAAGUACGACCACCUGCGUCGCCAAUAUGGAUUGAUGUAAAGAACUGCUGCAAUCGUCAUUACCACAACUGUGUAACAUACACCGAAGCUGAUGUAGAAAAACUCCAUGUCUAUGAAACCAUCAUCUCCUUGUUCAUCAUUAGGCACUGGCUGUAACGGCACUGCUUCCUCACUACAAUUGUUUCGCAAUGGAGGUCCACACAAGAAAGGAUUUCCUUCGUAACAGUUUUCAUCAUCAAAGGUCCCAAAUUGAUAUUUUCUCUCGGGUGUCCUACCUGACAAGUUAUUGUACGCCACACUAAAAACUUCCAGUGUGGUAAUUUCAGUAAGUUGUGGAGGGAUGGCACCAUUCAAGUUGUUGUAAGAAAGAUCCAAACUCUCAAUCUGCUUUAGGUUUGAGAAUGUUGCAGGGAUAGAUCCAGUGAGAUUGUUGUGUGAUAAGUUUAAUGACAGUAUCUUACUCAAGUUUCCAAAUUCUGGUGGGAUUGCUCCUACAAAGUUGUUAUUGGAGAGAUCAAUACCAUACAUGUAGCUCAGAACUUUCCCCUUGUAACCAUAAUACAUAUUUUUAGUUGUAAAUUCUAUCACUUCUUCUGUAAAGUUAACCCAAAAAUCCUUUCCCAAGUUGUACAUACUAUCCCCUAGUGGUGGACCCAUUGUUUCAUAAUAAGCUUUUUCUAUGGACCAUGACGGAAAACCAUAUCCGAGAUCCGCGAGCGUUUUCUGGGAACUUUCCUUGAGAGUUAGAUUGCCCAAACAUGAGGGUAGUGGACCAGAGAGCUGGUUUUGUGAAACAUCCAAAAUACUUAAUUGUUCUAACAAGCAUAACUGAACAGCGAGCUCACCAUCAAAGUUAUUAGCCCUCAGAAGAAGAACACUCAAUGAUGAAAGAUUGCCAAUCCAAUUUGGAAUAGAGCCAAUGAAGCUGUUGUCUCGAAGAUCCAUCGUAACUAGGGAAGAGCUGUUAUAAAAACCAUAUGUUAAUGGACCGCUCAAUCUAUUUUUGGAUAGAUGAAUAUGGGUUAUUUGUGGUGGAUUGAAACAAGAUGGCAUAUAUCCAGACAAGUAGUUAUCAGAAAGGUCCAAAAAUUCAAGCCGGUCAAGCUUACAAAAGUCUCUUGGGAUUGGACCCUUAAAAAGGUUUUUGGACAAAUCAAGUACUUCAUCGUACGUAAAAUUAAAAAAGCUUCUUGGAAGCAUGCCUGAAAAUUGAUUGUUACUCAAAUCCAAUACACUCCAUACUUUCCACCCAUAUAAUGGAAAAUCUGAUAUCUGACCCCAAAAGUAGUUACCACCUAGGUAGAGAUAUUGUGAGAUAGAAGAAUUGAACACCGAGGUCGGUAUUUGCCCACCCAAACUAUUGUUUGACAGCUUGAGAACCUGUAUUGUUGUUAAUUGUUCUAGUUUUACUGUAGACAAUUGAUUGUUGGAUAAAUCUAAAAAUGAAAGAGAGCUAAAAUUUCCUAAACAAGAAGGAAUAUAACCUGUGAAUCCAUUGUCAGCCAUCCUUAAGAUCCACAGAUUUGGAAAGAUCAAACAAAUAUCUUUUGGAAUUUGACCAUUUAUGUUGUUGUUGGAUAUAUCUAAUUCGGUCAUAUUCGGAUAUGGGUGAUCUAGCAAUUGCAAAGUACCAACAAAGGAGUUCUCGCUCAGAUAUAGUUGCUCCAUUCGUGUAUUGUUCUUAAGCAACCAUGAUGGAAACAUUCCGAAGAUGUUGUUGUGGGAGAGAUCAAGGGUUCUUAAGUCGUAUUGGUAAUAGAGGAAGUCGAGAAUUUCUACAUUGAGUGCUUCCGAUGUUGGACUACUUGACAAGCGGAAAAAGACUAGUUGGAACUUUGGAAUCAAAUUAUCAAAGGCAGCAGAUUCCGUUACUAGUCUGUUGUUCUCACUGGAGAAGAACUUGAGGCUUGAGUGGUUCAUAAAAGGCUUCAUUGAAAUGGGAACUUCAAAGAGGUUAUUUGAUAGUGAGAGGAAUUCAAGGGAUAUGAGCUUGGUAAGAGGACCAAAUGCAAUAUUUCCAGUAAACUGGUUAUCAGAAACAUCUAAUAGUUGUAGAGAUGACAAGUUCCCCAAACAAUCUGGGAGUGCACCUCCAAAAUUAUUUCUAGCGAGAUCUAACUGCUUCAGAUUCUUCAAUUCACACCAACCUAUACAAUUUAUCUUGAAACAAUCAAAACAAUGUUGAAAGAAUCUUUUAUUGAUGAUGUAAUUAUAGGCGGAUGGAGAGUUGUUAAUUUACCUUGAGCGGGUAGGGUGCCAUGGAGGUCACAUUCAGCAACAGACAAAACUUUAAGAGCAGGCAAUGCUCCAGUGUUCUGGAGAAAGUUUAUUGGGAGAGAAGUAUUAUCUAGAUGCAAUUCUUCAAGGGUGCUAGAAUUGAAGAAAGUCCCUGUGAAAAAGAAAGAAGAAGAGAUAUGAUGAAAAUAGUGGUGGUACAGAAUAGCCAUUCCAUUCAAUAUUAUUAAUUAAGAUUUUAAGAAACUAAACUAUGAUUAACCUUGACUUAAAUUAGUAUCCUUGAGAGAAAGGGUCUUCAGCGAUGGCCAUGAACGCAAUGACUGCAGGAUGUCCAGAUUCCUUAAACCUAUGAUAUUUGGAUAGAAACAACAAAUUGCUUGAAGAAUCUAGAGAUUUCAAAAGGUAUUGUUAAGAAAUGAAGUAAAUAAUAGAAGAUGCCAAGAGAUAUUCAUAACUUUACCAUUGAUAGUCGUCGAUCCUAGCAACAUAUUGCCUGAUAAAUUUAAAGACUUGAGAUGAGAAAGUCCACGCAGAUGUGAUAAAAUGCUGUCAUUGAAUAUAUUAUUAUGGCUCAGGUCCAGGUUCUCGAGUUUCCCCAAAUGUGAUGAUAUGAUCUCAAAACCUGCAAGAGUAAGUCGUUAAAGUCGUUAUAUAAAAUAUAAUUCUAAUUUUGAUCUUAUUGGAAAUAUUACGAAACAAUUUUUAAAUAUCAUUCUAGUUUCGAUCUUAUUGGAGAAAAAAAAACAAUUUAUGGAUAUAAAGUCGAUAAAGAUGGAAGCUAAGUUAUGGAUAGACUUACAAAACAAGAUAAAGAAACUUAUAAUUAAGAUCUCAUCGGUAAUUAAAACAAGAAUAAUAAUCGAUCCUAGAUAGCAACAUAUUGUCCAAAUAUUUCACCAUAAAAUCACCCAUCACCAUUCACCACGACCAUAAGGCAAAAUCCUCCACCACAUAAUAAUAUUUUGAUUAAAAAAAGGUCCAAAAUAAUAUAAAACCAUGAUUAAAAAGGAGAGGAAAUAAUAAAUGGCUACAAACAAGAAUUAAAUAUCAUAUAUGUGGGUUUUAUGUUGUUCUCUUUAUUGAUAAAACAGUCGAGAGUUUUUCUAAUAGAGAAAUUGGCUGUCGAGAGUGAUUUGUAUUGGAUAGUUUUUUUGAUAGUUUUUAUUAAAUAGAUAUAAAGUCCUCAUUUUUGUUGAUAAAGAAACAAUAUAAUUAAGAGAAUGUCAUGUGAAGCAUUUAGGUAGGUAGAAACUGUGUAUUAUACCUGAUCCUGUCAGCUGAUUGCCUGACAGAUACAAAGAUUUUAGGGAUGAAAACCCAGUUAGAGAUGGAAAAAUGCUAUCGUUGCAUUGAAUCUCACUUAGAUGAAGGUUCUCCAGCUUUUUCAACCUUGAUGACAAGUCUUUGAGACCUGCAUGAUGUUCCUCAAUAGCAUAUUGGAAGGAAAUAAACGCAUAGAAAAAAAAUGAUAUGAGAAGGAGAAAAGAAAAGGUUUCAAAGCUAAAUAAUUAAAAGGUUACCAUAGAAGCUACCUCCUAAUCCAGCUGUCAACCCAUCGGUAAUUAAAACAAGAAUAAUAAUCGUUAAAUAUCAUUCUAAUAAUAAUCCAUGGCAAGUUCAAAUCCGUUGGUAACUGAAUUCCUCUAUCUAUUUAGUUAGUAAGAUGCUUAGUUGUCACUAAUUUAGUAAUUAUAAUUUGUUCCUCUGUUUUCUAGCAACUACUUUCCCAAUUUUAUCCAUUCACCACGACCGUAAGGCAAUAUCCUCCACCACAGAAUAAUAUUUUGAUUAAAAAAAGGUACAAAACCCAUUAUUAAAAAGAGAGGAAAUAAUAAAUGGCUACAAACCGAAAACCGGUCCAAUAUGUGGGUUUUAUUUAAAAAGAUAAAUAUAAAAUAUAUAUUUAUAGGAGAGUUUUGAAGUGAACUUCUGAUUACUAAUUUAAUCUAAAUAUUACAACACUUUUGGCAUAAAAGGGCUAAAAUAAGAAUAAAAUAUAUGCCUCUUGGACCUAAUUCCAAGUGCCUCUUUUCUUGAUAUAAAGUCCUCAUUUUUGUUGAUAAAGAAACAAUAUAAUUAAGAGAAUGUCAUGUUAAGCAUUUAGGUAGAAACUGUGUAUUAUACCUGAUCCUGUCAGCUGAUUGCCUGACAGAUACAAAGACUUGAGGGAUGAAAAUCCAGUUAGAGAUGGAAAAAUGCUAUCGUUGUAUUGAUUCUCUCUUAGAAGAAGGUUCUCCAGCUUUUUCAACCUUGAUGACAAGACUUUGAGACCUGCAUGAUGUUCCUCAAUAGCAUAGAAAUGAUAUGAGAAGGAGAAAAGAAAAGGUUUCGAAGCUAAAUAAUUAAAAGGUUACCACAGAAGCUACCUCCUGAUCCAGCUGUCAACCCAUUGAAUGAUAGAUCCAAAGACUUGAGAGUGGAAAGGUUACCAUUGAAACAUGACAAAAUGCUUUUAUCAUUAGUAAAUUUGUUAACACGUAGGUCAAGAUUGCUCAGUUUUGAUGAUAGGACUUCGAAGCCUGGGAAGAGAAUCAUCAAAGCAAGAUAAUUGACAUUAAACACCAACCAACCAACCUUCAUUUAUUUUAUGAUUAUAAUUAAGUGCAGAAACAUUGAACUAACCUUCAUUCUCCAUGCAACCAACCAAUCCAGUACCUCCCAAAUCAAGACCUCGCAAUUCUUUGAAAGGCUGAAACAAAGAUGCGUUGAGAACCCAAUCGCCCAAGUGGAAAUCCCUUGCCCCCCAAAGAGAGAGUUGGAUCACUCGCCUUGUAGUGUUAUCACACUCGAUCCCACGCCACUCACAACAAUUACUAUUGGUGUCCACCCAAUGAUCUCUCCAGGAAACGCCAUGUGGGUUGAUCAAAGAUUGGAUCUCCAAGAGACCAAUCCUCUCCUCCUCCAAACACCCAUAACAACGACCAUGCCAUUCGCCAACCAAAGUGAAUAAUGCUAGCAACAUCCAAGCCCCAAUUCUUUUCAUCAUCAUCUUAGAUAAUUCUAUGAACUGCUACGUAGAAUAUUGUUGUUUGUUAUGUGCCUUUGGGCAACCAUAGAGGUCCUAUUUAUACUACACUCUGGCCAUUUCCAUGACUUUGAGAUGUUUUCUUUAUUUCAUUUCUUUUUGGAAUAUUUUUGGAUUUGAAUAUUAUUCUAUUUUAUUGUCUAGCACUUAGUCUAUUUGCCAGGUUGGGAAAAAUAUUCAAAUUAGUUUUGUUGGCAUGUAAACCUCACCAAAUAAUUUGCGUAGACCGUAUUGACUGGGAGUCAAUUAUUGUCGUAGUGCUUUUAUGCACGAUCUGUGUGCGUGAACGGAAAGAAAAGCAGGGUGUGAAAAGCAUUAAAGGUUGUGAACGCGGAUGCUUGACUUGCUGUGUACCAUUUUGAUUUUUAAACACGGCCAUGCAGUCAUUUCCUGGCGAUUUCCUUAUGCAUACUGGUGGUCUUUCAUAAUCUUUUUCCAAACAAUCCUCGUUAGGCCGGCUCGGGGGUUAACUUAGAGUAAGGCAUCGUUUGACAUUGCGUUUGUAACUGCGUUUUAUUAAAUUUUGAAUUUUUUAUUUUUGCUAAAAUUAAGUGUAGCUUGUACUUUUUGGAUCUUUUUGAUGUGCUGAUGUUAAAAAUAAUUUUUAAAAAAUAAAAAAAUAUCAUUAGCAUGUAUUUCGGCACGAAAAGCUAUUUGAAAAGUACCCGCAACCACACUGCCAAACACGCUCUAAGAUUUGUAUCAUCGUUUUUUAUCAGAUUCAAGAUCAACUUGGAUCAAUCUUAAUUUUAUGCUAUUGUUUUUUAUAUAUAAACAUAAAUAAAAAUCCAGAUCUCUUUUAUAAUCUUAAAGGUAGUAUAUUAAUAGUAGAACCAUUAUCUAUCCAGAUACAAUUCAUCAUCUUUUCAUCGACAUAUCUUUUAAUUAAGAAAAGCUGUUUAUAGAGUUUUAAUCUAAGCAAUAGGUUUUCAUCGUUAAAGGAUACCUAUGUGGUGCUAAGUUCUUCUAAAGUUGGAGAACUUAUGAAAAUUAAUGCAAGGCUUCAACACUCCGAAGCCUGCAAGAGAAAUAUCAAAGCAAAAUAAGUAGCGUUAAACAGCAGCCAUUUCUUCAUUUUUAAUUUUAGUAUAACACAAUAAUAUGAACCAACCUUGAUUCUCAAAGGCACCCAACUAAUUCAUUAGCCUUCAAAUCAAGACUUUGCAAUUCCUUAAAAGGCAGAAACAAAGAUGCGUUGAGAACCCAAUCGCCCAAGCGGAAAUCCCCAGUACCCCUAAGAGAGAGCCGGAUCACUCGUCUUUCGGUGGUAUCACACACGAUCCUAGACCACACACAACAAUUACUGCCCAGGUAUUUCGACAGUUAUGGCUUGUGUGGGUUUUGGUUCACGAUGGAGAUGAUGGAUACAAUGAUGUAUUUCGACAACAAAAUUUUCAGUUCUUGUGAAUGGCUCUCCAACUAAAGAGUUCUUUAUGGAAAAGCGAUUGCGACAAGGGGACUCUUUAUCAACAUCUCUAUUCAACAUAGCAACUGAGGGUCUUGGUAGAAUGCUAAAAUUAAAAGGAGAUGUGAUUUGGGACUUAUAAAAGGUAUUUGUUUUGAUCACUUUCAAGUUUGUAGAUGAUACACUCAUCUUCAGUUCAUAUGAUUAUCCAUCUCUUCAAAAGAUCAAAAGAACUAUGUGAUGUUUUGAGUUGAUUCCUAGGCUGAAGGUUAAUUUCCACAAGAGCUCAAUCACUAGAACUAGAACUAGAAUUGAUGAUGUUGUUAUUUCUUCAACUGCUAGCAAUCUAAUAUGUAGGAUGGAGGGGAUGCCAUUUAAGUAUUUGGGUCUGCCUAUUUAUGCAUCUUCAUCUCAUACAUCCGUUUGGAAAACUAUUGCUUGAUUAACUCAAUUAUAAAUAACCUUUCUUUAUUUCCUAUCCCAUCCACUGUUGCUACCAAAAUUGAGAAACAUAUCAUAUCUUUCUUUGGUUCUCAGGAGGAAGGAGGGAAAAAACUAUGCAAUGUUAAAUGGGCAUCAGUGGUUCCUCCAAAAAAACAAAAAAGGUGGGUAUAGACUGCAUUAUUGAUAAAAAUAAAGCCUUGUUUUUCAAAUGGCUAUGGAGGUUUGGGAGGUCUAAUACAAGACUAUGAAAAGAUGUUAUCUACAACAUCCACAACCAAAAAGCGUAUUUGAACAUGCCUUUAGUUUGUGUUAAUUUAAAGGGUAGUACAUGGUCCAGGAAUGUCGUUACUUUUUAUAAGAACGAGGGACUUCAAAAUAUUGCCAAGAAAGAAGUUUGUGGUUUGGUUGGCAAUGGUAGAGAUAUUAACUUAUGGAAUGAUGUCUGGCUGAUAGAUUCUUGUCUUGCAGUUCAAUUUCCUAGACUUUAUAGUCCACCUGAAGAUCAUGUCUCCCCUGUAGCUACUGCAGCAGUAAAAGCUUCUAUCCAACCAGCCAGUGUGAGGCCUUCCCCUGUUGCUAGCAAUGUAGCUUCUUCAAGUAGCUAAAGUUCUGCUUCAAUAAAUGCCACGACAUCAGCAAUAACUGGUGCUACAACAAUGAGCUUCAACUACCCAAACUUCCCUGGCAAAAUUGCAGAAUGGUGCGUACGAGAUUCUAAUCCCUGAACAUGUUGGGGGCCACGAUAGCCUACAGAGGAACCCAUCCUCAGGCUAUGCCUUUCUUCAAUGGAUCAAUUCUAUUCUUCUUGAAUGUUUCAUCCUUCAUAGCUUCAGCGACAGCAACAACCAUUCAUACAGACACAACAAAGCCAACAGGGUCAUCAAAAUCCAAGUAUUUCUAGUGGCUCCUCGUCAUCCCAGAAGCAUUUGCUGAAUUAGGUGGAAUCAGCAGCGGUCAUCAAGAUCCAACCAUUUACAGAAUCAUCAGCAGAAUCAUUCCCUGCCGAACUAGCAGCGGCAGCUGAUGCAAAAUCAGAAUGUUACUCACAAACACCUCCUCCUUUUGCAAUGUCAUUUGCUCCAUCAACGGAACCACAACUUCCCCAGGUCUUGAUGUUUCAUUGCUGGUACAGAAUCAUGCUCUUCUCCAAAGCCCUCCAGAGGCAGCAAGUCAUGGCUAUCACUUCAUCACUGCGGCCCAAGCAACACAGCAGACGAAUUACCGUGUGCCUGAAGAAGGGAAAAAUGGAGGAAAUGACACUUCAAAUAUGGAAGGAGAGAGAAAGGCCGAUAUGGUUGGAGGACAGACCCCAUUAACUGGUGGGCAGUCAAUUGUGUUCUCUCGGCUAGAUUUUGUGUUCUCUCGGCUAGAUUUAACAGACUCCUCUGUUUCAACAAUGCCUGUGAACAAUGUUGUUGAUAGCUCAGCCCGAACUCUUAACCUUGGGUCCACUCUUGCUCGGACCUCAAGCCCUGUUAUGUCAGCUACUAUUGGCAGUGUAAAUGCACCAAGUAUACAACAACAGAUGCAGUGGAAUCAGCAGCAGCAGCAACGAAGUCAGCAAAUCCUUCAACUUCAGAAGCGUCAACAAUUUGCAGCUGCAGCUUCCACUCGAAGUGAAACACCAACAACUAGUAAUGGAAGUGUUUAUUCGGACCACAUCUCAUCAUCAUCAUCUAUGGGCACCAAGUUACCUAAUGCACUUUUGCAUUUCCUCAAAAUCUUGUUCAAAGCGGCAGUAGCAGCAGCAGUUAACAAAGCAUGCACUGCAACAGGCUCAACUAAUCUACGCUAAUGCUUUUAUGCAAGCUCAAGCUCAAGCUCAAGCUCAACAUGUGGCAAAUUCAACAAGCUUUGCAUCAACAGCUAGUGGGUUUCAUCUGCAAAGACAUCGCAAUGAGCAGCAACCGCAAUGCAUCGGCAACCUCUUCUACAAGGAUGUUGUUGUUAUGUCAUCCGAUCAUGUAAAUUUUUGUGACUCCCAACCUCCUAGCAACCACGAGAGGAUGUUUCCAGUUUUUUUUUUCAACAGCUAAUGCUUAGAUAACAAAAAUAGAGGAAUAACUGAUAGAGCUCCAGCAUUCGAGCAGAGUUUAAUAAAAAAAUAUAAAGUAAGGUUAGAUGCGUGAGCCUUGUUUUGUAAAUUUUUAUUUGAAUUUUAAUAAUUGUUUUUAAUUGUUAUGUAUAUGAAUAAAAAUUUGUUCAUGAAAUUUCAAUUUAAAUCACUUUUUUAAUCUUAGAAUUUUAAAAUAUAUUUUGAGCAUGAUUUUAUUAUAUUUAUGAUUUAUUUUAACUUUCAAUCACACAUAAAAAUAUAAACAUACUAUUUUGAUUUUUUUUUAAUUUGUUCUGACAAUUAUAGAAUAUUCUUUUAAUAUAAAAAAUGAUUCUAGUUAAGAAAAAAACUUGUAUAUUCACCAAGAUAAAACAAGAAAUAUGCUAAUAAAAUUUUUUAUCUUGAUAGAGAAAAAUUCAAAACGACUGUAUUUUCAAGUUUAAUAACAAUGUCAAGGAGUCCCUUAGACUGGGAUAUUUUGUUUUACAUUUAAAGUUUUUUUGAUCUCCAUAGCAUAGCACUAGCAUACAAACUUGUAUAUUUUUAAGGCAGCGUUUAGUUACUAUCCGAGACAGUAGAGACAGAGACAAUGGAGACAGAGGAGACAAUACAUAAAAGAAGAUGGAGAUAGAAUUGUGUUCACUAAUAAUAUAUAAGACAAAGUGAUUGUUUUUGUAUCAUAUUUGAUUAUGAUAGACAAGAAAGAAUAAAAUAUAAAAAAAAUAUUUUACCUUUAAUAUGUAUUGUUGUCAAACUUACAUGUUUUAAAAAAUAAUUAGUUUUAUUUUUUUACUUUAGUUUUAUAUUGAGUAUUGAAAUUAUUAAUAUUAUAAUAACCCUAGUAUUAAAACCAGGAUUAACUUGACAGGUUGACCCGAGGCCUAUACUGGUCUAAGUUUCAGAAAAAUAGAAGAAUGAUUAACUCGACCUAACCUAGUAAAAAACAUGAGUCAACUUAAGAUAAAACACGGGUCAAAACCCAUUAAAUAUUUUGAAAAAGAAAAUUGUUCAAAACAAGGUUUCUUUGACUAUUUGUUUUUAAAAAAAAUUAGGUCGAUCGGGUUAACCUUCUCUUGGAUUAACUCCUGAGUUGAGUUUUAAAACUAUGAUAAUAAUCAUUUUUAUCCAUACAUUAACUCAGGUCAAUCUGUGUUGACCCUCUCGACCCAUGACCUAGGCCUUGCUUCUGUCGACUCCCGAGUCGGAUUUUAAAAUUAUAAUAAUAAUAAUUUUUAUCCUUACAUUAAUUUGGGUCAACUCUCUUAAUUCGUAACCCAAGCAUUGCCCCAAGUUGACUAUCGAAUUAAAUUUUAAAACUAUGAUAAUAACCAUCUUUAUUUUAUGUUGACUCGGGUCAAUCUAGAUUAACUCAUCUAACACAUGACCCAAGUUUUAUCCCGAGUCGAUCCCUGAUUUGGGUUUUAAAACUAUGAUACUAAUUAUUUUUAUCAUUACAUUAACCUAAGUCAAUGAUCAACCCCACUCGUUACCCAAGAAUUGCCCAGGUCGACCCCCAAAUCGAGUUUUAAAAUAUGAUAAUAACUAUUUUUAUUCUUCUACUGACACAGGUCAACUCGACUCAUGACUCAAGCCUCAACCAGUGACCCAGAAUUUGCCCCGGAUCGACCCCCAAGUUGAAUUUUAAAACCAUGAAAAUAAUCAUUUUUACAUUUAUAUGUCUUAGUUGGACAAUUUGAAAUUGAGAGUUUUUUUAUAAAAAUAUUUUAGGAAUAAAAAAUAAUAAAUAUUAUCUCUAGAGACAUGUCUCCUCUAUACCUUACGUUUUGGAAGCACAAAAAUUCACUCCAAAAUUAUUCUAGAAACAAAUUUAUUUUUAUGUAUUUGUCUUUGUCUCUUCAACCAAAUAUAUUUAUAUCUUUAUUGUUUUUAUCCUUUCUAUUAUAGGACAAUGACCAAACAUUACCUAAAGGAUAUACAACUGACAAGGAUGAACUUGGCUUUAUUUCAUCUUUGAUAAUUUCUUCUCGAUGAUAUCUCACCGAUUUGUGGAGGCAAUUGAUCAAAACCUAGUUGAUUCAAAGGUUGACUUUGAAAAAAUAUAUUCAUAGAGUAAUGUUUGAAUCUUGGUGUUUUUUAUUGGCUCAAAAAAAUUACCAACUCACCAAAACCUGUAUGAAACAUUUAGAUUUAAUAUUAUAUGUAUAAUUUAUUAUAAUAAUUGAUAUACUAUUCAACUCAGUAACUUAGUAGGAUGACCUAUAACCUGCUGAUCUAAGAUUUUAGCCGAAUCAAGCUUUAAGCUAGAUAUAAUGACUAUGAUUUUAUAAAAUUACUAUGAACUUCCCUUUUAUGUCUUCUUAUUUACUCAUUUGAUAUUUUUUUUUAUGAAGUUAAGAUGUUCACAUUUAUAUCAUGAUUAAACUCUAGGGUAACAUUUAGUUAUUAUCUUGGGAUAAAAAGAAUAAAGAUAGUAAAGACAAAAAUAUGUUUGGUUGAAAAGAUAUAGAUAUAAAAAUAAUUUUUUUCAUGGGAUAAUUUUAGAGUGAAUUUAUAUAUUUUCAUAACAGAAAAUACAAAUAAGACAUAUCUUCAUAAACAAUAUUAUUUUUUAUUCCUAAAAUAUCAUUGUAAAAAACUUUCAAUUCCAAAAUUGUCCAAUUAAGAUAUGUAAAAAUAAAAAUAGUUAUUAUCGUAGUCUUAAAACCCAACUUGGGGGUUGACUUGUAGAAAGAUAUGUGAUCUUUGUUGACCCAAGUCAAGGUAAAAAUAAAAAUAGCUAUUAUCAUAGUUGUAAAAUCUAACUUGAGGGUCGACCUGGGACAAGGCACGGGUCAUUGUUUGGGUUGACCAUUGACCCAAGUCAACAAAAAAAUAAAAGUGGUUAUUAUUGUAAUUUUAAAACUUAACUUGGAGGUCGACUCAAGGCAAGGCCCGGGUCAUGGGUCAGGAGGGUUAACUCUGGUGGAACCGGGUUAAUGUAAGGAUAAAAGUGGUUAUUACAAUAGUUUUAAAACUCGACUUAGAGAUCGACCUGAGGUAAGCUCAGGUCUUGGGCUAGGAGGGUUAAUGCAUGGAUAAAAAUAAUUAUUAUCAUAAUUUGAAAACUUGAUUCAAGAGUCGACCCGAGACAAAGCCUAGGUUAUGGGUUGGGAGGGUCAACCCGAGUUGACCCAAUUUUUUUUUAAAAAAAAAGAAUCAACACAACCUUGUUUUGACCAAUUUUUUUUAAAAAUAACAGGUUUUGCCCCGUGUUUUAUCCCGAGUCGACCCGUGUUUUAUCCCGAAUCAACUCGGUUUUUUAACUCACCUAUCUUUUCUUAAACUUAAAAUUAAUCCGGGCUUAGAGACAACUAGAUCCCGAAUAGAUUCACUAGGUCAGUCUAGGUUAUAUAACUAGGAUUAUUAUAAUAUUAUUAAUUUCAACACUUAAUAUAAACUAAAGUAAAAAAAAGUUCUAAUUAUUUGUAUAAAUAUGUAAGUUUACCAAUAAUACAUAUUAAAGGUAAAAUAAUUUUUUUAUAUAUUUUUUUUAUCAUUAUCAAAUAAGAUAUAGAGACAGUUACCGCCAAACAUAAUUUUAUUUUCAUCUCCUUUUCUAUCUUUUUUUUCUUUAUUUUCAUGGUCUUCUUUUUUAUUCAUAACAGUAACCAAAUAUUGGCUAGUUAUAACAUAUAGAAACAUACAAGUUGUCAUGUUCAAGCCGUUCUCUUAUCAUUUUAAAUAAAUUGAAACACAAUUGCGAGGAGAAGAGUGUGUUUUGUAUUGUGUUAGCUUUUGUGGUUGUGGUUUGAAAAUUGUUGUUUUAUAAAAAAUACUUUUAGUUGAGGUUGGUUUGAUAUUUAUAUAUGUUUAGUUAAAAUUGUGGUUGAAAUUGAGGUUGAACAAAAAGUAAUUUAAUGUGUUUGGUUAAGAAUGCUUUUCAAAUCGAGGUUAUAAAAUAAUUAAAAAAGAUAUAUAUUAAUAUUGAUAGUUUUUAAUUUAAAUAUUGUAGAUUUAACUACUGCUAUUACAUCAUGAAAUAAAUAAUACUUUAUAUAAAAUAUUUUUUUAUUGUUCCAUUAAACUAUCUACAAUUCCAUCACAUACGAAAUUCAUUCGACAAGGACUACAGUUUUCUUGGUUUCUUAAGCGCACAACAAUAUCAAGUAAAAUAUAAUCAGGAACAAAAUUAGGAUUGCGAUCAAAUUCUGCAAAUGCUAUGUCAUCAAGCAAUCUCCUUAUAAUUUAUGUAGUGUUAUUGAAUAAUGCUAAACACUAGUUUUUCAAAUAAAACAUAAUUAAAAAUAAAAAAAAAUUGAUUUUUUUUUAUUUUACUGGGUCAGACCCGGUUCAAUGCAUUUAGCUUUGAAUCGGACCCAGUCCGGCCAGAAUAGUAGAGACAUUCUAAGCAACUUCAAGUGAGUCUCGUAAACAGUAAAUAACGUACCAAACAAUUAUUUUUAGUAAAGCAGAAGCAACCGAAGAAGAAGAAGAAGACAUGUGAUUACGGUGCCAUGCAGCAUUUUGACAUUAUGAGUAUUUUGAUGUAUAUCCAUUAAUUUAUAAUAUACAAGUAUAUUUCCAUGUUUCUUUUAUUUUGAUAGAACAUUUUUCCAAUAGAAUUUGUUUUUAUUGGAAUUCCAUAUUGAAUGGAUGUCAAUUGAAACUAAAAAUGUGUUAGAUAAGAGCAUACUAAUAUAAAUACCAAAUAAUGUUUAAUUAGAUUGAAUUGAACUAGACACCAUAUGUUUUUAUUCUAUGUUUGGUGCACUAAAGAUAAGAUCAAAUAAUUUUGUUUUUAUCAUUGAGAUAUUUUCAAUCAUUUAUUUUAGUCUUUGCAUUUUAUUUUUAUGAUAUUUUAGUCCUUACUAGAAUUUCUUUGUCAUCUAGAACAAUCUAGUUCUUAAAUCAAAAAGUUUUUGCAAUUAAACUCUUACAUGUACAUAUUUAUUUUAAUAAAAUUGGUCAAAUUUUGGUUUUCCAAAUUAAAAAAUAAAUAAGUGAUAAAUAAAUAAUAGAUAAUAUAAAAAUUAAGAAAAAAUAAUUUUUGUACAAAUUUUUUGUCCAAUCCUUGUCAUGUCCAAAGUGUAUAUCAAACAUUUUAUAGCUUGCCAUGUGCAACAAAUAUAUCACAACUUGUUUUUAUUGUAUUCUAUUAUGAUCUGUUUUGUGCCUUAUAUUAUUUAAUAUAUUAAAAUAAAUUUAAUAAAUUAUACUGAAGCAAGAUCUAAUAUUAGAAAGUUAACGGAAAUAAAUGUACCUUUGCCCGUCCCUUCAACAAAAUGCUGAGCUGUAUACUAAUUCUCAGAGGCAGUGAUAACUAGUUGUUCUAACUAAUCCCUAUACUUUUAAAUAUGUUUACAAUUCAGUCCCUUCAUUAAUUUUUCGUUAGUAAAAUGUUGAGCUGUCAGCAAUAUUUCCUUAGUUUGUGCCGCUAACUUAACGGUAAAAUGUGAUUCAAGGAUCAAUUAAUUAUUUAAAUGAACUUGAGGGAUUAAUCUGUUUGUUUAACAAAAAUACAGACACUAGUUAAAUAGAAUUUAACUCCAAUUUUAAUCAUCAUAUGCGUGCGUGCGAGCGAGCGAGCGAGUGUUUACUCGUUAAUGUUUUUUUAGAAGGAAUCUGGAAAAGAAUAAAGUCAUCCAUUUCACUUUGGUCCAGCAUUCCUCACCUCUCCCCGCCAGAGCUCUCCCUCCCUCCCUCCCUCCCUCCCUCCUCCGCCUCUCGGAAACCGCCGCCGCCAAGAAGGCUUCAGAUUUCUGCCAGGUGCUUCUAUUUCUAUCAUGUUUUUGUUUUUAAAAUUUAUGGGUGUUUUCAUUUAUUCUAUUGGAAUUAUUAUUCAGAGACAGAAAUUCUAUUUUAAUGAGAAAAUUAAAAAAAAUAAUCGAUCCGAUGAAAUCUCUGCUAGUGAACGCAAUUCGAUUUUAAUAAGUAAAUUAAAAAAAUAUAUAAUCGGAUCCGUUGAAAUCGCUGCUCGUGAACGCAAUUCAAAGAAACGCACAAUCAGCCGAUUCUAAUAUUUUCUUUUUCAAUUUUUCCCCUUAAUUUACAUGAUAUUAUCCGAUUUUUCUCACAGUUAUUGUUGUAAUAAUCAAGCCCUGAAUUCUUGAACCCAAAUUUAUUUUAUUUUAUUUUAUUUUAUUUUUUAGUGGAGAAUAGAAAUCAAUUCAAAUCUUUUAGGCUCGAUCGAUAAUUUGUUAAUUAGUUUAUGCAGCAGCUGGAGUGGAAGAGAUUUUUCUGCCGGAAUGGCCGAAAAAUGAGCUGUUUGGUUGAUUCUUCUUUUUUGGAAUUUACUGAAUUCUUCAAAAUUAUUGUGUUCUUAACAACAAUACGAUAUCCUUGGGUUUUAUGCUCGCUCACACAUGGAAAAAAGAAAGAAAGAAAAGGACUUUACAUUUUAUAAUUUGGUCAUGUUAACGCAAAAAAAAUAAAAAUAAUAGUUUAUGAUGACUCAUUGUUUGGUUGAUAACCCUACAUGAUAUAUCUUUCUUUUUAGGACUUCCUAGCUGGUCUUGAGUAUGAGGUGAAAGCUUGAGGAGGGCAGUUGGUCCUAACCAAGGACUGUAUUGUGAUUGAUUGAGUUGAAAGUUAAGAGCAUGUGGAAGUGUAAAACAAAUGACUUUGUUCACUUCACCCCAAAGGCGCACCUGUGCAUCUAGUUAGGAAGAACAUUUUAUAACUUACCUCAAGGUCGAGCAUGGUCAGGGUUAUUGUGUUGUCUAUUCCGAGAAAGAUGUGCCUGCAAAUUUAAUCUUAUUUCAACAAGAGUUGUUAAGUUAAUUCUUAUCAGUCCUCUUUAGAGUUGAUGAUGACAUGAAAUAUUCAUGGUUAAUGCUUGUCGUUUUCUUCUUCAUUUUCCUAGCUUAAAACAUCCUAGAAAUCUAUCUAUUGAAGUAAAGCAUUUAAAUGCGUAUACAAUGUUUUUGGAACUUUAAAUAUCUAUUUGAUCAGAAUCUGUGAACCUAAAACCACAAUGAAUACAAAUGCAAGUUUGUCAUUGUAAACAUUGCAUCAAUGAUGUAUCACGAGUGUUGCUAGAAAACAUCAAGUUAAAAUUGAAGCACCAUGAGUUUCUCCAUGGCUUGGUUUACCAACACUCACCAUCUGAUGGUGUGGCAAGUUAUGAACUAGCUGGCUAGUUUUUUGCUUCCUUGGUUUUAGAAGGACCAUGAAGAUUCAGGCCCAAAUCUUGCUUAUAAUACCUAAAUACCCAAGAUCCUAGCACCUUGCCCUGAAUGGUCGUGUAUAUUUGUUAUGGCUGUUCAGAUUUUAUGCAUCCAUAUUUGGUAGAAUUCUUUAAUAAAGUACAUGCUAUUGGAUGGAAGUUCUUUUUAAAUCUAUUCAAGUCUGAAUAAACUGACAUUCCAAUUUUCAUGACUUUGAUAUGCUCUUACUCUUCUGUUGUUCCUGACUUUCUUUUUAGGGUCUAUUCUAACAUGCAAUAUAAUUAUUAUUUUUUUUUUUGGUGAUUGAAGUGAUUUUUUUGGUUGGCCAAAACCCCAUGGAUGCCAAUAAUUGGAGGCCCACUGCCCCAGGCGGAGAACCUGUUAUGGACACAGGUGAUUGGAGAACUCAAUUGCAGCCUGACUCACGGCAAAGAAUAGUCAACAAAAUGUAAGUCUCUGUUUCCUAAUAUGUGCAAGUGCUGCAAAAUAGUAAAUCUUGUAUUUAAAUGAAAGAAAAAGAGAAGGGAAAAAGGUUAAUUAAAAUCAGCAGGACUGCCAUGAGGCAACCUCAAGUAUCAUACACCUCUGUUUUUGUCUUUUUCAUUUUUCACGUGUUUCUCACAAGAAGUGAACUUGAGGGAAUAAAAAGUGCUGGGAAGUAAUUUUUGUUGGAACUUCUUGUGUAACAUCUUUCGAUGAUGACCUCUAGGAUGGCUGCAUGAAGCUUCUUCCGCUUUAAAUUUCAAGGUUAAUCUAUUGCUAUGAGCAUUGGUGUUUCAAUUUCAACCUUGAGUUGCAACUGAACUUAAAUGAACAGUGUUGGAUUUGAGCCUUCCAUUUGCUUUAACUUCUACAGGGUUGAAAUGAUAGUUAUCUUAAAGUACAAAAGCAGCAGACAAAAAUCAAUUAGUCACAAUAGUGCAUGGUUUCCUAGUUUCUCAGUAUAAAGUGGAAUGUUUUGGUGAUAUCUCUACAUCCAAAUUCAUAUAGACAGCUACUGUUGGCAUUUGCAGUAGCCAAUGAGCACUGUAGAGUAUAUAUUGCAGCGUGAGAUAAGGUUAACUCAUUGCAUUUUCAUAAAUUAAAAGGAUUUCUCUUCUUUUCUUUGUUAAUUGCAGUGCAUGUAUAAAGGUUUUCUUAUUUAGAGUAAAUGCUGUUGUAAUGUUUUCACAGAGUUCCCUUGGUUUGCAGCUAAUUCAUUUAUAUAUCUUGGAGCAUAGCCAUAGCCAUAAAUGGAAGGUUCUUCCAGUUCAAGAAAAUUAACCAUGAAGCUCAUAGCUAGAAUUUUAAACAUAAGGGUGGCCAAGUGAACUCCUAUACCCUGUACCUGUGGAAUAAUACGGGGAAAGGAAGUAAAAAUAGAUGUGUAUUUUGAUGCCAUAUAUUACUUGACCGACACUUGGCUAUAUCAUUAUUUGUUUUUACUUUUUCCUAAUGAUUCCGUUGUAUACAUUUCUGAUAUUGGUGUGGUGUAUGAGUUCACGGUUCUUUCUCACUGCUGCUAACUUCUCUAUACCUGCCUUGUCAUUAAAAAUUAAAUGUAAUGUUUUACAUGUGCAGAAUGGAGACAUUAAAGAGGCAUCUUCCGUUUUCUGGUCAAGAGGGAUUACAAGAACUCAAGAAAAUUGCCGUACGGUUUGAGGAAAAGAUUUAUACUGCCGCCACCAAUCAGGUAUUCGGCUAAUGCUAGGUUCAAUGAUUUCGAUAUUCUCUAGACAUGAAUAUACACAUGCAUAAGUUUGUGGAUUAAUGCAUGUACACGUGUGUGUAGUGUGUCCACACUUCCUUACUGGUCAUUCUGUAGAAGUUCUCAUCUUUUCGUUAUUUCUCUUGACAAGUGUUUUAUUUAGAGUGACCAAGGUCCUUUUCAAGUACAAGGGAAGUGUGCAAAAUGCAAAUAACGAAUCAAUACAUAAAUAAUUAAAUAAAAAGAAAGGACACAGAAGUAUAUCCUCACAGAAGAUGCAAAUACAGAAAGCCUAGCAUAUUAGAAAGAGCAUAUAUCCCUUUUCCCCCUUCUCUUGUAACAUGGACUGCGCAGAGAUCUAAUGUUUUGUUAUUGAUAUCUGAUUUCAGUCUGAUUAUCUGCGUAAAAUAUCUCUGAAGAUGCUUACAAUGGAGACCAAGUCUCAAAAUACCAUACCCACUGGCAAUGGUAACAAAACCCUGGAUCCAGGAGGUAAUAAUGCAGCCAAGCAUUGGAUUUCUAAACAUCCUUACCUUUUGUUUUGUAUUUUGCGUUGUUAUCAAACUCUUUUACAUUUUAUUGCUGCAUUUUGCUAUGUAUAUACCAUGCUUUAAUAAAAGAGUCGAGUAAUUGAUGAAUGUUCAAAAAAAAAUUACAGAUUAUUUUUGUUUUCUGCUCCCCACCCCCCCACAACAAAAAAAAAAAAAAAAGUCAAAUGACACUUAUGCUUUGAGGUAAAACCAUCUUAAUUAUUUCCCUCAUAACUUUACGUGUGAACUGUCAUUGUUUCAUUUGUUUUUCUUGUUCAAUGCCUUCUUUUUUUUUCCUUUGACAUGGUUUUCCUUUUUGCCUUUUAUCUUGAACAGCAUCUCAUAGUAUGCCGCCUCAAGUUCACAACCAAGGGCAGUCGCUCCCUAACUCAUUGUCCUCUAAUCAGUCUCAAGCACGUCAGCAGUUAUCACAGAACAUGCAGAAUAGUAUGUCAUCUAAUGGAGUUCAAAGUUCUGCUGGUUUACAAUCAGCAAUGCCUUCUGUCUCCGGUUUAACCCAGACUAUCCCAAACACUGUUGGACAGAAUGCUAACAUGCAGAGUAUCUCUGGUGUUUCACAGAACCCAGUGGGGAAUUCAAUGGGACAAGGGAUUCCCCCCAAUAUGUUUGUCAAUUCUCAGAGACAAAUGCCAGGCAGGCAACAGGUUGUUCCUCCACAGCAACAGCAGCAGUCCCAAAAUCCUCAGCAGUAUCUUUAUCAGCAGCAGAUGCAACAUCAGCUUUUAAAGCAGAAGCUUCAACAGGGAAAUCAUCCACACUCACUUGUGCAAUCUCACAUCCACCAGCAGCAGCAGCAAAAUUUGUUACAGCCAAAUCAGUUGCAAUCUUCUCAGCAAUCUGGUUUGCAAACAUCAACUGUUAUGCAGCCUUCAAUGAUGCAAACUGUCUCUGGCCUUCAACAGAACCAACCAUCUUCUGUUCAACAGUCAACACAACCAAUGCACCAGCAACAUCCACAAUCAGUCCUUAGGCAGCAGCAGCAACAACCUCAACAGUCUGCUGGUAUUCAUCAGCAGCAAACACCAAUGAUGCAGCAGCCACUAUUGCCUCCACAACAGCAGCUAAUGGGGCAACAAUCAUNNNNNNNNNNNNNNNNNNNNNNNNNNNNNNNNNNNNNNNNNNNNNNNNNNNNNNNNNNNNNNNNNNNNNNNNNNNNNNNNNNNNNNNNNNNNNNNNNNNNACAGCAGCUAAUGGAGCACAUCAAGUACACUAACAUGUCGCAAAAUCAGUUAAUUGGACAACAAAACAUUGUUGGGGACUUGCAGCAGCAGCAGCAGCAGAGAUUGCUAGGGCAGCAGAAUAACCUUCAAAAUCUGCAGCAGCAGCAGCAGUUAAUGGCUCAACAAAAUAACCUCUCAAGCAUGCAUCAGCAACAGUUGGCCCCUCAAAGUAAUGUCACUGGUUUACAGCAACAGCAGUUGCAUGGAGCUCAGCCUGGUAACUCAAGCAUGCAAUCUAAUCAGCACUCUCUACACAUGCUGCAACAGCCCAAGGUUACGCUGCAGCAGCAAGCACAACAAAGUGGAAGUGGUUUGUUGCCGAAUCAAGGGCAGCAGUCACACUCACAGCUGCCACAGCAGCAAUUGAUGGCACAGAUUCAAUCACAGCCUGGACAGCUGCAACAGCAAUCAAAUCCAUUACAACGUGAUCUGCAGCAAAGGCUUCAAGCAUCAGGCUCCUUGCUUCAACAGCCGAAUGUGAUUGAUCAGCAAAAGCAGUUAUAUCAACCUCAAAGAGCCCUUCCAGAAACGUCCUCAAGUAAGUUUUUCUCAUCCUUGCAGCUUUCUAGCCUUGCUCCAACUUUAAUUUUGCAGCUUUGUGCUUUCAUGUUAGAUUAUAACAUAUUUAUUUAAAUUUUUUGAAAAUACAAUAAUGGUUCAAGUCAGUAAUGCUCUUUUAGGUAGCUUUAUGAGCUAUGGCUGCCACUUAUUGCAUCAGAAAUGCCACUGCUAUUGGAACCAUUGCAAUCACACAUACAUUUAUUUGAAUGAUUACAUAUCGUUGAGAUGGAGUUCCUAGUACUCCAAGUCCAAAAAGGACUUGUAUUCCUAUGUAAGAAAAUACUAAUGGUGCUAUCUAGGAUAGGGAAAACCUAUUAAAGCUCCUUAUUCUUUAGGAACAAUAAAAUACUAAAUAGAAAUAAAACCAAGACCUACAAUAUUCCAUAAUUUUCAGCAAGUGUGAAAAUUACAGAAAUACCCUUGUGUGCGGAAAACAUUCAAAAAAUACAUGAAUUCUAAUCUUUUGUUGGCUGCAUCAAAAUUUUUGUAGCAUCCCUAGAUUCUACAGCAGAGACUGGACAUGCAAAUGGUGCUGAUUGGCAAGAGGAGAUCUACCAAAAGGUAAUUUCUAUGGUUUACUGUUCAUUAGAUGAAAUUCAUGUAUGUCAUAGUCUUGCAAGAUUUCAAUGGAAAAGGUCUCCUGGAAUAUGGUACAAGGGAGUUUUAUUCAGCUAUGGUUGUGAUUAGUUAGGAAGCAUUGUAAGUUCCAUGAUUGCAGCAACUAAGAAACGAUAAAUUACUGAUAAGAUGAUUAAAGGUAAAAUAUUCAGAUUUCUAGGUCAAGAGGGUUAUUUUCUUGGUAUUGACACGACAAUUUUUUCUAUUGCAAAUCUCUCCCUUUCAAUUUUUUCCCUGUAUUUCCAUACAUUUAGUGUGGUGAAUUAUUAUUUUAUUAUUUCCAACAAGUCCAAUUGACAAUACUUCUUACUGUAAUAGACCGACUUGAAAACAAGAGUGAACUGUUUCUGAAUAGUCAUCGUUAUAUUUGGUUAAGUGAACAGUUAUUUUCAGGAUUACAAUCAAAUUUGUUCUGAAACAUGUGACAAUGGAAGAAAGGAAAAUAAGUGGACCUAAUCCAUUGAAUCAUGACCAUGUCCAGUAUUGUUGAAUUUUAUAGAAAACGAGGUUGAAAUUCUGAAUCAUUUAAUGGCUGUAGUUGCAAUUCAUAACUGCAUAUUUGAUGAGGUCAAUUUUUUUGUGCCUGGGAGGGUACUAAAACGGGAAUAGGAGUGGUUGUUGAUAAUUAGGAUAUAAGGGUUGUAAAUCCAAAGUUAUAAAGCUAGGAAGUGUUUACCAAAGUCGUGACAUCCAUUGACUUGAGUUAGAACAAUAGAAAACAAUGGUGAGUAGUUUGCUGUGAGACAAAGUAACUGAACUUGACCAACCCCUGAAUCUUGUCUGAAGAGGUAACUACACAAUCCUUUGCAUCUUUGCAUGCAAUCAAUAACGAUAUUCUCUUUUGAGUUUUCGGCAUUGAUUCCACUGCUAUUUUUAUCUCAAACAAUAUAUGCUGUCGUCUGCCAUUUUAUUUAUUUAUUUAUCAGUUCUCUCAAGUUUGCUUAUGUUUCUUUCUGACUCUGGCACCUGAAAGAAUCAAGCAUAUGAUUGAUAAUGUGCUUGCUGGUUAUAUGUACUUCCUAGAUCAAAGUUAUGAAGGAAACGUAUUUGCCUGAAAUAAAUGAAAUGGACCAGAGAAUUGCUACCAAGUUACAGCAGGGAAAUUGUCUGUAAUUUUUUCCGAUUUAUUUUCCCACACAUGAUUCAUAAACCCCCACAGUUGAGCUUUUGUAUUAAUUUGUUUUCCCCAUCGGCAUUGCUUGUCACUGUAUCAUCUGCACUAAUUACCUCCCCCACCCCCAACCACCCCACAACCAUGCAUUGACACAGAAGAAUUGGAAUAGAAACAUUUUUUUCACUAAUGUUUUACUAGUUUUGCUACAAAGGGUCAAUGCAAUUUUUAAUUCUCGUGUAUGUUAACUUUGCUUUCCAGCAUGACCCUCUUCCGCAACAACCGAAGUCAGAACAGCUUGAAAAGCUGAAGUUAUUCAAGGUCAUGUUGGAGCGCUUGAUAGGAUUCUUACAGGUCCCUAAAAACAACAUCACACCUAAUUUCAAGGAGAAAUUGGGUUCCUAUGAGAAGCAGAUUCUAGGUUUUCUAAACCCAAGCAGAUACAGGAAGCCUAUUCCUAAUCUUCAGCAAGGACAACUUCCCCAACCUCAUAUUCAACCUAUGCAGCAACCCCAAUCUCAAGUUCCUCAAUUGCAGUCCCAUGAAAAUCAACUGAAUUCCCAGUUGCAAUCAAUAAAUAUGCAAGGUUCUGUACCAAAGAUGCAGCAGAACAAUAUGUCAAGCUUGCUGCAUAAUUCUCUUUCAACUUUAUCUGGGGAUUCGACGUCACAAUCAAACAUGAUGAAUCCAAUACAACCAGGCUCCAAUUUAGAUUCUGGAC